UUUAUUUGGAGCAAUCCGUCAAGCUUUUACUGGACUUGAUAGACACCGACUCGUUAUCCUUCCACUACACAGAGCGGGAGCUGUUUACUGCUCUAUGAAGCCAGCCUCGUGCGAUCCGCCCCACUUUAGGAAUCAAGAAGCCCAUACUUACAUUUGGGCCUCAUUAUCCAACACUGUGCUUGGAUAGGGCAGGCCAGAAAUAAGCCCAUCAAGCCCAACCAUUUGGUUAAGCCCAAUAUUCUACCACCUUAAUGCCGGGUUACAAGCCCACGUUACUAAGCUCGACGUGCAACAAAGUGUCAUAGAUUAUUAUAAAUUCAUUAACAUAUGGCGAUGUGGGAAAAAUUAUAAAUUCCAUGAGAGGCAAUAAAGAGAGUUAUAUUUAGUUUAAUGUUGCACCAUUUCUUACUUUAUUUUCAUUUUGUACGAAUUGUACGUUUCAUAUAAUUGCUUAUUUCUUGUAUUUUGCUUUCAUACUUAAAUUUUGUGAUGUUAUACUUGAGUUGAGGGCUUAUUGGAAAGAGGUUUUUUGUCCUCACUAAGUAAAGAUUAGAUUGCGUACACAUUAAUAUUAUCAAACUUCACUUGUGAAAUUACAUUGAGUGUGUCGUUGUUGUAUUUUAUCUUGUACGACAAUGGCAUGAGUUGAGUUUAAUGAAGUGACGAGAAUUCAUAUAGCCGAUCCCAACUUAUUUAAAAUUGAGGGACCAAAUUCCGUUAAUAUUUCCCAUGUUAAAUUCGUGUUUUGAAUCAUUUCUUGCUUCGUUGUAGAAAGAAGAAAACUUAUAUAUUUGUUUUGUGAUUUUGAGACAUAAGAAAACUUAUAUAUUUGUUUUGUGAUUUUGAGGCAUAAGAUCUAAUAAUAUUAACUUCUUUUAAAUGACAAUACUUUUGUUGUGCUUCAUGAUUUACAUCCCAACAACCUAUGUGGUUUGAAUGAGUCAUUUUCUUCGUUCUUAAUCAAAGAUCUCAAAUUUGAAUCACAUGUAUAAAGAAUUCAAAUUAUCAAUCUUUUUACAAGGAUUUCGUACUCAAUAUAUAUAUAUAUAUGUGUGUGUGUGUGCAUAAAAUAACGGAAUAAGUAAGAACUUACAAUAUAAUUUUCGAUUGCACUGAUGAAAAUAUUGUGUGAAAAUCCUGAUUAGGCUGUAUAAAGAAUUCAAAUUAUCAACCUUUUUACAAGGAUUUCGUAUUCAAUAUAUAUAUAUAUAUAUAUGCAUAAAAUAACGGAAUAAUUAAGAACUUACAAUAUAAUUUUCGAUUGCACUGAUGAAAAUAUUGUGUGAAAAUCCUGAUUAGGCUGUAUAAAGAAUUCAAAUUAUCAACCUUUUUACAAAGAUUUCGUACUCAAUAUAUAUGCAUAAAAUAACGGAAUACUUAAGAACUUACAAUAUAAUUUUCGAUUGCACUGAUGAAAAUAUUGUGUGAAAAUCCUAAUUAGGCAAAAAAAGAUUUCGUACUCAAUAUAUAUGCAUAAAAUAACGGAAUACUUAAAAACUUACAAUAUAAUUUUCGAUUGCACUGAUGAAAAUAUUGUGUGAAAAUCCUAAUUAGGCAAAAAAAAGGUGGUUGUUUAUUGGAGCAACCCAUUAGGCGUUACUGAACUUGAUAAGACACCGACCCAUUAUCCUUCCACUGCACAGAGCGGGAGCUGUUCACUGCUCUGUGAAGCCAGCCUCAUGCGGUCCGCCCCGCUUUAGGAAUCAAGAAGCCCAUAUUUUCAUUUGGGCCUCGUGAUCCUACUCUGUGCUUGGACAGGGCAGGCCAGAACUAAGCCCACCAAGCCCAACCUUCUGGUAAAGCCCAAUAUUCAACCACUUUGAUGUCUCCACUUGGAUUACAAGCCCACGUUACUAAGCUCAACAUACAACAUAAUAUUAUACAUUAUUAUAAAGGAGACAAAUUCAUUGUUAUAUGACGAUGUGGGAAAACUUGUUCAUUCUAUGAAAAGAACAAAUAUUGUAUGGUAUAACAAUUCAUAGAUACAUAACCAUUUAUACUUCUUUUUAAAUUCAUCAACGAUAAUUUCUCGCUUUUUUCCAUCGAGGUAAUUAUGCAUUUCUUCAUCUUUAUAAUUUGUAUCAAGUAUUUUUGUUUUUAAUCUUAUGUUUUUUUAGUAUGUUCGCACAUCUAUCUCAACACUCUUCUUUUCACUUUUCUCAUUCUUCGAAUAUAAGCUAAAGAGUUUUUAAUCGUUCAUUACGUUGUCCAAUACAACAUAAUCAAUCCCACUAUUACUCUAUUGAUCUUACUUUCUAAAGUUUCGAUAAGACAUUCUUACCAAAUUUAUUUUAUAAAUAGAAUUUGAUUUUUUUAUGUUAAAUUAUUUUGGGAAACGUACAUAAAUAUGGUAUAUUCAGAAAAUAUUUAUCAUUUAUAGAGAUAAUAUUUUUUUAUUACUUGAUCACUUUUAAUACAUUUAUUAUACUUAUUUAUUGCAUAAAUAAUUUAUCUUUCAUAUGUAUUACAGAUUUAACAUAACAUUCGUAUAAAUGAUGACAAAUAAAAAAUAUUACUAAAAUUAAUAAUUAUUUAUUAAAAGUAAUUUUUUAAAUUAUAAUUAUUUUUAUGGUAGUUUAAAUCCUUUUUACUAUAUCUCAAAACCCAAGGUAUACUCAAAAAUUAGCUGACAACAGUACAAUCUCCUUCAUCGGCGGCACAACCUGUUGCUUAUCUCCGAUCUACUCCGGCGAACGGCGAAAUUCGAGCUGUAAGUUCAAUACAUAUAUACAUAUAAUAAUAAAGUUUUCAUCUUUUUAUGUUUUAACAAACCCUAGUCCUUAAUUCUUUGUUCCAUGAUUUUUAAUGGUAGAACUAUCAAAUUGUGAAAGGUUUUUGUUCUUUUUUGUAAUGCUUUGGUGGGUGGUUAGGUGGUGGGUGGGUUGAAUCAGCUCUGGAAACUGUAUAAUUCAACAAUAACAAUAAUAUACCCAAAAGUGUAGUUCCACGAGCGGGGUCUGGAGAGGGUAGGAUGUAUGGAGACGUAUCAUCUACCUUUGUAGGGUAGAGAUUAUAAGGUCUGUUUCUGAUAGAUGCUCGACUCGAAAGAAGACUGUCUAAUUCAGUAUUUUGAAGUAAAACUGAAAAGCUCAAAUAAAGAGGCAAUGGUUCUGGGUCUUUAAUCCAGAAAUAAGCAGCAUAACAAACUAUUGUACGAAGCGAAGUGCACAAUUUGUAAUGCGAAAUUAUCUUAUGUGUAGGAUUGAGUACCUAUUUUAACAUUUUCACUGAUCAAUUGUAAAAUUGAUAUAUAUCCAUUUGUUGAUUGAUAAUCAAUAAAAAAAGUUAAUUUGUUGUCAUUAGUUUGGUAACUUUGGUUAUAAUGAACUUCAAUAGCUAGGGUCAUCUUUUUAUUUUCCAACAUCUGCCUGUAAAUAGGAACAAAACAGACGAAUACGCAAGAAAAAAGAAAUGUUGACAGGAAGAGUAUAAGAGAGAAGUGACGAGAAGUCAAUAUCGCAAGUAUCAACUUGAACACAGAAAUACAAAGAGUCAUUUGGAUGUUCCUUUUUGCUGUAAUUUGGAUGUAAUUGCAGCAACUUCAUGGUGCUGAUUUUUAACAUCUUUAACAGUUACCAUUAUAAAAAAAGAAGGAAAGAAGCAAAUUAAGAGAAUUCAAGAAACAUGAGUUGAAGAAAAUUGAAUGCAACUUAUAGAAGUGUAAGACAAGGAAAGAACAUUGAAAUGUAGCUUUAAGAGGACUAGUCCUAGUACCAAUAGCAUAAGAAUUGUAUUUGAUGGGAAGAGUAUGGAUUUCAUUUACUUUACAUUCGUUAUUGGCUGCAAAAUUGUGCAAUGUACUACUCUCUUUUGAGGAUAAUAAGUGGUCGCUUUUCUAACAUUUUUAUCAUAGAGAAGAUAAAAAUAAAAUUAGACCAUUAAAUGUGAAUGUGUAAAUUUCAAGUCAUGUAAAUUUCCUUAUACAUCCACUAUUAUGUGAGUAUUUUGUGAAUUGGGUGAGGUUUUAGCUUAUUUAAUGUGACAGGUUUUGAAGUUGUGCAAAUGUUAUUGUGAUUAAUGUUUAUCUUGUUGACCUUAUUAAAUUGAUGUAGUUUCUCUAGAUUUUGGGUUUAAGCGUUUUUUUUUUUGUGCUGAAACAAAGUCAGUGAAUUUCAUCUAAGAUAAAGCUAUGUCUUAAUCAGAUGGAGAAUCUAAACGGCUUAGUUCCUGACAUCCCUAUACAAGAGCAGAAAGACAAUGCUACUGCUUCUGAAAAUUUCGGUCGAAGUGUUGAUGAAAUGGUUGGGAAGGUUGAUCAGGUAACUUGGUGCUGAGGAAAAUUGUAUACUUGGUUGUGGUAUGCUAGUUGGCAUCCAAAUGGAUAGUAAAUCUGUUCAAACAUUCUUUGAGAUUGUCCUUUACUAUUGUACUUUACAUUGUUGUUUUUUCAUAUUAUCAUAUUGUUUGUCUACAUGAUCUUAACACGCUAUUUUUAGCUUAUUUGUAGCGUGUUAUCUCUGAUAAAUUAUUAAUAUAUAUUUAAUAAAAUAACUGUUAUUUCUAUGUUAUUAAAAUUUUGUAUAAUGUUAGCCUGAUCCAUAUAGCCGAACUUGUUGAUGUACAAGUUGUUGUUUUAGAUGAUACACAAUUAACAAUUCAGAAAAAUGAAACGCGAUUCAAAUUGUCCACUUGAUAGAAGUGUUCAUUCUGAUUGACAUUAUGGUUGCCUGUAGUAUGUACAAUUUUUUAUGUGCAAAAGCUGCAUUUCUUAUAGGAGAAAGUGUACGGCAAAGAGAUUAUUCAUUGCAUCUCUCGAGUUCCUUUUUACUUCAAGAAAAUUGAGAAAAAAGAACAUUCAGAACAUUCUUUUGAUAGUAUGCUCCACGCAAGAAGAUACACUUGGGUACUCACCAAGAUUCUUUGGCAAGAGCGUGCAAAAUGAAGAUAUAGGAUUUUUGCUUUAUAGUUUACUUUUUCUUGUUUCUAUUUUUUUUUCUUUCAAUCUUAGGCAGGAAAAGGCUGCUUGUUAAGCUAAAUUCUUUCAUAAGUGAUCACCUCAUAGCUUCACUCUUAAUUCUCUUUGACAAAUUAUUUCUGUUAAAAAGCUUUUGCCCAUAGUUCAUAAAAAAUACAGCAGAUGUUAUUUCUUUUGGCAUUGUUACUCUCAUCAAACUAUUUCUGUUUUACCAGCGCACAAACUGUAUAUUACCCAGAAUUUGCAAUAUAAAAGAUAUUAUCUCUCAGCAUCUAUGCGCUGAUAGCUCAUGUAUUUCUGCUUUCAUGAUUUGCUCUUAAAUAUAAUCUGGUCACAAGUUUGUUACAUCAACAGAUUGAGCAGAGACUGAAUGAGGUUGAGCAUUUCUAUUCCAAUACUAGUAAAAAACAAUCAAACACGCCAAGAGGUGGCUCUAUUCUGAAAGACAAAGAGAAACAGAUGUCUAGCUUUAGAAGGCGGCAGCAGGAUGCAUCACGUAGAGAAGCAGCUGGUUCCAGGAGAAUGCAAGAACUUAUGCGCCAAUUUGGUACUAUAUUACGUCAGGUAAUCUCAUUAUUUUUUCCGUGCCUUGACACCUUUUUGCCUGUCUAAAGCUUGUGUGCUACUAAAUUGUAACUGCUGUGAUCCUUCAAACUUCUAGCAAUAGAUGUAAUUAUUUUGUAACCUGAAGCAGUACUGCAAAGAACGCGAGAAAAGGUUUGAGUAAAUACUAAAUAGUGGUACAUGCUGAAUUUGCAGAACAGAAUUUUUUCUGAUAAACAUUGAAGCUUCUGAUAAGUGUUGAAGAGAUCUAAAUACGGUUAAGCUAGUAUUUUUUUAGUCAUUGUGAUUUCCUGUUACCUGUAAGAGUAUACAAAGUUUCGAAAUGCCUCAUGUCAGUUGCUCACUUUUUGGUACCGAUGAUGUUUUACUCUUUUUACUUUUUAUACGGAGGUACACGUACUUGUCCUGCUGUUGGUUAUACAUUCUCUUCCUGUCUCUCCUUUGCAAGUAAGCUUGCUGAUUUACCCAUUGAAAGAUGUAUUUUGUCUGAUCUUAGCCUUCAUCCUUCUCUGUCUUUGUAACUUUCUUUAGUUUAUUUCUUCUUACUAUAGGAAAUAAUGGUAAAAGAAAGAAGUGUAGGGCAUCUGAGCAAAUUAUGGUGAUGCACCUUGUUUAAGAUCGAAUGUAGAUUUGCUCCAGUUAAUUUAUUUAUACUCAUUACUUAGUGUAUUUGUCAGAUCACUCAGCACAAGUGGGCAGAACCUUUUAUGGAACCUGUGGAUGUCAAGGGUCUUGGAUUACACGAUUAUUUUGAGGUAAAAGCUUUGAAUUUUCUUGUUUGUGUACUUACUGUAUCUGUGAUGUUCUUAGGAAUCAUAUGCUCCUUUUAUUUCUGCUAAUACAUCAUGGGAUUUCUAGGUUAUUGAGAAGCCUAUGGACUUCAGUACUAUCAAAAACAAGAUGGAAGCAAAGGAUGGUUCUGGCUAUAAGCAUGUCCGAGAGAUAUGUGCUGACGUGAGGCUAAUAUUUAAGAAUGCGAUGAAAUACAACGAGGAAAGGGAUGACGUUCAUGUAAUGGCGAAAACCUUGUUGGGAAAAUUCGAGGAGAAAUGGUUGCAGCUUUUGCCCAAAGUUGAUGAAGAGGUAUGACUCAUAUCCAUGUAUUAUCUAUAGUAUUUUUCUUCAGCAUCUCAUAGAAAUUGCUAAGAUAAUUGAACCAUUUUCUUCUAGGCUAUUGAUAUAUGCUAAAUGAGAUUUUUUCAUCAAGAAUAUGCUUGUAUGAGAUUAAGAUAUUAAUCGGGUUUUCAAGUAAAUGAUUGAGAGAUUAAUAUGUAGAACUACUGCUCGUAGGAAAAACGGCGAAAGGAAGAGGAAGCAGAAGCCCAACAGGAUAUGCAGCUCGCUCAAGAGGCUGCUCAUGCAAAAAUGGCAAAAGAUUUAACUAUUGAGGUAGUUAAGGCUCAGAAUCCUUUACACGCAAACAUUAGUCAUAUUGGCCUAACUAUUUAUGGAUCUUCCUCUUCACGCAAUAAAUUUAACACCCUGUAGAUAAUAACUUAUAUUUAUCUUUUGAAUUCCAGCUUGAUGAGGUGGACAUGCAACUGGAAGAACUCAGGGACUUGGUGCUUCAGAAAUGCAGGUUAGAACUUUACAAACUACUCCUCAGUUAAGUUGUGCAUUGAUUAAUUUUAAAGUAGCUGAUUGCUUAUAAAUAUACCUUGUACUCUGGUCCUUCCUUUCAUUGAAUGGGUUACGAGAUAUUCUUUUGAUUGAAUCCAAAAUAUUACCUAAAAUGAUCCAUAAUUCUCUGUUUUGCCUGAAAGAUGACAGAUGUUUCUAUAGUACAACCCUUUUUCUCAUUGAACAUUUGAGUGUUUUAAAGAAAAUCUCCCUAGCAUAUGGUGCUAGUAAUUGGUGAAAACCCCAUGAACAUGAUUUUUUGUUGGCAAAAACUGUCAGACACUAGAAAUAAAUAGAACUAAUGCCUAUAGGUUGGCCCAUUUAUGAAGGAAGGUGGAGAAGAAAUGAAUUUUAGGAGUCUUUUGCCUGGAUAUAGGAGGGGAGCAGUUGUAAUGCCUGUUAAUUGGUUGUAAAUUGUAAUAUAUUAAGAACAGACAAUUCAAAUGGAAAAGGAAAAAUCUAUGCUAUGAUGACCUUUUUCCAAUAGUGAGGAGAUGGAUAAGCAUUGGCUGGGAAAUCAUAGUCAAUAGUGAUUGCUUGCUCAUGACACGGUUUCGACAAUGAAGCUUCUUUUGUUUUGCUUCCUGGCUCUGGUUGGCUUACUUAUGUGGAGGGUAAAAUUAGUAUGUUGGACAAACCCGUCAUUGUACAAGAUCCAGAUGCUAUAAUACUAGACACCGUAGAGAAUUUGCACUUGCUAUAAUACUAGACACAGGAGAGAAUUUGCACCAUCUGUAAUUACACCUGAUGCACUGGCUUAAUGGAAGUUCUUAUAAGACUUGUUAUUACUUGUUAAAAAAACUAUCUAAUAGCAGAAGGAGAAGUCCAUAUAAUCAGCGAAUUUAGAAUGAAAGGUGAAACGCUAACAUAGCAGGCAAACAGGAAAUGCUCCAAGUACAAUUUGGGCCAUUGAUAUGCUUACGUGAUACAUUAGUAUGUCACACUCAUGCUCCUGAUUUAACAAGGAGGCAUGGAAUGUGGCUAGCCUCUAUAACGACUCGCUUAGAUGUGUGUUGCCUAUGCGAGUUUUUAUGUGAUUCGACUUUAGGUUAACUGUAGUAUUUGUCGCUAAGUUUCUAAUAUAUAUUUCAGAAAGAUUUCAACGGAAGACAGGAAACAACUUGGGAAUGCGCUCACUAAGCUGUCUCCUGACGAUCUUAAUAAGGCACUAUUGAUUGUGGCACAGAAUGAUCCUACUUUCCAACCAACAGCAACAGAAGUGGAACUUGAUAUGAAUGCUCAGGUCAUCGAUCGUUUUAUCAUUUCAUAUUUGCAGCAUUUCUAGUUCUUAAUCUACUCUUGCUUUACAUGACACAAAGUAUUGACCUUUAUGCAGAGUGAGUCCACAUUAUGGAAGUUGAAAUUCUUCGUACAGGACGUGCUACAUACACAGGGAAAGAGCCCAGUGAGCGUCAAAACAAACAACAUCAAUACCAGUAAUCUCCUUAACAACAACAACAACAACAAACGUAGAAGAGAAUUUUACGAUGCACUCGCCAAAUCUUCCCAGAAAAAGAGUAAAAAGCCAUCCUGAUUUUACUUCUAAUCACUUCUGGAGGUGUAAAUGUUUUGAGUCGUUGAUGACACAAUAAUCGAUCUAUCUUCAUCGUUGUUAAUACCUCAAAAAGGACAGACAUAGCCAUUGUAGUAAGUAGGUUUUGUAUAGGAAAUUCCUUAUGGAUAUAUCUUUACUUGGCCUGCAAUUGCAGAUAUACAAGUUCUUGAAUGCUUCAUUUCUUUAUAAUAUAAAGUCUCAUCGACUAAAGUAGAAUUAGUGAGAUUCGAAUACACAAACACUUCCUCAUUCCAACGAGGUGAAAACCAUUGGGCUUUAACAGUUUGUUACGUUAAGGGUGUCCUGUUAUUUAAUCAUUUUACGUGUAUGUACGAAGCUGGACACCCUAACCUACACACUAUAAUAAAUAUUCGAAAGAAAUAGAGUUGAAGAAAAUAGUAAAACUAGAAUAUCAUUUUGUUUUGAAGACUCAAAGCACACCAUGAUAUUGAAUAAUAGGGGACAAAGAAGAUAACAAAGGGAAUAAUAUUGAUUAUUUUUUAAAACCAAAGUACAUAUUUUCAAAUUCCUAGUACUAGAACAAGCAAAAAAGCUCCACAAAAUAAUAUGCAAAAAUAGUAAAUAAGAAUUCUAUAAUUAAUAUCUUUUUGGGAUCCAUUUUUUUUUUUUUUGGGGAAAAGACACGAAUAAAUCUUAUAAUUUUUUUUGUCACCGACUUUUAAGAUAGUGAUUGUUUUUUCUUAAUAUGCUAAUUCAACUUUUGAAUAAUUAAAUACCACAAAAAAUAAAAUUGACCAACUGGUGUUCGCCUGUUCGGUAGGAUGGAAAAUAAUUAUUUUUUAAAAAAUAAAUAUUGUCAAGAAAAUAAAUAAGUUAUUUAUUUGUGUUCAUACGUCACCAAAAAAAUAUUGUUAUGGAAGGUGGGGUUAGAGGUAGGAUCGUAGGGAUAAAAAUGAGGUGUGUUGAAUUUUACUAAAAUUAUUAUAAAUAUCAUUUAUAAAACUUAUUUUUCUUACUAUUAGAUAAGUUAUUUUUGUAAUUUUAAAAAUGAUUCAUGUAAAGUGUGAUAAAUAUUUAUUUAUCUCAUUCAUUUUACAUGAUGAUAUUUAAUUUUUUUUAAAAAAGUUAAAAAUAAGACUGACUUGUCACAUAUAAGCCAAAAUUCUGUGAAUUUAAGUAUAUAAUUAUAUGAAAAUAUUAAUGUUAAAAUUUUUCUAAGUUUGGCAAGUUUUUGUCUUCAAUUGCUUUCAAUAAAUAAAAAUAAAAAAUGAAGAAAAAUGAUUUAUGGUCACUAAAAGUUACGUAGGAAUUAAUAUUUUAAAAUUUUGACAUUAAGUCUAUCGAUCUGUUAAAAUACCUCAAUUAAAUAUGUUAUUAAUAUUAUCGAUCUGUUAGAAUACCUAAAUUGAAUAAUAAAUAUUUUAUUAUAUCGCGAUUUUUUUUAAAAAAAUAUCAAAAUAAUUUAUCUAGACUAUGCUAUUGAAGACCAAAAAAUAAUUGGAAUAAUCUAGUUUUUUAAAAACCUUUUGGGUUUUAUUAAUUAUCAGAGUAUGUCUUUUCAACCAAACAAAUUUAAUUUAAUUAUGAUUUUUCGUUUUUUUUAGAAAAAAAUGUUUUGAAAACUUUUAUUAAUAAUCAACGGGUCCUACCUUUUUAUUGUAUGGUCCAAAUUAUUGGAUGUGCAAUAUUAACACAAGUCACUUUCAAAUAUGUGAAGCAUGGCUAACACAUAAUAAUUUCUUUAAAAAAUUACGUGACUGAGCUAUCGUAAAUAGUAAGCAAAUGUUCUUCAUCAUAGUUGAGGCGUUGGUGCUCUUGACGUCCAAAAACUAGAGCAUAUAUGUUAUUCACUCUAGCGCGAGACUAAAUAUAGACACAUGAACCAAUUUGAUUCAUCGAUUCGAUUUUUAAUAAAAGGGUUGGUGGAUAAGAUUAUGACAUGUGUAUAUUCAUUAGUAUAAAUGGUAUAUGUACUCUAGUUUUUGGACAAUAGGGGCAUUAAUAUCACAAAAGUAUGAUAGAGGGUAUCUGUAUAUUAUUUAUGAUAGUUUGGGGGUAUAUUAGUCAUUUUCCCUAAUCAUUUAUAGUGUGUUUGGUUGUGAGUUCGAAGCCAAAAUUGCGACUUUUUAUGAAAAAAGUAUAAAUACGAAUAAUUCUUUUGAAAAACAAUCGAAAAAAUAUUUUUUCGAAACACCGCUAUAUUUGCUAGUAUAUGUUGCUAUCGAUUUUUAUUAAAUAUAUUUUUUGGUGAAGAUUACACACGACUUUAACUCUGUAAUCAAAUUUAUAUAAAACACAUUUCUAAAAUAUAUAUUUUAUUAUUUACCAAACACACAUAAAAUGUGUAUAAUAUGAAUCCUAUCUAUAUACGGCAUCGUAAUAUUUUAAUUUUAUUUUCUUGUUCCAUUAGGUCUUUUUUAUUUUUAUUGAAAUUAAAACGUUUGACUUUAAAUAUAUAUAUAUUAAAUAUUAAAAUAUGUAUCAAAAUUUAUAUAACUAAAUCUAAAAUCUAAAUAAUUAAGAUUAAAAUAUCCAAUAAGUACAAAUAAAUAAAGCUUUAAAUAUUAAAUAUUUCGAUUAAUAUCUUAUUGGUUACUAGUUUUGCUCUUCCGUCUUCAAUUCACAUUAUUGUCUUAAUUUUUUUUAUUUAUAUUGCACUUGAAUAAUUUAUUUUAAUGUUAUUUUACUAUUGUUUCUAUUUUAUUAGCAUUCUGUAAAGUUAUAUUAUUGUUAUGUUACGUCAAAUUAUCGGAGAAGUUAUAUGAUUAUUUUAUAAGCAUUUUCACGUAGGUUAAUUCGAAAAUAAAAAAUCAAUAAAACAAUCGAAUAAAAAUAAAAAUCUCAUAUUAAUUUAGCGUAUUUUAAAAAUUAAAAAUUGAUAAACCGAACCGACCAAUAUCGUCCUAGAAAAACGUGACUUCCUCACUUUUAUUGGUGGCAAUCGCUUUCCUUCGCAAUCUAACAUUUAAAUCUUAUAAUCAACUUUUAAUAUAUAUAUAUAUAUAUAUUCUAACACAAUUAUAAACAUUGUUUUCUUAAAAAUUAACUUUGAUAAUAACAAUUGACGAGGAAUAACUAUAACUAUAAGUUCUGUGUAAAUUUUAAUGAACAAGGUUAUUUGAUAUUUUUAUAGUUAACUUUUUUUUCUGUGUAAAAUUAGUUGAAGUGUAUAAAAAUUAAUCAGAAUAUAUGGUCAUGUGGUCUUCCACCACCUAUGAUCGAUUAAUAUUCUUUCUGUCCACUUUUAAUUUUUAUAUUGCAUUUUUUGAAAAUUAAUUUGAUUAAUUUUUAAAAUUGAAUUAGAUUAGAUUAUUCGAUAGUUUAAAUAAAAAAAAUUAUAUAUUCAAAAAUUAUACGAAAAAAUACUAUAAAUUUCAAAAAAAAUUGCAUAUCUGUAACAUAAUUAUAGUUUGGAAUUUAGGAUAAUUGCCUACCUUGCAUAUGCUCUCAAAAAAAAAAAAAAAAAAAAUUGGCGUUACGUUAGCUCACAAUUUGUAAACGUAGGAAGUUAGAUAGAGUAGGAUGGACCACAAUUAAUUUCCUUUUAAUAAAAAGAAAAAAGUGUCUGAAAAAUAUUUUAAUUUUAAUCGAAAUUGUUGCGAUAUCAAAUUUUCUGGCGAAUAUUUUACCUCUUGCACUAUUUAAUAGUGUACUUUAAAGUUAUAUAUGUGUCUACUGGACACAUUAUUUAUAAUGAUGCAAUGUUUAUAAUGUCCACAUGGACACAUAUACACAUUUAAAAAUGCUCUAUUAAAUAAUAUAAAGAGAUAAAAGGUUCUUUCUCGUAACAACAAUUUUCGUCAAAAGUUUGAAUAUAUUUCAAACCAUUUUCCCUUUAAUUAAUUUAAGUUUGAAUUGAAAUUUGACUUGAUUCUACCUAAAUAAAUAGGCUUAACAUAUUGGUUGUCCUUUAAAUUUAUCAAUAUUUUUUUUAGAUAUUAAACUGUGAUUUGUUCUGAUUAAGCAUUUAAAUAUAUAUAAUAAAGUGUCUUAAUUAUAUAUUUGUAGUCAAAUUUCAGGGGGAAAAAUAUGUACAUGUGUUCGUAGAUUUUCAUUAUAUAACGAGUUAAUUAUUAAAAUAUGUUAUCUCAUUUAACUAUACGAAUUAACUUUAAUAAGCGGUAGAAUCUCCAUCUGAGGAUGAUGCAUACAAUUAAAUAUUUCACCUCCUUUAAUUAUUUAAAUUUUGAGCAUGACAAUAUGACAUAAUUUAUAGGUUACAAUAAUGUCAUAAUAAUUUGAUUUUGGUUUGACUUUUUUAAUAGUUAAAAUUAAAGCAACCUCAAAAAUUUGAGGGUUUUUUUAGAUAUAUUGAAUUAAAUAAUAAUUAAAUUUUGUUUUUUUUUAUUUGACUUGGAUUAUCGAUCUGAUGUAAUUUAUCGAUUUUCUCUAUACUUAAUCAAUGAUAGAAAUAAAAUCUUUCUAUUAUCUAAGCUUCUUAUAUUUUUAUUUAUCAAAUUACAUUGAGUAUAUUAUCAUCGUGAGACUAUCACCAAAAUGUGAAUAUUUAUAAGAGUGCAAUUAUGACUUGGCUCAUCCAAUUUUGAAUUUGUAAUAAGUGUAUUUUGAAUGCAUGGAAACUUGUGGGGUAAUAAUAUAAUAAUUUCUACAAAUAUUUUUGUCAGUUUUCAAUCUCUACGUGCCAAUAUUUUUCUUAGACUCUAACGUUAUUUUCAUGCCUAAAUAAUUAUUCAUAUGUAUUUCUUGUAAAUAGUGAUGUUACGGAUCAAUAACGGAUUCGAUUGAAUUCAGUAUUAAUGUAUAUUAUUAAUUUUUUAAUUUUAACUUUGUCUCUAAAUAUGAUAAGAGAAUAAUUCCGUUCAAAGAAUCAACAUAAUAUUUUUAAUUUUUAAGAUUCAAACUCGAAAUCUGUGAUCAAGAGUAUAAAGAAAUCUUUUCCAUACGACCAAUCUUUGUAAUAUAUUUUAAUUUAUUGUCUUAAUUAUAGGAAAUAUUGAAGCUUUGCUUAUUGAGAGAAAAAAAAAUGGUUUCUUUACUUAUCUUGUUUUGUUUUUGGUCAGAAAUACGACCAAAAUAUAAUAUAUUGCAUACUGACUAAAACUUAAAAUAUAAACAAGAUAAUUAAUAUUACAAGUAAAAAGUUUUUCUCCUUCAAGAAUUGAUUAUUUCUGGAAGAUUAAUACAAGAAUAUAGUCAAACUUUAAUUAAACCAACUAUAUGUUUCAAAAACAACAUAAAGCAAUUGGGACAAAUUAAAGAAACACGUAACGUGACCAACAAUUGGGACCAAAAGGGCCAUACUUAACGUCGAUAUAAUUAUUUCUUUCUUAAUUAGAUAUUUCGAAAUCAAAGUCAUUGCGAGAGAAUGUCCUCCCAAAAUGAGUUAUACGCAAUAUAAAUUUAGUUAUAAUACUGCAAUAUAAACAUUAAAUAUCGAGUGAGAAUCAAAACAACAUAAAAAUUGGACCAAACGGGGUGGAGUUUUUUUUCUUUCAUAUUUAUUCUUUUUUCUCUUUUGAUCAAUAAGUUGUCAUCUUCCUGUCUAGCUUUAUAGUUUUUUUGUUUUUUUUUUUGUUUCUCAUUCAGUCAGUGUGUGUACUCCGACUAAAUUCGCAUUGCGUCCGGCAACAUUCACUGUGCGUAGGGCUCCCAAUAGAAUUUUCUCCAUACUCAAGACUCGAACUCGAGACUUCCGAUUAAGGGUGGUAUCUAGAGCUUUAUAGUUGGUUUGUCGUUUUCCAUGGUACGAAUUGUAGUAUUCUCUCUCUGAUGUAAUAAUGUAUUCGAUGCGCAUUUCUUUAGCUUUUUCUUUAAAAAUAAAAUGUUUCAUUUUUUAAAUUUAAAAUAAUUUAAAUUUGAUUUUAUCAUUUCUUCUUUAAUAAUAUGAUUUAUAUAGUCACCGCCACCUAAUUAAAUUGAGACAAUUGAAUUAUCUAUAUCGCUACUCCCUCCAUUCUAAUAUAUUCAUGUGAUAUAAAACUUUCGAAAUGUGUAAAUACAAAAACUUCUCAUCAAAUGUAUAUUUCGAGUCAAUAAAAUAUUAAUUAUUUUAAAUACGAAAAAUAUGUCACAUACGUAAGUUGAAAUAAAAAUUAUAAAUAUUUAUAUAAAUGGUCAUGACCAACGACGUAGUCACAUAAUUAACUGAUUAAAGGAUAAUCAAUUGAAUAAUCUUUAUCUAAAAAUAAUAUAUUCUCAAAUAUUCUUAAUAAAUCUAGGUUAGCUAUUGGUGAUGACUACUUUUUUACUUUUUAGGUACAAGAAAUUCAUUAAUAAUUAUCAUAACUUUAAACUGUAUCCAAUUAAUACCCAUUUCCCCAUGAACUAAUCAACGGAUAUAUUGAUCAUCAACAAUACAGUACAAUUAAUUAAACAUAGAAUUUCACAUCCUACCAAUCAUCUUACAAAAUAUAGCUAAAAUGUAAACAAUUCUCAUUUAUUACUAAAAAAAAUUUAUAUCUCGAGAGUUAAAUUUGAGACUUUUAAUUAAUGAAAUAGAGUUAUCAAUUUAUUUUUUUAAGAAAACAAUGACCGAUCAAUUUGAGCGCAUCUUAAUUAUUAUAAAACAUAGGUAGCCAAUAUGUUAAUAUAUCUUUGAGUUAUUUUACUCACACAAGUAAUGUCCAGCCCUCUUUUGCUGUUGUUAUUAGUACUUGACUCUAUCGGUUCGACGAUUUGCGAAGACCUACUCUUACUCAGUACACGUAAUUGAAAUAAGAUCGAUUGACUUGAAUUCUACUUCUCUUUAGUAGCUCGAGUUACACAUUCAAGAGAGGAUGAGUAGUGAGUUGAUGUAUGUUUCCAUUCUUUGGGGGCUUUGCGACUAGCCAUCUCGAUUAUUUUCAUAAUUGAAAAGGGGAAAGAAAUCUAAAUCAAUGAAUAUUAACGAACCAUUACUAAUGGACAUCGCAUAUAACACAAUCAGUUCGAUAUAAGCUCUGAUUCUAACAGAAAUUGCUUACUUUCCUACUACCAAAGCAAAGCGCAUCUUUGUUUUUUUUUCAUAUUAACUAGCAUGAAUAUUAAAUAUCUUCCAUCUCUAUAUUCUAAAUUGAGAUAUGAAAAUAAAUCAUUAAUAUCUCAUCUCACAACCACCACCGCCACCACCCCACCCCAGCUCACCUUAACACAUUGAUUGCCUCAACCUAUCGAUUGACUGAGUUGGAGAAGAAAGUAGAAGGUUACGACUCUAUAAGUUUCGUGUAUCCAGACUAAUACUAAUCCAAGUCAUUUCAUGAAUAAAAUGUGACCAAUUAACCAACCAAAAAAAUCACUUGUUACAAAAAAAGACCUUAUUGUUGCAUCGAAAGAGAUAAAUGUUAACUAAUCUAGCUAACAUUAAACUUGAUAAAAUCAAAUAAUUGAAUAAUUGAAAAAUUGAGAUUAUUCAGGAAUACACACACUCUAGUCACUAGCCCUGUCUUCGGCAUUCCCUCCUGGUUGUUAAGAUAAAGACUUCAAACAUGGCCAACCCGAUAGUAUACGCAAGGUCCGGAAACAAAUACACAAUCAUAUAAUUUGAUCGACGAUUACUAGCAAUUCUAACUUCACACAACCCGCAAUCCAUACUAAGGACGGAUUUUUGAGAUUAGCUCGCGAGACACGAUAUCCAAAGCACCCACCCAAGACACACAUUUACACGUCCAUGCAAAUAUGUUUUUUUUUUUUUGCAUGCACAUAUGCGAUGAUCGAUACAUGAAUAUAGUGGUAUAUAUAUACACAUAUAUCCCAAAAUCAUGAAAAUAUCAUGACAAAUUAAUAAAUAUAUCAAAAAAUAAAACAUAAGAAAAAUAAACAAGAUAGUAGUAAUAUAUAUAUGAAAGCUGGCUGUCUAUAGUCAGCACAUAACAUUCAUGAGUCAUCUAAUAACAACAACACAAAAUUCAAAUAAUAAUCAAAAACAACAAUAUAACAAUAAUAAAAAACCGUAUCAUUUUUUUCUGUUCCGUUCCGAUACGUCUCGUCUCAAGCCUCCGCCUUUUUUUUUUUCUUAAUUUUUAAAAUGUCACAUCUGAAUCCACUGUCCCAGCUGCGUCGGAUUGACAAUACCAGGAAUGUGGGUCCCAUCACUCCUCAACAAGCUAGAUAUCUCAACAUAAUUCUGGCUCGGCUUCGGCUCAUCCGGGCUCGACUUUCUCUUCUUCGGGUCGGCUACAGGAGUAGCAGCAGCAUUAGCUCUAGGUCGAGCCGGGUCAAAUUUCUGACCCAAUAAAGUACCUUUAGUUAAAUACUCAUAAGCCAUAUACCCGGCUAAAACUGAAUUAGGCAUUUGAUGAGGAGGAUGACCCUUUUUUUUGGGGUCGGGUUUAGGAAACGACGUCGUAAGGUUAGCAUUACUAACGGACGUUAGUGGAUUUGACGGUCUUGGAGACGAAUAAAACGUGUCUCGGUCUUUUCGCUUCCGUGAUGACUCGUCAAGAGUUAAGAUUCGCCGUGAGUGAUAAUUCAUCCUAGCCGUCCAAUCUUAAUCUACAGCAUGCCACGUCACCGCACUUUUAAAAUAAAAUAAAAAAGCGAUAAAAAAGGAAGAAAAAAAAAGUGAAGUUACGGUUAAGGAAUUAUGGGGUUUGGAAAGAUAAAAACAAAUAAAGCAAAAGGUUAGAAAAGUAAAUUCACUCUAACAGGUACAUUUCUCGUUGAGAAAAUUAAAAAUAUAAAUAUAAAAAGUAGAAUAUAUAAUUUUUUUUUCAAUUAAAAAUACAGUAAAAAAAAGAGAUUAAAAUUGAAAGAGAAAUUACUGGAGAAGAAGAAAAGAAAGAGGGUAGUGAGUUUGACGGUAAGUCGACGAAAGAUCUAGACAAAGAUCGCCGGAUUCCGGCGAGAAACGGUGGAUUCCGGUGUACGGACGGUGGUUUUAGCGGUGGCUCCGCCGUAGAAGAGGAAGAAUUAUUACCGGAGAGAAAUAGAGAGAGAGAAGAGAGAGAGAGUUUGGGGAAUGGAAAGAUUUAUAUAAGAAGAAAAAAGAAUGACAAGGGCAACAAGUGUGUAUAUAUACACCUAAUAACUGAAAUUACCCUUGGUUUGUGAAUUAAUAACUAAAAUGCCAUUGGGUUUAAUGGAUUGAAAUGGAUAAUGAAAUUUGCUUGAAAUGACAUUAAAGUCCUUGCGUUUAUGUCGCUAAAAGGGUGUUUUGGGAAUGGAAAGAUAAUGGGUAUAUUUGGAAUAAUGAUUCUAAUUAAGGGGUAUGGUAUUUUUGUAAUAUAAUUUUGAGUUGAGGGUAAUUUAUAUUAGGUGAAAUAAAAUUUAGAGCCAGCGGUGCUAGCUCCGUGUCUUUAGCAUUGCUCUUUAGAGGUCCCCAUUAUGGUACCUCUUUGUAUUUUUGUAAAGCUAAUGGGGCUAAAAUACAAAUAAAUAAAACUUUGGGGACUAUUGUUGUAUUAUUAAAAGAAAAAAACUACUAUACUUUAUUAGAGGUCCAAGUCAAUUAAUAUACUAUGAGGAAAAUCUUAAUACAUAAAUACUUAUAAAUACAAAAAGUAAUCUGGUUAUCGAAGUGAAGUUUGGAAAGGAUACGAUUAUAUAAUUAUGAAAUAAGUAUUUUAAUUUCUCAAAUCGAAAUUUAUGUGAGAUUCUAAAAUAACAAUUAUUUUUUAUGUAAAUAUUAACCGUAUAUAAUUUAUGUAUAAUUACUUUACAAUAUGGUGUAUUUGGAAGAUAAAUGGAUUAUUGAAUAUGUCUAAGAAAAGGGAGAAAUGGGUGGAAUAAAAAGAUCUAAGAAAUUAUGAAUUUGUUAUUUUAUAAUGAUUGUAAUUAGUGACCAAACGAUUACAAUAAUCUUUUGUCAAAUAAUUGUUGUCUUGGUGUGAUGGAUUUAAUUAGUACGAGGAAAUAAUUUUCUAUAAUUUGAAUAAAUUAUAAAAUAAAAUAAAAAGUUACAAAAAAAUUCUACACUUUAUUUAUGUUCUAUAAAUCUCAUAGGAAAAGAGUCAUAAUUAAAACAACCUUUAUAAUGAAUGCAUCAUGACCUAAUCUCAAAUAGGUAUAAAGUUUAAAUCUCAAUCAAAUAAUUACUUCUUUUAAAAAUUAAUUUUCUAUAUUUAUUUCGUUGUUUAUUUUAAAUUUUCUUUUUGGUAGAGUGGAGUAGAAUAUCGAAAUAGACAAAUUUUUUAUAGGUAAGCACUUCGCUUUCCAGAUGAUUAAACUCGAGGGGGGGGAGUCUCGAGGAUAGACAAUUCUUCAUAGGUAACGUUUUCAAAAUUAUUAAAUCGAUAAAAGAGAAAAUAAUUUUUAAAAUUUUUUUAAUUGUUUAAAUAAAUAAAAGAAUAAAGUACUUAUUCGUUAUGCUAUUUAGGAUUUAAGAGAAUAUGAAGCAAUCCUUUUAUUAGUCAAACAAUUGUCAAUUAAGUUACUUAUUUGGUGUGCUAAAAAAACCUAAACAAAAAAAGGAAUAAAAUAAACAAACCAUCAAUAAAAAAGAACAAUUAAAAAAUUUUAGUAAGAGACUUAGGGUUCCAUAAGAAAAUAAUAAUCUACUAAAGUUAGUGGGGUAAUAUUUCACGUGAUUUUAAAAAAUAAAAAUAAAAAAAGCCAUGUGACCCAAAUUAAAAAACUAUUCCCUUUAAUUAAAAGAUUAAAUUUAAUUAAUAAUUUAGAAAAAAUCUAAUUUAAGUCAGCACUAUUGAAUUCUGUUGAAUCUGUAUCUAUCUUUAAUUCAAUUUAGUCCAUCUGUAUUAGCAAAAAAAAUUCGUCUAAUAAUAAUGUGAUUUAAAUUAUAUCAUUUUAACUUGAAUUGUUUCUUUUCAUACUAUAUUUAUCUCGCUAAAUAUAAUUCUAAAUUUUGUUAAAAGUAAAAUCUUUGUUAUUGAUAAGAAACAUGAACUUUGACAACAUUUUUCAUGUGAUUGAUUUCUAGUUCUUAUUAUAAUUCUUUGAAAGAUAUGGAAUUUUUAUUUAUUUACUUCCCUUUUCUAUUUUUCAUUUCCUUUAAUUUUCCAAGUUUUCAAUUAAAAUUAAAUCAACCCUAAAAAGACAAAAAUAAAUAGGGAUGUCAAUCACAUGAGAUGAGGUCCUAAAAUGUUGGUUUCUUGAAGGUGGGGGCCAUUUGAUUGGAACAUUUUCAUAAUAAACAUUUAUAAAAAUGAGGAUUUUUUACGUAUAAUUUACAUGAUAAAAUUUUAGAUCAAACAUGAUAAUAGGAGGUAAAAUAAUUAAAUGUUAUUAAGAUUGAAUGGAAUACCUAAAUUGUAGACAAGUAGAUAAACGGGAUAUUCUUAUCUUGUUGUGACGGCGUUGAUGAGUUGUCAGCCUCGCUCAGUUUUGUUGUGACGGCGUCAAAGAGUCAAUAAGUAUCUUAUAUAGGAGUUAGAGUAGAGUACCUAAUUGCAAAUGAUAAAACCUAACGGGCCUUCUCAUUGCGGGCUUUAUUAACUAAUUUACAAUAUCAUCUCACUAAACUUAUUAGGCUCGUUAAGUAUAUGACUUAAUCUUCAAUUAUCUUAUUAUAGUUGAAAUAACAUUUUUUAUUUGCUAUACAACUCAAAAUAGUUAAAAAUAUGGAUUUUCUCAACAAAUAUUUGUCAUUUUUAGAUUGGAUAAGAAAACUUUACACGUGUAGUGAUUUGUAGUUGUUGCUAUAACUUCAAUGCAUAGUAAUUGCAUUUAUGUUUCAAUUUGUUUGACUUGAUUAGUAACGUGAGAGUCAAGUUAACUGAUGUUAGAUGUAAAUUUGGAUUAAAAAAUUAUUUUUUUGAAGUAGAAUUUAUAUAUCUAAAAACUACGUAAGAAUUAUUAUAAGUCGCAAUAGUCAAUAAUGCAAAAUAUUUGUAAUGUAUUUGAGAAAAAUAUCCAUUAGUAAUGGGUUUAUUCCAUGUUUGGAUAAAAUUGCGAGAUUACUUACUUCGAAAAUAGUUAUUACGAAAUUGUCGUGUUGUUUUAUCCCAUGUGAAAGAUAGACUAUCUAAUCUCACAAUAAUUAUCUUGAAAUAACUUAUUUCCUAAUCAACUGAAUGUAUAAUCGGUAAAAAAAUCAAUAGAAAUACUUUGUGGGGAUUUGUUUUUUUUUCAUUUAAUGAUUUUCACAAUUUGAUGGCCUCAAUCAACUUAUCUUUUGAAAGUCAUUAUUGAUGUUUAAUAUCCAAACAAAUAUGUUUUUUGGCUUAGUAUCACUCUUUUAUAUUUUUAAAAUUUUAAAGUGUUCCUUGACAUCACACCUCUUUGCUUUUCUUUUUCAAUAUCUUAUCAAAUUUAAGGGCUAAAAACAAGAUUUAUUUAAUUCAAUUUUCACAGUUUAUGAAAGUGACAAGAUUUACUUGGUUAGGAUUUUAACUUGAUAUUUUUACCCUUAGUAUAAUAUUGGAGUUUUAAUUUUCUUUCCAAAAAAUCAAAAUAUUAUCAUAAUUGUUUUAAUUCAAAUAAAUUAUGAUUUUCCAUAUUUAGUUAUUCUUUUCUCAUACCACACCAUAAGAGUAUCCAUAAAAGGAAAAACGUACAUGCACCGAGUGUUUAGACAAUGCCAAUGUAAUUGACCAAAUCAUAAUAAUAUUAUGCUUUAUAAUCAAAUUUGAUUUGAAAUAUCGGACUUGAAAAAAAUAAUAAUAAAAUCGAUUAAUAGUGAAUUUUCUCUUUCAACAUGAUAAUCUAGGUCUCUCAUCUUAUUUUAAAGAUUUUCACGAUACGUUUCAUAGAUUUAUCAAAAUUACAAAAUCAAGAUUUCACCAUAAUUUGUAACUACGAAAUAGUGAGCACAUUUAUAUAGAGUUGAAAUUAUAUAUAUUCCCUUUUUACUUAUAAAUUUAAAAUCUUUAUUCAGUUUUGUUUCCAUUGCACCAAAAAGUAAUACUGAAUGAAAUUAUAAGUAAAUUUGGAUCCACUAAAUUUUGAUGUGCUAAAUCUACCUCUAAAAAGUAUAUCAUACACAAUAUAUUUUGUCAAAUUAAAUAAUUUACAUUAGCAAAAUGUAUUUGCACAUAUUUUAAAAAUUCCUUUUUUUUUUUUUUUGUAUUUGCACAUAUUUAAAAGUUCUAUUUAACUAUAUAAUUUUUGUUCAUUGGUUUUCCCAAAUUGAACAUGUAUGGUUCAUCCUAAACAAAUAUAAGUAAAAAAUUUAAGGUUUAAAAAAUAAAGGAAAAAGAUCCUUUAAAAUAUUUAAUGAGAAAAUUAAUUACUCCAAUAUAACAGCUGACCUUUAAUUAGACUAGGGAUAACUCUAAACAAUAUUCUCUUAAUUAACUAUUAGAAGGUUACACUUUCACAAUCAAAUUAAAGUGAUUUAAUGAUUGUGCAAUUGAUCAAAAAUCAAAUAAUGGUUUUUGAGUUACUUUAGAAAACAAGAUAAGCAAUUACCCCUCGAUUAAAAACAAAUUCAAAAUUUAAAAUUUAUGAGUUUUUGUAAUAAUUUUAAGUUAAUUUAUAAUAAUAACUGAGUUCUAAUUACAUAUUUAUAAAAUACAAAUAAAGUUUUUAAUACAUAUACAGAGUGCAAAUAAAGAUUAUUAGAUUCUCGAAAAGUCACCCCUAUCUCAAUUUCCAUUUUGAACAAAUAUAUAUAAUUUUUUCUUUUUAAAAUAUUUAUGAAUAUGAAAUUCUAGUCCUUUUAUGGUGUUACUAAAUUUUAAAUCAAUAACGUAUAUGUAUUCAAUUAAUUUCUUAAAGACAAAAUAUAAAAUCUGGAAUAAUUGCAUUUGAUCAAAUUCGUAACUUAUAUUCUAGCUCUGAUUCAGUUAUAUCCGAAUAAUAAAAUUAACAUUAUAUUCAAUAACAUGACUCAUAAAAUAACCCUAAGGGGUAGCUCGGCUGGUAAAGGCCUGAGGACAAAGUCCUUCAUGUCGCCAGUUCAAGCCCCAGCAAAGGCAUUACAAAUCGACCGCGUCUCCAGGGCCCCGUGGAACUAACCGCCUUGAAACUACGGGACCCGAUGAAUACAACUAGUCGGAUUCGCAAAACGAUAUCAGAAACCCCGGCAAAAAAAAUAAAAAUAACCUCAUAAAAUAAAUUUUCUUUUGUGUAUAUAUAUAAAAGUUCAAUCCACAUUAUAUACCUAACUUUUCUAUGUAAGAAGUAUCAAAAUUAUCCAAUCAAUUAAUCAUUUACAUGUUCUAUGUCGAACUAUUCUGAUUACAAUUAAUUAAACUUUAGACCAAACUUUCUAAUUAAUUAUAAAAAAAAUUUGGGCUAUAUUACUGUAGCAUGUAGGUACACUACCUACCAAAAAUUAAUUAUAUUCACCUCAUAAUUGAUUCCUCUAAAAAGGGAGAUGUGACAAAUAAAGUGCUUAAAUUUUCAUAUGAAGUUUCCUAAUAUUGUUUGUUAUUCCAUAAAAUAAAAAUAAAAAGAAAGAAAUUAAUUUAUGUGUUAAUUAAGCAGCCAAAAGAUCAUGUGAGAUAUUUCUCAGUAUUUAAAUUUUGUUUGAAAUGAAUGUCAAAUUAGCAUAGAGAACUAAAUUCACGGCCAAGUGAAAGAGUCUAAAAACUCAUAUUAUAGCGUGUUUCAAGAUUUGUAUUAUUUAUCUGUUAUAGCGAUAUGUGAGAUGAGAUUAAAACGUAAAACUUUCAAAGGGUUUAACAUGUCGAAUUUCAUACUUGAUAUACCAGAAUGACUAUUUAUUUUUACACCAAAUGAAUCUAAUCAUAAGUGAAAUAAAAAAACAUGCAUAGCAACGAAAAUAACGUAUCACCUAUUUAUCGUUCUCGCUCAUAAAUCUAACAAAAUAAGUUUUUUCUAUUUAAACAAAAAAAUUUAGGAAAAAUUAGUAAACUAGUCAAAAUAAAUAACAUAUUUAGUAAAAAUAUCGAUACUUUAUAAAUAUUAGCAAUAAUGUCAAAAAUGUCAUUAUUUUAAAAAAUUUAUGUGUCCCAAUUUUUCUCCUAUUUUAUCUCUCUUUUUCAAUUAAUUCUAUAUAUCCUUUUUUUUAAAAAAAUAAAUUAUUCUCUCUCAUAUUUAUCUUUUCAAAUUGUUAAUUCUCUCUCCCAUUUAAUUUUUUUUUCUCUCUCAUGAUUAUUUUUUCUGAUUUUCCUCCUAUUGCAAAUAUUUUUCUGCCAUAUAUUUUGGUUGUUUUUUUAAUCCAAAAUUGGAUUAACAAGAAUCCCUUUGAUUAAGGUAUCUCUAAUUUUUAUCCUAUUUUCAGAUUUUUUUCUAAUUUUAUUUUUGUUUAAAUCUUAAAAAAAUGUUGUUUGUAUUUUUCAAUUUCCGUUAUGAUUUACUCUCCAAUGGCUGAAUCCAAGAGGCUUACUAGAGGUAUUCAUCUUAAUCAACCAAUUUCUGGCAAUUUUUCAUCCUUUAAUUUAUUUAUUACUUAACAAAUAGUGUAUAAUGUAUGAUUAGCUGCUAAAAUGAGGGAAGAAAGAGGAUAAGAACAUUUACAAGACUCAUUGGUGUGCAAAACCUUCCUCAAAUUCAAAACGCAAAUGUAGAAUCUUUGUCUACUCGUGAGGAUCUUGAAAAAGACGACGAAGAUCGGAUAGUUGUCGAACAAUUUUCUAUUAGUUUGUUUUGUAUUUAUAGUUCUUUUUUAGAAUUUGGUAUGCUUUCUCAAUUUGUAUUCAAAUCACUAUGUAUACUAUCAAUAUUUGUAUUUAUUAAAAAUUUCAUGUUGCAUGGGUUAUGAAUCUUGUAUUUGUCCCUAAUUUGUAUUCAUCCAAAUGUAUGUCAACUAGUUAUGUAUUUUAUUUAUAAUAAGAACAACUUUCUAUUAGUUUAUUUGUAUUCGAAUACAAAUACAAAUAAUAGACGUAUUGGAAUGAAUACGACUUAGAAAAGGAAACAAAAUUUUGAAAAGAAAAAUAAAUACACAGUGAAAAAUAUAUACGAAUACAAAUGUAUUUCUUAAAUAGCUACAUUUUAUUUGACAUACAUAUUGGAAUGAAUACAAACUAAUAAAGAAAUACAAGCUUCAUUAUACAAAAUACAACAUGAAAACUAGAAUGGAUACUAAUAAAAACGAUAUACAUAUUGGAAUAAUUACAAUUUAGGCAAGGAUACAAAAUUUUAAAAAAUAAAAUAAAUAACUGUGAGAAAAGUAUGACAAUUACAAAUAAAACUAUAGGUGUUCAAGUUUCUAAGUUAAAGAAUAAAUAAAUUUAAUUAAGAAAACUAUAAUGUAUUAUCAUAAAGUUUCAUAAUAAUAAUUAGUGAGAAUGAGAUAUUAUAUUUUUUUUAUCAUGAUUUUCAUAACAAUAAUUAGUGAAAAAUUGAUAUUGAAAUUUUAUAGAUGUGGUACUUCUUUAAUUCCGUGAUUUUUAUAACAAUAAUUAGUGAAAAUUGAAUAUUUAUUUUGGUUAAUAAAAGUGUUUAGAAACAAAAAAAAAAGAUUACCAGAAUUGAAUAUUGAUUUUUUUUAGAACAAUGGAGAAAAAAAAGAAUUCUUUAUAACAUGAUGAAAAAAAGAAGAAAUAGAUGAAAGUUGGUGUAUUUUAAUAAAUUGUAACUGAUGAAACUUUUAACAUUUGUUCCUUUUUAAAAAUAAUAAUCUCCCCUAAAUUCCUCUCAAUCGAUUAUAUAAAAAUUAUAUUUUUUUAAAAUAAAGAUACAUAACAAACUUAAAUUUUGACAUUUUUACUAAAUAUUGAAAGUGUUGUUAAUGAACCCUCUUAAAUGUUAAACUAUUGACAUUUUAAAAAAUUUCCCAAAAAUUUAUACAUUGGAUUCACAAAAGGCCCAUUAAGAAAUUAAAUUGAGCCCGUUUUACAUCCGGCAGCCAAUUUAGAUUACUAUUUAAGCUAUAGCCAGUUAAAUAAAAUUAUUUAACUUGUAGCCUUUUGACAAUUUUUUUUAAUUUUCAAUUUAAUUUUGAUUAGUUUCGAUUGAAAAGGGACAAAUGAAAUUGGCUUAUCGAAAUUAAUGAGGUAAUCAUGAGUGAAAUAAAAUGAAUGAAUUGUCGAAGUUCAUAUAAGAGUCUGAAGUUUUUGGACAUUCACUUAAAUUUGAAAUAAAAGUAUUUAAAUAUCUAAAAUUUAUUUGCACAAAUAAUAUAUUUUAUUUAAGAUAUUUUUAUCAUUAGUUUUCAGUCCCGUAUAUAUCUGAAGUUAGUUAACUUUAUAUGGAACCAUUUUUUUUAACUAAACAUGUUUUACACUAAUGGUAAUCACUAAAGUAGUAGUAGCUCUUAAUUAGGAAGUACGUAAAUCAUAAGAAAUUAAGAAAUCAAUUUUCAAACGUAUUUCUAUUUUUGAGAAAAGAAGUUUUCAGAAAGUAAAAUAAAUAAAGCAAAUUUCUUUUUCUAUAAUAAGUAAGAACAUUGAAAGGCACAAAUGAAAAUAGGUAGAACUAGAAAUCUGAAUACGAGUUCAAUCGAAUUAAUUUAGUAACUGUUGUUCAAAUAGCAUAUGUGUACUAAAAAAAUCAUUAAAUAUGUAUAAAUGUUAAGUUCUACUCUUACUCAGAUGUCUUGAGUUUGAAUUGUUAAAAGUUAAAAAAAAAAAAUAUUAAGACAAUCGCCCUCAGAAAAGAUCCUGUAAUACACCAAUUCAAAUUUAAUUAAUUGAGCAAAUUCAAAUUAAUUAAAAUCUACCAUAAAUAUCGACUACCAAUCGAAAAAUUCACAAUAAUAUUGAAAGAGACUCUGAAGAUCUUGAAAAUAAGAAGGGAGUUAGGUAUUAAGUACAAUUUUCUACCAAAGAAAUGAAAUUUCUUCAACAAAUAUAUAUGCCUUUUUCACAUUAACAAUGAUGGAUACUUCACACUUGUAAUGGUGACUAUUUUACUUUUAAACAAUAAUAAUUAAAUGCAUUGAUAUUAGGGAAUUGGGAUGUUAAUACUUUUUUAAUGAGAAAAUUAAUUUUAUUUAUAUAUUCAUGAUUGAAAAAUAUUAUUAUUGUUGACUUAUAUUUCGUAUCUAAUAAGUGUAUGAUAAAUACUCACUAAUUAUGUACCUACUUUGCACUAUAGAUCGACUAAAAUUUCUAAUUAAAGUUAAGCUCAGCAUCUCUCAUAAAUCAUUUGAUUGAAAUGUCCUUUUUUAUAUGCAUAAAUUUAUGUAUUAUUUUAUGUUGAAUAGAAUGUUAAAUAAAAAUAUUAAUAUUGCAAGAAUUAGAUUAUUUAAAGAUAAAAAUAUGUUGAAUUAAAGUAAGAAAUUCUUAUAUUACGAUUUCUACAUUAUUAAUUACCAUAUAUAACAAUCUACCUAUACCAUUCUUAUAUUACUACUAAUUACGAUUUCUAAAUAACUUGUUGCGAACAAAACGAUCUCAGAAACGUAAGGCUAAAACCUACAUCCUUGAAUCCCCUCUACCCCUAUCCCACCCUACCCCUACCCCCACUUCAAAUUUUAAAAGAUAAUUAAUAUAUAUAGAGCCAUCAAAAUGGGUUUGAUCCGCGAGGUCGGUCCGAUCCAAUCCUUAAAUUAAGUGGGGUUGGGCCUAAUUUUUUUUGGUCCACUUAGAAACGAGACUUUUUAAUCCAACCUCACUUGACCCGCUAGCCUCGUAGGCCCAACCCGCUAGCCUCAAAGGCCAGCUCGUGGGCUUUGAAUAUUUAAAAAUAUUAUAUAUAUUUAGUAGUGUUUUAUUUGUAAAUGUUUUAUCAAUAAAUAUGUUAAAAACAUAAAUAAUCAAGUCUUUUAAACUAGCUUGUUUUUUUGUGGGAGAAAUGGUUAAAUGAUCAAUAUUUUUCUGUUAAAUCUUACGUUGACUAUUAUGUAUUCUAGUAAGCAUUCACCGAAGUGUGAUAUUCAUAAAUGUAUUUCUACAAGUAUUCGCUGAAGUGUGUGAUUCAUAAAUGAAAAUUUGUAUGUAUUGAUGAUUAUUUAUAAUUGGUAUAUGAUUUUUUUAAUUCAGUUGGUUGCAUAUAAUGAAUAGUUUGACAUAUAGAUAAAAAUAUGAUGAUGAAUCUCUUUGCAAAGGAAGUUGGUAGAAAAAAAAAAGUGAAGCAUUUAGAGAUUAUUUUUUCACUGUGAAUUGUAUUAGCAACUUAGUUACUUUUGCUAGAGUUUUUUAAAUUUUGAUUUAAUAUAAAUAAUUUAGCUAAAUAUAUUAUAUUGUCAAUGCUAAUCAUUUGAUCCUUUAGUAUUCUAUUUUCUUUUUGCUAUGAAAAAAAUUAAUAUAAUUAUUUCAUUUUAACAACAAAAACGAAAUUGAUGAUGAUUAGUUUCAUUUUUAUUAUAAUUAUAAAAAGUAAUUGAAAAAUAAAAUAUUAUUUUCAUGAUGUCAUUUUUUGUGUAUGUAACAAUUUGUCACCAUUCUUUUUGCUUCGAAAUGUAUUUAUAAUUUUUAUGUAGUCACCAAUUAUUAUAUUUUCUCUGUUCAAUUUUUAUAUUUUCACCCCUUAUUUUAAUUUAUUUAUUUUACAAAUAAAAUCAAUACAUAAUUAGUAAUACAUUAUAGUCUAAUAAAAUUAUACAUAUUAACUAUUUAUAACUCAUGUCUCUUCAUCUUACUAGUAACAUUUGAUAUUAAAAAUUAUUCAUAACUUUUAUAUAUUUUAUUUUUCGAAAGUCUUACAAAUAUUAAAUUAAUGUUUAAAAAAUUACAAUAAGUAAAUGCAAUAAUAAAUUUAAAAAAAGAUCAAUUUUGUUUUGAUGAAAUCAGAAUUUGAACAAAACAUUAGUACGGCCUACAAAAGAUAUAGAAAAUUAUAACAUAUAAAAUAUUUUCACCCUAAUACAAUAUAUUGUUAUUUCAACAUAUUAUCUCUUAUUCCAUUUACUUCACUAUGGUAAAUAUUUUGUUAUAAUAUAUAUAUAUAUAUAUAUAUAUAUUAAAAGUCUAUAAAAAGCAUACAAGAAAAAAUAUUAAUAUUAUCUAUACAUUUGAUACUAACCUAAAUAUUACAUAUUUUAUGUUAUUAUCUUAUAAAUAUUUUAUAUAAUCGCGCAAAGCGCGAAUAAUUUCACCAGUUAAUUAAUAUAUCCAAAUUGAGAGUCUUUUUACUAAUAAGAAAAGCUAUUUUUGGACAAUUGUUUCGUGUAAGAUUUCAUAGAGUGAAUGAAUGAAAAAUGACAAGUGCAAUACAAGCAAGAUACCAUUUUGUUUGGAUGAAAAUAAAAAUAAUUAAAGUUAUAUAGUUUUAAAAUUGCUUAGCCAUGAAGAUAGAGUCAACACUAGCCAACUUGACUAAAAUCACAUUCGUCCCAUCAUAAAAAAUAAACAAUAUAUAUCUCGUUUGAUAUUAUACGUGAAAUUUGAGGAUCGAAGAAUAAAAUAUAUGUAAAUUUUAGCUUCGCAGAGUAUAAAGAUUAUUUUGAAAGAUUCAAGAUACGUUACUAAUACAAAAAUUAAUAUAUAGGAUGAAAAUAAAUUAGGAAAAAAAAUUAAUGGCAAACAUUAGUAAAUAUAGCCAAAGUACCCUAUGAUUAAAUUAUUAUUGGAAAAAGUUCCUUCUCAGAAAAUUAAUUAUUUUUUUUAUAAAAGGUGUAGUGAUGAAUUAGAUAAGAGCUACAUUUGAUUAAUUUUUUUUAAAAAAAAGUAAAUACUACCUUUUAUUUUCUCCAUUUUUUUAAAAUUAGUUUUUAUCAACUAUAAAAAUAGAUUGUAUUUAUUAUCAUAUGCCAAACAGUUGUACGCAUGUUCUACACAAAAAAAAAUCUGAAACAAAUAUUUGUUUUCUCACCGCUAAAAUAUUACAUUAUAAUUGCAAAAAUUAUUAAAUAGUCGAAAUUUACCCAAUAAUUGAAAAAUUAUUAAAUAGUUCAGAUUUACCCAAGUUAAUUAAAAAAUCAGUAAGAUAUUGCCUUUCAAGUACGUACUAUUUUUAUAGUUCAUUUUUUUUCUAAAUCAAAUUAGUGGGGUAUUAAUUAUAUGUGGUGUUUAAAGAUAGAUAAUAAUGAGUAAUUUAGACAAUGCACUCGUAAUUGGCAUAAUUAAAUAUUUUUUUAAAGAUGUAAAAAAACUUUUAGAAAUAUAUAACAUGAAUCGAAAUAAGUAUUAUAUUAUCUACUUGCACUAGCUCAUAUAUAUAUUUUAUAUUGGUCAUGGUUAUGAAAUCAAAUUUCUGUUGUUUUUGAGUAACGUAAUGACGUUAUAAUCGAUUGUUAUGAUUAUAAGUUCGAAUCAAGCUCGAAGAAAUCUGGUCGAUUUGAUUUUUUUAAAAUUUUGAAAUAAAGGGAUAUAAUUUGCUUAUUUUUAUUUCCAUUGCACAUAUUCUAUUAUGUGUGAUUAAAAACUCACCAUCAAUGAAUUAAUUUAAAUUUAAUCAAUAUAUAUAUUAAUUUUUUGUAUAUAAAAUACUUUUUAUUAAAAAUAAUUUCAUGAUCAGAAUUCGAACUCGAGAACAAGUUAAUUACCGUAGACGCUAGACAGCAAUGCCAUACAAUUAUUUUAGUCUGAGCUCAUGACUAACGUGAUCUUUUCAUGCCAUGUGAUCAUUUACUGCCACCAAAUAUUAAAUUUAUUCAGUGGGUUCAAUUUUUCAUAUUUUUUUCAAAUAAAUUAAUAUACUUUUCAUCUAUUUAUGUACAUUUUGUACAAAAAAGAAAAAUGAACCUGUUUGAUUAAUAAGGGGAAUUAAGUAGUUGCGAUAUUAAAUUAAUUCGCACCCAAUGGCAAAAUACUAUUCAUAGGGCUUAUUAACUAUUAAUGUUUGAAAAUAGAAGGUUAUAAUUAUAUAGGGUUAAAAUACUUUUUUCUGAUGGCGUCAUCAAUAAAUUUAUAAAAAAUUAAUUUUUAUAUUUAAAUAAAGUUAUAUAAUACUAAUUCGAUUAUUUCAAUUUUUUAGUAUUAAAUAAAUUUGAAGAAGUUAAAUUAAUAAAUAAAUGAAUUAUUCAAUCUCAAUCGAUUCAAUUUUUUUUUAUAGACUGAUCUUUUCACCCAUAUUAAUCUCUAAUAUACAAACUAAAAAAUACAGGUUGUCUUGGAAAUAAAUUAAAAGUGAAGAAAAAUAUAAAAAAAAGUGCAAAGCAUUUUUGCAACUCUCCAAUUGGUACACAAAAAGAAAAAUAAUAAUUGGUGAUUCUCUUUAUUUUAGCACCAGAAAGUCACUGUGUGUUUGCUGGAAAAGGUCAAAAAAAAGAAGAAGCAAAUAAAUAAAUAAAUAAACCAGAAAUAAAUUAAGUUUGGUAAUUUUGAUAUAUAACUAUGUGCAAUUACUUCUUACAUUAUUAAAAAAAGUGCAAACUACAUGAGGAUAUUAUUUGAGAAAAAUUGUCACAAGUAAUAUUUGUCGAUUUUUUUGGAAAAAAUUUAAGUUUCUUAAUAUAAAAAUAUAUUAUCUGCGAGAUAUAUAUUGCCAACAAAAUUAGCUCAUUUUGCGCAAAAUGAGUUCCCACGAUAUUACCUAGGAAAAUAUAUCGCGGGAAUAAUAUCUCUAGGUAAAUCCCUAGCUACGUGGACCUAAAAGAAAAUUUAAAAUUCCUUUUUAAUUUGUAGGAAAAUUAAAGGUUAUUUAAAAAUUAUUUUUAGAGAUUUAAGAAUGAUUAGACCAAUUAUCUUUUAAAUGGUUGAAUUCUUUUUCACUUAUAAAUGUUUGGAUUAUAACCAAUUAAAACUCACUUAAAAUUUUAGAAAUUAGAAAAUAAUUAUAAGACCAAUUAAAAAUUUAUUUUGCUUCACGCUAACCCACUAAACUAGAUGAAAGAAAUUUCACUGCUGUUUUCAUCUCCAAAGUUAAAGACGAAAACAAAUCGAAUUUUUCAUCUCAAAGAUCUUAUCGAUGGAAGAAUUUCAUCUCAAAGGUCCCAUGCGAACCUUAUGUUUCUCUCCAGACGAAUUUUUUCAAUGUAGAGUACUGCAGAUCCAGAAGAUUUGCUUGUCAAUCUACCAACAUAUAUAUGUAUUUGUACAUAUAUACCAAAGCAGUGAUUUGAUAGAUUGACCUCGCUUUUUUGGUAGAUUGACAAGCAAAUCUUCUGGAUCUGUAGUACUCUACUUCGAAAAAAUUCACUUAGAGAAGCAUGAGGUUCGCUUCGGAGCUUUAAGAUGAAACUUCUUCCACCGAUUGGAGUUUUGAGAUGAAAAAUUCGAUUAUUUUCGCCUUAGCUUUGGAGAUGAAAACAGUAGUGAAACUUCUUCCACAACAUUCGAGUUUUGGAGAGAAGCUUCUAGUUUAGUGGGUUAGAGUGAAGCAAAAUGAAUUUUUAAUUGGUCUUGUGAUUAUUUUUCAAUUUCUAAAAUUUGAAGUGAGUUUUUUAUUGGUUAUAAUCAAUUAAAUUAUAAGUAAGUGUAAAAGAAUUCAACCAUUUUAAAGAUAAUCGGUCUAAUUAUUUUUAAAUCCCUCAAAAUGAUUUUUUAAACAACCUGAAAAUUUCCUACAAAUUAAUUAAGCACGUUAUAAACUAAAGUUGAUAUUUUAUAAACUUGUUAGGCCUUAGUUAUAAAAUAUGUAUUAGUAUUCAUAAACUUUCCAUCCAUUUCAUUUUAAUGGUUGCUUUAGUUGAUAAAACUAUUUCGUUUCAUUUUAAACAUCGCUUUAAUUUAAAAAAUUUAUCUCAAAAUAAUUAUUAUUUCAGAAAUUCAAAAUUUAAAUUGACAAUUGUUUCCAACUAUACCCUUAAAAUGAAAGAAGCACUCAAUUCUUUUUAACACUACUUAAUUUAAAAAAUAAAUCUAAUAAAUAAGGAUAAUUUAAUAAAUUAUACUUGUAUACAUUUUACAUUUUAAAUGUUAAAAAGCUAAGACGAUAACUAAUAUAAAAUGAAGUAAGUAAAUAAUAUAUAUUCAAAUUGACUACUAUUUUUUUUCUUAAAUACAUUAAUAAUGUAGCAUAAUAGAAAAAAACUUUUGGGUGUAAUUAAUUAAUUACACAUAAAUAAUUAGGUAUGAAAAGGGAAGUUCAAAACUUUUAUGAAGGCUUUUAAGAACCUUUUGGUUCUUAAUUUUUACCCCUUCUGUCUCAAUUAUCAAUCACAAUUUUUAAAAAUAAUAAUUUUGAAUUAUUUAUCAUUUCAAAAGUUUAAAAAAAAAAUAAUUUUAUUUAUCCUUAAUAUCUUAAUACAUAAUAAAGGAAAAAUUAGCAAAAUUAUUUUUAAAUAAUAAUUUUUUUAAUAAAUAUAUAUAAAAAAUACGAUAAAUAAUUGAAGACAGAUAAAUAAUAGAAAUCAAGAAGCUAUAUAUUAGCAUCUUAGCUGAAAACCAUCAAAAAUUAAAUUUUAAGUUAUAAUUCAAAUUGAUGAAGCUUUAAACAAAAGCCACUACUGCUGUCAAUUUUAGAACCCAAAAUUAAUUUUAUUUCGCCAACAAACUCAAAAUCACAUAAAUUUAUUAAUAUACCCCCAUUAGGCAUACACAAUAUUACUUUAAAAAAAUAGUUGUCAAAUUAAAUAAUUUUAAUGUCUAUAUACUAAUAAUGUACACAACUUUUUUAUACAAUUAAUGUAGUUUUAACUUUUGUGCUAGUAAGUCAAUCACCGUUCACACGAAUGUGAAUGUAGCUGAUUCAUUUGAAUUCACUAUUUUUAGGUGCAAUAUAAAUUUAAUAAAAUUCACUAAAAUUAUAUAAAAGCUCACUUAAUUAAAAUUACAAUAAGGUCAAUGCUAAUGACCAUAAAAUACUAAAUCAAAUUCAGAAUUUACUUAUGCAUUUAUAUUGGAUUACCUAGCUAUUAAUAUUUAUAAAAAAAUGUUGAAUAGUAAUUAUUUUGAGCGAGUAAUUUGAUUGUGUAAGUAAUUUAUUUGACUGACGUUGCGUAUAACUUAAACAAUUUGACUGAGAAAUUCUAACAUUUAAUGCAAAAUGAAAGAAAACACUACUUCAAUUCAAUUAUGGACAGACAAUUUUUUGAAUUCAACAUUGAAUUAGAGUAUGGACCAAGGAAAUAAUAUUUGACCAUGUUGUCUGAAAGCAAAAUGGUUUUGUUUCAAAUUAAGAUGAAAAUUGUUUUCUUAUGAUGAAGAGAUAAAAGUGUCAUUAAAAAACAGGUUCUCAUUAUUAUGUAUGAAUCCCAACUCUGAAUGUGGCAAACGGGUAGUAGUUGAAGCAAAUUAAUGCAAAAAUAUAUAAUCAAUGCAAGAGCAAGAAAUGUCAAGUUUUCUAGCAAGUAUAUAAUGCCCUUUGGAUCUUGAUGCCAUUUGCUCAAAUUAGUUGUUUGAAGAACAGAAAAAUAAAUAAAUAUAGGGUCACAUACAAUUCAAAAUUUUUACUCUUUGAAGAUGAUAAGUGAGGGAGUGAUGAGGGUAGGGGUGUUAGCAUUAUUUUGUUUUUAUGUUCUUGUGGGGAGUGUGGCUUUAGCUAGAAAUGUGAAAGAUUUCGAGGAUGAGAAGUUUUUUACUAUUGGUGAGGGAGGGGGACUUGGUGGUGGUUUUGGUGCAGGUGGAGGUUCUGGCAGUGCAGGUGGUGGAGGGUAUGGUGGAGGCGGAGGAGGUGGUUAUGGUGGCGGUGGUAUAGGUGGUGGGUUUGGAAAAGGUGGUGGAAUUGGGGGUGGUGCAGGAGGCGGGGGUGGAAUAGGUGGAGGAAUUGGGGGUGGUGCGGGAGGCGGAGGAGGAAUAGGUGGAGGCAUUGGCAAAGGUGGUGGCAUUGGAGGAGGAGUUGGUGGCGGUGCAGGAGGUGGGGGCGGAAUAGGUGGUGGCAUUGGAGGUGGAGCUGGUGGUGGGGGAGGAAUAGGUGGAGGCAUUGGUAAAGGUGGUGGAAUUGGAGGUGGAGCUGGUGGUGGGGGAGGAAUAGGUGGAGGCGUUGGUAAAGGUGGUGGUAUUGGAGGAGGAGCUGGUGGUGGUGCAGGAGGCGGGGGAGGAAUAGGUGGAGGCGUUGGAGGUGGAGCUGGUGGUGGGGGAGGAAUCGGUAAAGGUGGUGGCAUCGGUGGAGGAGCUGGUGGUGGGGGAGGAAUCGGUAAAGGUGGUGGCAUCGGUGGAGGAGCUGGUGGUGGUGCAGGAGGUGGGGGUGGAAUAGGUGGAGGCAUUGGUAAAGGUGGUGGUAUCGGAGGAGGAGCUGGUGGUGGUGCAGGAGGCGGGGGUGGAAUAGGUGGAGGCGUUGGAGGUGGAGCUGGUGGCGGCGGAGGAAUCGGUAAAGGUGGUGGCAUCGGAGGAGGAGCUGGUGGCGGUGCAGGAGGUGGGGGAGGAAUAGGUGGAGGUGUUGGUAAAGGUGGUGGCAUUGGAGGUGGAACGGGUGGUGGUGCAGGAGGUGGUAUUGGUGGGGGAGCUGGAGGUGGAAAAGGAGGAGGAAUUGGUGGUGGUGCUGGUGGAGGAGCCGGUGGUGGUAUAGGAGGAGGCAUCGGUGGAGGAGUUGGAGGUGGUGCAGGAGGAGGUAUUGGAAAAGGUGGUGGCAUAGGUGGAGGAGCCGGAGGUGGUGCUGGAGGCGGCUUUGGUAAAGGUGGUGGCAUAGGAGGUGGUAUUGGCAAAGGUGGCGGCAUUGGUGGAGGAGUUGGGGGUGGUGCUGGAGGUGGAAUUGGCAAAGGUGGAGGCAUUGGAGGUGGCGUAGGCGGAGGUGCCGGUGGUGGUGUAGGAGGAGGAAUUGGCAAAGGUGGUGGUAUUGGUGGUGGUGCAGGAGGAGGAGUUGGUGCUGGCAUUGGUGGAGGAGCCGGUGGUGGUGGAGGAGGAGUUGGUGGUGGCGUCGGAGGAGGUGUCGGUGGUGGUGCAGGAGGAGGAGUUGGUGCUGGCAUUGGUGGAGGUGCCGGUGGUGGUGGUGGUGGUGGAGGAGGAGUUGGUGGUGGCGUCGGAGGAGGUGCCGGUGGUGGUGGUGGUGGAGGAGGAGGAGGAGGGGGAGGAGUUGGUGGUGGCGUCGGAGGAGGUGUUGGUGGUGGUGCAGGAGGAGGAGUUGGUGGUGGCAUCGGAGGUGGCGGUGGCGGUGGAGGUGGAGGAGGAGGAGGAGUUGGUGGUGGCAUUGGCGGAGGUGUUGGUGGUGGUGUAGGAGGAGGAAUUGGCAAAGGUGGCGGCAUCGGAUUUGGUGGUGGUGGUGGCGGAGGAGGAGGAAUCGGUGGCAUUGGAGGAGGUGCCGGUGGUGGAUUUGGAGGCGGAUUUGGUGUAGGAGGUAGUUUAGGUGCAGGUAUCGGAGGUGGUUUUGGUGGAGGAGGUGGUGGUGGAAUUGGAGGAGGUUACUAAAUAUCCUUAAACACCAAAUUAAGCUGCUGCAUUGUUAUUAUUAUCAUUCUAUUUUCAGAAUUGUAAUUCAUUAAUAUUACAUGUAAUGAACUGAAAUUCCUACAUCAAUUCUAUUCAUUAUUAAAUGGAUACUAUGUAAUAUUAUUUUCCUUUAUAAAGACCCUAAUUAACAAUAUCCAUCAAAUUUAUGAAACUGAAAUAUACAAUAUUUAAUGUGCAAGAAAUUAAACAUGAGGCAAAAAUGAACAUAAACUAUAUUAUAUAGCAAAAAAUAGCUAAUAAUAUACACUAUGAACAUAGAGUAUCUUUUAAUAAAAUCUGUAUAAAUUGUUGAAUUUUCUUAACACAAUUUUGAUAUUUCUUUUUUAAAAAAGUAAAAAAAAUAUAACACCUAUAAUUCAAAUUCUCAACCGCAAAAUCUAAUUUUUGAGUCACCAUUGGCGUUUGGCAUUGCACAAUAAAAGUUCUACUACCAAAGACAAAGAGAUUCAAUAAUAUUUUAUGAUUAUUUUUAACUCGAUGUAUAAUAUCCAAAAUUCAUUUUCUAAAAAAAGAUAACUUAAUAAAUAUUUCAUUUGAAUUGGCUCGAAAAUAAUCAAAAGAAAGAGAUAAUAGCCAAAAUUAUAUUUGAAUAAUCUACGAAUUUCAUAUCUAAUUAGUAUCAUUUUGUUCUCUUUUCAACUUUUUCAACCUGAAUUAAGUUUUAAUGCAUAGAUAAUGAAGUUCAGAAAUGAGAAAAGAACAAUUAAUAUCUAGAGGAUAAAAUUCACCAAAUAAUAAUAAUAACUCAAAUGUGAGUUUUAUUAUAAUCCUUAUAAGAAAAAAAAAUACGUAUAAAGUGAGUUAAGAAAUAUGAAAUCUCACGUCUAAUAAACAUCAAAUAAUUUCUUUCCAUACUUUAAUAAAUAGAAUUACGUGAUAAUUAUAUUAACAGAUAAAAUUAAUUGUAUUGCUCGUAGACGUAGACGAUCACACGAGAUACCGUGAUUAUAAAAGUAAAAAAAAAAAGGUUAGAGCCCUAAAACCCCUUUUAAACCCUUUACAUUUCUAGGACUGUGGAGUUCCCAUUUUCAUUGCAAACAAAAUCUCUGUUAUCAAAAGGUAAAAUUACUAAUACAAAAUUCUAUCUUCUGUAAAUCCCUUUUAAUUCAUACCUCUCCAUGUAUUCAAAAAAUGGUAGAAAUUAACAAAUAAUUUUUUUUUUUAAAUAAAAAAGAGAGAAAAGAUUACAGCUUUUCUUCUCCUUCAAUUUGGGGUUGUUUGUUCUUGUUGUUCUUUUUUUUUUUUUUUGUGGUUAAUGGUUAGUAUAUUGAAGCAGUAAAUUGUGGUUGGUUUCAGAUUUUAACUAAUAUAUUCAAGAUUGCUUCUUUUUCUGUUUUUUUUUUAAGAAUCAAGAAUGUAAGUGAACAUGUUAAAAAUUUGUUCUUUUUUCCAGGUUAUUGUCAUUUUGUGCAAAAGGGGGGUGUUUUUCUAAUCUAUAAGAGUUGUUCUGGUGAUUUAUUGAGUUGGAAAAUGCCGGAUAUUGAGAGACUUGUGAAUGAUUUUGUUGCAAAGCUCAGCAAACGGUUAGUACUGCAGUUAUAGGAAUUAUCUGGAAGUAUCACUUGUUUGAUUUGAUUGGCUAAUAUGGUUAUCUGCUUUUCUGUUUUUGAAUGAUAGUAAGGUUGAAGGUUCACAAGCAACUUCGCGGCUAACAGCAGAGUUGCUUCGUUCUGUAGUUUCGUUGCAGAGAUUGCCACCUACUAACUCAGCUGCAGUGCUCAUUGAGGCUGUGAGAGGUAUAGGUGUUAAAUUGGUUGCUGCCAACCCCGUUGGUAAGCGUUUUAUCCGCUAAUACAUGAAUGAGGAUCUGCUUGUAGUUAUUUUGAUGUUCUAGAAUGGAAUUUAUUUUUUGAAGUAGUUAAUGAGUUAUUCAAUCCUGGUUAGUAGUGGGAAAUUUGGAUGCUGGAGAUGUUUUUUAAGCAUAUAGUUUGGGACAGGACAUUUGUCUCUGUUAUGCAAUCUUCUUGUGUUCCAAAUGAAUUCAAUGAUAUAUUUGCUUCGUGUCUAGUUUGAUACCAGUUGCUUCACUUGCUCGAAAUAUAGAAAAAUUUGGAUAUAUCUGAUUAACUAGUUGUGUUAACUUUGUUUACUAGUCAUGUGUAGGAGUAGGACUUAUUUGAUCUAUGGUUUAGUGUAAGUCAUUAACUGCAGCUGCCGCUCCAUUUGUUUGUUUCAUUUUUGAACUCGAAUUCUGCUAACAUGUAGUGCUAUACAUUUUUUUUGUUGAACUGGUAACACCUUCGUAUUAAAAUCAUAAAAAGGCUGUGAAAGCCAUAAUUAAGGAGAAAGUGAAGCAAAAUAUAAACUGUGAGUUCCCAGUGAAAUGAUUUGAGUGUGUUGAGGAAUUCAGUGAAUCCGUCUACCUCCCAAUCAUUUAGGAGUCUCCUGAAACUGAAGUUCCAGCCUUGAUUGCUCCAAACUUCACUAAUGUUAACCCUUUGUUGUUGAUUUAAAAUGAAAACAUACGGAUAUAAGAGUUUGAAAGAGCUAUCUCCUAUACAGUUGUCCUCCCAAAAGGAUGUUUCAAGCCGAUUACCAAUUUUUAGUGCUUAUCUUGCUGCUGAAAAUUUGCCAGAGAUUUCUGAUAGUCUUCUGGACACUGACCCCGUACACAAUGUUGACUGAUUUUGUCUUCUAUGGUCUUCAUCUCCGUAUUUGAUCACCUUCUUCUACAAAGAUUGAUCUUUGUUGGAGUAUCUCCAUAAUCUCUUUAUGAGCAGACUUUAGUUCUGCUUUCAAAGUUUUUUUAUACCUACUCCUCCUUGCUUUUUAACGAGGGUAAGAGUUUUCCACUUCACAAGGUGGAAGCCUCUUCUUCCCUUGCCAUAAAAGUUUCCUUGUUACUCUCCUCCCUCUGUCAAAGCUAAGACAUAUACAUCUGCUAUGAUAGCAUUUGCACACAUGCACAUAUAGGGAGAGGGGGAGAAGAGAGAGAGGUGGUGCCCUAGUUCCGAUUUAUUCCAGCGUGUUGGGUGUCCUUCUGCACAUUUUCUUUGGCAUGAACCCCAUUUCUCAUUAUUUGUCAGUCCACUUACUAAAGGAUGUGUACAUAUAUGUAAAAGGGCUCGGUGCACGAACAUCCUGCGUCCACGCAGGGUCCGGGAAAUGUCACAUCUGAAGGUGUAGUGUAGGAAGCUAUCUUGAUGCAAGCAUCCGUCACUAAUUUCACUGCUUGAACCCAUUGAUUUCAAUGCAAGGAUUGUCAACAGACUUCACAUUGAGAACUUAUAGUAAAUUAAUGACCUCUGAAUUCUGAUAGCACUCUAGAUUAAGUAAUCAUAUUUGUUUAUGCCAAGAAUGAUAUGACCAAAAUUUGAUGAAAUUGCAGAGCUUGCUGUUGGAAAUAUUGUUAGGCGUGUUCUUCAUAUUAUCCGGGAGGAGGAUCUUUCUCUUUUGACCAGUAAAACAAGCGACUUAGAUUUAUCAGCUGCAAGUGAUGAUGAACGAACCAUAGACCAGGAUUAUGACCCAACUCAGUCUGCUGCCGCAGCUGCAGCUAAAAGUUUUCUACGGCCUCCUUCAUUGCAUGCACUUCUGGAGAAUAUGUUGGAUAAAGCUGUACCGACUAACAAUUACACCUCCUCUUCAGGUGGAGAUACUGAAGAGAAAAGUAAAGGUAAACGCUCCUGUGCACAUGAAUUUGAAGCAAUCUAGUCAUUUUUUAGUUUCAGUACUGAAUUAUCUGUUAUUCUGUGCUGUAGCUGAUAAACUUGCCAGGACUCGGAAGUUAAAGCAUGAUGUUAUUGAGGCAAUUAACAUAUUAAUUGAAGAUAUUGAUACUUGUCAUGAGCUGAUCGCGGAACAGGCAGUUGAGCAUAUUCACCAAAAGUAUUUACCUUUCGCACGUACUGGAAAAUAUGUCUUUAUUUUGUUAUGCACACUACAGAUUUCAAGUAACAUUGUAGCAUGAUUUGAACACAUGCAAUGGAUAUUGUCAUUUCACUGUUCCCCAUUGUUUGUUGUUCAAGGGGAUUCCCUUUGCAGUUCAAAAAAAUUGUGAUAGGUUACUCAGGACUCACAGCUUGGGUGCGAGGAAAAUGCCACUUCCCUUGAUGGAUAGACAUUUUAUCUGAUAAAUUAACACAUUUUGUUAAUCAAUGACAAAUCUACUGUUCCAACCUUGCUGUGAAAAUGACAAAGAUAAGCUUGUAGCUUAAUUUGCAGUUGCUGUCCUUCUUUACAUUGCUCCGGGGUGAUAUAGUUACGAUUAUAAUUGUAAUGCAAAUGCUUUUUUUUGUUUUAACUUUCACCUCUAAUUUAUUUAUUUGUUCUUUUUCACUCACUUUUGUGGGCAUAUAGCUGCAUAGUUGUGGCGAAUGUAUUUUUUCAAAUCAAAAUGCUAUAGCUAAUUAAAAAAUGCAAUUUUUUCAGUGAAGUAAUACUAACACUAGGUAGUUCGAGAACUGCCUUUGAAUUCCUCUGUGCUGCAAAAGAGAAAAAACGGUCUUUUCAUGUGGUUGUUGCAGAGGGCGCACCGAGGUUUGUGGAGUAUUCUCUAAUUUCCGGGAAAUAAAUGAAACAUGAACCUUCUUUUUCAUUGUAACUAAAAUAUAUCCCCUCUUUGUUUGUGCUUGAUCAGGUACCAGGGGCAUGCUCUUGCAAAAGAGUUGGUGUCAAGAGGUCUACAAACUAUAGUUGUAACAGAUUCUGCUGUUUUUGCAAUGAUUUCUAGAGUAAAUAUGGUAACUUUCUGGAUUGGCUCUUUUAUGUGUAGUACCAAUCUGUAACCUUGUUCUGCUGCUUCGGCUACCUGUGCUCAGAACCGUAACCUUGUUCUGUAGGUUAUAGUGGGAGUUCAUGCAGUGAUGGCCAAUGGUGGUGUCAUUGCACCUGUUGGAAUGAAUAUGGUUGCACUUGCCGCUCAAAAGCAUGCUGUUCCAUUUGUCGUAGUUGCUGGCAUUCACAAGGUAUCUGAGCUUUAUUAUCUCUACAUAUUACUCCCUCCAUUUAAAUUUGUUUGUCUUAGUUUCCUUCUUAGUUUGUUUCAAAACGAAUUCCUCUUUCCUUUCUUGGCAACUUCUUGAUUCGAACUUUCCACAUGACAUAUUUAAGGACACGAAGUUGAAGGGCAUUUUGGUACAUUCCAAAGUCUUCUUUACUUUCUUAGGGAGUUCUUUUUUCCUUACCCAUCCCCAUGACACCCACCCUUUUGCUCCUUUGGUGACUCAAACCCACAAUCUUAGGGUUGGAGGUGAGAGGGGCUUACCAUCCAUGCAACUCCUGAGUCUGCAAUGGAGGGACUAACUAUCAAAAAGGUAUUAUUAAGGUGGGUGGGCGGAGGUGGGGGUGGGGGGGUGGAGAGAGAGAGGUCAUGAGAACUAUCAACUUGUACAGUCCAAACCGUUUAAGUGGCUAUUCUCUCAGCUCUUACUAUUGGCGAUUUUUAUACAUCUUGCUGAUUAUCAUUCUCAAUUUAGAAGGCUCUGAUAACAUGAGAAGAACUCAGCUUUUCAGGUUUACUAUGAUGUUCAGAACCUUUAAAAAUGGUGUAUAAUGUUGAUGUAAGGCUUUGCAGAUCCUUGAAUCCAUUUUGAGUUGACCAUAAAGUUAUCCUUUUUACACUUGCCACUUCAGCAGCAAACUCUUUUUCUACUUUUUCUUGCAGUUAUCAUUAGUUAGUCCGUUUAACUAUUUUCUUUCUGCUACAGUUGUGCCCUUCUUAUCCACACAAUCCAGAGGUUUGUCUGAAUGACAUGCGAUCCCCUGCUGAACUUCUCGAAUUCGGGCUAUUUUCAAACUGCAUGGAAUUUGGAAUGGAUAGUGGGGCUCCUCUUCAAGUUGUCAACCCUGGUUUUGAUUAUGUGGCACCCGAGCUUGUCAGCCUUCUCAUCACCGACAUGUGAGGAUUCUUUACCAUUUUCAACUUUUUAUUCGUCUUUGCAACAACGAUGUCUCAAUCCCGAGCUAAUUUUGGCUUGCACAUAACAAAGCAGCGUGGAUAAUACAGUUCUACAUUGUAUCCUCUACUAAUAUACGGGAAUCUUUUAUUUUGUUAUGUUUAGUAUGCACCAUUCAGUAUGAUGAAGUUCAGUUUACUUUUCAAAGAAAAAGACUACUGCGUUUUAACUCCACCAUAGUUUAUAGUGCAUAAAAUAAACUACUAAAAAAAUCGAGUCAAGGUUUUACAUGCAAAAGUUUGGUGUAUUUGGACUUAGAUAGGCUGAAGGGAGCAACAUGGACCAUGAGGAUUCAUGUAGCCGACCCCACGUUGCUUGGGAUUGAGGUUUAGUGGUUGUUGUGUUUAAGAGGGCGUGCAAUGGGAAUUCGUAAUGUAUUAUUUUGCCACUUUAUGAGUUAAUAAGCAGUUUUAUGAUAAUAAUACUUCUUGCAUCUUUCUGAUUUACAGUGGAGGGCAUAACCCGUCAUAUAUGUAUCGUCUCAUAUCGGACUACUACACAGCUGAUGAUUUUGAUUUGCAAGGGAGGAUACAUAAAUGAAGGUGAUACUUCCUUUAAAUUCUGGUUUUGACUUCGAAAUAAUCUUUCUGAACAUUGAACAUGUUUGUUGGCCAUUUUUAGGAGAAAAAAUUGACUGCUUCAGCAAUUAAAGCUACUUUUAUUAUUUAACCAUGGUUAAAUUGCCAUCCUCUGUACAUAAUGUCAAAUAAAAAUAUAAGAAAAUGAGGAUCUUUUGAUAAAGCGUCGAUAUACACAUCAGAAUCUAUAGCAUAGCAAGAACUAUAAAGAAGGAAAGAAAAGCAAAACAAAGUUUUAUCUCAAUUUCAGACUACUGCACUUCCUGGCCUUGGAUUAACUUGAUUCAGUGCUUAUAUUGGGUGCGAGUAAGUUUUUACCUUCCUGAAAUCAAUCUUUGUUGGCGAGUUACUAUGUAUCUUUAGUCUAUUAGACUCUUACUACGACCACACAAAAACUUUUAUGAUUGUUGCUUUGAUCAGUUUUUUUUGUUUAUGCAGAAAGUAUAUUGAACUCCUUACUGAAUUUAAGCAAUACAUGCUGAUUUCAGGUAUCUUUUGGAGAGCUGUAGUUGACUGAUGAAGAGAAGUGGCAACCAAAAAAUCAAAUGGAACGUGUUUGUUAUCCACUUUGUUGGAUAGCUAUAAAUGAGCUUUUUAGCAUAAACACUUUCUGAACAUUCUGUACUUUGUUCAGACUAUGUUUUGACUUGUUUAAUGUAUUGUAAUGUGUCAAAGGUGGUGAUAUUAGUUUGUUUCGUUCUUGUUAUGGGUGAAUGUUUAGAUGAACUUUACCUCUUGAAUUACAUGUAUCCUCUAUGCAUUUGUCUCUUGAAUGUAAAGGUUAAACGAGUAUCGCGCACACACAAAUAUGGACCUUUGAUUCCCUUUUUUUGGUUGUGCAUAACCACUCUUAAGAAGCUCAUAGAGGGACCAAAAAACACCUUUCGUUUUUCACCCCUAGUCCGCGACUAAGUGGGAAUUAUCUGAACUUCAGAAGCAGUGUCACUAUCACAGGGUUUAUUAGUGAACAGCCUGCAUUUCCAGGCUAAACUGUUCUUUUCUUGAGAUAUGAGAGAAUGAUGUUGAUAUUCAUUGAAAGUAGGUGAUCAAGAUAUGCUUGGAGAGUAAUAUCAUGAAAACAUAUAACUACAAAUCAACAAGCAAUGCCAAAAAAUAAAGUUAUGGUUUUUGAGGGCAUCAAAAUUAGUGUCCAAACAAAUAUGCUAUCAGGUUCCAGGUUCUACUUCUUGCUGAGAUCAAUCCCAGCUUUCUUGGCUACAGCAUCAAGUCCAUUUUUCUCAAUGGUCUUUAUGGCCUUUGUUGACAACCUCAGUUUCACGAAUCGUUUGCCUUCCUCCCACCAAAUUCUCUUGUAUUGAAGGUUUACGAAUUGCAACUUUUUCGUUUUGUGGUUUGAAUGAGAGACCUUGUUUGCCCUGUUGGACUUCUUGCCAGUGAAGGGGCAUACUCUACCUGAAAAAACAGAAUGUAUUCUCUUAAUAUUCUAUACGCUACUUAUCAUAAAGAGGCGCCAAGAUAUUCGAGCACAACCGACAAAAAUGCAGGAAAGCAGGGGGGGAAAGGAAAGAUCAUGAUGAUGUAAGGCAAAGGAUGCUUCACUGGGAAUAUUUGAUUACUCUUGUCCCUAAUUUGUUUUAUUUUACCUAUUAGCUCAAAGGCUUUAAGUAGUUUUGGACUAAAAAAACAAAGGAAUUCAGGAUGCAGUUUGACAAAUGCAGCAACUUAGAAAGGGAGUCAAAGCAAGCAAGAGUGUCAGUGAUAUAGUGCUCCUAAUGACUCUCAUAAUGUGCUUUCUGAUUAGUAAACUAAAGCUUCAUCAGUGAUCUAAAAGCCAAAUACUCUGCCAUUACUGGAUUUCACAAAAGGUAAGUCAACCCUUUACAAUUUGUUGUCAUACAAUGAGAACGAAUUAAACCAAGCUGUUAUCAUCAUAUUCAAAAUAUAAUGUACACCAGAGGGGCGAACACACCGAAGAUUCAAGUUCUGUAGAUUUUUCCUUCCAAAUCUGCAGCUAACACACUCUCUCAGCCUCUCAUUAUUGGUUUCGUCUUCUUUUUAACUAGUUUGGUCACUUGUAAUAAGGACACAGGUGGGUAAAUAAAUAUUAAAAAAUGCAGAAGGUGAAUUUGAGAGGUAAAUGGAUUUACAUAUUCUUGAUAGCGAGAAAUCUACUUUCAUAAGCUUUGAAUCUCAUAAAGCUUUUAUUUCACUAUUAGGCUGCAAGUUUCAUGGAGAGAAGAAUAGGCAGAUGGAAAUCCUGCUCAUUAUCAAGAGAGGUGAAAGCAAGAAAAUGAAGCUCCCUUUAGGCUGCAGUCAGUUUUUAAUGAGACCUAAAAGGCCUCGACAAGAAUUAUAAUAUCUUCUCAUGCAUAUAGUAUUUCUUUUGCAGCUUUGUCUAUGAAUUGCAGCAAAGGAAUGCAAACUUUGUUAACCAAAAAACUGUUGAUACCAUCUAUAUAAGAAAUUUAUCAUGAAAUAAUUUAUAAUUCUUCACUUGGACAAUCUGUUAUGCCUUAAAUAUCGGCAAUCCUUAAGUCAGAGAACAAAGAGCCAAGGAGGAAAAAUUAGGGAUCAUUCAGUAUAUGAAGACAACUAUGGACAAACUUCCAAACUAUAUACCGUAUUUUAUUGAUCUUGUUGUUAUUAAUGCAGUUAACGCGGCAGCUCCCUUUAAUCAAUAUGCUGUAGUCCAUCAAGCUCUUCCCAGUUUGUUAAUUUUGCACAUGGUGAGGUUGUCCUAUCCCUAUUUCUUGCGACUGUAGACAGACUUUUAAACCCCUGGAAUGAUGACACCCCUUUAAUCUCUCCUCUUGAAGUUAUAUAAGAAGUUGUUUAGAUAGUAAACUAUAAUAUGGUUUUUAAUCAUUGAUUAUCAUAUGUAACUUAAUAAUAUGUGAUUAAUGUCAAGUGCUCAGCUUACCAUACCACAGAUUUCAAGAAAACAAUAUAUUUAGUUUGCAAAUUGCAACUGAAUCAAACUUUUUCCAACUUUGGCUAUGUCUUCAGAUCCUCCACAUUGUAAGGGAUAAUUUUCAUCCCAUAUCAGCAAUACUAACUUUCACUUGGUACUAAACAAUCUAACGUAAUGUGCUAUCAACACAAAGCACAUAUCUGAAUUCUAGACACCCGACUACUAAAUGGGGUCUCAGGUAUGGAAUGAGCAAUUAUCUGAGUAACACUCAUGAUGAUUUCGGUCCUGUGACCCUUUGAGUACGGCCACUCCACACACACACAAAUAAAAAGGCUACCUGCACCAAAAUGAUGAUUCAUCGUAUUAACAUUUGAAAGUUAUCAUCUUUCCUUUUUCCCCAUCAAUGUUCAAGAAGAACUUACUAUCCCUACUUCAUGGGUAGAGGGACCGAAGGUGUAUACCAUACAGUAUCCCUUUGCAUGUGAUCCAAUUAAUUGAAAUUCAGAAAGCUGAAAUGUCACCUCUACCAUCAAUAGGUCUACAAAGUUAAUAUUUCCGCCCCUCGAACUCGUAACCUUCAGGUCAGCAAAGGAGCAACCUUGCAAUUGCACCAAGACUCUUUUUUUAUUUUAAAUAAUGGUAAUGUCGGGGUCAGUUUGCACAUACUUCAACAACCAUUACCCUAAGUAACAAGUACUUAACUAAACUUCAAAUUAUCAGAUACAAUUUCCUUUUGACAAUUGUGGUGUAUGGCCAGUAUGCGCACACCUCGACUAAUUCUAAGGUUACCUACUGCCUCCCCACAAGCACAAUUUCUUACACACAAUUCACAAUAUUGUUAAAACCCAACAAUUCACUGAAACAAACAAAACAACAAACAGUUCAUGUGCAUAUUACUAGACCAAAAAAGAAACAACCCCAACAACUAAAAACACAGAGAACACAACAAAAGGGUAGAGAAAUUACGAGCAACAGGUUGAAGGGCUGUCUUGAAAGGAACAGAAAGUGAAGCAGGAGAGCUCAAAUGGGUGCUUGAAAUCUUGAUGCCACUCAAUUGAGAAGUCACAAAACUCAACUCUGAGCUGAAUUUCACCUUGGGUAAAGCCCUUUUGGUCACUGCAAAUGUCCUGUAACCACCCACUACUGGUCCUCUGAGGCUUAUACCCGCUGUGAUUGUCGCCAUUUUUGCAACCAAUUCCUCAAAGCAAGAAUCUUUUUUGUCUCAAGAAUGUUGCUUUUUUUUUUGAAGAAGGAAGUGAAGAGUGGAUAACGAAAUGGAUGUGGGUAAUGAUUUUAUUUGUUGGCCUUCAUAUUUUUUUUUAUUGUUAUUAUAUAUUUAACUUAUUUUUUCCUUUAGUCUAAUAAUAUCAAACGAUUUAAAUAAAAGAAUAAAUAAAUAACAAAAUCUAACUUAUUUGGAAGUAAUAUGUUAUCAUAGUUAUGCUUUAAUUUUAUUUGCAUUACUUGUGUUAUCUUAGUUUAUGCUUUAAUCUUAUUUCCAUUACUUACUCACGUGGAAGUCUAAUAUCACAAACCAAACAAAGAGAGUAUUAAGCCUAUACCAAAAUCAAAUCAUUAUUAAGCCUAUACCAAAAUCAAAUCAUUAUAAUAUUAAGCGUUUUCUCCCUCUUCAGGUUCCACUUAUGAUAAACCAAACAAAUAGACCAAAAUCAAAUCAUUAUAAUAUUGAACGUCUCUACUAUCUUCAAAUCAAUCACACUAUGUUAUGAAUGUCCUUAUCUCUCUAACCAAACAACCCCUAAAAUCUGUUAUCCCAUCAACUGUCCAACUGAGUCAGUGACCAACAUCAUUUAGAACUACAAGCACAAGACAUUAAGGCAAAAUAAUAAGAAGGUAAAUAAAAGAUUUCAAGAAGCCAUAAGAUUGUGCUCCUGUAUAUUGUAAGUAGUAGGUAAACUGUUGCAACUUAAAAACAAAGUUCAUAAUUUUUAGAUGACAUAAUACAAUGGCUCAUUCCUUCAUCCCAUUCUACAUCUGGGAGAAAACAUGUAUUCCGCUUCAAAUCGGGUACGACUCUCGCACUAACAAAAGGGUUAACACCAAGGCAUCUCAAUAAUGGUAAAAAUUGCAAACAAACAUUCAGUUAAGCAUUGUGAAAUCCUAUGUUAACGUCGUUCAAGUUUGGGGAGAUCUGCAUAAGGUUUUGAAUGGGCCAAAAGAAAUUAGUUUUGUUUAGCAAACUUUGUCUGAUAGAGAUCAAGGGGAACAUACUCCACAGUCACUAUUCGGUCGUCAAACAGUCGUCCAUGUAGACAAUGAGCAGCCGUGCAUGCAGCUUCUGCUCUUCUAAACUCCACAAGUACACAGCCCGGAUCAAACACUUCAGUAAUAGGGAUUUCUUCCUUUUUCUCAAGUUCCUCUGGAGCAUCCAACUCUUCUUUCGAUGAGAAUUCUGGUUCAGAAGGUCUAUCGUCUACAUUUCCAUUGUCUUCCUCUGACUUAAUUGCUUCCUUAACUGGUGAGUCAUUGUUUAUCUCAAGAUGCUCCAGUGGACUGGGAUUAGCAUUUUCAUCUUUCCUUUCUGAAACCAUACCAGUACGGGUAACCUCGAGAUUUUCUUGGAAGAUUGUCUCUUGAGCAGAGACACUACUGUCAUCUGGUAGAGGGUCAGAGCUGUCGUCUUUUAUUAGCUCCUCAGAAGGUCUAUCAUCCGAAUGACUGCCACCAGCCAAAGCAUCGUCAUCCCCAGCCUUUUGAGAAUCAUCUUGUGAAGAUUCUGAUAUGUGUGUUUUACUAUCAGCACAUCUUUCAGCUUCCUUAUCACUAUUGGUUUCCAUGGGUUCAUCACUGUUGGGGAAGUGUGGCCUACCAACUUCCAACUCAUGAUCAUCACUGUUGGGGAUGUGUGACCCACCAACUUCCAACUCAUGAUGAUCACUGCUGGGGAAGUGUGGCCCACCAACUUCCAACUCGUGAUCAUCACUCCUAGUGAUCGGAUCAUUUUUGUCACACUCUUCCCCAAAGUCCAUAUUGCUAUCGUUCAAGGUAGAACUAGUAUCCAUAGCAGCAGGAUCAGAUAUGAGAGAACAUUGACUUUGCUUUACAACAUUAAUUGAUUUAAUAGCGCCAAACCUACAGAUCAAAAGAAAACCUUCCAGAUCAGUAAAUAAUUGACAAGGAGAAAAAAAAAAGAAUGACAUUAAGAAAUGCGACUUUUCAUAAAUGACCUGGCACACUCCAAUCUGAUGUCUUCCAGUAAUUCUUCAAGUUCUGCUUCAGACAAAAAACUGAGUACAUUUGCAUCCACCUGGACAGGACACGGUGAUUAGAGGAAAGACUUUAGUAACCCCUUGGUAAGUUUUUUGCAACAUCUAAGAAACAUAACCCCAAUAACAGAGUUUUUAACAAAGAACACCUCCAAAAUAUACCUCAAAGGUCAACUACAUCCUUAAUAUAUCACUGUUAGCAAGUAACAUUGGUAGAGUGUAUAAAAAUAAUGCUAAAUAGAGUGUAUUAGUAAUGCUUGCAUUAGCAAUACAUGUAUUAGUUAUGCUUGCAUUAGUUAUACAUAGAUUAUUUUUAUGCAUUGUUUGAUUUGAUGCAUAAAAAGAUAGCAUGCAUUGCAUAAAAAAAAAAUUAAGUUACAAAGAUACCCUCCACUAUUAUAGCAAAAAAGAUGUAAAAAGGUUUUGAGGGACAAUUGGGUCUUUAAUCAUGCUAAUGCAUGCAUUAAAACCAUUGCAUUGCUAAUACCUAGAAAUACAUGGCAUUAGCAAUACACACCUUAAUACACAGAGUGUAACUAAUGCAAGCAUUAGUUAUACGUAGGUUGAAAAAGAGUAUCAAACAAGGUACUAGUAAUACACAGGGCUAAUGCAUGCAUUAUUUUUCCUAAUACACGCUACCAAACGACCCCUUAAAGUAUCAAAAAGUUAACAAGUUCAGUUCAAAGGUAGUUUUCAUGUCUAAAACUAACAGUGAAGCCAAGCAUACACAUAUACUAGUGACGAAAAAAGAAACAAAAUUGAGAAAGAAAAAGUGGUCGUGAUCCCAUAGUCUUCUUCUUCUGCAAAUUAGGCGUCCCACCAAGCAUUAUUUUUCUCUAUACCCAGUGAAAUUCUUCAAGAGUUUGCACGUACUGGGUAUUCUUCAGUGUUGGCUUGCUGCAAGUGUACUCCCUAAGUAUUAAAUUGCAUUUCUUGGUGGGUUUGGUUUUAACCUAGCCCAAGUUUAUUGAUUUCACAGGUUAUAAACCAAAUCAGUCACGGGGAAAAAGAAGACCAAACCAGGUAAGAUGUCUUUGUUUUAAUAUUUCAAAAGUUGUCCAAUUCCUCAUUAACAAAAAGAAAAUUUCUCGUAUCUUGAGGCAGAAACUUUAAAAGAGUACAGAAUAAUAUGAAACAAACUAUUGAACUCUAUAGACAAAGUGCAGUGCCUCUCUUUGCUUUCGAGUGCCUGGUUAUCUUCAAAAAUACAUUCCCUUUGUUAAAUAACGAAGUUCAGAGAAUAUACAAAGCAGGUUUUUGCCUAAUUCUAAAUUCCAAGCCAACACUUAUUAUAUUUUUCUUUGUUUUUCACCCAAAACAGAACCUCUUAAACAAGCCUUAAUAUUGAUUUGGAAGGAUGAUCAAAGGUAAGAAAAGUUGAACAUGGAGUUGAAAAAAACAACAGAUUUGCAUAUAGGCAACCGACCGACGUAUACAAACUAAAAAAAUAAGCAACUAAAAAAGCUAGUGGGUUGACGAAUCCAAAGCAACUUGGGGACGAAACAACAAUGUGUUUCAUGAAUCCAAGCUUCUUGACUUUUUUUUGGGUAACGUGUAAUGCGUUUGCUUGGCUUUUCACUGUUAGUUUAGACAAAACACUAACUUUGCACUAAACAUGUUUACUUUAUGAUGCAUUAAGGAUGUUGCUUGUUAAUCAAUGUCAUAUUAAGGAUGUAGUUGACCUUUGGGGCAUAAUCCAAGGAUUUUUAUCAUUAAAAACUCUAGAAAACAACCACGCAUCAGACCCAAGCAAGUUGGGCUCAACUAUCUGAAUAUUAUAAAAGUUUAAGCUCCUCUAGUACAAUAUUAUAAAGUAGAAUUUCUCUAGCACUAGAGAUUCUCUACAAUUUCUACUAGCAUCUACAUUUUUUACUGGCAUAACAAGCAGAAUAUUUAUUUGAUGAAAAUGAACUUGACGUCACAAAAAUAAUGAAUACAUACCACAUUUUUCAGCUUUAGAACUUCCGUGUGCUUCUCCAACAGUGGCUUUGCAUGCUGCGGAAUCCGGUAUAAAGGUGUAUUUUCAUCUUUGUCCUGAGUAUUAUGUGUAUCUUUUGGUCAAACUCAAAGAUUAAAAAAUGUACCUAAAGCCAAAGUAAUCAGGAUAAGAGGACUUGAGAUAAGUACCAGUAAAGCAGUAUCUGGGACAGCCCGAACAACAGUCAACACUUUCCCACCCAACUUCAUACCAUUAAGACCAGCGCAAGCUUUAAGAGUAACUGAAUGGUCAACAUACUGAAAUGGUUGAAAUAAUUACUUUAAGAUCAAUGAAAGACGCAAGAGGAACUUGAACUUAAAGAAGACUUGAGAGUUCAGCACUUGAUUCAUGGAGAAAUACAAGGGACCGAGAGGCUCAUUAUGUAACAAACAAAGGUAUCUAGCUGAUAAGUUUACUGUUGAAGCGAUAGUGUCGCAUAAUCUAAAGCAUGGUAAAAAACUAUUAUAAAAGGAAUACUCUACCUGCGAAGAAAAUUAAGUCAAGCAUAUGUGAAACUUAAGUGUGGCAAGCUACUUUUGGCACUAAAGAGUUCCACUGGAGAAUUGACACAAUCACCAGUACAAACAGGGUUAUUUAUUCUCAACCAUUAAAAGGGAUGAAGAGGGCUUGCGAAAUGCUCUGCAGAUCAUUGAGAAGGAAGGAUAUUAAAGAGUUUGAAGGCUAGAAAAUCUAAUAUGAAUAGUUAAGAGCUCCUCUUCCUUCUGAUUUAUUUCCAUCUGAAAGAUGAUAUCUUUUUGGUAUUGGCUCACAUUAAUAGAAUUGAUGUGGAAGCUCACAUAAGGAUCUGAAGCAGUAUUGGUUGUUCUAGAGCAAUCAUUUGACAAAUGUGUAGAGUUUUGGCAUGUCUUUCUAAAAAGAAACGUUUACUUGUCCUACCUUAGAGAAGCAAAGUAGUAGAAUGAGAAGAUAAAAUUUACAACACAAAAAGAGUUCCAAGAGGACAGAAAGCCGCUGCCUGAAAAAAAUGAUAAUAGUGCCUUUUUAAGGUAUAUUUUAUUAUUAAAAUAAAGGUAAAGUUUUGUCAAUACAUAGUAGUAAGAAGGUGCAUGAUACAUCCCCUUUCUAAGCCAAGCACACAACCACAUCGUCUAUCAAGCCAACAGGUACAAAGUCAUAAACAAUCUUUCCUUGGACAAUUUCUACAAUGAUUUGCAUACAUGUCUAUGAUUCAACUUUAUCUCUCCCAUGCUCUUUACAUGCUUAAAGUGGUAAAUCUAUUUGUUUGGCGCGACGGACCAACUCUGUUUUAAACAUGUAAAAAUAAAUACUUUUUCUUCAUUCACCCUUCAACCCAGAAAAGAUUGUUGAAGAGGAAAAUGAUUUAACUUCUAGUAAAACGACAAUUUGCUCAUUUUUUCUACACUUGGUACUUCCAGUAAUUCACUAGACUGAAAAAUAAUCUUAGCCAGCAAAAUACAAUAUGUUUAAGACUGUUUGUUGCAUAAAAGCUACCUUUGAACCAGAAGGAAAGUGCAUUUCUGUAAAGAAAAGGAUGCUUCAUUUAAUAUGAGAAAGGUAUAUACUAUAAUCCAAGAGUACCUCAAGAAAUGCACAAGGUUCAUUGAGAUCUGAAUUCAUCCUGAAAUGGUAAGCUUUCAAAGGUCCAAAGGCUUUAGCAAUCUCCAUAAGCUGAAAUAGCAUCAGGUAAGAUACAAAUCACAAGAGAGUGUGAUAUUCCAUUGUUCCUUCUUUUUAAUUAAGGAAAGGUUUCAAGACAUUUUUCAGUCUUACCAUCUCUGAUGAAAUAGUUCUUGAAAUUCCACCAACAAAAAUCUGCAAGACAUAUUAAACAAAAGUGUUAUGUAAGGGGAAAGGGAACCACAGGACUGGAACGGACUUGAAAUAUAUGGGAAACAUUAUAUAGAAGCAUUCGAUGACAAACAGACAACAAGUGAAAUACUGUAUGAUCAGAUUCCAAAGAAGUCCUUGUGGAAGCCAAAUUAAAAAAAAAAACAUAUUCUGAAGGUCACAAAUGUGACUCGUCAGGGAGUUAAGGCAACACCAACAAAGAAGAAAAGCAAUUCAUAUGUGACGUCCUCACAAUCCCACAGGUUCAAAUGAGGAAUUCUGUAUCUCAUCUUAACAGUGAGGGAACAUUCAUACAUCAACAUCUAAAGAAAAUCGAAAACAUACAUCAUAAUCCGUAACCUCACUGUCCAACAUAUAAUUGACCUACAUGAAUUCAUGUAUUGCAGUAGCGUAGAGCAGCUGUUGAUGAGUUUACUCGACAGAUGGAACAUUGCUUUCUGUGUAUACGAGUACAUACAUAAAAGUGCAGCACAUGAAGAAAUUAUAGGUCUCAAUUCUCAAAUAUGUUGUCCUAUUUCAAUCAGAUCAAGUGUUGAUAUUAGUUAUUACGCCAAGCUGCUGCCAUAUUUACAUCUUUUUCAUACUACAUUUUAAAAUCAUCUUGAGAAACUGUUUCUUAUUUAUGCUACCCAAAAAAAAAAUGCAAACAAAAGAAAACACAAUUAAGGCUAUUAGCUCCCCUCAAAAGUACUCCCAUUCCUUUCUCAAACUAAAAGCUAAAAUACAUGUAACAUUUUAAAAUACCUAAGAAGUUCUUUUACAACUAUAAUAAACAGAGCUCAAACUCUUGAACGGAAAUUCUAAAUAUUCAGUAAAGCAACUUUUCAACUUUUAAGAAGUCCUGCUAAAUCUGAUUAGACUGAAUUAACUGAAACGGACAAGACAGGUACUUCUAGCAAGAAUAAAUAGGAGAUUUGUACUUUAUCACAAGAAGUAAAGAUUGAUGGAUAUUGCAAGUACAAGGACAACACAUACAAGUGACUGUUGCAUCCAGUUCUGACAGGCAGGACUGAAGGUCAAUCUCAAAUCAUUUGUGUUGUUUCAGAUGCAUACCUUAUAAGAAGAAUCCUCUACAGUGUUAUCUAUCCUAUCAGCAGCAGCGACUGACUUCUGAGGAACACCAGUCUGCACGAAAAUAGCAACUGUCUGAAAACCUGCUACAUGAAUAAUGACCACAGUAUACCUCAGAAACUGAAUACAAGAGCAGAAUAAAUCACAGUUUCAACAUAAAGAGGUAGCACCACCUUCCUACGGCUUAAAUACACAUUUUAAUGCAUUGUCAAAUUGUAGAAAAUACAGAGCAACAAAUGUUCUACAUUAACGAAACUCCCCUACCAUAAUGUCCAUACUUUACUAUUUUACUUCAUUUGAUAUAAUUCAACUAUAUUCUCCCUCCAUAUAUGCAGUGAAAUCCACCGUCCUCAUUAGCAAGCACCAUCGUCAUCCUCCAACAUCCAAUUAAACAGAUGAUCAAGUGAGUUAGCAUCCUUUGUGCUGAGAUAUGAGCUAAAGGGUAUUGAGGGUACUAUAAGAGAAGAUCAGAAGGACUUCAUAUUAAUACAUCCUAAACAUAGGAUAUACCAAAAUCUCGGUGCCUAUAUUGUUGCUAACAACAACUAAGGGACUCUAUGAAAUUUGUAUCAAGUCAGAGGUUAUCUUCCACACUGAACAGUCCUUCAAGCAUUGAGGACAAGUCCAACCUCUCCAUGCAUCCUACUCAUUGACUACAUAAAGAUCUUGACUUCUAUUUCUGAUAAAGAUGGACAACUUGAUUUUUACCUGCAAGAACACAUUUUACUGGGGACUUCUGUUUGUUGCCUGUCUAUUUAAUCUUUAAUCAUAGGUCAAGAAUGGAUUUAGAGUAAUCUGUAUUAAGGGGGAAAGAGCAGCUAAGACAGUCAUACUUAGCAUCCCUUCCACAACAAAAGACAAAAUUCAUACAACAAUCAAACUCCAAAAGGCAUAUAUAGAACGGAAGGAAAGGCAGAAGAAAAUCAGAUUCAUUUUAACUAAGAACACAAUCUUUUUAACCCACGACAAUCCUUAUUUGUACCCCCACUUAGACCUGCUCAUUAAGAUGAUAAAAUAAGCACACCACUCAUUUCAUAUGAAGGGGUGCUUCGGUUUAAAAUGUGUAUCGUUUUUCACAUCCUCGUAUGAAGAUUACAAUUGAAAGAAAAAAAAAUUGUUUCCUCCCUUUAUCUAAGGGUUUUCAAGAAAAUUAGUAACCAUGACCAAACUUUCUUCAGCAAUGUCUAUAUCAGUGGACACCAGAAUAUACUGAUUGUUACAUAUAAUGAUGAAUACCGGAAUUUACUCAUUGUUACAUAUAAUGAUCAAUAAGAAUUGGCAUCAAAACUUCAAUUCAAGCCGCUUUUAGCACAAAACUGACAACCAAAUCUUAACUCAAACCUCUUUGACCCAAUUCAAUUUUGGCCCUAGUGGUAUCCAGUACUUUCCUUUUUGGAAUCACUUUGAACCUGCACAGAUUUUAACCCAACUACCCAAACGAUAAUGAGGACACUUCUUAACCGACACUGAAAUAUAGAUAAACUGCGUAUUGCAUAACUAUAACAUGUUACAUAAGUUAAUAUGCAAAAUCCCAUCAACUUCUCACACAUUUAAUACAAUAAUAGUAAGAGAAGAGCAAAAAAAGUUCAGUCUGAAAGAUAAGCACAAUCUACAAAGAGUCUCAUAGUUAUAAUUCUUACAGCCACUUCCACGAAGUCUUUUGGGCGUCUGAUUUUAAGAAUAGAACCAGAGAAAGAUCUUCCAUCAAAAGAUAGUGCAGCAGAAGCAUCUUCGGGCGUUAAAAAUUCUAAAAGAGCUUGACACUUCUCCUUGUGUAUCUGCAGUGUAGAAACAGUAAGCAACAGAAAUCUCCAUCCGGCUUAGAACAAGAAUAGAAGAAGAAAACAUACCAUACAGCUGAUACAUGGUUGGGUUCCUUGAAUGCGAUUAACUCCUGAAGACAUCAAGAAAUUAUUAAUCCAGUCCAGAAUCUCUUUCUCAGAGGCAGAGUUUGGCAAGUUCUCUACAUAAAGCCUUCUCAUAGGUCGUGUGGCUUGUGUCAGCUGGACGGAAUCAAUUGCAUGUACAGAUGACGUUAAGUAACUAUAUGAAACACCGGCGGCCAUUGUUGUGUAUGAACUAGCAGGAAUCAUGCUAGAGAACUGGUGUGUAUUUGGUAUUACAGGCUGCAUUGAAGACUUAACACUAGAAGGAACAGAACCAGUAACACUGAUACCACCUGAUGCAGGCGGUAGAUCCCACCAAGCAGCUUUUCGUUCUGGAGAGCGGUUAGUUGGGGGAGGAGUUUUAGCAGCAGCCUCUGAUUUCCUCUUUCUUGGUGAAUAACCACCAAGACCACUUGUAGAUCCUUCAUGGCGGUUGGAAUGGCUAUCUGAACCAUUGCUGGAUAUCUUUUUAUCCAGAUCAUAAUGUGAUCUUCCAGAUUUAUCUUUGGAAGAAUGAGAGGAAAACUCACCACGCUCUCUGAGAUCAUGAUCUGAAUGCUUACGUCCUCUCGGUGAACCAGAACGAGACCUUCUACCCCGAUCUCUAUCAUUCUCUCGACUUCUUGACCUUCUUCUCUUUGGUCUUUCUUCCUCUAGAUGAGCCCGAGAAGCUUCCACUCUUCCAGUGAUUUCAGAAACUUUCACUGAACUGUGUUUUUUAUCGGCAUUCUUCUCUCUAUUUCUCUCCUCCUCAUCACUUUUCCUUCUAACUGAUUCAGACUUUUCUUUAGUUCUGUCAGCAUAACUAUCUCUCCGCCCGUGAUUUCUUAAAUGCCUUUUCUCAGCCUCAUUCAGAAGAGCACCGUUUCUCUCCUCUUCAUCACUUCGGUGCUUCCUUCUACCUGAUUCAGACUUUUCUUUAGUUCUGUCAGCAUAACUAUCAAUCCGUCCAUGAUUUCUUGAAUGCCUUCUAUCAGCCUCAUUCAGAAGAGCAUCAUUUCUCUCCUCAUCAUCAUUUUGGUGCUUCCUUCUUCUUGAUUCAGACUUUUCUUUGGUUCUGUCAGCAUAACUAUCUAUCCGUCCAUGAUUUCUUGAAUGCCUUUUCUCAGCCUCAUUCAGAAGAGAAUCAUUUGACAUUUCCAUAUCUUUCCUCUUCCUGUAUGACUGUCUCUCCUCCUUAUCAGGAAUUUUGUCUUUUCUUCCCUCUCUGUGUCUACCAUCAGUCUUGUCUGCCGAUUUCUCCUUCCUGGUCAAAUCUCUUGAACGUCUUUUACCAGUUUCAUUUCCAGAAUCAUCAAUAAGAUCCUGAUCUUUUCUUCUAAUGACAGGACAAUCUUUAUCAGUGUUGCUACCCGCUAGUCUCUUAUUGCUUACAUCUUUAUUCACUGACGUCUUCAAUUUGAUUUCAGAUUCUCUACUUUCCCUGUGUUUAUCCCUAGCAUAUUUAUCAGCCAUCAUAUUAGCCUCGGUUGGAUUUGGCCCUAACUUCCUAGAAUUCUCUGAAUUAUGCCUGGAAACACUAGGUAAUGAUUCAUAGCGAUGUCGCUCAGGUUCCAAACGAUCAGUGGUUUUCUUAGGCCUGUCUUCUUUAUGUGAUACAUCGUCAACUCCUAUAAAAUUGUUCUUAAUGUCCCUUUCCUCUGCUUUACUUUUCCUUCUAAGCAUAAUUUCAUCAAAGCUGAGAGGUCUUGUCCUAGCUGAUGUACCAUCACUACUGUCACCCUUUGAUGAAUUAUGUUUACCAUUCUUAACUUUUUGUCGACUGGAUCCCAUAAUACUAACCUCCAAGAAGCUAUCAAUCUUUCAAUCAACUCCUCAGCAUAUGGGACACAGAAGGAUAUGUAACCACCUGACUAGAUGCAGUAGUCAGAGACUCAUGAUCAUGCAUCCAAUCGAAACAUAUUCAAAGGACGAAAAAAUAGCUGCAUGCAAGGAAAACAUAUUCAUCAUACCUUCUAGGUAAUUAGCCAUGCAUCUAGUUGUAAGAAACAGUAGAGUCAUGGGUGCUCAUUUUUUUUACAGUAAAGUUGUUAGACAAGAAGGGCUUCUUUCUUGAAGCUUACUAAUAUUUCUAUAGUUUAGUUAGUAAAUGAAAUACGAAAAAAAAAAGUGAAAAUCAAUAAAGAAAAUAUUAGUAAACAGCAGUGAAAAGGUAAAAAAAGAAGAGUAAAAAUGUUAAUAAAAGCUUCAGUUUGCUUUUCCCAAUCAAAAAGAUAUGUUGUUUAACAAGAUUCAAACUCUCUCUACAGGGCAUCAGCAUACUCAAACUUCAGCUUCAGCCAAAGCACCCAGCAGACCUUUAAGUUUAUGGAUGCUCACGAAUAGGUUACAAUCAAUUUUCCAAUAUUUUCUAUAUACAUAUGCAAAGAGAAAACAAAUCUGAAAGAAACGUUAGGUCACAAUAAAUGCUUAGUUUUCUUUUUCGACAACCAAUAAAUUCUUAGUGGUAACCAGUACACCUAGACUAAACAUGUAAGCAUCCAGGUGUCCUGCUUUUACCUUAGGUUAUCCGUUAUAGUGUCAUUCAACUUUCAACAUAUACAACUUAUGUUUAUUUAUAAGAAUGUGUUCUGACAUAUUCUAGUUUCUUUUUCUUUUUUUUUUGAAACUGAAAUCUAGUUUCUAGUUAUGGUACACUACUUUUAACCUCUUGUAAUUGGCAUCUCUUUAAAGCCAAACAACAUCCCAUGUAGAUAACAAUCCUCAAAGCUGAAACUCUGAUUUUUUAUUUUCCGUACUUGAACCAUAAUUUUUAUGAAAAAGAUGGAAGCUUUCAGAAAUGAAGAAAAUUUUCUCUUCUUUUUCCUUUUCCAGGAGUUCAGAAGGUCGAGUGCAAUAUUGAGAGCCUGAGCUUGCAAGAACUGCACAUACUUCAGAAAAAUCAUUGAAAAAUACCAAGACAUCCAAGCUAAUAUCUCAAAUAUAAUCACCACUCUGAGCAAUGAACUAUGUGUCACUUCAUUCACAAGACGACCUAGCAUAAAUGAGUAACUAAGUAACCAAUCUACCCAAGCAAAGAAUUGAGCUACUGCACCAUUUUAACAUAUCCUUAGUCAUUCCCUCCUAAACAGAACUCCGCCUACGUGCACAUUGCUGAUGCCAACACCCAAUCAAACACAGAGGUGAUACCUAGCUCAAACCAAGAUAAUUUACAAUGAAUCUCAAAAUAUCCCCACCUUACUUACAUUUUUAAAAAUCCACAAAUUUCACUCACAACUAUACAAUUCUGCAAUGUAACACAGCCAAUUCAAACUUCUAUAAAAAUCCUCACCAGUAAAAUUUUUUUUAAAAAAAAAUCAAAUGUCAAAUGAAAUAUAAAAUUGCAAAAUGAUAAACCUUUAUAGGGAAAUUCCAAUCGUUUAUGCCAAAGAAAUCAAAAAAAAAAAACUUUUAUCUAACUUAACACAAAUGAAAUUAUCGUCUGCUUAUCCGCAAUGUACAAUGAGAAAUUUAUCGGCAUAUGAGUAACGAGCAACGUGCAAUAACAGAGAGGGCUAAUUUUAAGUAGAUAAAGCAGCUAAAAGUAUUGAGCAAGAAGUUAGCUUACCGUAGAUUCGAACGGACGGUGUGCUAACUCGCCGGAGAAUCGCCGGAAAAGUAUGGAAAAAACCCGAUAAAAGUGGUUCCGGGGAUUAUCGAUUGGGUUGAAUGUCAGUGUAAAAAGCGUAGGAAGAAGAAAAACCUAGACAUGCUAAGAUAUUAUGCAUAUUUAUGUUUCCAAUUAUACCCCUAUAAUCACUUUUAAUAUUUAUUUAUUUUUGGAAAAAAUGACAAAUAUAGUCCGAACUAUCGUAAAUGAUAUGCGCAUGCCCUUCGUCAUACUUUAAGGAUAUUGGUGUUUGUGCCAUCUAAAAACUAUACUAACGGACAUACACGUGUUAUAAUCUUACUCAUUGACCUGAUAUCUGAUCGAUGGAUUAGAUUGUGUCACGUGAACCUACUUAAUCUCCUGUUAGACCGAAGGACAUAUACGCUCUAGUUUUGGACGAUAGGGGCACCAAUGUCCCGAAAGUAUAACAAAGGGUAUGUGCAUCCCAUUUUAUGAUAGUUCGGACGUAUAUUUGUCCUUUUUCCCUAUUUUUAAAUACAAUUUAACAAAUUAAAAGAAAAUAAUUUUUUUAUAUAUAUAUUUUUUACUCUUAUUAUUAAUCAAGAUUUAUAUUCCACUAAUAUGGAUAACUAUGAUAAGAUUUAUUAGAUUAUAGUGUAAUUAAAACAAAACGCUCAUUUGUUUAUGUAUUUGUUGAGAUUAGAAAUUUUCUCGUGAUUAUUGUUUCAAUUUCGUUUUUUCCUGAACGAGUUUUUUAGACCUACGUAAAUGAGUAAAGAGAAGUAAAAUUGAUUGUUCAUCCAUCAAACACAUGCCUACCAACAACAUAUCCACUAAAAUCUCAUAAAAUAGAGAUGAGGUCGAGAACAGUUAGGAUAUACGUAGAUCUUGUCCUUACUAGAAAAGUUAUUUUCGAAGGAUAGAAAGUAAAAUAACGACAAAAAGAUAGCAAGAUAAACAAAGGAAUCGAAGUAAUAGAUAGUAGUAAAAAAAAAUGAAUAAGAUACUAUCGAGGCAAGACUACUAAAUAAAGAGAAAGAUGAGAAGAGGAGACUAUUAUAUAUACCUGUUGAACAUAUAUAUAUUGGCAACUGAAGAACAUACUUAUACAUUAUCAAAUCUUGGCAACUCAGAAAUACAUAUACAAAUACAAAUACCAUAUUGAAACUCGACUAACGAGUGAGUAUUAUUGAACCAGUCUGAAACAUAGACGAGUGAAAAAAGAAGACAAGUACAUAAUCAGACUAUAAAGAGCAACAGUUUGCAACAGAGAUGCUUAUAGUAACUAUGCUUAUUCCUUUCGCAUCAACCUUGACACCAUAUGCUCAGUUUUCUGCCAAAAGAAGAAAAGGCAUUAGCAAAUUGGUAUCACUCACUGUGCUAUAGAACAAAGCUAUGGAAUUCAAGCAAAAGAGCCGAUGUGACUGUUUUAAGCAGUGACUUGUGCAUACAAAAUCUAUUCAUAUGAUCCCAAAGCCACACAUUAUAAAUCCCAUCGUUAAAGAUAGCAGAAAACGGUUUAUUUCUGGUUCUGUUGGGAAAUAUAUCCCAACAGAUGCACAGAAACAACCAUCUAGCCCACAUACAAACCAAGGACAUGUGUCCUAGCUCAAGAACUCGGAAGUUCAGAUCUUGUCUUAUUUUCCUGAUCAGUUCAACUUUAGAUAAAAAUCAGAGUUCACAGACAUGGUUAUAGACGUAGUAAGAGUUGAUUCUAUAAGCACACAUGCAUUAACACACCUUAAUUAUAAACUUACAAGGCCCCACACAGUUGCUUAAACAGAUUAUCCCUUCAGUCUUGCAAUAUUUUACACCACACACCUUGCUUUUGUAUGAAAGUUGAGUUCAAGCACGAAGAUUUUAACUGUUAUUUUGCAAGAUAAGUUGAUAGGAAAUUUAAUUUGGCUUUGUCACAUUUGAUUGAUGAUAUCUGAUUUACGUAAACAUAUAUGAUAUCGUGUAAGUACCAUCUAUGAAAUGCUAAAACUAGGAAAAAAGAUGUGAAUGGAAGCAUUAUUUACUGAUUGUUGGAGCAACGAGCUCUCUGAUUACUUAACUAAAAUACAAAUACAAGACGCUCAGAGUUGAAAUCAUGCACCAGUUUGCUUGGCUCACACAGGAUGUGCACAAGGGUACGGAAGCCUUUAAUAUCAGACCUUACAAAUAAAAAAUCAGAAUCCUCUAUUUUGUUGCACCUAGCGGGUGGGGAGUGUGUGUGGAGAAGGAAGGACGAUUGUGACGAAGACCUAGCGGUCAGUCAUCUUUAUGGACAAUAAUUUGGAGAACAAACUUUACAAUUAUGAAAUGUAAAAAAGGAAACUAACCUGUUCAGUGUGUGGCAGAUACUUUCCAUCAAAAGUCAAGACAACACGAUCCUUUCCAUCCACACCUUUGAUUUUAUCAACUGAGCAGAAAAAGUCUAUAGCUGACAUGCUAAACAUUGAGUCGAAAGUUAAAUCUGACAUAUCAUCCCAGUACAAGUAUAUCAUGUGCAGGAAGCAAGUGAAAAACAACUAACAGUAACAUAAACUUGCAUUAAACACUCGCAUAUAAACUUGCAUGGCUCAUAACAUCCUCUGCUGUUUUUCUUUCUUUUUUUUUUUAUAAAAGAAAUAUGUGAAGACCCCUCUGCUCUUUUUUUUUUAAAUAGAUCCGAAGGUGGUGGUGCCAGCCAAUUAUAAUCUGUACAAUGUACAGAACAUGUGUGCAGCCGCGACAAAAUAGUUCAUGCUAGUUGUAUAAACAAUCUAAUAUGCAGAGAGGUUGUGUGAUUCACCAGACAAGAGAAAGUCACUAUAUAGAAUCACAGGAUUAUAAUAGGAUAAUGGAUGAGACUACACUAAGUCACUAAGUGCAUCGGGUUGAUAAUUAACAAAGACAUAGUGGACGAGCCGGAAACACUUGACUAUCACUUACCUUUGAAAUUGUAGUUAGAAUUUUUUUUUCCUACUAUUUAUCUAUUAAAAAAAUCGGAAUGAGAUGGGAUUAGAGAGCUUGGGUUUGCGAACGAGAAAGCAUAGACAGACGAGUGAGUGCUAGAGGGCAGGUAAUAUGGCUUAAUCCUAAGGAAUACCAAUAUCAUUCCUAAUUCCCUUAGAAAAAAGCACUAAACAAACAACAGAUAAUGAAGAAGGGGUUAUAAUCCCCCUGCUAUAGAUCAUUUAUACAGUGAUCAAACAACACUAUAGCAUAGCAGCUUGUUGACUCUAAACACACUGUGCAUGCUCUAGUUCAUCUUCAAAAGACUUCUUAUGAAUCAUGCUUGCACCAAACCCGAGAUAAACUUAUGCAAUUCAGAGUAGUUAACCAUCAGAGGCAAUUCAUUAAGGUUCACAAGAUCCAGAACUCCUGAAGUUUAAAGGCAGAGAGCAUUUCCAGAGUAUGAAUCUAAGUUCUAAACACAUGCAGAGACCCACAUAUAAGAGAAGAUUAUAUCUUUCACCACAAUAUUUUUUGAAUCAAUAAAAUAAGGACAAGUAUUUAAUAUGUAUGCUAACUGGAGUGACUUACAUGCCAUCGCCAAAUUCUUCAUUAACAAUUUCCUUGAUACUCUCACCAAAGUGCAUGACAGCCUCAUUCAAUCUGUUGAAGGAACACAAUAAUCAAAUUAUGUAUGAAAUGCAACAACACAAAGUUUUCCGAAAAGCUUUGCCCAAUAGAUCUGGCUUACAGCUUCACAACUUAAGCGCUACUAUAUGCUUUUACCUAAAUUAUCUAAGGAUUUCACAGGAACAGUAAAAAUGGUAAGCUAGAAGCUCUUCCACAUUCUGUUUCUUCUGUGUUUUCUUGUGCCUUAGUAUCUACACUAACAACACUUUAUGUGAUUCUGGUAAAGGCAGAUUAGGGUUUAAAGACAGUGGUAACACCAAUUAACAUAUAUACUAACUUUGUACAUUUUAAGAAAAGAUGUAUAGCGCGGGCACAAAAUUUCGAGUGUACAUGCACCAGUGCUUAUAUUUUCAAUCCACUUCUGGCUACUAGACAUGACGACAUGUAAAUGUUAUACAACAAUGUUUUACUUUCUAACUAGGAGCACAACUUUCCUCCAGUCUCUACAUAAGAAUUUCCAAUUUCCUGAAUCCCGCAUCUUCCUCUAGUUAUAUCAACUACUGCACACUAUAGCAAGAUCAAAGAUUUUCAGAAAAUGAACAAUAAAGACAUAAUGAAGUGGACCACUUUAUAGAAUGGUUUGUCGAAUCAAGUUAAUAGGUAUUUCCAAUAUUUUGAACCCCAUUCUAGUUGUAUCAACUACCAUAUACCACAACAAGAUCAAAACUUUUCAGCAACAAAAGCAAAAAUUCUAGAAAAGGAUCAAGUGUUCACCUCUAGAAUCAAGAUAUCAAGAAUUUCCAGUUUUUCCAAUUGCACAUCUUUUUCUAGCUCUAUCAACUACUACCAUACACCAUAAAGAUCAAAUUUUUAUAUAAAAAAUCAAGAAAUGGGUGAAGUGGUCAUCUAUAAAUACUGAGGUCUUGAAUCAACUGCUAUUCCACUAUCCACAUCUUCCUCUAGCUCUAUCAACUACCAAACACCAUAAAGAUCAAAUCUUUACAUAAUAAAUAAAUAUAUAAACCAAAAAAAUAAGUGAAAUAGUCACCUAUAAAAUAGUGAGUCUUGAAUCAACUUAAUAAAAAUCUCCAAUUUUUCCGAUUCCACUAUCCACAUCUUGUUGAAGAGUCACACAGUGGAUAAUAAAGGAUGAGUACUUCCCUACCAACUAACUUUUGGGAUUGAGUUAGACACAAAGAUUCAUUUCUUUACAUGAUAUCACAGCACGACUCAUACCAAUUGUUGUUCACUAAAUGUCUAGCCUGGGCGUAACGGGGAUGUUGAAGCGUACCACAUCCAAUAAAAAAAGAUGGAUAGUCUCCCCUCGUAAGUUAGCUUUUCGGGUUGAGCUAGACCCUAAGAUUCAUUCUUUUUUCACACCUCUUUCUCUAGCCCUAUCGACUACCAUACACCAUAAAGAUCAAAUCUUUACAUUAAAAAAUCAAAAAUCAAGAAAUGGGUAAAGUGGGUCACCUGUAAACAGUUGGGUCUUGAAUCAAGUUGGGGUCAUAAGACCUCAAAGGUGCCUCCAUCAUUUGAUGAAUUUGUUGAUCAGAUAAAAGCGGAAGUGCAGCCUUCAGCUUUGGUGCAGUUUCAGGUUUAAGCUGAGCUUGACGUCUUAGCAACUGAGCCACAUAGACAUUUGUGAGACCAGUUUCUUCAGCUAUUUGACUAAACGUCUUGCCAGAUUUUUGUUUCACUGACAUAAGAGAUGCCACCAUGUUUGCCUUGUUCUCCAUUACUGCUUUUGCUUACUGCAAAGAAGAAGAAGAGUGAUUUUGGAUAUAUAUAUAUAUAUAUAUAUAUAUAGUAAGAGAAGAUGAUUGUAUUUUUGCUUUUUUAGGGGCCCAAUUAUCCACUUUGAUAAGUCCAAUUUGGUUAGAAAUUUUGAAUGGAAGAAGAAGAAGGGCUGCUAAUUUUGAGUUUUGCCUCUUUGACUGCUAAUGGGAUAUUUAGUAGAUAUUAAAAAAUUAUAAAAAAGUGAAAUAAAAUAAUUUAGCUAUUUAAUCAUAAUAAACUGACAUAUUUUGAUAUGUGCAUUGAAGAAAAUCAGGCAUGCCAAUGAAUAGGUGCGUAUAAACUCUAUUUCUUGCUUUUUUUUUUACUAAACAUGUUGUUGAAUUUAUAUUUUUGUAAGCACAAAGAAGUGUUUGGUAUAUGAGAUAAUAAUAAUAAUAAUUACGAAAUAAAAUUUAAGAUUAGCUUUAUUUCACAUCUAAUAUGAUGUAUUAUCUAAUUUAAAAAUAUUUGUUAUCGCAUAAUAAAGGGUAGGAUGCAAUAAUUCUACGAAUAUUCUUGCUUAUCUAAAAAUUUAUUGGGGAUAACUAGGGAAUCAUUAGUUACUAAUUUGAACUUGUUGGAAGUCUGUUGUUGUAAAUGUAUGCAAUGUGUUUGCUAAAAUGCCUAAAUGAGUUUUAGAACAAGAAAACAUUUUUUUUUGUUAUUAGUUUCUUUGCUUCAUAGUGAACAAGGUAUUCGUAGAUUGGGUUAGUUACCAAUUUUCUUCUUCUUUGUAUUUGGAUUUACUGCAUUUGAGCCGAAGGUCUUUCUGAAACAGUCUCUAUCCCUCCACGAGGUACUGAUAAUGUUUAUGUACACUCUACUUCUCCCCUCCCUAGGGGAAAGUUGUUAAUUACAAAAAUUUUGGGAAGUUGGACUGGCUAUUUCUGGAUGUAGUUUGUGAAUUGUAAUACUUGCUUUAUUGGAUACCGCAUACUCUUGGAAAAUGUUGCUUCUAAAGCGUGGAUGCUAUUGUUUAUUUGUGUUUUGAAUUGUCGUUUAUCAUUCACAGAUCUUGUUGGCUUAUUGCUUUUCAGUGCCAGGUCGAGUCAGCUACAUUAGCGAAAAUGUGUAGACAAUACCAGCCAACUUUCACUACAAGAACUUGUAUGACACUUGCAGUUAGGAUAUACAGGUAUGAUGAAUCUUUAUCAGCCAAAACGAAGAUAAUAGAGGGGAUGAAUGAUUUUUGCUUUUUUAGGGACCCAAUUAUCCACUUGCCAUGUCCAUUUUGUUUAGAAAUUUCGAAUAAGAGAAGAAGGGCUGCUAAUUUUUGAAUUUGGCCUCUUGACUGCUAUUUGGACAUUUUAACAGUCCUGCUGCUCUUCUCCUUGGAAAAAUAUGUGUUGAUAUUCUUCCAUUAUUAUUAAUAAUAAUAUGCAUGACUUUAAUAGUAACCUGUCCAUUACUUAUCAACUCAAUGUACUUUGAUCUGUAGGAUAACGAGGAUUAGUAGGAGCUAGCUUUAGGGAUAGAAUCGAAGAAUUUAACACCUCUAAGUCAUGGUUCAUUAAUGUGAAAACGUAAAUCCUAACUUUCUAAUCAUCAUUUAAUCUUAAUAAACUGAAGUAAUUUGAUGUGUGCAUUGAAGAAAAUUAGACAAGCCUAUCAAUAGGUGAGUAUAAAAUCCUCUAUUUCUUGCUUUUUUGCAAUACAUUAUGCUGAGUUUCUGUUAUUGUGUUUUUGUAUGAAUGAAGAAAUGUUUGGUACGUGAGAUAAGAAUAAUAAUCACGGGAUGAAAUUUGAAAUUAACUUUAUUCCAUAUUUGGUCUGAUGGAUUAGCUAAUUCGAGAUUAUUUUAUCUCAGCAUUUGUACUAAAAUGGUGGGAUUACAAUAAUCUCAUGGUAUUAUUCUUGCUUAUCCCAUCCCAUGUACCGAACAACCAUAACUAAGGAAUCAUUAGUUACUAAUUUGAAGUUGUUGAAAGUCUAUUGUUCUAAAUGUAUGUAAGGUGUUUGUUAAAUGCCUAAAUGAGUUUUCGAACACAAAUAACAUAUUUCUGUUAUUUAUUUCUUUGUUAUCGUGAACAAGGUGUCACUUCAUUGUAGAUGGUUUAAUUACCAAAUUUGGGAAAUUCGACUGGCUUUAUCGAAUACUGCAUACUCUUGGAAAAUGUUGCUUCUAUAGCGUGGAUGUUAUUGUUUAUCUGUGUUUAAGAAUUGUGGUUAAUCAUUCACUGAUCUUGUUGGCUUAUCGCUUUUCAGUGACAGGUCGAGUUAGCAACAUUUGCAAGGAUGUGUAGACAAAUCAGCCAACUUUUGUCACAAGAACUUGUACUACACUUGCAGUUAGGAUACACUUGUACGAUUAAUCAGUAUCAGCCAAAACGAAGAUAAUUAAGGAUCAGAAAUUGGUUAAUAGCUACGUCAUAUGAGAUUCCAAGCUGGUUUGAAAGGACGGAUCAUGUAUUGGGAAGUCAUUGGACUUGUAUGGAAAGAAUGAUAUGUCAUUUUUAACAUUCUAGAUGAUUCUAAAAGCAGUUAGCGAAACUCAUUCUCCCCUGACGCACUUAAUGCAAAAGUGCAGAACUCUCAACCAUCUAAAAGAGCUCCAUUGCCAACUCCUCAAACUUUACCUCCCAGAAACUCCGUCAGCCAUUGCUCCACUUCUUUCAUUUGCCGUCAAUUCUAGGAUUCCUUCUUUCUUCAACUAUUCGCGUAUUGUGUUUCAAAAUCUUGGCUACCAAAGUACCUUUUUGUACAAUACCAUGAUCAGAGGAUACAUGCAAUCAGAAAUGCCGAUACCAGCAAUUAUAUGCUACAAAGACAUGCUGAGAGAUAAACUUAUUGUGAAUAAUUAUACCAUUCCACCAUUGAUAAAGGCUUGUUCAAUGGUUUCAAAUGAGUUUAGCCUACUUGGGUUUUCAGUCCAUGCCCAUUCACUGAAGUUGGGAUUACAAUAUGACCGGUUUAUUGUUGCAUCAUUGAUUGAAUUUUAUUCCCUACAUCUCGAGAUGGACAGAGCGCGUAUUUUGUUUGAUGAAAUUCCCGACAGGGAUGUGGUUUUGUUUACUACCAUGAUUGAUGGAUACGGGAAAAUAGGGGAUGUGGGAAAGGCCAGAUUGUUGUUUGAAGAUAUGCCGGAGAGGAAUGUGAUUUCUUGGAGUGCAAUGAUGGCAGCAUAUUCACGGGCUAGUGAUUUUAAGGAGGUUCUUUGCUUGUAUCGGAGGAUGGAAGAAGAUGGUCUUAAGCCCAAUGAGUCUAUUCUUGUAAGUGUCCUCACCGCUUGUGCUCAUCUAGGUGCCUUAGCACAAGGCUUUUGGGUACAUUCAUUGGCUAAGCAUUAUAGUUAUGAGUCGAACCCAAUAUUGGCUACUGCAUUGGUUGACAUGUACUCUAAAUGUGGGAGAAUAGAGUUGGCUUCAUCAGUCUUUGAAGAGAUGAAUUAUAAGGAUACUGGAGCAUGGAAUGCCAUCAUAUCAGGCUUUGCAAUGAAUGGAGAUGCAAUGAAAUCAUUUCAAUUGUUCUAUAGGAUGUUAGCAAGUGGGAAUCAACCAAAUGAAACCACAUUUGUUGCUGUGCUCUCUGCUUGCACUCAUGCAAAUUUGGUUGAAAAAGGUCUUUCACUGUUUGAAAGAAUGAGCAGUGUUUAUGGGGUUGAACCCAGGUUUGAGCAUCGUGCAUGUGUGGUAGACCUGUUAGCCAGAGCUGGUAAGCUCGAGGAUGCAGAGAAGUUCAUUAUUGAGAACAUGGGAGGGAUAGAGAAAGGGGAUGCUAAUGUAUGGGGAGCUUUACUUGGUGCUUGUAGGGUCUACGGUGAUCUUAAAGUAGGUGAUAGAAUAUGGAGAAAAUUGUCUAACAUGAAGGUAGCUGACUAUGGUACUUACGUACUUGCAUACAACAUGUACAAGGAAGCUGGUUGGGAAAUGGAAGCCAACUGUGUUAGGAAAUUGAUCGAGCAGAUGAGGAUAAAGAAGCAGCCUGGAUGUAGCAUCGUGGAGGUGAAUGGGGUGGUUAAAGAAUUUCUCGCGAGUGAUCUUUUACAUCCCAAGUCACGAAUAGUCCACGACGUGCUUGAAUCCUUACCUAAUGUAAUGCAUCUUAUUGAUUGAGCAUGAUGUCGUAUGAUCAGAUUAUGGACAAAAGUAUUGCAGUUCUCUUUGUUUUUAUGUAUUCUGAAGCUAGAAUUGCUCCAUGUUAUGCAAAAUGGCCAGUGGAUAUUGGUAAUGAGAUCAAGAAUGGUUCUUAUGCAGAGCUAUUUGGUUCCCAAGAUUGCUCCAACUCCAUGAAUUAAGGGGUCGUUUGGUAGCUGAUUUGGAGGUGAGGUAUGCAUGUAUUAAAUUUUGUAGAAGUAAUACUACAUUCGGUAGUUGGUUAGGAGGUGAAUUAGUCAUGUAUAAAAUUAAUACGGCGUUUGGUUUGAAAUUUAGAAAGCCACAUGACUAAUACAUGUUUAAGUUGUAAGGGUAUAUCUAUGUGUUAUUUUAUGCGGAAUAAGAAGUAAAAUAACUAAACUCCGCAUGAAAUAUUAUAUAGAUUCAUUACUUAUACUUGAUUAAUUGUAACCAACUCUCAAAUGACACCUGUUCUGUCAUUUACUUUCUUACAACUUAUGCCCAUUAAUACCAACCUUGUACCAUUGUCUCUGUGAUGUGACUUGAGUGGUCCUAGUAUCCAAUAGAGAAAAUUCAAAAAUGGCUCAUUAUGUUUGGGAUAGGCUUAGAAUAAUCCCUGAAAUAUACUUCCUCAACAGUUUUGGGAGUUUUUAAGUUUGUCAUAAGUGAGCAUUGGCUGUUAGAUUUAAUUAGAAAUUGUUGAAAAGAAAGAAUUAACAGGAACUCACAUUAUUUUUCAGUUUCUGCUCGUUUUUUUUUUAUUUCUUAAUGUCUUUGGGUGGCUUGAAGAUCUGUCUACCUCCUAAAGUUGGGUUACAUACCCUUCCCAGACCCCACUUGUGAGAUUACACCGUUGUUGUUUGCUGAGCGACUGGAAGACAAAGUCAACACAGAACACCAAGUUUACAUAUUAGCCUCAUGUUUCAUUUGACUGAAACCUCUAUCCAGAUUCCAGUCCUAGAUCCCAUAUGAUCAGUUUGUUUAUCUAGAUAUCCAGGACACUUGAAAUGGCUGAGGCUGCCAUAGUCAAAGCGAUAUCAAAAAUCUCAGAACAAGCGUUUUUCCUAUAUGGAGUGAAUGAAUAAGUAAGAGAACUUGUUACAGAGCUGGGACGUAUGCGGGCAUUCUUGAAAGACGUUGAUACAAGAAAACAGAAAGGAGAAAGAGUAAAAAAUUGUGCUGAUGAAAUUCGAGACCUUGCACAAGAUGCAGAGGGCGUAGUUGAGAAGUUUGCCGCUGAGGUAAUGAAGAGAUCAAACGGGGAAGACACUGUUUAUUGUUUCUGUACAAUGUUAGCUAAUGUUGUGAAAGAGGUUAUUCCAAGGUACAAAAUAGGGUGGGAUAUAGGAAAGAUCAACAAGAGAGUUAAAAGCCUCAGAGAAAGUUUAACAACUUAUGGUAUAGUUUUGACUGAUACUAUAAAUGAAGGAGAAACAUCUUUACAGAGUGGAGAUACUGGUGUUGGUAUAAAUGAAGGAGAAACAUCUAUUAUUAGAGAAGUGAAAUUAGAGAGUGGAGCUAUUGGUGUUGAGAGAUGGGGAGGUUCUGGAGGAAGUCAUUGGAAUUAUAGGCCUAAAGGUGUAGUUAAACAGAUAGUAGUAAGGCAUGGAUUGAUUAUAGAUGCUAUAAUGUUUAAGAGCAUUGAAGAAAAUGGUGUCAUGAAGUCUUCUAAAACAUUUGGUGGUUCUGGAGGCAAAUUGACUGAGGUAACAUUAAUGUCUUUCUUUUAGUGUAUAUAUGUUGUUCAGACAUGUCGUUGGAUCAUGAUACGUGUGCGGGCGAUGUUUUUUGGAGAGGCCUAACAACAUAGUUUUUAGAUCUUAUUUGUUUGCGCUUAAUGAAUAGCUGAAUAGAUCUUAAUAUCAUUCAGUGGUAUUUUUGUGGAUAAUUUUCACCUACCAUUCUAUCCACACAAUCACCGGCCGCUGCACUAAACACCAACCACCUAUGUCAUCACAACCCCUACCAUUCUCAACCACCAGUACCGUCAACAACUAGGGGUGUAGCGUUGUAAUCAAUGUCGAGGGGGUUAGGAUGAAACCACUUUGGGAGAAAAUUACAUAACUUAUACAUCGUUUUAAAUUAUUUUCUUAUAUAUAUAUAGUAGAUGUUGAACCUCCUCUAGCUUCUUCAUGUCUUUACUUUAUAUUUUGACCUCCUCAGUGAAAAUCCUAAUUUCACCAUUAUCACCUAGAACCAACCACCUCUGUCAUCACAACCACCAGCAUUAUCAACUACUACUACCAGUCACUAUCACAUCUACCACCUCAAUAUCAUUAUAAUUAUAUCCAUUCUCGCCACCAUUAUCAACCACUACCACCACUAUAGUGUUUGAUCCUUACUGUCAACCACUUCCACCAUCACAUCUAGCAUUGCCUUCAACUACACACCAACUAGUAUAUACAAUUUUCUAAAUCAAUAUGCCUUUAAGAAUGAGUUUAGUUUCAAGUGAAAUAAUAAUUUUUUUUCUUUGUUCCCAACCAUCACUCAAUAUUCUCCUUGUUUAAUAAGGCUAAUUAUUUUUUUUUUGUUGCAUUUUUGUAGAUCAAUAUAGACAGUCCUUCAGAGUAUUUGACAGGCUUAAGUGGGACAUAUGGACUCUAUGGUCCCUAUCUUAUAAUAAAAUCCAUUAAGGUUCACACUAACCUUAGCCAUCAUGGCCCUAUGGGUUCAGUAAUUGAGACUGAUACCAACUUCUCAUUCAUUAUGCAAGGUGGGGUUAUUGUUGGAUUCCAUGGAUUUUCAGGCUUAUUUCUUGAUGCCAUUGGUGUGUAUGUUAUGCCAACAAGCAUAAAUUUACCUUCUUAGUAGGCACACUAUCUCAUCAACAUAUAUAUAUAUAUAUAUAUAUAUAUAUAUAUAUAUAUAUAUAUAUAUAUUUGAGAUAGCUUAUGUUGAUAAGCUUUUAAGUAUUUUGAUCAAUAUCAUCUUGUUUGGAUGGUAAUUGUUAUUCGUUGUAUUGUAUCGUUUAGUUUAAAUGUCAUGUUUAUAUUUUGUAUGGCGUUGUUUAAAUCCAUCGUUCAGUAAUGACGAAAAGUUUAAUAACCAUCAGUUUGGGGCGUGAUCGCGCUCGUUGUGUUGUAUUGUGUUGUUAGUUUAAAAUGUCAUGUUUAUAUUUUGUAUGGACUUAUCAUUUCAAUCUAUCGUUUCUCAUUUUAUUUAACCAUGAUCUUGUAGUAAUCUUCUCAUUUUGUCAGAGUUCUAUCUCAUAUCCUACUUUUCUUAUAGGUUUAUCAUUUUUAUAUUGUUUUUAUCAUUGUUGAUGUGCGACAUUAUGUCUACUUUUCUAGUUUUUAUUUUAUUUUAUAUAUUUAUCAUCUAAAUUGUUGAUAUGUGACAUUAUGUAACGACAAAAAAUAAUGUAUUCAAAUAUUGUAUAUAUUCAUCAAAAUAAUUCAAGUACGAUAAAUUAUAUAAGUCAUAUCCAUUGCGACACAACAAUGACCUGCGUCUUAAUUUUUUUCUUUUAGUAAAAGUAUUUUAUUUAUUUUUUUAGUAAAAGUAUUUUAUUUUAGUUCGUUUAGUAAAAGUGUUAAUAUUUUCUCUUUUUUGUCAAUUCUUAAAUACAGACAAUUCUUCUUCGUUUAAUAGAAGUGUUAAUGUCUUUUUUUUUUUUUUUCAAUUCUUAAAUACAAACAAAAGCAAUAAACCACUAAAUAUAUGGUUAAAAUGCUAUUAAUUUGAAUAAAAAUAAUCAAUCAAUACAAACGUCGUGACUACAAGUAAAAAUUAAAUUGCAACUAACAAUCAGAUUCAAAACAAAAAAAAUAAAAUAUACCAAGAUCAUGCAACGAUCGAAUAUCAACGAUGAAACGGCCCAGUUGGAUCGACUUGUCUGCACAACGUUAGGUACGUCAAAAAAAGAACACGAUCCUUUGCACCCGUUCGAUGAUUAUUUGUAUGUUCACAAAAAAACUUAAGUUCAUCAAGUGUACAACAUCCCAACAUCUGACCAAGUAACAAAAACAGCCAAUUUAUCUUAUUCUUAUCUGAACAUAUAAUCGGUUUCGCGCUAUUCUCUUGAUUACAAAAUUGACAUGUAGGAAGAAUCGGAUUCGCCCAAAUAGACGGUGCACGUUCUUUGAGAAAUGUUUUAUUUUUCAUCACGUAAGAUCCAAUCUCAACAAACUUUUCUUUCAAAUCGAAUUCCAUAGUAUAUCUCUUCUCACAUCUCCUGCAUUGAACAUCUCCGCUUAUUAUGAUUAAUUGCUUCGACAACAAGUAUUGCAACGUGUGUACUGUAGCUAUUGAGUUUGUUGCCCAAGGAAAUGGAGGAGUUACAGUCUCAAUCUUCACCUCCUGCAUUAGUUUUGGCUUUGAGGAGUUACGUCUUCUGCGUUGAAUAGUUUCUUUUGGUAUCAUGAUCGGUUUUAAAAUCUGUUGGUGAUUCAAGGUGCUCGAUUGAGCUGUUUCAGUUUCUUUUGGUAUUAUGUUGAGUUGUUGGAGAUUCAAAGUACUCGAUUGAACAGUUUCUUUUGGCAUCAUAGUGAAUUGUUGGAGAUUCAAAACAGUUUCUUUUGGUAUUAUGUUAAGUUGUUGGAGAUUCAAAGUACUCGAUUGAACAGUUUCUUUUGGCAUUGUGGUGAGUUGUUGGAGAUUCAAAACAGUUUCUUUGGGUAUCAUGUUGAGUUGUUGGAGAUCCAAACAACUCGAUUGAACAGUUUCUUUUGGUAUUACGGCUGGUUUUAAAAUCGUGCAUUGUCGGAGAUUCAAAGUACUCGAUUUGAGAUUUUCACGAGGUUGUAUUCGAGGUCUAGUAGAACGGGAGGGUGUUACUAAUGAAAGUUCCAAAAAUUCAUCAUCGUCAUCUUCUUCUAGUAGAUUUUCGUAAGGAUUUUCGAAAUGAGUAUGAAAAUUCUUCCUCUUUCUAUUGAUUUCAUCAAUAUUGUUGUGGAUGAUCAUUGCAAAAAGAAAUUAAAUUUAUACAAUAGAAAAAGAUGUCACAAAAAAAAUUAAAAUGGAAGAGGUAUACAUAUACUUAAAGAGUUGCGUUAAAUAUAAGUCCGAAAAAACAGAAUUUUAGAAAUUUCAGCUAAAUUAAAAUUCUUUUAAAUUCAAAAGAGUUACACAUCAUUAUAGUUACCUAGUUAAAUUAAACAAGAAUUUUAGAAAUUUAAGUGAGUUAGAAUUUUCAAUAAAUUUUACGUCUUAUUUCAUAAUGUACUGUAUUGUACUUAUUGUACUGUAGAUUUAUUGUACUGCACUAUAUGAUAGAUACAAUGUUUGACUAACUGUACUGUUUGUUGGUGAAUAAAAACAAAUAAAAAUAUUUUUAUUUAUGAUUUGACUUUAUCGUAUUGUAUUGUAAUCUAUGAAUUUACUAAAAUUAUCUUUAAUUAUUCUAGGAUAGGAGAUGUGACUAGAAUUAAAUAACAUAGCAUAAAUUAUGAAUUUACUGAAAUAUCCUUAAGUAUUCUAGGAGAGGAGAUGUGACUAGAAUUAAAUAAUAUAGGAUAAAGGGUAAAAAAAUAUUAUGAAAUAUUAUGUGUUAAGUAACAAUGGGAACACAUGUUUCAUCAAAUGGGGUUUUUCAUUCUUACGGAACAACGAAAUUUGACAAUAUAAUACAAUACAUUAUUAAAUAACAAUCAAAACAAACAUUAAAGGUACAUUACAAUACAACGGACAACAACGACCCAAACAGAGGGUAAAAUGAUUAAGAUUAAAAUCAAGACAUCUUGCUCUAUCAAAAGUUGAAAAUAUUUUGAAUUGUUAAUUUAUAGUAAUAAAUAUGUAAAUUUUAUUUCAAGAAAAUUAAAAAAUUCUAUGUCGAAAUUUACCCUGAAUAUUAUUAGUUAGUUUUAUGUACUUUUUAUACGUGUAAACUUAUGUGAAAUAGUAUUAGUUUAAUCAAGUUAAACAAAUUGAAACGGGAGUAAUUAUUUUUAAAAUGGAAUUAAAAAUAACUGUGAGAUACAUGGACAUAUAUUAAAUGAAACUUAUUAGAACAACUUGUUAUUUCAAUAGAAUAGUUACGGUCAAAUAAAAAUACAUUUUAAUUAAAAUUAUCUGAAUAACACGACUCAUACAUAUAUUAAUUAAAUGAAACUUUAUUUCAAUAGCAUUUUAAAUUAUGUAAUUUUCACUUCUUUUUUUAAUUUUCUCGACAAUGUGAUUAGUAACGAUCGAGAGUCAGAAAAUUAUAUAAUUUGUAUAUAAUUAAAAUUAUUUUUUAAUGUAUAUAUAUAAUAGAUAUUGAACUAUGUACCUCUUCGGGUUUUUUUUUGAUAUAUUUUUAGGUGUAAACACAAAAAUUAAGAGUAUACAUACACGUUGGGUUGUUAGAAGCACACAGAAUAAACUAAUAAUAUCCUUAUUUCAUUUGAAUUAGGAGUAUUUCAAAUUAAAAAAGAAUGAUUAAACUAUCUAAUUAAAUUAUUAGAGAAUAAUAAGUUAUUAUAUUUUUCUUUAGAAAACAGUUUCUUCUUUUUUUUAACAAUAUUUAGUUACUUAAUUUUCUUUAUUCGGUUCAUUUUUUCUUAUUUCGUUAAUCUUUUUAACCAAAACUCUCUUAAAUUCUUCUUUAUAUUAGCGUUAUAAUUAUACAAUGUCCCAACUUUUAUUAGAAAGAAAACUAUAGCAAAUUAUUAUCUCGAUUAAAUUUGAUUGUUGCAAUACAAUUGUCAUUUUAUUAAGAAAAAAUUGACCGUUGAGUUAUAUAAUAUUUUUUAUAUAAUUUUUAAAUAGAUAAAUUUAUCUAAAAUAUUAAUUAAUUCGAUCUAGUUAAACAAAUUAAAAUGAAAGUAAUUAUUUAAAAAUGUGUAUCGAGAGAUGCAACACUUAUAUUAAAGGGAAUUUAUUGGAAGCACUUGUACUCUUGUUUGUUUGAGAAAAGAUAAUAUGAAAUUUUGUUAUUUCAAAUAAAUAACUAUUUGUCUAUAUUAAUGGGACCUUAUUAGAAGCACAUGUACUCUUAUUUGUUUGAAAAAUAUAAUGUGAAAUCUUGUUAUUAUUUCAAUAAAUAGCUAUUGUUAGAGUGCAGACAAAAAAAUACAUAUAAUAAUUAAAUAAAAAUUUAUUUAAAUAACAUUUUAAAAUUAGAUAAUUUUCACUUCUUUCUCGACUGAGUAAUGAAAAAUUAUAUUGUUCAUACAUGCUUAAAAAUAUUUUUUUAAUAUAUAUAUAAUAGUGGUUGAACACUUGAAACAUUUUUUACUUUUUUAUUUGUGAAACUCACCUAAAUCUCAUUAGUUUAAGAGCUAAUUACUUAGAUGCACACUAUUUUUCAAUAUUAUGAAUCUUAUCAGAGUUGUGCUUUUAGAUACAUGUAUUUCGAUAUACAUGAGGUCAAUAUUAGGUAUAAUUCGUUCUAGGUACACUGCAUUCAAGUGAUUCGUAUGUAUCUGAGAUACAUAACAAAUCUCACAUCACCUCUCAUCUCACUCGACACUCUCCUUUAUGUCUACAUAUAAAUCACAACAGAUACAUACAAAAUAUUCCUCCCAAGUAACUACUCUACCUAGAAUAUUUUUCUCGAUUCCUAAAUUUUACUACAUUUUAUUUUUUUAUUCGAUUAAUUUUUCUCGAUCUUGAUCUAAAACUUUUAAAUUAGAUUUAAAACUCAUAGAAUGAACCAAUUUGAAUUAGAACCAUUUUAGUUGCAAAUCUUUAUUUUGUUUGAGAUUGAAUUUGAUUGUUGCAAUAUAGUUGAAGUAAGUUGUCAUUUUUCAAAUAUUGACUGACCAUAUAACUUUUCAUAAUAAGCGGAAAUAUUUAAUGCAAACUUUUUUCAUAAUAAAUAGAAACGUAGAAAUGUUCCAUAUAAAAAAAAAUAUAAAAAGUGAUAUAAUAAAUUGGUUAUUCUGAUAUUGUAGGCUAGAUGAUAUUUUGAUAUUAUACAUCAGAUGAGCUUAAGAUGAACUUGAAUUUUUUUUCGUGAACAUUCGAAAAAUAAAAAUAAAAAUUAUAUUUUUUUGUGUGAAUAAUAUUAAUAUGUAGGUAGCACCCAAUUUUGAAACGUCCCUAAUGGGUCUAGUUGGGUUCACGAAUCCUGAUUAUAAAAUUUAAUUUAUAUACAUUGAUAAUAUUAAAAAAUAUUUGCACCAUCAAAUUUAUCUAAUUACUUUAGGUGACUUAAUUAUAUAAACAAAUAACAACUAAAAUUAACACUUUUGCCCUCUUUUUCGAAGGAUAAAUUUGUAUUUUGGUAUUGUAUCGCAAAAGGGAAAAUAUAUAAGUACUCUUAAUCUAUGUUCAAAAAUCUCAGAAAGACACUUAUAUUAUACUAUAUUAUAAUGACACCAAACAAAUUUGAAAUAACAAAAUUUUUUUUGUGAUGAUUUUCGAUUAUAUUGAUAACUGAAUUAGAUACAAACUAAGCAAAAUAACAGAAAAUGGAGAAGUCAAAUUAUAGCUCCAUGGCUCGAUAGAUCUACAGAAGAGAUUGAGAAUGAAGAAAUUGGAUAAAAGGAGAACGAUUUUGGAGAAGAAGAUAACAUGCAAAUUCAUGCCCUCUCUAUUUUGUUAAGUCGUUUAAUCAAAUUGACUGAGUUGACAAAUUUGACUAAUCCCAACAAUUGAAGCUCACUAACUAUCAAUCAAUCUCAACCCUUCACGUGAUAAUUAUUACGACUAUAUUCUAAAUAGGUCUCAGCUCAUGACAUGUUCUAUUAUUCCUCAAACUUAUUUUAUAAAUAAUUUUUUUAAUUUUUUCGACUUACCUGAACACUAUUUUUUGAGCUCAAUACUUGUUCAUAAUUUUUUCAAUCUAUCUAUUUAAUAAUGUUACAUAUACAAAAAAUGAAUAGAAAAUUAUUAUAAAAUAACUUUUCAGUUAUAAAACUUUAGUAUAGUAUAAUUGUAUCUCGUUAUUGCAAAUCCUUAUUUUGUUAAAAGGGCGAGUACCACUACGGUCCACCGGUGCUACUCAGAGCUCAGCGCUAAGAGAGAUAUGAGCGGCACUUCAGGUCUUCUUCAGCUAUGGCAAGUUCCAUCCUCAUCACUGUUCUUCGGCCGUUCCAAAGGUACUGUUUUGUGUUUUUCAAUGCAGUGAAUUUAACCUAAAACACAAUUUUUUUUCUCCAGAUUGUUCUUACUCCGUGCACUUUGUAGAAAAUUUCAUUUCUCUAUAUUGUCUACCUAUUGGUCCUACACGAGAUUUUCAAAUAGCUUGAAUUUUGGUAAGAAUUUGAUGAACGUUCCGGGGCGCAGGUCUGUACUUGGUUCCUGUGCGUGUUAUGUAUCCAAUGUCAUGUUUCUGUAAGCAAAUGCAAACUACUACUUAUGCAAUUGUUAAAGGAAGCUAUGUAUCAAAUCCACAGAACCAACAAGAAAACAAAGUAUAGCUACUCCAUUACUUUCAAUUUUAGAUUUCUAAUACCAUUUUGAAUUAAUUUUUAUAGUUGGAUACUUACUGUGAAUUAGCUGAAUGAUGUUCUUUAAUUGUUUUUGUAGGAAAAAUUGACACCUAAGGUAGAAAAUGUAGGUGCUUUUCAAAAAUUACCCAUGGUAAUGCCGUCUGUAGAUAUUCUACAUUCAGCACUGAGGAAAGCAAAGAGGGUCUCGCCUACAAAGGGUAAUCUCGUGUUCUGCAUUUAUGUACUUUUUACUUCCACCUCAUCGUUGUAGUAUCAGUUCUUGUACUUGACUUAAGCAUGCACAGAUGAAAGGAAUGAUUGCAUUUAGUUAAAAUGUUUAACAGGCAUUGCUAAUGCUGCAAAACGUGAGAGAAAUAAAGGCGCAAAACAAAUUGACGCAUUAAUGAAGGUGACAGACUAAUGCUUCUCAUUGGUGGAUACAUCUAUAAUUUUGAUAUUCUCAUACGAAACAAAAUUUACAUUUAUCAUUCAUUUUGUAUAUGCAGGAGUUGGCUGUGCCCUUGAGGACAUACAAAGAGAACUUCCCAAACAAAAAAUAUUUGCACCCUUAUGAAAGAUCUUUGAUUGAGUUAACGCUCGGAGACGGAAACUAUGAAGAUGUAACUUACAAUCACCCUAGUAUCUUGUUCCAAAUAAUGUUAUUUCAGGGAAAUUUAGGUCAUCGGUAACUUUUCCUGCAGGCAAAUAGCUUUGAAUUUUGAAAAAUGAUUUUUUGACUCUUCAGAAAAGUACAUGUAGUUUAAAUUGGAAGUCUUAAAUGUCUCUGUCCUGAAAAUUAAAAGAUAGUAUAGAAGAAAAAAAGGAUCAAUGCUAGGAGCAUACAUCUUGGGGUUUGUUUUGUUUUAUGUCGUUUUUAGCUAAUCUAAGUAAAGCUCUGAGUUUGUGAAGUUAUUUGACACGUAUAUUUGACAGACAUGUAAUGAUUCUGUUGGGUCCUUCAGUUGGAUGGAGUGAUUUUCAGGGUCUGGCUUUAUGUUUCAAUAUUCAUUGAACUAGCAUUUUAGAUAUCCUCAACCCCUCUCAGGAGGUUAUGGUUUUCAUUUUUUGCAUGUUUUAAUGAAAGGUUCAACUGUUGAAACUCUAAAUUUAUCUGAAGUUUAUCUUUAUUACAUUUUGUUCAAUAUUUGGGACGUAAUGCUGGCACUCUGCUAAUUUUGAGUUAAUUGAUUGAGAAGAGAAACUAAUGUAUGUAUUCCGGGUUUUUUUUGGUGAAUUGAGGUGUCAACAUUUAGUGGUACAUCAUUUUUUUCUCUGUUCUUGUAUGGACUUUUUUUUUUGGGGUCUUUUCCUAUGAAUAGAACUAUAAUUUUUUUUUCCUUCUCAAAAAGGCAAAAAAAAAAAAAUGAAGAUGUGUAUCCAUUUUUUUCAUUUUCUUCUCUACCCUAGAUAUUUAUUUCAAUACUUUUGGUUUGUACCUCUCAUGUCUAACAUCUAAGUAACUACACUUUUGCAGGUAUUGGGAAAGUUAGAAGCUCUAAGGAAAAAGGUGGUAUCAGUUGGAAAGGAACAUGCAUCAUUAUGUGCUAAGGUUGGAAAACUAAUUGCAUAAAAUAGUAACCUACUUUGUAUUGUAUGCUGCUAUUCUUCUCACGUCUCCACGUUAUGUUGAAACAGUUUUAGGUAAAAUAGCCCUCUUGAUGACAUUCUUCUUUUUGCCCCGUAUGUAUUCCAUGUUAUUGCCAAGAUCUUUCAUAGAAAAUUCUCUUCCAAGUUGUAAAAUACCAACUCUGAGACAUGUGAUUGAUUUCUUCUUGUUACAAUAAUGUCAUCUACAUAUAUCAAGAGGAAUAUGAUACCUCUGUGAGUUUGCAGUGUGAACAAUGAGGGGUCUGCCUUACUAUAGGUGAAGCCAAGGUGUAGAAGAUGCAUGCUAAUCUAUCAAACUAGGGUCUUGUUGUCUGUUUUAGACCAUACAGUGCCUUCUUUAACAGAUAAACAUGGUGUGGAUACCUAGAGUCAAUAAAUCCAGGAGGUUGACUCAUGUAUACCUCUUCUUGCAAGAGACCAUGUUGGAAUGCAUUUUUGACAUCUAGCUGCCUGAUUUCCUACUUAAGCUAACAACAACUGAAAAAUCUACCACUCAUCAACCCAUACACGAUCUUGAGAAUGGAUGACAUGCUAACAGUUCAUGUUUAUUACAGAUGUUAUUAUGUUCUAUUUUCUCAUUAUCGAUUUGAUGAAGUAUUUAAGAAGUUAUUACUUUCUACUUUAUGGUUUCUGUUUCUAUUUAAGAUACAAAUCAAGUAAUUGAUGCAAUUUGUGCCAGUCAUUAUCUAAACGAGAAGCAGAGGAGCGACUGAAUGAGGUAGUCUGAUAGUUUCAGUUUUACUGAAUUUUAUAUUUAUCUGAUAUAAUCCAUAAGUUGAUCUGUGAAAGAGUGUCUUUGUAGGGAUUGAAAAGAAUUGAGGAGAUAUUUGAUGGCGAUGGAAAAGCUGUUGAUGAACUAUUGAACAUUGCCAAGGUAAGGCCAGUUAGGGAUUCGCUAUGAGUCGUAUAGAUGAACUAAAAGUAGAAAAAGAAGAGGUUAGAUCUAUGCUGACAUUAGUAUACUGAAAACUGAAAUGAAGUUUCAAACAAUUAUUACUGCGAACCUUCAUUUAACACAUCAGAAGGAUGUCAAGAAAAAAAGGGACAUGAUGCAAUUACAUCCAGUGUUAUCUUAAGAAAAAAGUGCAAAACAACUUCAAGGUCUGUCGGGGCUUUACGCGCAAAGUGCAAAUAAAGCGUAGGCUUUAAUAGAAAAAGAUGCAACUGGAGAAAACAUACCAAUAUAUAUGUUUAGUCCAAGAAUAAUAAUUAUAAGCAUGAAUAAAAAUAUAUGGAUAAAGAAACUGAUUUUUUGUUAACAGUUAAGUGAAAUAACAACUGCUUAGUGUCUCCUCUUCCUGAAAGUAUACAAGUAUAUUUGUUUAGUCCAAGAAUAAUAAUCAUAAGCAUGAGUAUCAUAUAUAUGGAUAAAGAAAUUGAAUCUUAGUAAAAGAUAAAGUGAAAUAACAAUUGUUUAGUGUCGUCUCUUCAGGAAAGUUUGUCUUAGAGCCUUGAUGACGACAUCUAAGCACACAUUUAGCGAAGCAAAACACUCAACAUGUUUUGAGCCUCGCUUUAGGGCUUAAGCACGCUCCUUUGAGCUUUGACAACAUUGAUUACAUCAAACGUCUGUGUCUAUGAUUUUACAACAAAAUACAGUAACAUUACAUGUCAUGAUAGCUGGCUUCCUGAUUGUGUGGAAGCAUUUUAGUUGAAUUUCCUAACAGAUGAUUAUUAAACAAUGAUCUUUGCUUGCGUAAUCGAAGAAAGUGGUUUCUGCCAGUCUCUGACAAAUUUCAUGGUGGCAGACAUUACGGGCAAUGCCAGUUGUCGAUCUGGAAACACCAACUCUCUGUCUUGUCGGUGCUCCCAAUGUCGGAAAAUCAUCUUUGGUUCGUGUACUUUCGACAGGGAAGCCUGAGGUAUGUACUAAGCUGGCUAGCUUUCGUUCCAGUUUUACUUGUUUUUUAUCUGGGAUAAGGGAUUUCACCCAUCAUUCUUUAGAUAGUUAUACAUAAUAAUAUGUAUGCUCUUGAGGAAGGCAAAUAUUCUAGAGUUACCAUCCAUUGAAAAAAGGCUAGUGCUAGUUUUUCAACCAUGGUUUUUACUUGGGUGCGAAGAAAUUUCUUAAUCUGAAUCUUGGUUUGCCUUCAAAUGCUUUUCUAAAAUUUGACCCGUAUUAGUUUUGCAAACUCAGGUCUCAAAUGUUAGUAUCUGUAAAAGUAAUAGUAAGGAAAAAGUGAAGUGGAAGAUAAGCAAUGAGAUGGAAGCUUAUGAAAUGACCAGAUAUGAUUAUAAACUAACAAUUAUUACCAAUCAAUUUAGUUUCCUCUUUACCUAAUUACUUUUAGUCAGUUAUUUUAUCUUGCUUGUUAUAUAGAUGUUUCUUAUGCUAGUAUGGCAAUAUCACAGGCAUGGAUUCAUUGGCAGACAGAUGAGUUUUGAGACUUGUCUGCAGCUUUACGAAUGAGAAAGGAAUUUGGUUUGAUGGUUUGACUAGGACUAAAUCCAAACUAUACAUACUUCCUUGCAUGCCCCUAUCAACCAUAUAGAAAAUUUUCGAUGUACUUUCUCCAGUUGAUGGCAUCCUUUUCAUCACAUACUUUUUUUUCCUUGAUUGAAUUCCCAUUAAUGUAACUGAAUCUAAUCAGAUCUGCAACUAUCCCUUCACUACUAGAGGAAUUCUGAUGGGUCAUAUUAAUUUGAGUUACCAGAAUUUUCAGGUUAGUCUUUAUUUCAAAGUGAAAAGGUUUUCUCAAAUGCUUCAUACCUUUUUGCUUCUUGUGCUAUUGUACUGAUUAAGCAUUUUCAUCUUCAGGUUACUGAUACCCCUGGUAUCUUAAGAAGAGCUGAUGGUAAAAGUUUCUUCUUGAUUUACCAUUUGAAUAACAUGAAUAUUUUUCUUAUGAACUCCUUUACUUUCUCCUACAUAAUGUAAAGAAACCGAUGACACAUUGUCACUUUUGUUGGUCACAAAGAUAAUUUGUACCAUAUGAUUUGUACAAAUUCUCUUGGUUUAUCUGUGGAUAAUGAUGUGUUUAUGGGGAAGAGAGUUAGUUGGAUUAAAACUUGGUAUACGAUUGACAGAACUUUUACCUUUGCAUGCAAAAAUCUUUUGGGUAAGUGUACUACUUAGACGACAAAUUAUUAUACUAAUAGCUGCAAUUUUGCUUAUCCAAGUAACAGUAUAGUUCUCCAAAGAACUAGAAUAAAAUUGGCUUGUUUGAGAUGAGGAGGUAUUGCUCAAUUUCUACAUUAGAAUGAAUCUAGUGAUGGGAAGUUGUCUGGAAUAGGUGUAAAUAGAAUUUCCCACGUUUUGACUUAAAAGAAAACUAAUGCAACUACAGUAUUCUUUUUGCUAGCUUCUUAAAACAGUGAGACAUUACUCAUACUUCUCUGAAUUUCUUUCUUAUAAUCUGGACUUUUGUAUUUUGCUGUAGACCCACUUAGUGGGAUUUCUGGGUAUGUUGUUCUUGUGUUUUGUUGUCAAGGAUUACAUCUCUUAUCUUUUUAUAUUUGUUUUUAACAGUUUUUCCUUUUAUUUUGAUUGAACCUGCAGAGGAAAGGAAUAACUUGGAAAAGUUAACACUUGCUGUUCUCACUCAUUUGCCUACUGCAGUACUUUAUGUUCAUGAUUUAUCUGGAGAAUGUGGGAUGUCACCUUCUGAUCAGGUUUCUCAUUGAUUUCUAUGUUUCUGUUUUUUACUGGAACUUUAAUCUUCAAAUCCACUAGUGGAGAGGAAUUCUUAAUUGUUGUAUACUGGAAUGAUUUAACCUGAAGGUGGGAUCUAUUAUAUAUGUGAAGUAAUUAUGCAUGUGUUGGAACUUGCGCAUUCAUGAUUUUGAUAAGCUAUUUUAUAUUAUUCUCCAAAUAAUGAGAAGAUGGAUAAAACGGGAACCAUCAUGUACUAGUAGUGUAUAUGGACAAAAAGUUGACGUACUAGACCUUGCAUAUUGGUGAUUUAGGAUGAACUAUUCUCUUCAAUAAUGAGAAGAUGGAUCAUAUGAGGAUGGUCACGAGCUAGUAAGGUGUACAUAUUUUCUCUAUCAGGAGCUAGUGAUGUAUAUAGUAAGGCGGUAGCUGUGCUAUUUAAGAGAUUCCAGUGAAUGCUUCCCGUUGCUUUCUAACUGUUUUAUUGUUUCUUCUAUUUGAUUUGGGGAUUGGCUGUCUCUACAUAAGAGCAUCUGUCUGCUAUAUAAGGUUUCGUCUGCCAUACAAGAAACUCUUUUCUUGUUUCUUUUGUUUGAUUGGGGGAUUGAUAUGCAAUGUUGUAAAUGUUCAUCAGUCAUCUGGAAAGCUUAGGAGAACGUCAAUACGCUUUGUGAUACUGUUUUUUGCUACAGCCAAUUUUUAGUCUUCUCUAUUUUUUCUCAUAGUAUAGAAAAUGUUUGAUUUCCAAGUGUGGUUUAUGCAGUUUGUGAUCUAUAAGGAAAUGCGAGAGAGAUUCAGCAGCCAUAUUUGGCUUGAUGUCGUGUCCAAAUGUGACUUACUGCAAGCAUCUCCUGUCAUCUUUGCAACAGAUGAUUGUAAUGUUGAUAACUUUGAGCUGGUGAGGUAUAGGAAGAUGGGACCUGAUGGAGCCCUAAAUGUGUCGGUAAAGAAUGAGAUUGGUCUUCAUGAGGUACCAUUCUGUUCCCCUUCUGGCAUAUUGCUAGUUAUUUUUAGCUUGGACACAAAAUAUAUAGCUUAUGAGCACCUAUCUGAAAUUGGCCGUGAAUUGUUAGUUUGUUUUUAUAAAGAUUUAAUUCUGUAUCAGCAGCAGAGGCAGAGACAUAAACAUGGAUGUUGAGUAUUUUUACUUAAGUUUCUUCUGCUUUCACUAUCCAUAGUUUCUCGGAGUUCACCCUAUAGGCUGAUAGAACUCUAUAGUCAGCAUGAAGUGCUAUGUUAUUUCGCUGAAGCAUUUUUCUUCGUUAGUAUGUUCUGAAAUGUUCGUUUGGGUUCUUGUAGUUGAAGAAAAGAGUUUACGAGCUGCUUGUUUCUCAAUCAGAAAGGAUCAAAAAUCAACAGAGCAAGGAGGAAGAGCUGGAAGUUCCAAGCUAGUUCGUCUAGUGAAAUUCCUACCAGAUCUCUAACCUGCUGGUAAUUAGCUGCAGGUUUUCGCGCUUGGUAAUUAGCUGGAUCAUGGUCUAUCGUGUAUGUACAUUCGUGAUUCGAUCUGUGGUGACACUAACACACAUCUGCAGGUCCAAGAAUAUGACAUGUUUCGACGCGUAUUUCUCGUGCAGUUGGACAAUGAGGUGCUCUAUAAGAUACACAGAUAUUCAGAUCAUUUGUCAAAUGGUGCAGAUGGGGUUGCCAUAUUCUGUAAGUUUUAGUUAUAGCAAUCUUUGAUAAUUUUUCUUUGGAAAAAUCUCUCAAAUGCUUUUUAAAUUUGAUUUAUUUUAUCUUUUUGUAAAUGUUAUUAAAAAUUUCUCUUAUUUAGUGGAUGGAGAUAUACCAUUUGAAUUUUUUUACAAGAACAUAUAAGCAUUUAUUUUUUCUGAAAUAAUGAUGUUAUAAUGUGUCACAAUUGUUAACAUGGUGGUUACUAUCAUCUUCUCUAGACUCAAUUAUGAAAAUUGAAAAGUCAUUUUAGCAUAUAGUUGACAUUUAUUAUAAUGCAAAAUAAAAAUAAAAAUGAAUAGACAAGACGAAGAGGACAUUUUAAUAUGGACACAUGAGCUUUUUCCAAUUUUUUGUUAUCCUCAAAUUGACCCUAGUGUCACGGACUUUUCAAUCUAGAUAAGACUCCGUGCGGCACUUGACGGUUUGCUCACGAAUCUUUCACGUAUUUCACAAACUCAAGUAAGCCUCACAAUUUUGGAUCGCUAAGAGAAAUCAAGAAGAAAGACAAAAGACAAUUUUGGAAGAAAAGACUUGUAUUGAUAUGUUGGUUGAUAGAUGUAUUACAAAUAUAAUGACUACCUAUUUAUACUACUCUAAACACUAAGAGUAAAUAAAUGCUACUCUAUAUACAAGCCCCUAAGUCCAUGCCCACAAGACAUGCUUCUAAGUCUUCCAAAAAAGGACUCCUAGCCUUGACUAGUCUGCCCCACGUCCUAGAGGCCUUGAGCAAGCCUCAUCAAGGCUUGAAACUGCUGCCCCUGAACCUUCUGUGACGGCUGUAACUGCUGUAACAGCUGAAACGACUGAAACUGCCGAAACGAUUGUAACGACUGCCCCUCCAAUUGCUGCCUGCUUGGGCGCCUGCACCUUGGUCUGACCGGUGUGGGCCACUAGACCCUUUGCGCCUGCUGCUGGCUGCCUAGGCAGGUCACGAUCUGCCUGGGUAUCGGGCGGGUCGUGACACUAGGCUCAAUGUGAGUUUGAAUCAUUUAGUUGCACUUUAUGAUAAAGAAAAACGAACAUUAUAGAAAUAUCUCAUUCAGUUUAGAAAAAUAACGUAAAGUUCGUUGAAAUGCAUAUCAAAUACUAUUGGAGAAAUUAUCAUACUUUAUUAAUUUUCUUUUGUUUGACUGAUUGAAGUCAAAGUUCCUACCUCGAUUGAUAAAUUUAAUGUGUUGAAAUUAAUUAUCAAGAAAUGUCACUUUUAUUUUCAUUGAAAUUACUCCUAUAUACAGAGUCGUUUUUGUAGACUAAACUUCUUUAGGAGCGAAAGAAAUUGUUGAAAUUUUAUGAUAAAUAUUCACUUUUUUAAGAAAAAUUGUCAAAAAAUUAAGCAAGAAAAAAAAGAUCCUAUUGGCUAGGGUACUUUUUUUUUUAUUUGUUUCACUUUGACUGAAAAGUAAUAUUUAAAAUUAUAAUAUUCUUAAAAACAAAUACGAAAUUAACAUAAAACAUGUGUAAUUUAAGAAUUUACCUUUUUUAUAAAUUCAUGAAGUUAUGAAGAUUCACAAGUAGAAUAACUAAAACAUUUAUGUUUUGAUUAAUUGAAAAAAUUAAACAUAAUUAAAUAUCGUAAGGAUCUACUCUUAGAAAAUAUUAUUUGAGAAUAAUUUGAUUAGCUCCAAGAGAUAAAAACAAGUAAUUAAUGUGUCUUUGAAGCCCUAAAUUGACAUGAUAGAGAAGUCCUAAAAGUUAUCUACGUAGUUAUCUUGGGAUGAUUUAUGAAUUCUUCGUUCUUAAUCAGAGAUAUAAAUUUGAAUAUAUAAGAAUAAAAAAGUUUGUUGGGAGCGAGCAAAAAUUGAAAUUUGAUUAAAUUUUAAUACAAAUAUAAAAUAUAAAGCAAAAAACAAAAACGAAACGCAAAAGAACACAUUAAAAGAGCCUUUUGACUAAGCACAGGCUCACUGUACGCAGUGGCUGAGAUUUCAAACAAGCAAUAACUAUCAUCAGUUUGACUUUGUUUUUCUUUUUUUUUUAUCGAUGUUCAGUAUUCAUAUUGAAAUUUGAUUAAAUUUAAAUAUAAAUUAGAAAGUCUUAAAGAUAAAACAUUCUCUGCCAAAAGAGACUUUGUAACAAGAGGGACUCAUACCCUAGACUUCGGAUUAAGAAUAAAGGACUACUUAGCAUUCUAUCACAAUCCUAAAUGCAAUCAUUAGUUGUAAUCAAUUUGGUUAAAUCAGAUUUAUAUCACAUAGAACUCAUUAAAGAAAAUUGGUUCAUACAAAAAAAAUAUUCUUCAUUCACAUAGGCUCAAAUAUAAAACCUUAUAACCAAUAAAUUGAAUUUGCAUCAUACAUAAUCAAUUACAAAAUGCUUAACACAAAUUUGAGAAAAAUUAUAAUCUCAAACACUUAAAACUCUGAACCUUAAUCCAAGCACUUUAAUUAGAGUCCACCAAAAAGAGAGAGUUCUAAAGUUCAUUGAUUAUAAUAAAUAUAAUAUUUUAAUGUCAAACUUUAUAUUAUUUUAUAUUAGCACACCUACAAACUUAGAGAUACAUAGUAAGAGAGACAAUACUCUAUAUUUCUAGGCUCUUUUUUGAGCCACUUAAAUUUAAAAAUUUUGCUUUUUUAUAUAUUGUGACAAUUACCAUCGACUAGCAAAUUUAAUCGCGAUUCAUUUUAAUUUUUUAACUUUUAAUUUAUGAAAAACAUGUAAGUUCUUGUUUUAAUGUGUUAUAUGUUCAUUCAUAGAAGAAAAAAGAAGAAGAGUUUUUUGGAGGCUGAGAAUUGACUAUACUUGCACAUGUUUUUGUAUGGUAUAUCUAGAAGAAUGGAAAUAUAAGUCAAAAAGGAAAAUGAGUGAGAGUGAUUUGUAAUAAAUCUUCAAAUGGAAGAAAAUUAAUAAUGUCAUAUUCAUUGACUAUUAAUCAACUUUAUUCCAAACCCUAAUGUGAAAACUUAUUUAGAAAUAGAAUCAUAUUCGUACUUUUUUUAAAAAAAAAAAAUAUCCCCACUUUUGGGACCUUUAAUAAUUAUUAGUAUAGUAAAAUCUGAUACUUUAUGAUCAAACGAUGUACUACAGUGAAUUUAAUUGUUUCUUUUUUAAUUGAUGGUUUUGAGUUUAAAUGUUGAGUAUAGUAAAAUCUAUAGUAAGAAGUGUUCUCCUUGUUCUCCUGAAUGAGCCCUAUGUAGCAUGAAUUUAAAUUAAUAAAAAUAUAAUAUGAAUAUCGAAUAUCAAAUCAAACGAGAAACGAAUAAAAAGAAUUUGUACCAUGCUUAGCAAAUAUGCGAAUAAAAGAAUAUAAUCCCUUUACUGAUGCAAAUAUUCUUUUUUGUUAUUCUAGGUGUAUCUUGUUAUAUACAUUCUUGAAUAUCGUGUAAAACAUUUUUAAACAAGUGAUGAAAAUUACGUUUAGAAUUUAAUUUGUUUUGUGUUUUUUGACUUUCAUAUAUCACACCAAAUUAUAUAAAAAAAAAGACAAAAAUAUUACAUAUGAAAUCAUGCCAUAGUUUAGGGUUAAUUACUUGUCUAUUACGGAGCAUAAUUAUUUUAAACUGCUUUAAGAAAACACCAAAUUUGAUUAAGACGACCUUAAUUAAGAUAAUUAAUAUAAAUUUAAAUUCAUCGAAAGUUAAAGCGAGUAUCAAGCAUAAACGUCGUCUGAUAUAUCUUUUAUUUAUAAGUUAAAUGUGAAAAUUUAUUUUUUAAAAAGACGCUAAAUAGUAUUAUUAUGAAAAAAAUCCCUUUUUAAUAAUAUGGAUAAAAGUCCAAACAAAAAUAAAGUAUAUAUAUAUAUAUUGCAUAAAAUGUCAAGGCUCUACUAAUACCCGCUCCGUUCCGUAUUAUUUGUCAUGUUUUCUAUUUUCAAAGUCAAACUAUAAAAAUUUUGAUUAAUAUUUUAAAAUGUAUUUUUUCAUUAUAUUAGUAUACAAAAAUUGCAAUUUAUAGUACUUUUCAUAUAGUUUUAGAAUAUCUAAAUUUUUGUUUAAAAUAUCAAAUUAAUGUAAUUCAGUUUAACUUUGAAAAUUAAUCAAAUUUUUGAAAAGCGCAACAUGAUAUACAAUACCGGAUGAAGGGAAUAAUGAAUAAAUAACAAACUCAAUUGGACUAUGGCUGAUCUAAUUAAUGAGAUAUAAUAAAUAAAUAUCCAAAGUCAAAAGAUUUGGUUAUUAGGGUUACUAUAGUAAUUUCGAUUCGUAUAGAAAAAUUUCACAUUGCAGAUCUUCAUAAAACGACUUUAUAUUCAGAGGAAUUUUAAAUUUUAAAUUUUUGAUUAAAUAUAAAUGAUUACUUAUCACUUUAUUCAAAUGCCUCGUACUCAAUAUCACGAGAGUGAAGACGAAGAAUAUUAAAAAGAGAAAACAAUAUCAUUUGUAAAACUUGUUUUUUUCUAUUUCCACUAUGAAAAUAAUUUAAUUUACUUUUAAAAAGUUAUUUUCAUAACAAAAAUAAUUUUCAAAAAAGUUUGACCGAUCAUUAAACAUAAAAAAGUAAAAAAUAUUUUUCUUUCACACAAAACACACAAGUCAUUCUCUAUUAAUUUUUCUUUCUUGUUGGCUGGAGGAGGUGGGGUUAGAGUUUUAGACAUCUAAGUUUGGUAGCAAUAAAUUAAAUUAACAUAAUUAUUGUAUAAUUAAUCCAUUAAAACAAGGUUGAAUAUUCUGCAAAAAAGUAAUUAAAAAAAAAGGAAGAUUCAAAUGCCACGUAGCAUAUAGACUAAUUGUAAAGAAAUGUGCUUACAAAAAGAAUUCAAUCUUUAAUUUAAUAUUUAGUCAAAUCAAACACUAAUUAUUACCUAAAAAAUUACUAAUUAUUUAUAUAUCAAAGUUUGGUUCGAUUUCCUUCAUUGGCGGUUGUAAAAUCAAAGUAGGAUUUACUUUAGAUUUUUCUUUUCUAACCAACUUUGAGAUAUUUUAUUUGAAUCGAGUGAUUUUUUAAAUAGUUUUAUAUUUAUCGUAAGCUUUACAGAUUCACCCGUUAUGAGAUUAUACUGAAUAUAUAUAUGAUAAAAUAAAAUUGACAAAUUUAUUAUGAUUCAUUAGAAGAUUUUUUUUUUUAAACAUGGAUCAAAUAAUUCAGUUGGAUUUUCUUAAGGUCAAAAUUAGCACAAGAUUUUAUAUAUGGAUUUUUAUCUAAUGUGGGUCACCAAAAUUUAGAAUCUUAGGUGGGAAAAUUAAAUGAAAUGAGAAAACACUUUUAUAAGUUUCUCUCAACAAAGUCAAAGGAAAUGAGUAAAUGGUCAACAUGGCAAUUGCAGUAUUUAUUAAUUAGCGGCGGAGUCAAAAUAUUUAAUUAAAGAAUUUAAAAUAUAAUGAAAUAAAUAUAUUAAAAAAGUUGAAAAUAUUUACUAUAUAUACAUAAGAUAAAAUAAUUUUAAUUGCGUACAAACACAAUAAUUUUUCGAUAAAAAGGGAUUCGAAUGGAAUAUUUAACCUUUAUUAGGCUUUGACUCUGAAGUACUUCAACAUGUUGAUGAUUAAGAUCUCUUCAUUCUUACUUUGAAUGUUGCCCUAAAAAGCGAGUUUUAUAACGCAUCAAUUUGAAUUAAGUCAAAUUUCAAUGACUAUCAAACAUUAAAUGAAAAAUAAUUUUCUUAACAAAAGUUUUUUUUUUUGUUUCUCACCUAACUUCGAGUUUAGAAAAUAGAAAAAUCUUAAUAAAAAUUUUCAAAGUGAUUUAAAUAGACGUUCAUUCCACUGCUUAAAUAAAAUAUUAACACAUGUACAAUAUAAUAAUUAUUGAUAAAUCAAGAAUCAAUCAAAUUAAAAGAGUUUGAAGAAAUAUUCUGUAUUUUCUUAUUUACAAUUAAUAAACUAUUGACUAUUUAUAUACAAAAAAAAAAUAUAAUUACAAGCAUAGCAUUAUGUCUUACACUACAUCAAAUCAUAUCUUACAAAUAUUAAUAUUAAUAAUAAUAUUAAAAAUGUGAUUUCUACAUAAUUAAAACACAAUAUUCUUCUCGGACUCUUAAAAAAUCACAAUUCACAUAUGCUAUUUUUAAAUCAUAUCAUAUAAUCAACACAAUCCAUGUUCCCUUAAUUAUUUAUCUACCUCCACUAAAAAAAAUAUUUACUAACAAAAGUUGAUUGAAAUUAGCAAAUUUAAGUAUAGUAAUUUUUUUAAUAUAAUUAUACUAUCAAGAUUUAUGUCUAUAUAUAACUAUCUUAUUUAUAAUUAGACGAUAUAAAUAUUCUUUUAUAUUUUUUUUAGUAUCUGAUAUUCAUAUUAGGUUGAUCAUAAUUAAUUAAUUUAAAUAUAUGUCACAUAAGGCUCAUUUAAGAAAAAGAAAACGUCUUAACAGUAUCUUUUUUAUAUUCACCAGAAUCUCUGAUUAAAAAUAAAAAUAUUCUAUUCAUCCCAUCCCGAAAAUAUACUUUAUACUUUUGAAAUGACUUAAGAUAGAGAAAAGUUGUGGUCUAUAUAAAGGUAGUAAUGAAAACAAACUUUCUAUACUUUCUCAAUAAUAUUUGACUUAGUGGUAUUUUAUCCAUUUCUCUACAAUUAUGACAACUUCUCAAUAUGUGGAUGAAAAUGGAGAAGAUGAUGGAUACACAAAAGAUGGAACUGUGAAUCUCAAAGGCAAUCCUAUACUUAGAUCCAAUACUGGUGGAUGGAAAGCUUGUUCCUUCAUUGUUGGUAUGUUAUGUUAUUAGCUCUCCCCCCCUACCCCCUACCCCGCUGCGGUGUCAUAGCCACAUAUAGCUUAGGAUGACCGAUUAGAUAUCUUUCGUAAGAAAAUUAUAAAAUGGCUAGUUAGAUAUCUUUCGUCAGAAAAUUAUAUUACAGUGUCUGAGGUUAUAGACACGCAAAUAGGCAUUUGUAUAUAGUCAACACUCUUUUUGAAGCCUAGAAGAGAAAAAAGUUCAUGAGUUAUGUUAAUGUCAUAUGUCCAUGAAAACCAUUCUAAGUGUAGGAAUCAUCCUCUACACUUACUUCUUUCCACUUGAUCAAUAUUUUUAAUGUUCGUGUAAAACAAGAGCUUAGUGUAUCUGAUUUUUUUAAAAAAAAGUAAAAUAUGAAUAUAUAUUUGUUUUAAGGAGGUUAAUUAAAUAGAUAAAUUAGAUAUAAAGUUAAGAAAAAGAAAUAUCUUAGUACAUUUGUGGCCUUAGACAUUAGUACAAUUAUAAAUUAUUUCAGAAAAAAAUUAAGAUUAAAUUAUUUUUAACGAAAAAAGAAUAUAAUAUUAUCAUAUAAAUUAAGACGAAAAAAAUUAUGUACGAUAUAGGGGCGCCCCUAGUAAACCAUUUUCAUCACUUUUAGCACGUGGCUAGACUUUGUCCAAUCGUAUAAUUCAUUAAGAAUAAAAAAGCUAUAAUAAUGUAAAAUAUAUAUAAAAAAUUCUUUUAACCUAUAUUAAAAAUACUAAACGACAAAUAUUUUAUUUCAAAAAAUGCUAAAAUUAUAGUUUUAUCAUAAGAUAUUGAUCUUUAUAACUUCUUGUGUUUUUAUUUUAAAUAUAUUCAAAGCUAAUGAUAACAACAUUUAACCAACUGGCUGAAAAACUAGUCAAAUAGUAAAAUAAAUAUACACAAAAUAUCUUUUUUUUUACUAAAAGAACUUAUAUCUCCAAAUAUAUUCUUUGAUACUUCCAAAUGGAUAAUGGAGAUCAUAUUUAGACAUCCCUUCUUCAAGAAUUUUAUCGUUUAUUCAUUGUUAUUUUGUUCGUAGCUGAUAAAAAUAUAUUACUAAUUUAUUAUUAAAUAGAAUUAACAAUGAAUUUUAUUGUUUAAAUAAUACAAUUUAGCGAUUGCUAAAUUCUUUUUAUGAUAAUGCUCUAAUAAUGCAUAUAUAGAUGUCCCAAGUCACUAUAGUAAAUCUAUGUCCAAUAUAUGUGUGAUGUCUUAAUUAAAUGUUUUGAGUUUGAGUGUUAAAUUAAUUUUAAAUUUUUUUUUAAAAGUGUCAUAUUUAGAACUGAGUCUUGCAGAAUUAAAAUUUAAACGAAAUUUAAUUAUAUGUCUAACGUGACAUCAGAUGGAAAACAAAACAAAAAACCUAUGUCCCACCUACUCAUUAAAUCUAGUAAAAUAAAUAUGUUAGUUUUUAUUUUGUUUAAGGAAUCAGCUGAUUUAUUUAUCCAAUUAAAUUAUAAGAUUUAGGAGUUAUUUCAUAAGGUAGGUUAAGGCUAAGAGUUGAGAUAUUAAAUUUAUAAGUUUUCAAGAAAAUAAUUUAUUUAAAUAUAAAUAUAAAAUUUAUUAAAUUUUAAAUUUAUAAAUAAAAUUUUAGAUACGCCUCUAAUUUUCGUAGAGUUUUUGAAAAGUCAUGUAGUUGCAUUUUAUUAAUGAGUAUACUACGUAACUAUGUGGUACUCAUAUUCUAAAUAAAGAAAAAACUCUAAAAAUUUAGACUUUAUAAUCUUAAAGAUACAUAUUAUAUAUCUUUUUUUUUUAAUAAUCUAAAUAUAUAUACUUUAUUUAAAUUGAAGAAAGAAAUUAAAGUCCGUUUUAUUAUAUCGACUAUUAAAUGCAUUGAUUUCUCCAUCAAUCUUUUGGCAAUUAAAUUAAUAACUUGUCCUACACAUUCAUUUUAAGUUCCACCAACUCUUUGUUGCAACCAACUCAACCAUAAAUAAAUAAGUUAAAAUACUAUCGAUAAAUAUCGUGCAGUGGCUGAUAAUGCUUUAUUUUUAAUUGAAAAUUUCAAAUUCUAAUCUAAGUAUAAAAAGAUCCUUUAUAGGAAGCUUUUUCCCUCAAAAUGACACCCUAUGCCAUAUGAAUCUAAAUUAGUCAAAAUUCAAUAUAACUAUCGAACAUCGAAUGUAAAACCAUAAAAAAAAAAUUAAGUUAGAACAACCCAAGACCGAUGAGCUCAUUAUCAAGGGCGAAUCUAAUAAUUUCUCCUCCAAUUAUACUAUAUAUAUUAUUAUUAUUAUUAAUGGCGCGACUAAAAUUUAUAGUUUAUCAUAUCAUAAUUUUCUUACGUAUUGAAUUUACAUAGAUUACUGAUACAAAAUAAAUAUUAUUAUUUUAAAAUACAAAUAUAAUAUUUAAAUUAUUUUAUUGAAUUUAAUCGAAUUCGUAGUUAUUACCGUGACUUCAUCCUCAAUUAUUUGACUUUGUUAUUAUUGUUAGCAAUAUAAUAUUUUGUUUGAUGAAUUUGCAGUAUAUGAAGUUUUCGAACGUAUGGCAUACUAUGGUAUAUCAUCAAAUUUAGUAAUAUAUUUAACAGAAAAAUUGCAUCAAGGCACUGUUAAAUCAUCAAAUAAUGUCACAAAUUGGGUUGGAACUAUAUGGAUGACUCCUAUUUUGGGAGCCUACUUUGCUGAUGCUUAUCUUGGACGUUAUUGGACUUUCUUGAUUGCUUGUGGCAUAUAUCUCUUGGUACGUAUCGAUAAUUUUCGUAGCUAAUUUCAUAUUUUUUACUAGCCGUAAACAGCGGUAGAGUCACCUAGUUUGAACCCUCUUUGACAGAAAUUUAUAUUAUUUUCAUAUAAUUAAAAGGAAAAAUGCACAAGUAUCCCCUCAAUCUAUGUCCGAAAUUUCAGAGACACAUAUACUAUAUAAAGGUUUAUUAUCCCUCUGAACUUAUUUUAUAAGUAAUUUUCUACACCUUUUCGGCCUACGUGGCACUAGCUUGAAAAAAAAUCAACCAGCGUUGGGCCCGCAAGAUAGUGCCACGUUGGCCAAAAAGGUGUAGAAAAUUAUUAAUAAAAUAAGUUCAGGGGAGUAAUAGGACCUUAGUAAAGAAGUAUAAGUGUGUCUCUGAAAUUUCAGGCAUAGGUUGAAGGGAUACUUGUGCAUUAUUCCUUAUUAAAAUAAUUUUUUAGGUAUAUACCGUAGAUGCCUAACUCCCUUUGCUUACUUCAUGUGUAUAUUUCUUCAGAUUUUGAACUCUCUUAUAAAUUUUUUUGACCCCGCCUGUUAUUGUGAAUGCACCAAUCCAAACUCAAAUAUUUCUUUUGUUAAAAUGACAUUUAAUUUAAGACAGAAGAAAUAUAUGAAUAAGGGCUAGGGUUAUCUGAAUAUGAACGAAUUAAAAUAAAUUGAGUUAAUAAAUAAAUACGUCACGAAUAUAUAUUGUUGUGUAAUUUCCAUAAACCAAACUUGUUGACUUAAUGUAAGAAUAUUCAUGUCCAAUAAUUGGGUAAGAAAAAACUCUUAUCUUUUAUGUCAUUAAUAUGAAAGAUUGACUUAGGAUGAAUUGUCAUGUUCAUGUAUAUAAUUUAAAAUAAUAUAAAAGCUAAGAAAAAUUUCAUAAAUUAUUUAUUUUUGUAACUUGACAACUUGAUUUUACGUAAUUACCAAAAAAAUAAAAAACAAAAUAAUGAAGUCACGACAAAGAUAUAAUAGGACCAUGCUAUUAUAUUUUCUUGUAUUUAAUUCUUCCAAUUUAAAAUAGUUUGAUGUUUUAAUCUCGAGUCAAAAUAAUUAUAAUAUUUUAUAAAAUCAAGAAGAUAUUUGAUUUUUUUAUUGAUCCAUUUUUUUUAAAAAAUACUAAUUAUUUUGAAUCGAAGGGAGCAAUAUUUGUCAGUUCAGUCUAUUAUUGACUCUACAGAGUCUAUUUUUGGAUUUUUGCUUGAAUUUUCCACUAUAUACAAAUACUUUUUUGUUGUUUUUUUCUGCAAGUUGUUUUCCUCUAAAUUAUGUUCAAAGUUGGUGUACUUAUCUAGAAAAAUUAGUUCAAAUUAAUCAAUAAUUAUCUAUUGGUGGAAGCUAGCGAAACGCAUGAUGUUAAAAUUAGAUAUAUAUUAUAAAUAUUAUUUAAGUUAAAAACGAUAGAAUUGACCAAUAAUUAUCUAUCAAGUUUGAGCCUUAGCUAGUUGAUGUAAAAGAUUACUCAACUAUAAAAAAUGAGAAAAACACCAUUUUACAUAUGAUGAAAAGGUCAUGUAAUGUCUGUAAGACUCUAGCCAAUAGACUAAACCUUCAACUCAUUUCAAGAGGUGUCAGUUUAAUCAUUAUAUACAACGUAAUUUUUCGACGAAGGAGUGUCGCUCGACACCUCUUGGACCAAGGUAGGUUCGCCACUGGGUCGAUCCUAUACUAUUUGAACUUAUCUUGAGAACACAUUAUGAGAGAUGUUUGAAACAGGUUAAUUGAUUGAUUAUAUGCAUAUCGUGUCUUGAAAAUUGUAAUAUUUUACUGCAUGUUAGUACUAAUGACAAUAGGAGACGUUAUAAUUAACCAAAUUUCAUUAAAAAUUGUCACAGGGUAUGUCAUUACUAACCCUAGCAGUAUCAAUCAAUGGCCUAAAGCCUCCUCAUUGUUCCAAUCCAAGUUCAAUUGACUGCAAAAAAGCAUCCACACUUCAACUAGCUGUGUUCUUUGGUGCACUCUACACCUUAGCGGUCGGCACGGGUGGCACGAAACCCAACAUAUCGACGAUAGGAGCCGAUCAAUUCGACGAAUUUCACCCUAGGGAAAAAUCCCAAAAACUUUCAUUUUUCAAUUGGUGGAUGUUCAGCAUUUUCCUAGGGACACUAUUUGCUAACACUGUGCUUGUAUACAUUCAAGACAAUGUGGGCUGGUCACUUGGAUAUGGGCUUCCAACAUUGGGCCUUGCUAUAUCUAUAGUGAUAUUUUUGGCUGGAUCAUCUUUUUAUAGACAUAAAAAGCCCAGAGGAAGCCCAUUUACAAGAAUGGCUAAAGUCAUUAUUGCUUCAUUAAGGAAAUGGAAGAUUAAAGUCCCUAAUGAUCCAAAAGAGUUAUAUGAGCUUGAUUUGGGAGAAUAUACAAAAAAUGGAAAAGUUAGAAUUGACUCCACUCCUACUUUGAGGUUUGUACAUAUUAUACUUGUUCCAUCGAAAUUUCUAAGAAGUCAAAAGUGUUUAUUUUAGAAAGUCGAGUCGUUUGACCAAGCUUUAGAGAAAAAAAAAAGAAUGUUUUUGAGUGUUAGCACUCUUUGAUAAAAAAAAAAAAUACGUUUCAAGAUAAGCAGAUUUUUGAAGCUUGACCAAACAGACUAUUAGUUAUAUACACUAACAGUAUUAGUGUAUAACCUUAUUUGUUUAGAACCUACCCUUACUAUAAACAAGUACUGGUAUUUUAAUUGACACGAAGUUUAAUAUAUUAGUUUAGCGUGUUUAUAUGAUAUAGGAGUGCUAAUGAUGAAGGAAGAAUAUACAUAAAAAAAAGUGUGUAGUUCAAUGAAAUUUAAUACGAUUUCUCGAUAUGACGGAUUUUCAUGUUUGAUGUAGGUUUUUGAACAAAGCUUGUGUUAAAGUAGAUACAACUAAUCCAUGGAUGUUAUGUUCAGUUACUCAAGUAGAAGAGACUAAGCAAAUGCUAAGGAUGAUACCAAUUUUGAUUGCUACAUUCAUUCCAAGUACAAUGUUAGCUCAAAUCAACACACUCUUUGUCAAACAAGGCACAACUCUUCAGAGAAACAUUGGUAGUUUCAGUAUCCCUCCAGCUAGUCUAAGUGGAUUCGUUACCAUAUCGAUGCUAGUCUCCGUUGUGUUAUAUGAUCGUUUCUUCAUGAAAAUCGUCAAAAGAUUGACGAAAAAUCCAAGAGGGGUAAACAUACUUCAGAGGAUGGGAAUUGGAAUGGCUUUUCAUAUUGUGAUCAUGUUAGUUGCAUCGUUUGUUGAGAGGUAUAGGCUUAGUGUAGCAAGGGAUCAUGGACUAGUCGAAAAUGGUAAACAAGUACCGUUAACUAUCAUGAUUUUGUUGCCUCAGUUUAUUCUUAUGGGAACUGCUGAUGCAUUCUUGGAAGUAGCCAAGAUUGAGUUUUUCUAUGAUCAAGCUCCAGAAGGAAUGAAGAGUCUUGGAACUUCUUAUUCAAUGACUAGUCUUGGUGUUGGGAGUUUUCUUAGCAGCUUCUUGCUUUCGACAGUUUCUCGUAUCACUAAAAAGCACGGGAAUCACAAAGGAUGGAUAUUAAACAACCUGAAUGUAUCUCAUCUUGACUAUUACUACGCGUUCUUCGCGAUACUCAACUUAUUGAACUUCUUCUUUUUCCUGUUUGUGAGCAAGUUUUAUGAAUACAAAGCUGAAGUCUCUGAUUCACUGUCUGUGCUAAGGCAAGAAUUGGAGAUCGAAUCGAGACAUCGGGUAACUAAUAGCCAAGAAGGUUCAACCAACACACAGGUGAAUGGUUCUACAUAGGAAUUUAACUAACAUUUAUAUUUUGCUCCAUACUUCUUUUCUGUUUUAUAGCUAGGUAGUGUAUACUAUAUUGUUUAUGGCUUGAAUCCUCCAAAAAUUCCGCUGCACCCAUGUCAGAUCCUCCGAAAAUGCAGCCUCAGUAUUUUGCAUUUUUAGAGGAUCUGACACUGAUGCACCAGUAUUUUUGAGAAUCUGAGCAAUAUAGCUAUACCAGACAAUAGUUUUGUGUACCUCCCCUCUCUUUGUUAUGAUUUUCACACGAUUGUAAUGAUAAUCAUUUAAAUAUAGUUGUUUCGAGAUAUUCAAGGCCAUGCUUAUCUUAUUGAACAGCAUUUUCAAUUUCAUAGCUGAUAUCUCUAAAUGAAAUAGUUCAUAAUCUGAGUAGAACUUGAUGAUCUAUUUAUUCUACCUUUGCUAGAAAUACCGUCUCCAACUCGUAUGCUAAUAUGAUAAUAUUCACUAUAUACAAUAAUAUGUGGUCAAAAUAAUGAUCUCUCAAGACAUGCAGAAGAUAGCAGAAGUAUUGUACAUUAGCGCAUUCCACCACGUAGAGUAAAGUACUCGUAAUGCCUAGUUAAUGAGGAAAAUAAGAAGAAAUAUUAGUACACUUGCUAUUACUCUCAAGUGAUUCAGGGUUUUUUAACUUAUCAUCCAUCCUUUGAAAUCCUUCAAAUGAAUCAAUCUUAUAGCAGAUUACCUGUAAGAAUCCGUCUUUCUUCCGUUAUCUUUACCCUUUUUUUUUGUACAUGUGAUAUUUUUUUUAUGAUAUGUUGGCAUGUUUUCUCUAAUAUGGCCUCCUUUUUGCUAAUUGGAAUGUUUUCUUCAAGAAGUGAUUAGCAACUUUGUCAUUUCUAUGACAAACUACCCUCAAGAUUGUAUUGGGAUCUGCUCGAUUCCAUCGUCCUGUUGUUGGAGGCAUAGGUAGUUUCUGUCCUGAUCCCACAACUCCCAUUCCGCUAGUUUCACAUGCCACGAUGCUGAAAUCUUCAACCAAUUGCUCAGUUGAUUGUCCCAUUAAAGCUAUCACCCCCUCGACCGUCUCAGCUUCUGUGUCCACAACAUCCUCUACUACCAAUCCUUCACCACAAGUACAGAACACCCUCUUUAGGCUCUCAAAGUCCUCUUCUAUUAUCUGAUGAUCCGCUCUCGAAAAGAUUCUUUUGCUUCCUCCUGCUAGUAGAACCAUGAGGUAGGCCUCAAAUGAAGCCUUCAUUACUUCUUUUAAGGCCAAUGGCUGAGCCUUGUCAGUGAGGAUCGCGCAUAAAAGAGUGAGGUUUUGCUUGAGUGCCCUUAAUGCGGGUCGUAUACGUGUGCUCUGAACAUCCCUGAUAUAGAGGUUACCGUAGAAUACGCAGUGAGAAUCGAAGAAAAUGAGACGAUAAGCAGCAACUUCUGAUACGUGUUGUAAUGCUACUUGGAUGGCUGAACGCGUGUGAUCAAAGUAGGAGUAGCUUCCUAUCUGCCUAUUCUUGCUGUGACGACUUCUUGGAGUAGGGACAGUUUUCGAGGAGAUUGAUAGAGUUUUAUCAAGGGAAUGGAGUUGUAGAAGAAAGUAAUGCAAGGUGUUUAGCCUUAUAUAUAGGCGUUGUGUCCCUCGGCUCGUUGAAAGUCGGGGAUGAUUGCCUUCAUCUGCUAUAUGAUGGUUCUGUUCAUCUGCUCCUACACUGCAAACAGCAAACUUCCACAGUUUGGAAAACCUCGAAUCUUGGCUACAUCUUGUUAGAGGAGGAAGUGUCGGAAUGUAGCUUUGCUUUGACCCUAUAAAAGGAACCAAAGACAAAAGAACAGAUUAACUAUUUGAGCACUACAGUUACGAGUUUAGCAGAACCUAGUAACUUUGGCUCAAACUUUGUACAUUCGUUAAAACAUUUCAUUUAAUAUGUACACAUUCAAAACUCGUAAACUAAAAAAUAUGGCGUUGCCUCGUUCUUUAGGUAUGAAAUGAAACGAGUUUUAGGAAUUAUGUUCUUACCACAUGAUGUGGCAAAGGUAACAUAUUCCUUGAACAGAUGCUCAAAGCCAACAGCAAGAUCCUCUACUAAGUCCUCUGACAUGGCCAUCGGGAUUUCGAAGAAAUUGUCCACAGCUUCUUUAGCAUGUCUCAUUAGAUCAACUGCUGAUUGUGCAUAUGGCUCGCUUUUGGAUUUUGGAUUCCACGUCUGCAUAUCAAAGUUUACUACAGUGUCGGAACCAGUAUUUUCACUAAGUGAAUUCAAAAUAUAAAGAAGUAAACACACGAAGACUUACUUCAGUUUCUUUUGCCCUCAUUAUAAUCUCUUUCCCUUUCUUCAACCUUUCUUGAAUCCAUUUCCGCAGAAGAUUCAUUAUGAUUGAAUCAGUUUCAUAAGGAAUCAUCUCUGACAAUGUGGCUUUGCCUCCAUCUUCACAUUCAUCCGAAUCCUCCACGACCAUUUGGAUUAAUACUUUUUCGAGUUUUCCAGCCUUCUGCAAUACAGAAACUGUCUGUUUUGUGAGUAAAGUCGCGCCCGUGAGAUAUUGCUUCAACAAAGUUCCAUAGCAAGAAUGUAAUGCCACAGCUGCUACUCCUGCUGCAAUAGGAUGCCAUUUCUUGAGUAUAGGGCUGAAAGUUUCCUUCUCCUUAUUUGCUAAUUCUUCAGUUUCAUAGGCUAACUUAAUUAGUGUCUGACUCACAUCUUCCAAUUCAAAACUUGCACCAUCUAUGCUCAUUUCUUCCAAUAUCUGUUUUGCACAAUAAGAAUAGUGUUACAUCAAAGAAACUUGAAGAUAAAUAAAACUAAAAGGACGUCGACAACCAUACGGUCUCAUGUUCCAUCUGUCCUAGCCUUAGUGGACAGAGUUAUCUAGUAUCUAUUACUAGUGGGAGGUGACAGGUAUCUCGUAUCGGGACACUAGGGUCGAAACCUAUGCUGCUCAAACCCUUCAAAAAUCUUUCACACCUCUUUCGGAUCCUUCAAAAGUGCAUAGCUUUUGAAGGAUUCGACAAACACCCUCGAGAAUAUUCUUAAAGAGUCCGAGCAACAUAGGUCGAAAGAAAGGCUAAAAAUACUAAAGUUUAACAUCAAUGACUCAACUUCAUAAAGUUAAAUGUAAACUAAGGAAUGUGACAUGCUAUAAUGAGAUUGAAAUACACAUUCGUCAGUAUAUAUAACUUAAAUCCAGAAUACUAACCUUAGCAAAUGCAUCCCUCAUUGACGAACGAAUAAAGUAACAAACUUUAUUUCCAUCUGAAUCAUCCUCCGCGAGUUCAUCCCUUUUCUCCAAAACAUCAGAACUAUACCCCGGAACAUCUUCCUCUAAUAUCUUCAUGGACGCGAAGAAUAAAGGAAGAUUAUUCUCCAACAAACCAGCACUCCCCCUAUUGAAACUAUCGUGAUAGUUAACCAAUCUUUUCUCCGACCAUUCCCUUAUCAAUAUCAAAACAUUUGCCAACAUCUUAACAUAAAAAGGAUCAUUAUCAGCUUUCUUAGCAUCAGUAGCAACUUCAGUACUCAACAUGAUCAUCGCUGCGCCUAAAAGAUCAGGCUCAACCUGACCAGUAACGAUAUACUGCUCGAAUAACACCCAAGUGAAACACAAGUUAUGAAGUGAUUUGUUUACACCCAAAAUCACCCAUGUUUUUUUCAUCAAUUCAAGGAGCUCGUCGACUUCAUCAAGAACCAUUGUAUCGUCUUUUAAGUCGAAAACAGAGGAUAACAGAGCAGUAUAAAUGUGGAUAUUUAAAGGGAAUCCAUCAGCCCAAUGACAAAUAUCAGUUGCUGAACCAUCACUUGUUCUCCAAGCUAAGGACACUACUGAAUUGCAAAGUGCUCUCAUUGUCUCCGAAUUCUUCCCAGUGUCGAUAGCUUUCGUUUCAGCUGAUCUUAUGAUAUCUCUGAAGCGUUUCGCGGAUGUGUUUGAUUUUUCUACUGGCAAUGAAGGGUAAAGGAGAAGCCCUGCUUCAAGGAUUCUGAACUGACGUUUUUGCCAUUGAUGAUACUCGUGUGAAUCGUUGAAUUCGGAUGGUUUAAGAUGGCGUAAUAGCUCUAAUGGUAAGAUUAUUGUCUCUGCUCGUCUUCCCAUCUGUAUAAAAUUUCACAAAUAUUUGUUCAAUUUGCCAUACUCUUCAAAUUUUAAACUCAUUCACAUAAAAAAAAGGUCUUAUAUGAGCUAAUGUUGCUCGAACUCUUUAAAAAUGUCGCUAACUGCGUGCUCGAUUCUCCAACAACAAUUUAUCUUUUGAGAAUCUGAUACACGUUUAGCAACAUUUCUGAAGAGUCUGCAUAACAUAGUUGUGGCACUACAUCAAAAAUGAGUUUUAGCGACAAUCAAUUAGCAAUUGCCACUAAAUAUGUAUUUUUAGCAGCGACAUGUCUAAAACAUAAACAUUUGAAUCUUUUGAUAUUAAAAGUGUCAUAAUAUUUCGAUGGCAAUAAGUAGUUUUGCAUUAAGGGUAAAAUGAAAAGGGAAAAUGAUUUUCAUGAGAAAAAAAAAAUAGGUAUACUAAGGGUGUGUUCGGUGCGAACUAAAUAUUUUUCUUCGUAACAAACACGUCGGUUUGGGUGCACCCAAACCGCUCUUCAACCGCUUGCGGCAGAAUUUCGAUAGAGCUACAAGCCUAGUUAUUUUUUUUUUUGUUUUAUGUUGUGUGCUUUUAAAAUGCAUGCAAAAAGACAUUAAACAUGCAAAAUAAGACAUAAUGUACGUACUUGUCCAACAAGAGUUCUCAUGAGAGUUUUACGUAGCCUACUAUCACUUUGCUCCGACACCCUCAUUUGCCGCCUCAUUAUCUCGGCCGACGUCAUCGGUCUUCGUGCCCUCGAAUGGGGCACGGUGAAUCCCACCUUAGGGCUAGUACCGCCCCCGGGGGACGAGGGGUUGCCUCCGUAAGAGCUAGCUCUUCGUGAACGUGACCGUUUCAACAUCUUCAACCCUAGCGCGGUUUUCACCUUGCUAGUCACGGCCAUCCCUACCCCGGAUGGCUUCACCGGUGAUCCGGGGCUGGUAGAUCCAGCCCCGGACCCGCUUCCAUCUCCUCCUUCAGACGGAUUAUGAUACGAGAUAGCCAUCCUACUCCCGAACCCCGGUGAUGACCGACAUGCGGUGAAGAAUAUCUCGUAAGCCGCGUCGCGGAAAUGGUCACGAUGAAGACCGUCAAUAUUUUCAAAUGGACAAAUAAGGUCAAUGUCAAUGGACGCAACAUCUUCGCCAAUAGUAUUUGCAUGGCGAAGAUGUUGCGUCAUGGUGGUCGUAGUAGGUGCCAUUAUAUAUAUGAGCUAGCUACUACGACAAACUAUGUGACGGAUAUUUUAAAUUUGUCAAAUAUCCGGCCGUAGAAGGCGGAGAGAGAAGCCGGUGAACAUUAGAAUUAUUAUUAUUUUUUUCGAGGCAAAGAAUGAAAGAAGCGAGAAAGAGAGAAAGAAAAAACAAAUAGUAGAGAGAAUAAUAGAUGGUUAUGUGAAACUCUUAAUUUGUAUUUCUCCGAUAAUAACGAAGAACCAAAGGUGGUGAAACAAGAGAUAAUUAGACGCAUACCUAAUUUUUUAAAAAAUUAGUAAAGAAAAAAAAUGGUUUCUCUUAUUUAUUAUUAAAAUAUUUUGACACCAUUUAUUUAUUUCCUUAAUCUCUACAAGGUAACCACACAGGUUUUUGUUUUUAAUUUGAUUUUCCGCUCGAUGUCUGAUAUUACUGUUCAACUAAAUCCAAAUUCUAGUUGAUUAAAUGUCGAUACGCAUAAGAACGUCAUGCACACAUGACACAACUAGUUAUUAAAGAUGGAUUUGGGACCCAGACAAUAAUUAACAACUAUCUAAAAGGAAGACGGAUGAGAAAGAAUAUUUUUGUAACGUAUAUCAACCUAACGCUGUUAGUUUUUUUUAAAAAUGAAAUAUACCCUAAAAUGUUACUGUGAUAUACGUUUAUCUACUUUUGUAAAAAAAAAAUUUAAAAAAAUAUUAUUUUAAUGAAUUACUUUAUAAAAUGACUUAGUUUGGUCAAUAAUUCUAUAUAAAUGUCUAUAUAUGAUUAAUAAAAUUCAUAUGAAACAUUUUUUCGUUCAUAUUUUCUACCUUACUGCUUACACCCUCCCUAAUAACAAUAUCAAUUAGAAGAAAUUUUUUUACUAUCAUACAUAACAUUAAAAAACAAAGUUAAGGAUUUAAAUUAUGAGUUCAGAAUUUUAUAAUAAUUAUUUUAAGUGAUAAUAGUAGGUUAUAAAUUUAAUAUCUAUACAUAUUUAAUAAAUUUAUUAACACAAAUACAUCAUUUAAACAAAAUUUACAGAAUUCAAUCAAACUCGCAUGCAGACUAUUAACUCUGGCCUUGCAUAAUACGAUAAACAUUAAUAACAUAAUCCUUUGAGAUUAGAGAGUUCAGUUUAUGUAGAGAUUUAUUUCUUUGUAGUUUCAUCUCAUAUAUAUAUAAAUAUAUUUUAUGUUGCUUUUUAUGUUCUUUAAUUUAUCAUUGUUCAAUAGUAGUAAAAUUAUUUUUUUCAUAAACUAUGACAUUAUACAUCCAUUUAUGAUAUUACAAAGUUUAGCCUGCUUGAUUUAUUAAAGAACUGGAUUAUGCUGAAAGAAAUUAGUAGGCUUGAGCUCAAAACCAGUGCUUAAUGUUGGCAUAAUUGGAAAAUCUUCUUGUUUGGGUACAUGAUGAACACCAAAUGUAUACCAUAAUAUAAUAUCCUUGUUCUUGAUUUUCCUAUCCCUUAUCGUAAAACAAAUACUCCCGAACGUUAGAAUUAAAAAGAGUUGUCAGAAGAGACGUUAACAGAUUAAAAAAGAAAGUAAGACAAACGACCUAAAACAAGAGAGUAGUACUAUAUAGAAUCUAUUGCGCGUAUUACCUAAGGCUCCAUACGGCUAAUGUAUCAUCCCCAUGGCUUUGAUCAGUAUACAAUCCUCCUGCCCAUUUCUCGGACUUGUUAUAAGGUGUUACCCACACAUUAUACUUGGUAAAACCUCCGCGCGCUUGAGGGUAAUCGUUGUCACUUAACAAUGGACUUGUUGCAGAUCCACCCGGGAUCAAACAGUAGCCUAUUUCAUUCCCAAUCUCUGUCUUCUUGUUCGGGUUCACCACUACCAUUUCAAAGGCGCCUCGUGAUGAACCUAGCUGAAUCUUUGCAUCUGAUUCUGUUUCAGCUGUUUCACUAACAACUGUCCAAUAACUCUUUCUUGGUGAACUUUUAUGGAUUACGCGUCUAGUUUUUAAGUUAUUUUUCACAAAGGAGUUUUCAUGACCGUCUACGUCUAAAUCAAGGUGAUAGGUAAAGAAAUGAUCAUGAUAUGCACCUAGUGUGUUUUCUGCUAUUAGUGUACCAUACACUUCUUCUUUUAUCUGAUCGCUAUGAGUAUAUAUCGAUCCCCUUACUUCAAGUAGACCAGUUAACCCAACCUGUACAUGUCAAUGAAUUCGGAAAAAGUUGAUACUUAGUGUAAGCUACGGCCUAAAACAGACGUUUUACCUUACUCAUGAUAUCGUGGUUUACUUACCGUGACUUUGAUGGUGCCACUUCAUUUGAAUUCAUAGUCAGUAAUGUAAUCAUAAUUCCCUACAGUCGACACCAUUCUCACCACCAGGCUUACCUCCGGUCUAAUCUUUCGUAUCUGCAGCUCCAAAUUUUUUGAAAUGAACGAGAAGUACUAAAUAAUCCGAAAACACUUUAUCAAACAAGAGGAUUAUAUACUAUACUAACUUACCUUUUCUCCGGGAAUUGCAUCCUCUGUAUGGCGCCACAUGAUAUCUCCAGCAUAACGUUCGAAUAUACAAAUUACAUUAGGCAUUUUUCCUGGUGUACCAUCUUGAGAUAUGAAGUAGCCAUCAAUAAACUUCGCGUUCUCUGGACAAUCUUUUGAUGGUUCAAGCUCUACAGCGCAUAGACCAAAUCCAAAUUCACCUGCAUUGAAAUAAGUCCUGUAGUACCAUUCUUCAGUUAAAUCCAUGUAUGGCACAAAAACUUCAGACGCAAAUCCUCUGUACAUUACACUCCGAAAUUCUCCUUUGUCAUCAUCAAACAUCGAUGCUAGUGAUAUGAUUAUUCCCGCUCUCAUGUCAUACGCUACGUGGAACUUCCAAUCAACCCACCUAAAGCAAGAAAAAAAGAUAGUACUCUCAAUUCUCAAAACCCUCCAUUUCAAUUUGUUUGUCUAGUUUUGACUUGACACGGACUUUAAGCAAGUAAAGAAGACUUUUGAAUAUUCUGGUCUUAAACAGAGUAGAUAUAUUGUAGAAUGUACCAGAACGGACUAAAAAGGAAAGUAAGACAAACAAACUGAAACACAGUGAGUAUACUCUUUACCUCACUGUGUUUCCAUCAUCUAGAGUAAAACUUGGUCCAUCAGGCUGCACUAUUUUUAUUGAGUUAGAUUCAUGAGAUGAUCUACGCCGCUUUGAUCCCAUGUAAUCUGUCCCAUUAGCUUUAGGGACAGGAACAAUCAAACGAUCAAUAUAACUCGCGAUUGUCAUUUGAUCAAGAAGAACAAUAAUUGUAAUUCCUUCAAUUGGUCUCAUAUAAAGAUUAACUGUGCCAUCUAAGUAAUAGCAAAUGACUUUAACCAUUCUGUUAGUACUCUUCUUUUCCUCUCCAUACCAUCCAACAGGAUAGCCUUGACACGCGACUUCUUUCAGCUUUAGCCUUCUCUUUUUAAUGGACGAUAUAAAUGGUGGAUACGAUAAUGGUAACUCAUUUGCAGCUGUUUGCUCUUGUAAUGUAAGCAUGGGGUAGCCAUGUCCAUUAUAGAUUUUAUCUGAUAAAAUUGAAACACUCGAUAAGUCUACGAUGAUUUCAUGUGUUUUUUGAUCAAUUCGAGUGAUAACAAUAGCUUCGCGAGGUAGAGAAGGAUGAUGAGUGGAUGAUAGCCAUGAAAGGACUAAUUGUUUGUUUGGUUCAUUUAAGCCAACAUAAUGAAAUGUUACAUUGAGUGGAAAAUAGGAAUUUUUGACUAUGUUUGUUACUUGAGUUAGUUCAAAUAGAGUGAGAGACUCCAAUGGGUGGUUGUACUCAAGAGGGGAUGAUGAUAAUGAUGUACUAACAAAGAAGAAGAAGAUGGAAAUUUUGAAGAACAAAGGCAUUGUAAGUUGAGAAGCUAUGAAUCUCAACAUUUGUUAAUCCAAGUAAGACAUGAUUCUUACCCUUUAUAUGGUUUGCGAGUGUAUUCUCAUGAUUUCUUUGUUGUUAAAAUAAAAGGGAAAAGGACCAAAAUACCCCUGAACUAUUCGAGAUAGGUUAACUUUACCUUUUGUAAUGUUUUUGACUAAAAAAUGUUCUUGUCGGUAAUCGGCUAACUCAAAAAUGUCAUCCAACUAGACUUGACCUAUUUCAAAUAGUUUAAGGUUAUUUUUUACGACCCAUAAUAUAUGGAUAACUUGGAAUAAUAUGUGUAUAAAAUCAUGGGUGGAUUUAUAGGCAAAUUUACGAUGAUACAUGUAAACUCAUGGUCGUCUCUGCGUCAAACUAGGUAUUUUGUAUGCAUGUUUCUAGAAUUGAUACAAUUUGAUUUUUUGGUACCUCUAACCUAGAAAUGGUAAAUGGUCCACUUGGUUGAAUGUUGAGUUACUUACCGAGAGGGACAUGGAUCAACUUUACCAUAUUAUAAAGGUAUGAAUACAUAAAUAUGCACUUUAACUUGGCCUCAAAUCACAUAUAUGCCUUCCAACUUUGAAUCUGCACAAGCAGACACUUAAGCUUGUAUAAAGUAAUUAAUAAGCUAUAUUCGAUGCAUACAAUCUAAUACACGUUGAGUCUGGCUAUAUUCGAUACAUACAAGUUCUAUCACUUGCAUUUAUAAUUCUUGUAUUGCUUGUGAAUUCAUUUGAGAUUAGAAAAAAAAAAAAAACAAGUUCAGUUCCAUAUGGAGCUUGUGACUUUAAUUUUGACUUUUAACUUUAUGUGAAAUUGUUGCAUGUGCUUGAGGGGGUGGCCCUAAAUAUGGAGUGGCCUUUUUCUGUAACUUUUAUAUACAUUUUCAAGUGUUUUGGUUGAUGUGUUGGUCCUUAUUGACUUUAAUGUAUUUGGUGAUUUAGGGUUAUGACUUUUAUACCCCAUUUAUUUUAAUUUGUUUGUCUGUUAUUUUACUAGAAGUUCAAAAAAUAGAGAAGAGACUUUUGAAUAUUAUGGUCGUAAAUUAAAGAAAUGUCAAAUCACAUACAGCCAUAAACAAAGGUUUUUUCACCACGAGUAAAAUAAUUGUAUUAUAAAACAUGAUUUUUCCACUUAUUUUCCACUGAACCAGCUCACUACGAAAACACAUGGUGGAAAACAAAUUUCUAAUUUUUUCAUCUGCUUUACUUCUUUUUUCAAUGUUCUCAUCGUUUCAAUUAAAAUAUACAUCCGAUUAGUCCGGCCGUAAACAUUUUUCAGUGAAAAAUUUUAAUAGGAAAAUAGUAAUUUUUUUAGUACUGAAUGAAUCAAAAUGUUCUUUAAUUUUGUGGUUUUAAACAUGUUACGUGGAAAGGUAGAAUCAACAAGUUGCCAAUAAAAAGAGAUAUUCUUGUUUAAAUGAAUUAAAAGAAUAAUGACAAGCAACUCGAGACGGAGAGAGUAAUAGUUACUCUGCUCUUUUUUUUACCAUCUCGACGUUAGGGGUGGUGGAAAAAAUUUAGUGUUCGGAGACUUGCUUAUACCUUGUUUUUCAUUUAUCUAAAGACUUUUAUCUCUCAUAUGUAUCACUCCUACUCAUGUGGCUUGUUUGGAAAUUCGUUUCUAUUUUGUUAUUAAAAUUGGUAUUACUUGUCAUAUUUUUAGAUCUCAUUGAAUUAUACUGAAUAUAUUGUUGUUUUCAGAGUUAAGGAUUAAAAAAACACAUCUAAAAUAUCUCAGUUUUUUUUAGGUUUACACCUGAAAUAUUAGGGGUGUGAAUUUUCUACAUGAACUCAUUAUACAAAAAAUGAUCGUUAGCGGUAAUUGAUUAAUGACCGUAACAUAGUUGCAGCUAAAUAUGUAUUCUUAGCGACAAUUAUCACUCUUUGUAAAUGUUCUCAAUGCAUAUAGCAAAAUUGUAUCCAAUGACAAUUAGUUAGAUAAAGACUAAGCAUUCUUUGUUAAUGUGUAUAUGUAUUGCCACUAAACUAUUUUUGUUGUAGUGACUACCGCCAAAUAUUGACCUAUAGUAUCAGUUAUUCACUUUUUCUACUAGAAAUUCCAGGUAUGAAACCCAAAGAACGUACAGUUCAGAUGUAUUUCGAUAAACAUUUGAUGAUAGUUCAGGUACACCCCUGAUAACCCCUGAAGAUGACUCAAGCUGAAAUUACUUAUGAGAAAAUCUGCUGUUUCAGAUUCAAAACGAAAAUCGAUAUUUUUUUUGGAUUUUUGGAUGAUGAAUUGAGUUUUUAAUUUUAUUUUUAAAAUUUAUGAAUUUUGUAUUAGAUAACGGUCUACUUGUUAGUUUAACGGUCUACUUGUGCACAUUCAAAGUUGAAGGGCAGAAACGUUAAAGGACACAUUUAUGUAUUAUGACACCUGAGUCUAACUCAACCCCAAAAGCUAGAUCAUGAGGGGAGAAUUGUCCAAGUCUAUAUAAGAAGACCACUAGUCCAUUCCAUAGCCAAUGUGGGACUUUUACCAACUCUAAAACCCCCCUUCACGCCUAGGCCCAACUGAUGCGUGGAUCGGGAGCCCAAACGGAGAUAGACCUGGCUCUGAUACCAUGUGAAGAUAUGACACGUGCGCUAAUUUAUCCCCAAAAUUAGCUCAUGAGGGGAGGAUUGUUCAAGUCCAUAUAAGGAGACCACCAGUCCAUUCCCCAACCAAUGUGAGACUUUUACCCACUCUAACGGCCUUGUUUAACUUUGCCUCCAAGGACGAUCUUCUAUCUAGAUAUUGGAAAAUAGGCUUAUGUCUAUAUAGGAUGAUAUUAUUGUAUCUAGAUAUUGGAAAAUAGGCUUAUGUCUAUAUAGGAUGAUAUUAUUGUAUCUAGAUAUUGGAAAAGAGGCUUAUGUCUAUAUAGGAUGGGCUCCAUUUGGCCAAAAGAAUAGUUCACAUUACACACUCUAUGAAACAAUAAAACUUCUUUCCCUGGACUUUUUGAAGUUCUCUCUGUUAGUCCAAGGGUGAUUGUCUACCUUUCAUUCUCCUCAGGUUGGUGUGGUUGCUUCAAAUGGAAUUGUCACCAACAUGGACUGAAACAGGCGCACGCCAUCUCGUUACGAGAUUUUUCAAAAAUUUCAUCCAAACAGGAUGCAUAAUGUGAGUGCUGAUCCCAAAAAUAGCAGCAGAGACAUGUCUGACAGUUUGUUUAUUUCUUAUUUUAUCACACCCAUGAUCUUUUUAUUUGAAUGGUAGCGAAACGCAGAAUGACCUUCUUUAUUUAGAAAGUACACUUCUUUUUGUCCAAUAUCUUUGGCUCAAAAAUCAUAUACUAGUCGAAAAUCAUGCUGCAAGACAUAUCUAGUGUGUGAAUUGCGACAUAUUUUGUUCUACUCGGAGAUUUUUGAUAUCUGGAUGAUGGUUUUAUAUGUUUCGAUAUACAGCUUGUUGGAAGAAGGAGGUUCAACUUUCACAUUCCAAGGCACGGAGGGGAAAUGCUCUCUCAAAGUUUCUCUUACAGUUCGUAGUAUGCAGUUUUACUGGAAGGUAAAAUGAAAUUCCCUUUUGCCCCUACAAGUGAUAAAAACUUAACCCAAAAAAGUUGAAAAGUUUCCCAUCUGUUAACAGGUUGCAACUCGAGCUGACAUAGGCCUUGCUGAUGCUUUUAUUCAUGGAGAUUUUUCUUUCGUUGAUAAGAACAAGGGUCUUCUUAAUCUUAUCAUGGUAAGGAAAUGACUCGAUAUCUUUGUAAAUAGCUUUUUGUUGGUACUUAGCUUCCCUGAGUUCUUUUUGCAGAUAUUUAUUGCCAACAGAGAUUUGAAAGCAUCUGUUAAAACAUCUAACAAGAAGAGGUAAAAUAGUUUACUGACUUUGAAUCAAGAAAUGUUAACUUCUGUUCACAUGUUAAAGCUCUUCAUGACUUUUCAUCGCUGUAGAGGCUGGUGGACACCACUGUUUUAUACAGCAGCACUAUCAUCUGCAACAUAUUUUAUUCGUCAUGUUUCAAAUCGAAACACCCUGACUCAGGCUCGUAGGAAUAUAUCUCGUCAUUAUGACCUGGUAAUUGAACUACUCAAUUCUAGUGUAUGAUUUUGCUAGUUUCUAUGUCGUAUAGAUGCUAAGCAUUUUGGUGUUUAUUGUUUCAUUCCAGAGUAAUGAACUCUUCUCACUCUUUAUGGAUGAGACAAUGCUAUACUCAUGUGCAAUAUUCAAGGUUAGCUCUCGAACUUGUAAACGCUCUACGUUUCUGUCCUGUUAUCUAAUUUUCUUUCUUGUUUUUUGUAGAGUGAGGAUGAAGAUCUUAAAGUUGCACAGCGGAGAAAGAUGUCUGUUCUCAUCGAAAAGGUAAGUCAUCAUCAACUAAGUAAAAGUCUUCACUUUUUUCGACAUAAAUUUGAUAAUGAUUCUGUUCUAUUUAGGCAAAAAUCAGCAAAGAGCAUCACAUUCUAGAGAUUGGAUUUGGAUGGGGAGGUUUUGCCGUUGAAGUUGUCCAUCAAACAGGAUGUAAAUAUACCGGUAUAUCUCUCUCCGAGCAACAACUGGAGUAUGCACAGUUGAGAGUUGAGCAAGCAGGUCUUCAGGUAUGAUAGUAUGAUUGCUAUAAACUGACGCAAAUUAUAAGAGCUCCCAAACAAGCUAACAUAUGAUUAGCAGGAUUAGUAUUUCAAUUUACUGAAUUUUUCGACAGGAUCAAAUUACACUUCUCCUAUGUGACUAUCGCCAAAUGCCAAAUAAGGACAAAUAUGACAGGAUUAUAGUAUGGUGAGCUUUUAUCCAUCAACAUUUGUACAUAUUGUAUUACACAUAACAUGUUGAGCCAGUGUUAUAAUUGUACUAAUGAUUAAUCAUUUUCAGCGAGGUGUUAGAACAUGUUGGUCAUGAGUUCAUAGGGGAAUUCUUUAGUUGCUGUGAGUCAGCAUUGGCAGAAGACGGGCUUCUAGUUCUGCAGGUAAUGAAUCAAAAGUUUAAUCUUUGUUCACUUUUUUCGUUCAAUUAUUAGAAAAUUGAGCACUCUCAAAUUCUCUUGUUAAUACAAGAACUAAGAUAAUAUCAUUUCUUACACUUGUUCCUUUGUACUGAUUUCUACAAGUGUUGGCUUUCUUUAGUUCAUUUCACUGCCAGACACGAUGUAUGACGAAAACAGGCUCAGCUCAGGCUUCAUAAAAGAGUAUAUAUUCCCAGGUGGAUACUUGCCUGCAUUAAGUCGCGUAACAUCAGCCAUGGCUUCUGCAUCCAGACUAUGGUAACAAAGAGUAGUUGAUUUUGUCAUUUCGUUCUAACAUGCUUGUCGAUCUUUAAAAUGAAUCUAAUAAAUGAUAAAAAUGCAGUGUAGUGCACCUGGAAGAUAUAGGAGUUCAUUACUAUCAAACACUGAGGUGUUGGCGAAAAAACUUCCUGAAUAACAAAAGGUAACAAAGCCAAUAUAAGUAAAACUCGAUUUCUUCAUGAAUCAUUUGUAGCUUGAUCUGUUCUAAAUUCUGAUACUCAACUAUUGAUAACUCUGUGUCACUAGCCAAAUUCGUGCUUUGGGAUUCGAUGAAAAGUUCAUCAGGACAUGGGAGUACUACUUUGACUACUGUGCUGCUGGAUUCAAAACGCGCACGCUAGGAGAUUAUCAGGUAUAUAUGUAGAAACUAUUUCGCCAAAUUUGAGUAGUAAAACAGCUGAUCAAGUGUUGCUUCUUUAUUACCUUUGUAGAUUGUAUUUUCAAGGCCAGGCAAUGUUGCAACAUUUGGUGAUCAUCCUUACAAUGUUACUAUAUAGGCCUUCAGCUUAUAGAGUUAUUCCUUUAUUUGAAUUAUAUAUCGUAGUUUUUUCUUCGCAAAUAAAUCAGUUCUUCAAACACAGCAUGAAAGACUUUACAAAGACAUAUCAUGUCUCAUUGGUUCAUGCUGAAUUAUGUGAUUAAAUUUCUUGUAUAAUUAUAUUGUGUAAACUUCUUUCAAUUACCUAAUAAAAGUCAUUCAAGCAAUUUUACUGUUAUUGUAUUGAGAUAGAAAAAUUUGGGCUGGUUGAAAUUUGAUAUUAUUCAAUUAUAUACUAAGGAAAGAAGCAACAAUAUGGUUUUGGAGUGGAACAAAAGAGGAAAACCUAAUCAGACUAAAAAAGAUAUUGUUGGGGUUCAAAAUAUGAAGAAAUAAAUAUACAAAAAAGUCAAAAGGAGUUCCACGCAUCUACUAUUUAUACAUAAAAAAUAUAUAUAUAUAUUUUUAAUCAUGUAUGAGUAGUGUUGUUUUUCGUCAAAUGGGGCCCCUACUUGUAGGCUCUAUCACUGACAACAACAACAUAUCCUGUUAGUCUCACAAAGGAGGAGUCUGAAGAAGAUAAAAUAUACAUAUAUCUCAUCCCUACUUCAAAUAUAAAGAGAUUAUUUCUGAUAAAUUCUCGAGAAGAAAUAUGUUUAAUACUAAUUGUGAAGAUUGUGUAACAUUAAUGAAAAUAAUCCAAAAAAGAAUUGCCUCAACAUUUUUUCCCUCAAGAAUUUAAAUGGUCCCUUUUUUCAAUUUGCCAAAAUUCAUGCCCCCUUUCAGUGCAUGUGAGAUUUUAUCCAAAUUAAUGAUAAAUGUGGUCCAAAGUUUGUUAUGCAAGGAUAAAAGAGGGAUUUUCCAAAAAAUUAUCUUAAAAUGUGAUUAUUUUUUUUUGUGACUUUUUAAUUUUCAAAUAAAACCUACUAAAAUGAAAUAAAAAAUAAAUAUCAAAAUUAAUCCUAAAAAGAACAUUUAACUCCAGAAUUCACAUUAAUAUCACAUGGCUACAUUCACUAAUUAAGUAUUCUUUAUAUAAAUAAAUAAAAUAACUAGGAAAAUAAGGCUCUUUAUAAUUGAGAAAUAUGACUUUCUUAAUCGACGUACAUAUGAAAAAUAACAAUUCAAUGACAUUUCAAGUUUAUCGUCUCCUACCUAUCAAUCAAUGCCCAGGGGUGGAGCCACCUUAUUAUACUAUGGGGUUGUUUGGAUUCCUUCGAUAAAAAAUUAUAUUAUUUGUACAUGAUUAAAAUAUUUUUUUAUGUAUAUAUACAGUGGCGUAGCCACAUAGUGGUAAGGGUGUCCAACUCGUCAGGGAAAAAAUAUCAUAUAUAUAUGGGAUAAUGCACAAGUAUCCUCUCAACCUAUGCCCGAAAUCUCAGAGACACAAUUAUAUUAUAUUAAGGUCCUAUUACCCUCUGAACUUAUUUUGAUAAUAAUUUUCUACCCCUUUUCGUCCUACGUGACACUAUCUUCUGGGUCCAACGCUGGUUGAAUUUUUUCAAGUUAGUGUCACGUAGGUCGAAAAGGGGUAGAAAACUACUAAUAAAAUAAUUCACGGGUAAUAGGACUUUAGUAUAGUAUAAAUGUGUCUCUGGAUUUCGGGCAUAAGUUGAAGGGGUACUUGUACAUUUUUCCUAUAUAUCAUAUAUUACUAAAAUCAUAUUAAAAAAAAGUUGAAAGUUGAAUUACGAUUUUGCCCCUUCUAUAAAUUAAAUUGUUAUAAAAUAUUUAAAUAUUUGAUUGUAUAAAUUUAAUUAAAUGUCAAUGACUUUUAGACUUCCUAAGAUUAAUUGCUAAUUAAAUAUCUAAUUUAUUAAUUUUAUCAUCUAAAAUCUAAUAUGUAUAUAAUAAUUAUAAUUUUUUAAAAAAAAAAAAAUCUUUACUUAAAUUGCUAUACUAUAUUUCUAAUUAUCAAUAACCAUGAAUUUUUAGUUGAAAAAGAAGAUGGAACUUUAUUUCUAAGGGAUAAACAAUGAAGAAGUUGGAAAGUCAUUACUAAUGGAUAAAUAACCAUUAAGAAAAUAACUUUUAUACUAUAAAUAAGAAACGGUGCAUGUCCUAUGCAUAAUGCAUUAAUGAAGUGUUAAAGAUUGAUUUAUUGUUUUAGUAAAAUAUAAUUUUUUUUUCUUUUACAGAAUUUCAGAAGUUCUAUAGUAAUGUAGGCUGAUUUAAUUUAAUACAUAUAAUCAAUACAUCUGUUAAAGGAAUCUUAAAGAACAUCAAAGAAAAUUAUUUCCAUUUUCCUUAUGGACAUAUUUCAGCUCAGUAGGAUUUCUUUAAUUUUUGUUUUUCGACUUCUUUUUCAUCAUUUUCCCCUUUUAUUUAAAGCAAUAUUUGCAUGAAAUAAAAGAUGGUGAAAUAUGUAGAGUUAAUGAAUAUAUAUCGAAAUCAUAAAAUCGUCAAAUUCAAACUUUAUGGGAUGAUAUAUGAAGAUUACUAUCUCCAUAAUCAACAUUAGCAAGAUUAAUGAGGUAUGAAAGAAAGAAGAGUGGUUUCUUUGGAAAACAUUUUUAUAAUUUUCAUUAAUUGAUAUAUUCUUUAUAAUUUCUUGUGAUUAUAUUAUUUGUAGAUGAAAAACAAUGUGUACAAUUUAAUAUGUUAGCAUCACUAAAGAAGUAGUGUAUAGUGUAUUUGUUGGGAGUGAUAUCAUGCUUAAUUAUUUUUAUUCAAUAAAUUUCUAAAAUUUUGCUCCAUGUCAUUUUUUACUAAGGUUUAGCAGAUCAUUAUUUUGAAUUUUAUUAUAAUGAUGAAUAUCGAUAAAUGAGAGUGUUAAUGUAAUUUUACUAUACUAGAUAUAUUUAUUGUUCUUGAAAGAAAUAAAAAAUAAUUAAAAUUGCCACUAAAAUUAUUUUUAAAAACUCAAAGGGAAGCUUCAAAAGCUUAGAUAAUCAAUUUCUCCGGUAUACUGAUUUUGUUAGUUUACUUAAUUGGUUCAUUAUUUAUAGUUUCCACAAAUAAAUAAUAGGCUAUUAAGAUCAAUGAUUAUUAUACCAUAUAAACGAAAAGUCAAUUCAAAAUACAUUUAAAAAAAUCAUACGUAGUUUUUCUCAUUUAGUUAUUCCUCUCACACUACUAAUAAAUAAUAAUCUCAAAAAUAUAUUUUAACUAAAGUAAAGCACUCCAUCGAUAGUCGCAUAUCAAAUUAACUGAUUAAUCUUCAUUAUGAAUUUCAUCAAUAAUUAAGAAAUAUAAGAGAACAUAAAUUGUAUAUCACUAAUUUUCAUACAGGACACAAGAUAUUUCAAUCGAAAAAUAAAAUCAUAAGAAAGUAUCGAUCAAAAUAUUAAAAAAAGAUGUACAAAAUACUUAAGCUUGACAAGGAGGAGCGGAUAAAAACAAAAGAAAAUUACUGUAAUACAAAAUGAUAAGCAAGAUUAAUUUUUUGCUUGAUAAUCUCUCAUCCUCCUCUUAUCACUUACAUGAAGACCAUGCUAGGUAUUUUAUAGUAAUAGGUAGGAUGAUUUUUGAAUAGGUAAAAUUAAUUUGCAUUAAAUUAGUUCGACGAUUUUAGUCCAUAUAAAAUUUAUUUAAAGGAAAAACUCUUCAGAUACUCUUGAUUUUUACAACAAAAGAGAAUUAAUUAUUAAUGUGAAUUUGAUUCAUACACUGAUCUAAUGAGUUAUUUAUUAAAUAUUUAAUCAUAUUUUCUAACAUUUGUUUUGAUUAUUUUAAUAUAAGGGUAAAAUAGUAAUUCAAUUUUAAAUUUUAAAUCUUUCCACUUAUAAUAAUAUAUAUGAUAUAUGAUAUUAUAUGAUUUCUUUAUACAAUUGAUCGUAGGCUUGUUUUUAUAAAUGUUUUGAGUUCAUUGUUCGAUUCUACUCUUGAUUUGUUGCUUAAAAGCGGCGGUGAUUUUUCUUAUAUUACUAUAUAAUAACCUACUUUAUGCAAAUAUAUUUUGAUCCCUUAUUAAAAUUGUCAAUCCAAACAGGUUCUAAUUAAAUAUCAUAUUUGAAACGCGCAUUUGCAUGAAUUAAUGUCCUUUAUUUUUUGAAUUUUUUUACACGACUCAAAAUUUAAUCGAAUUUCAAUAUAAAUAAUGACGUGGGUGGAAAAUAAAAUUAAUAAUUUUAAAAGGACAAAUUGUAUUGGACUUUUCAUUGUUCUUGAUUUGUCACUUGGAACUCUAGUUUACCAAAUGUAGUGAUAGGUCUCCAUCAUGCCACGUUUCUCUUAAAGUCCCCUUACAAAAAUGUGGUUUAAAAAUCCAAAAUGACUAUUCAAAAUGCAUGUGUUAAUUGACUUUAUAAUAAAAAUUGACAUUUUUUAUUUUACGCAAUUAUUAAUAAAUUAUUAAUAGAUUGAUUAAUUUUUUUUUCUUUCAAUUAGUUGCAGGGAUAAUAUAAAAAAUUGUUAUACUUUAAUUUAAUAAGUGAUCAAAUAAUAUAAUAAAAUAAAUACUUUGUAAUAAAAUGUUUAUCUAAUAUAAAACAAAAGAUGGUAUAAUUUGUUAUGAUUAGCUUCACUCUUCAUGCUAACAACUUUUUUGAGAACUCAAAUUUCAUCUUUUUCAUUAAUUUCCUUAUAAAGAGAAAUUGAAACUAAAUUACUCCACUUUAAAUAGAGGUAUUGAAGAAAAUUUGAAAAGGAUUAAGGUAUUUUUGGUAUAGAAGAAAAUUAUUUUAUGAAAAAAAAAGUACUCUUUCCGUUUUUUAUUCUACGUGGCAUUUUUCGAAUUUUGAGAUUUAAAUAAAUUUAUUUUUGAUCGUAAAUUUUUCAUAUAUCUUUUAAGCAUUUUGAAUUAUCAGUUAUUAUUAUUUUUAAGGAUCAGUUGAUGCGCUGGGAUGAAAGAAAGUUCUUCGGUGCUCCUCCGGGACGAACAGUAAAGGCACAUGAAGGUAUUGGCUCUUACUAUCGAUCGGAUGGAGAGAACCGCGGCGCUUUACCUUACGAAUAUCUAAAGGCGAAGAUCUCUUUUCGACUAGCAAGUUUACGUACCUAGGUCCUAAGUUUCUCAUUACUCGGUGAAGUCUGAUUUGAGCCCUGGUCAAACUGAUCUCUCCGGCGGGCGGAGGAUGGUCUCAUAUUAAGUAGUUUACAAAUAUACAAAUUUCAUUUAAAAAAAGUUGAAACUCUCAUAGCAGAUUUCCAGUCAAACUUAAACUAUUUAACUUGAGAAACAAAAAAAAUGACACAUAAAUUAAGACAAGAAGGAGUAUUAUUUUUUAAUUUGUUUUUCAAUAUUCGAUAAGUAAGUUGAAAACAUUAAUAAAAAAAUUCCUCCGCAAAAAAUAUAUAAAGGUAAACAUUUUAGAAAAGAAAUCCACCAAAAAAUAAGCGAUUUUCUCAUUUAUUUUCAUUUCGCGUUUGAAGUAUUUAAAACUUUCGAUGCCUAAUAUAAAUUUAUAUGCAUUUCGCCUUUUUAAAAGAAUAAUUAUUUCAAUCUUUCACCAUUAUAAUGUCAAGUUAGGACUAAAUCGAAAGACUUUGUAUACAACAACAAAGUAGUCAUUGUCACUUUAAAUAAUGUAUUGCUUACUCUAUAAGUUAUGUUUUAUAACUAUUAAAUUAUUUAAACAAGAUUUAUAAGUAGAAAAUAUGAAAUUUAAAUGUUAUCUAUAACCAUAAAUAAAGAUGAUCUGAAUAAUAUAAAAAAAAUUUUACAUUGUAUAUUAAUCUAUAGAUUUGUUCAUCAAUAUUUAUCAUUUUAAACUUUCUAACCGCCAAUCUAUAUGUUAUUGUGGAUUCGAAUCAUAAAAAUAACCAUUAAUAUUUGUGUUAUGAUAAAUUGUUUAUAUCACCUUAAAAUACGAUUCUUUUCUAAUUUUACUAAUGGCAUAAUACAUAUAUUGGAUCCUAAACAUGGCUUCAAAUUUUAAUGUUGACCUCCAACUCUCAUAAUGCACAAAAAACACUUUAACUAUCCAAUUUUUAAAUUAAAAAACACGUGAGUCCUACAUGACACAAUACACGUAGGACACCACGUAUGACAAAAAAUGACAUGUAGGACAUGUGUGUCUAUUUGUUCGACUUUAUACAAGUUUAAGUGUCUACUUGUGCAUACCCAAAGUUGAAAGACAUAAAUAUGAUUCCAAACUAAGUUAAAGGGCAUAUUUAUGUAUUAUGCCCUUACAUGAUAUGUUGAAAAUCUUACUAAUACGAUCUUAACUAUCAAAAGGUGUUAGCUAAUUUAGACCUCAAGUUGCCCUUUAGAGAUUACGAAGGUUAUAAUUAGCGUUUGACCAUAAAUUUUUAAUAGUUUUUAACAUCAGAUUUAGGUGCAAUUUGGGUUUAAGUUUCAAAAUGUGUUUCGCCAUAGUUCUUUAAAAAAAUAUAUCUCAUCUUUAUUAUUUUUUUGAGAAAACAUAAAAUGUGAUUUAUAUUUAUAAGUUCUAAAAGCUAUUAAAAAAUACUCAAUUGUACCAACCAACAUAAUUGCUAAUUCCAAAUAUGUAGAAUAACGUUCAAUAUCAUUAUCAUAAAUGUAUAAUCUAUAUACAAAUAAAUUCGACAGUGAAUUAUAAUUUUCAUAAUAAAUUAGAUAAUACAUUAUCCUAAAAUCAUAAUACAAUAUUUUAAUAAAAACUACUAAUAGUAGUGCACUUACUAGCCAUAUUUAUUAUUCGUAAAAUUACAAUUAGUUACGAGGAUACAUCAUUACAAAAGUAAAAUAAAAUUAUAAUAACGGUAGAAAAUGAAAAACCUACGUAUUAGCAAAGAUUUAUAAAUACGUAGAAAUAUUUAUACAUUACAAGCAAAUUAAAUACUAUUUAUUAUUAAUGUAAGAGAUAAAAUAAGAUUAUAUAUUGACAAAGAAGUAUAAAUCAUAUAUACAAGGAAUCGUAACAAUAAUUAUUAUUUUUUAAGUAAAAGUAUGAUAAUAAAAGUUUUAUUUUUUCAAAAUGAUUUAUUUAAAAAUGUAACAAAUCAAGGCUAUUGAAUUCGUCCAAACAUUAACUACUAACGGAAUAUUGAAAUCUGAAAAAAAUUAGAUGGCGUUUGAAUGAUUAACUAUAAACAAAAUUAUUAUUUUUUUAAUUAAAAACAUAAUUCUUUAUAAUUAAUAAAAUCUAUAAAAAAAAAACAUGUUUGAAUUUCGUUUAGGUUUAGAAAUCUUUUUUUAGAUGUAAUUAUUAUUUUAAACUUGUUAUAUUAUAAAGUUAAUUUUUCAUAUCAUUUAAAUUAUAUUUAUGUUGCUUUAAAAAAGAUUGUUCUCAUUCAAAUAAGGAGUCACGUGUAAUAUAGGUACACUAAAAUUAAAUUAUAUUAUAAAUAAAAAUACAAAAUAUCUUAACAAAAUUUACCUUUAGGUAUAUACAUGUUCUAGCUUUGAUAAAAUAGUAAAUACAAAUAAUUUUUUUUUAAUAAACACAAAAAGAACGAGUAUUAAUAAGAACAAAACUAUAUUAUAAUGAAAAAUUUAUAUAAUCGGAGAACAAAUAGGAAACUUGUUAAUUACUAUUUAAUCCUAUUAAAGAGGGUUUAAAAACUUCAUUAGUAACCUAAUUCUUUAUUCUCCAUGGAUAUUAAUUGAUUGCUCCUAACCAGGUGAGUUCUUUAAGCUAUAUUUAUUUCAUUUUAUAUCAUUUUAUUUUUUUUAAAAAAAUGUUGUUUUUUCGUUUUAUAUCAUUUGAUUUUUAGAAAAAUUGGUUUUGUUUGUUUUUACCUUCAUGUUUUCAAUAUGAAUUUGGAAUUAAUUUGCAUUGAGAAAUCAUAUUGAGAUUAAUCUAUUUCAUCAAUUUUUUUAAAAAAAAUGUUAGGAUAAUUCAACAAAUGGAUAUAAUCAUAUAAAACAGUGUUUGAUUAUACAUUUGAAAGAUUAUAUUUUUGAUAAGUGUAAUCACACUUUCCAUAAACUUAAUUUUUAUUGUAAUUUUAUUCAAUGGUUAAAUAAUUUUUGUUUAAUAAAUAAUUUAAUGUUGUAUAGGGUAUAAAUUUUGUUCAAUAUUUGGGGGAUAUUUCUGUCGAUUAGUAUUUGAUAGAAGCAUAAUUAAAACCCUAAUAAGAAAUGUUGAUAGAUUAUUUUACUCUUAAAAAAAUUAAAUUUUUUACAUUAGAUUAAAUUAUAAUUUGAAAUUAAUUCAAAAAGAUAGCUAUUAAAUCUUUAUUAUAAAUAAUGUUGAGGCACAUACAAUUACUUAUAGGUUUUUUCUCUUGAAAAAUGCAUGGUAGAAAAUGUAUGGUGAAAAAUAUAUUAUAAGGUUCUUUUCACGGUAAAUUAGUGAGAAAUUAAUGCACGACGAAAAAUGUAUGACCAAAAAUAAAUUCUAUUAUGUCCAAGGAAAAAGAAUUAUUUUUUAAAAUAAUUUUUAUCCUCAACAAUAAUUACUUAUUCUUCAAAUCAUUUCACAAGGCCUAAAACUAAAUGCAUCAAUUAAUAUAAACAUCAUUUAUUAAAAUGUGUACAAAUUAAAAGUGAAUAAGUAAAAGUAAUCCAUCUUCUAAAUCCAUCUACGGCCCCUGAAAGGUCUUUUCACUUGCAUAUGUAACACGAAUUUAAAUUAUUCAAACGAGCGAACAGUAUACACUAGAUAUCUUCAUUCUUUUAAGAGUUAAUAUAAAACCUUAUCUUAUAUACUCCCUUCGUUUUAUAAAGAAUAAUCUAGUUUGAUUUAGUACAGAAUUUAAAACAAUAAAAAACUUUUAAAUCUUGUGGUCCUAAAUUAAAGUCAUGUCAAAUAUACUGUCCUUUAAUCUCGUAACCUUAGACAUGUCACGUGAAAAAUUGAAAUUAAAAUAUUAUCAAAAAUAAAUAAGAAAUCGUUCUUUUUUAAACGAACGAGUAUUAUAUAUAUAUAUAUAUAUAUAUAUAUGAUGCCCACUCUCAUUUCUUUUUCCACUGUGUUCUGUGUCCUUUUGUACUGAGCCAACCAAUCCUCACUGCUUAAUUUUGUGCUUUUUUUUUUCUUCCUACAUUUUCUUCUUUGCUUCAACUUCAAUCAUUAAGGUAAGUUCAUUUCAUCACACAAUGGCUAUGCAUUCUAUAUUUGUUUUUCUACUAAUAAUGCCAACGACUAAUAAUAGUCAUUCAACUAACAGUUAUUAUCGGAGAAAUCCACCCCUUCUUAUGAUUGUAUUAUAUUAUAUUGUUAUAUAAAAUGAAAUGAAGCGAGUAUUAAUAUUUUUUAAAAUUUGAUGAUUAUUUUUUUUAUUGCAGUUAUAAUAUUUGAUUGAAGACGAGAAAAAUGAAAGUAGCAAUUGUAGGGGCAGGGAUAAGUGGAUUGGUUUCUGCAUAUGAAUUAGCAAAAUCUGGGGCUAAAAUUGUAAUUUAUGAAAAAGAAGAUUAUAUCGGCGGCCAUGCUAAAACCGUUACCGUUAACGGCGUUGAUCUUGACCUUGGAUUUAUGGUCUUUAAUCGGGUAAGUACAUAUGUAAUUUUUUAUAUCUGUGUUCGAUAACAAGAAAAAUAGUUUUUCGAUAAUUAGAUAUUUACUUACUUUCUAAUAUUUGAUAAAUGAAUUAUGAAACGUCAUUUUGAAAUCAUUGUAUGUGUAAUUUCGUAAAACAGUAUAGGAGAUGGAAUGGAUCGAAGAUAAAUUAUUUAUAUGUAAUUUAGUAAAAUACUAUAAGAAAUGGGACGGACUGAAAAUCGAGGAUUUGGAGUGGUGGAGGUAGGAUUGAAAAGAAAAAAGAUAAUGGACUUGUUUCACUACAAAAGUUAUUUUCGUAAGAUAAAAGACUUCGAUCAAACAAAAAUGAAAAAUAAAAUAAUCAUAUAAAAAAGUUUCAUAAACUUGUUUUUUUGUUUGUUUGUUCUGAUAUUUGGUAUUCAAUUUGAGGUUGGAUUAAUUUUGAUUCAUGCUUAAAAAUAUAAACUAUUUUUCCCUUUUUUUUUUAGUUUGUUCAAAAAAAAUAUCUUUUUUUAAUAAUUUUUAAAGAUAAUUUUUCAUGUGAUAUAGUUAAAAUCAUAAAGUUAUAAAAACAUUUUAGUAUAAUCUACGUAUUUUUAAUUUAAGACUAUCAAGUUUUUUUAUAUUAUGUAUCAAUUUAAAAUCAGACAAAUAAAUUAAAUAAAAAAUAUAUAUGUAUAAUUAUUUUUUCCACUUGUAUACCUUGUGUAAAAGGUGAUUUUUUCAGAUUUUUUUUCUGUCUCUCUCUAUAUAUAUAUAUAUGUACGUAUACGAAGGAGACAAGAAAGAAAGAUAAGGUUUUAUCUAAAUAAACAAAUAAGUAAGUAUUUUGAUGUGACAUAUAAAAUAAAAUAAUUUUAUAAUGAAAUAUAGAGUUAUUUUAUUUCACAUUUAAUUAAAAAUAUUAGAUAAUAUCACAUAUACAUGACGAAGUAACAAACGAACAUUUAGAAAUAAAACAAUGAAGUUGAUCAAGAAUUUAAAAGGGGGUUUUAUAAAAUUUUACAAAUAAUGAAAGAAAUAUCAUGUGAUAUAGUAUUAUAAUACGAAUAUUUAUUUCUUGUGGGUUCAAAACGUACAACGUGUAUCACUGUGUAUCGUUCAUAGGGACAUUACAUUGUCUUAUCUUUUCAUCAAGAUACUUUGUCAUUGUCUCCCACCAAAUUUUAAAGGAAUAUUGCAAUAUUAUUAAUCGAUCAGCGUAAUUUCAUAAGUAAAAUUUAAUUAUAAAGAAUGUGAGUCUCGUAUUUGUAUUUUAUAGAAAAAAUAAAGAAUAUAUAUUUCUUGAUCUCUAAGAAUUUUAUGACUAUGUGGUUUGAUUCUUGUUGAAGCAUAUGUUAUAGAGUGUGCGGGAUUUAAAUACGAAUUUUUCAUUUAUUAGAUAAAGAAAAUUAUCAAGAUAUAGUGUUACGUCAAUUUAAUUCGAGCUCUUUUAUCGAGAAUAUUUAUUGACUUUAUUUUUAUCUUUUGAAGAUUAGAAAUAUUAUUCUAGUAAACUUUCGACUCAUAUAAAACAAUAAUAAAAUCAUGUAUAGAAAUAAAAUUCCACACUAACAUAACUUUUUAAUUAUACAAUGAUUAUAUAUUAUUUAUGCGCUAUAUACACUAGAUAAAAUAGUUAAAAAUAAGGACUAUAGUUAUUUUUUGUUAAUGAGUUUUGCUAGGCUGUUAUGUGGUGUAAAAAAUUCAAAAUAUAAAAUCCAAUAUUGUCAUUGCAUGGUUCCUAAAGGGCUCGUUUGGUCGGGGAACAAGUUAUUUCAGGAUUGUUAUUUCAUUUUUAAUAUAGGAUAAAAAUAAUAUUACUAAUCUGAGGAUAACUAAUCUCGAGAUAAAUCGUCUCAUGAUUUUAUCUCAACUAAACAUGAAAUAAACUCAUCCUAAAAUUAGUUAGCCCUUAUCUCUCAUACCAAACGAGCUCUUAAGAAUCAAACGUCUAUUAUUGAUAUAUGCGUUAAGUAAAAUGAAACGUUUAUUAUCGAUAUAGACUUAAAGUAAAAUGAAACAAGUAGUUAAGGAGGUAACUAACAACAAUUUAACUUUUCUUUUUAGGUAUUAACUCUAUUUUAAAGAAGAAAUUUAUUUUGAUUAAUUCCUAUGCGUCACAUGUUUGUAAUUGUCGUUUAUAUAAAUGAGAAUAAAAGUUAAUUUUUGGACGUGUUUACCUAAACUAACAAAUAUAAGAAACAAUAAAAGAUUCCAAAUGAACAUUAACCAAAUCAAUCUAUAAACUUACGACAGUGCAAUCAUUUUCAUACUUUAUAAAAACAAUUAUUUUUUUUCUUUAAUAGAAUUGAAAAUUAACAUUUUUUCUCUUAAAAAUCUAGUUUAUCAUAUAUUGAAAGGUACAGGAGAAGAAAUAGACCCAUCGUUACGUGGUCUAAAGUGAAUUUCGGCUCAAUUGAAUUCAUGUAGGACGGGUAUGUACCGAUUUAUUCGUAUCUGAUUAGACAUAAAAUUUGAAGAAAAAUAAAAUAAAAUUUGCACCUAAGUUUAAUAUGUGUUUUAAAAUGAAUACACUCUCUUUUAUAUGACAUUCGGAAAUCUUAUUGCAUAUUUAAAUUCACAAGUGUAUAUAACUAUGUGUCACGGUUCAAGUCCAUGACACAUAUUAUUGACUUUGGGCCAACCGGCCUCACAUAUUUGUUUCUUGGGCUACUUUCAUCAUCGAGUUCAAAAGCUCGAAUAUUAUGUGAACUUUGAACUAUAUAUCUUAUAAAAAUGAGUUGGCUUUUCAUCUCGAUCAUUCCGGUGUGGGAUUUACAGGCCUCACAGAUUCGUCCCUUGGGCUAUACUAUCAUUUACCCCAAAAGUGCGUAACCAUAUGAAUUUGAGUUAUGUUUAUAGAACUCUUCACUUUCCUCUUCUAAUACGAUGUGGGAUUUUCUUAAGGUGUCACGUGCACCUCAUCUUUAGAAGCUUAUGAGUCUAGAAGUCUGUUGAUCCUGUCUCUAUCUCUCAAACUUCCCUUUUAUAACUUUUUUAGUUAGGUUCUAAAAAUGCAUAGUUAUGUGUCUAAGAAGAAAGAUAAGAAAUGUAUUAUCAUCAGCGUUAAACUCAGUUGAGUUAGGCCCAAUAUCCAUUUUCUUAAGAUAUUCCUUCAUAUUGGUUUAUUGAAUAUUUAGCUUAGCCCCCAUGAUAUGUUAUCCACGUUCCAAAUGUUCAGUCCUAAGUGUUACGGGCAUAUGGUCUUGAACAAUACUCACCGAUCAAUUUCUUAAUGGAUUUCAUGUGCAUAGCUAGAGUUAUUUUGAACUCCAUAUGGUUUGAACACUAGUAUAUGUCUGAAAUGGUGUAUUUGACAGGUAACUUAUCCAAACAUGAUGGAAUUUUUCGAGAGCCUCGGUGUCGAUAUGGAGAUCUCCGAUAUGUCAUUCUCAGUGAGCUUAGACAAAGGUCAUGGUUGCGAAUGGGGUAGCCGGAAUGGAAUAUCUGGUCUGUUUGCACAGAAAAAGAAUGUCUUGAAUCCAUAUUUCUGGCAAAUGAUCAGAGAAAUUAUCAGGUUCAAGCAGGAUGUCAUAAGGUACCGAUAACUGAUUCUUAUCAGCAAUCAAUUCGAGUUCAUGUUGUUUGAGCCACUGUUGAUUUACUCAUCUCAUUAGACACAAAAACAGUCCUCUUUGUUCAUUUGAAGAUCAUGCUUCUUUCAAUAGAAAUCGACUAACUCAUUCUGUUUAGCACAGUUUCUGUAGGAAAGACUAGUUUUUUAUUUCGAUGAAGCUUAUUCAUCUACUUCUGCAAUGCAGUUACCUUGAGGAACUUGAUAACAAUCCUGACAUUGAUCGUAACGAGACAUUAGGACAUUUUAUUCAAUCACAUGGCUAUUCGAAGUUAUUUCAGAAAGCUUAUCUGGUGAGGCUGCUGUUCUAGUUUAGGAAAUCUUGUUCAUUUCUACAAGCAAUUCACAUAUAUGUUCCACACAGGUUCCAAUAUGUGCUUCUAUAUGGUCCUGCCCCUCGGAUGGAGUAAUGGGAUUUUCUGCUUACUCCAUCCUUUCAUUUUGUCGCAACCACCAUCUUCUUCAGGUAGAAUAUAAUUCUCAUACAAACUGUUUCACGAGCACGUUUCUGUAUAUCUUAUAGCCAAUUACUAUAUCUGGUUCAUAUAAGAUGCUAUAUCUGAAUGCUUUUAUGUAUAUCAUUCUAUGCAGCUCUUUGGUCGCCCUCAAUGGCUCACUGUUAGAUGGAGAUCACAUACAUAUGUAAACAAGGUGGUACUUUUAGUCUUUUAAGUGCCAUAUAAAAAGAUUACUGAUUUCAUACAAUAAAAACUUCAAACAAGUAGAAAUUUUCGGUUUCUUGAAUGAUUAGUUAAGAUUAUAUCAUCCUUCUGAGUUAGUUGAAUGGUAUACAAAGCAGGUUAAGGAUGAGUUGGAGAAGAGAGGAUGUCAAAUAAGGAUUGGCUGUGAAGUAAAUUCUGUAUCUACGAAUGAAGAAGGUCCGGUUUUGUUUUAGCAUUUUGAAUCCCUCUAUGUUCUCCAUGUCUGUUUAUGUAUUUAAGUGAGAUUUUCCUGUCCAUAUGUCCAUACAGUUCAUUUGGUGUAGAAAAAUCUUCCGAUAGGUAGAAACUAGUCGUGAUUCUAAGUUCUAACUGUAAAAGGAGAGAGCGUGCAGGCUGUACUGUAGCUUGCACCGAUGGUUCCAAAGACGUAUACGAUGGAUGCAUAAUGGCUGCACAUGCACCAGAUACUCUGAGGAUGUUAGGCAAAGAGGCAACAUUUGAUGAAACAAGAAUAUUGGGUGCUUUUCAAUAUGUUUACAGGUACUUUACGCCUAUUAUGAACUUGAUUUUCUCAUUCUACUUUGUUUUGUUUCUUGAGAAGUUCAUCAUUUAGGCUGUAUCGGUGAUAUGAAUGGUUCAUCUUCCUCCCAGAAAUAAACAUAUAAAUGUAUGUCCGUGUUAGAUAGAAGUAUCUGUUAUAAAGAGAUUACUGAAGCUUCUCUUGCUGCUUGGUUUGAAAGAAGUUAAAUAGUAUUUAGAACCAUAGUGUUACGACGAUUUAUAAUGUCAACAUGAACACUCAUUUUCUAUUCCUCUGCAACAGCGAUAUUUUCCUUCAUUGUGACCAAACUCUCCUGCCUCGCAACUCAGCAGCGUGGAGCUCAUGGAAUUUUCUUGGAACCAUGAACGGUAGAGUAUGCGUGACAUAUUGGCUCAAUAUACUCCAGGUAUAUGGUGCUUCUCUGAAAGUUUAGAUACUGCAAAAGUAUAUUUUAUUCAUAGUAUUUAUAGUAGAACAAGUAAAGACCAAUUAAUAUAUUCUACGGAAAUCUGUCAGCUUUAUUUGUGGAUCAUAUUAUAAUCAAAUCUGCUAGCUCAAUGGUGGAGCAGAUUAUGACUAAAUGUGCCAACUCAUUCAACAAUCUCCUUUCUAUAAUGUUUUCAAUAAGGAAGUCUUCUUAUAUUUGGAAUGUGUAAACCAACAGAACCUUGGUGAGACAGAGAGGCCUUAUUGUGUAACUCUUAAUCCUCCUCACACACCGGAUCAUACAUUGCUUAAGUGGACCACCGGCCAUCCAGUACCUUCAGUUGCUGCAUCGAAAGCUUCAUCUGAGCUUUAUCAAAUCCAAGGCAAGAGAGGAAUAUGGUUUUGUGGAGCAUAUCAAGGUACUUUAAUAAUAUUCUCCUGAUUCUCUCAUCUUUGCUUCCUUCAGUGCACUAAUUUUAUAACCGCGUUGUUCUUUCACCACUCAUUGAUGUUAAAUUGCAAUACUACUUUCAGGCUAUGGCUUCCAUGAGGAUGGACUAAAGGUAGUACUAUAUAUAUAUAUCCUUCAUACAAGCUUACCACAUUUCAACUUGAAGGAGAAAUGAAAUCGAUGAACAAGAAUACACGAUAAUCUGUUUUUUAUCCUGCUUCUCAGGCAGGUGCUAUUGCUGCACAAGGACUACUUAAGAAAAACUUUAGCGUCCUGAAAAAUCCCACACACAUGGUACCUACCUGGCCAGAAACAGGAGCACGCCUCCUCGUUACUAGAUUUCUCAAGAGUUUCAUCGCGACAGGAUGCUUAAUGUGAGUUAUAACAGUUUCAUUUUCUAUCCAUCCAGUUUCAGCAAAACUAUUUUAAUGAGAAAGUAUGCUCUUAUAUACUUAAACUACAUAAACGAAUCAUGCAUACGUUGUUUUUAGACAAAAUUUUUCUGUGCUCAGCCUGUUAGAAGAAGGAGGUACAAUGUUCACAUUUGAAGGAACAGAGAAAAAAAGCUUUCUCAAAGUGUCUCUCAGAGUUCAUAGUCCACAAUUUUACUGGAAGGUAACUAGAGUUAGCUUUUUUUUCCGUUUCUCGUAUUCAUCGAGCAACUAAAGAAGAAAAAUGUAAAGGAAGGAUAAAUUCUUUGACAUAAACUAAUCACUUACAGGUAGCAACUCAAGGUGACUUAGGCCUUGCUGAUGCAUUUAUUCAUGGAGAUUUCUCUUUUGUUGAUAAGAACGACGGUCUUCUUAAUCUUUUCAUGGUGAGAAAAUGACUCUAUUUCUAUGUCAAUAGCUUUUUUAUUGGUACUUGCCAUCCUGAACCCUUUUACAGAUUUUUGUUAACAACAGAGAUUUGAAAGCAUCUGUCACAAAGUUUAGUAAGAAAAGGUAAAUAGUUGAACAGAAACUAUAAUCAGAACAUUACAACUUCCAUUGACACGUUAAAAGUUUUUUUCGUUACCUGUAUCUCCAGAGGAUGGUGGACACCACUUCUUUUUACAGCUGCAGUGUCAUCUGCAAAGUACUUCAUUCGACAUGUUUCAAAUCAGAACACCCUGACUCAGGCUCGUAGGAACAUCUCUCGUCACUAUGACCUGGUAAAUAACUUGUACAGUUAGUCACUUUCUGCUGUUUUCUUGUAACUUCAUCAUCUGCAUAAGCUGAUAAGUAUAUUUAUCGCUUCUUUCAGAGUAAUGAGCUCUUCUCGCUCUUUCUAGACGAGACAAUGACAUAUUCAUGUGCAAUAUUCAAGGUUAGAGGUCGAAGAUACAUUUUCUGUUCUUUAACCUUGUUCUUAAGGUGAUCUUUUUUUUCUUUUGUAAUUUUUCUAGAGUGAAGACGAAGACCUGAAAGUUGCACAGGAGAGGAAAAUUUCUCUUCUCAUCAAAAAGGUGAGUCGUCAACAUAAUAAAUAAUCCCUCGUUUCUACAUUAAGUUCGAGCCAAACUUGAUUCUGAUUCUGUUCUUUUUAGGCAAAGGUAAAGAAGGAACAUCACAUCUUAGAGAUCGGAUGUGGUUGGGGAAGUUUGGCUGUGGAAGUUGUUAAGAGAACAGGAUGUAAAUAUACUGGUAUAACUCUCUCCGAGCAGCAACUGAAGUAUGCAAAGUUAAGAGUUCAGCAAGCAGGCCUUCAGGUACAUAACUUCAAAUAACACAUGAUACAUUGGAACCAAUUUUGGAGAAUUGUGAUCAGUACUAACUAUAUUCAAUGAAAUGCAUUCACAGGAUCAUAUAACAUUUCUCCUAUGUGACUAUCGUCAAUUGCCAAAAAUGUCUAGAUAUGACAGGAUUAUAUCAUGGUAAGUCGUUGCAUACCUAAAUGUACAAGUCAAGACAGUGUGAUAUAAUUGUACUAAUAAUCAUUUUCAGUGAGAUGUUAGAAGCUGUUGGUCAUGAGUUUAUGGAAGAAUUCUUUACCUGUUGUGAAUCUGCACUAGCAGAAGAUGGCCUUCUUGUUCUGCAGGUAAUGAAUAUACGUUCCACAUUGUUCACGUCUUCCCAUCAAUUUCCUUACACUCUUCUUUACACAAACGUUGGCUUUCGUUAGUUCAUUUCAAUACCAGAUGAGAGGUAUGACGAAUACAGACAGAGCUCAGACUUCAUAAAAGAGUAUAUAUUCCCCGGUGGAUGCUUACCUGCACUAAGUCGAGUAACAUCAGCCAUGUCUGCUGCAUCUAGACUAUGGUAAACCAAGAGUUGAUUUUCUCAUUUGACACAAGCAUAGUAUGUUCUUUUGACAAAUGAUACAAAUGCAGUGUUGAGCACCUAGAAGACAUAGGAAUCCAUUACUAUCAAACGCUGAGAUGCUGGCGGAAAAACUUCCUGGAAAAACAAAGGUAACAACAACAACAUACAUUGUGUUUAACAUGUUUCCUACAUGAAUCAUUCUGUAGCUUGCUCUAAAGUAACAAACUAUCUUUAAUAACUUUGUGACUAGCCAAAUUCAUGCUUUGGGAUUCGACGAUAAGUUCAUCAGGACAUGGGAGUACUACUUUGACUACUGUGCUGCUGGAUUCAAAACGUGCACGUUAGGAGAUUAUCAGGUAUGGUGAAAAAACCUUCGAAAUACUUGUAGGCGUAAAACAAGCAUCCUUUUUUAACGUAUAUAUAGUAGAUGAUGAACUCCUUCCGCCCCUUGUGAAUGUUAUGUUGCUCAAUUAAUACUUGCAAACAGUUAAAGAAUGAAAAUAAAAAUGGACCUUGAUCUUCACCUUAAUACAUGGUUUCAUUGCUCAAACUCUCCAAAAAUAUUUGCACCAUGUCAGAUCCUUAAAAAAUGUCUGUUGAUAUUUUUGAAGAGUCCGAAUAACAGAGAGUGCUUCUACUUUAUGUAAAUGCUUACAACAUGUAAAAUUGUUUGUUCUCAUUCUGUUUUUUUCUGUAUAUAUAGAUUGUGUUCUCAAGGCCAGGCAAUGUUGCAGCAUUUGGUGAUCCUUACAAUGGUGCGCCUUGAGCUUAUUGGAGUUUAUUUCUUUAUACGAUUGAUCGUAGGCCUAUUUUUAUAAAUGUUUUGAGUUCAUUGUUUCGAUCCUACACUUGAUUUGUUGCCUAAAAGCGGCAGCGGCGAUAAUUUCUUUUAUGCAAAAAUAUUUUGAUUCCUUUACACGGCAAGAAGAACCUAGCCAAAGCCAAGAACCUAGCCAAAGCCGCGAGCACAAGGUUUACUCUUAUACAAUAGCUCGCAAAUCAAAGAAGUGUAUUUUAAAAAGUGAUCAUAAAUCAUUUCUAUAUGGGUUUAAUGAUUAUAGUUUAUUAAACAAUUUCCAAUACUCAAUCCAUAUAACUUACUGUGUUGCGUGUUAAUUAUUGUUAAGAUGACAAAUUUGGCAAUUACAACUUUAAGAAAACCAUGUACUCAUGAAAAUUACUGUAUAUGUGUGCCUUGUCAAGUUUCGAAAUCAUUCAAUACAGCGAUAUAAUCACAAUACCACUUUUGAUUGAUUAGAGAAAAUCGAAAAAUAUUUUUCUAAAUAAACAAAUUCCUUAAAAAUGAUUUAGUAACUUCACCAAUGGAAGUAGCGAAAACAAAUUCCACUAGUGUUCUACAUUAAUUGUAUCAUCGCUAUUGUCCAACACACCUCAUCUUCACCUCGACUCCUGAAAACAAAAUGAGAAAAUUGCAGUAUGGAAUGGAGUCUUAACAGGGAAGCCAACGUUUUCGAGUUUACUCACUCCUCUUCCCUGUUAUCCAUUAAGUACAUGAGCAACAAAACCAUCAGACUACAAGUUGUGUUUGAGCUCUAUUCAAAACAAACCGAAUCCAAUAUUUAAGUGGAGAAGGAUAGAGCGGGCAACUCAUCAUCCCCAUUUCUCAUUCACCAGACGAAAUAUACUCACAAUGGCCUCAACUUUGUUCACAAAGCAAAGGAGCUAGUAGACAUGUUAUUCAGGUAACAACUGUAGAAGAUGAUCUGUCACAAGUAAAUAGACAUGAACAUCUAGCCCCUUGAAAAGUUAGAAUGAUCAACACUCCAUACAAUCUGAAACUUCCAUCCAUACAAGGAAAGACUUAUCACGCGAUUUCAAAAAUGAAUGUGCUAGGAUAUCUCCAGUGUUUGACGAAAAGGCAGUAUGCUAAUAAGUUAACCUACUGAUAUAAAGUAACACAUGUGUGAAAAGUGUUGUAGAUGAAAAGUCGAAUCUUCUUACACAAAUGAUGCGACUUUCCAUCAUAAAAGGCUCAACUAACGACAAACUCCAGCCACAAUGGAAUUCUGAUUCUAAAAAAGGCAUAAACUACUAAGUUAUCCUACUGAUAUAAGAUGUAGCAUAAACACGGCAGACUGGAAAGCCGAAUCAUCUUUACACCAGUGACCUAACUAAACCAUGUUAAUUUCUAACAACCGAUCUGAGAAAAGAAUCCAUUGCAUUGUAAAAAACUGUUUCAAACCUAAAGAAGAAAUUCUGCAAGUUAAAUUGUCAAAGUACCUAAAUCAAGUUAUUGAGACACUAAAAGACUAAGUCACCAGUUUCAAAUGAACCAAUCGACACUCAACAGCAGUUGGAAGCAACAUAUACCAAGUGGAUGGUUGUUAGUCUCGACCCUGCACAAAAUACAACUCAGCAGCGCCUGCUUGGCCUUGGUCUGCUUCACCAUGACAACUUUCAGGACAAUACCCCAUCAAACAAGCCAAUCCAUAGUAAGAUACCUUUCUUUACUAACAUCUCCAGCACCCAGGCCGUAUUUAUCUCCGAGUGGGCUGUUCAUCACAUUCAGUACUCAGGCCUCUCCUCCUGUACAACACAAGGUCAAAUACAGGGGGAAAUGAUUAUGCCAUUCUCAAAAUUCAACUACCGCUAACAUUAUCGCUAUCCAUUACGUACUGAUCUACCAAGUCUGCUACAACUGCUCUCCUAUGAGUAAGUAGCACCACCAAAUCUCAUGGUCCAACUACAACACGCAAAGAAAAAUAGAAAGUGUUCUAUUCUUCUUAUUUAACAUUUUAACUUAAAAUAAUAGCACCGAACAUCCACCUGCUUCAGAAGACAGGUUAAAAUCCACUUCAAAUACUAAUUCCCCGACUGAUGGCUCAAUCAAAAAGUAAAUUCACGCAAGUUAAACACAAGCCAAUAUAUCUGGACUAUGGAAACAAAUGAACCACAUUAACUAACAAACAUAAUCAUAAGCAAGCGAGAUUAAGACUGCACUUAACAACAAUAACACGAAAUAGGUAAUACUAGCGACAGUACUAGUUAUUAUAAACUAGAAAUAAAUACUGCAAACUACUAGGGAUUCAAGCAAUCCAACCAGUCUCAUUUAGCAGGUGACACCUCGCAAGAGCAGCACUCUGCAUGUGAAACGCAAAAGUGACGCAAAACUCUCCAGUAAAAGAGAUGAAGUCCGAGACAACACGAAGCAUCUCAUUCACUGCUGCUGAGCUUGCCGACUGGGGGCACCACCAUAUCCACCACCAUAUCCAACUUGGCCACCAUGAGCUCCAUUUGGUGGGGCACCAUAAUUACCAGAACUUUGUGAGUUAUCAGAUCUCCAUGCUGAAUUCCCAUAGCUAGAGUUUCCACUUGCAUCAGCAUAGCCACUGUUCAUGUAACCCCCAGCACCUGAUUGCAUGUCUCCUGCAGCACCACCUCCAACGGGUGAGUUACCACUAGGAGCACCACUAGCACGUCCAACAGCACCAUAACCAGAUUGAUUUCCAUAGGCACCCUCAUUACCAGCAUAACCCCCAUAACCAUAACCUUGGUUCCCAUAUCCUGCGGUUCCAGUUGGAGAUUGACCAGAUCCUCCACUAGCAGGUCCACCACCACCACCACCAGCAUUUGCAGCACCCCAAGGGGCAUUACCAUAGCCCAUAUUCCCAUACCCAGAAGGACCCUGAGAGCCCCAUGUGCUUCUUGGUCCACCCGCUGGACCACUUCCAUAACCAGCACUGGCUGCAUUUGGAUUUCCAUAGGCUGCAGCAACUGCAGCAGCACCAUAGCCAGGAUUGGCACCCCCAUAGCCCGGAUUUGCUCCGCCAUAACUUCCAUAACCUCCAUAGCCCAUACCAUUGUUGGAUGGCCCAUAGCCAUAGCCUGGGGUACCAUACCCAGACGAACCAUAAGGAUAGCCAGCUCCAGCAUUUUGAGUUUGCAUGUACCUGUUGGAAUCCAUUCUACUGUCAUAAGAACUUGGAUUGUUACCUGAUCCACCAUACCCCUGAUAACUUCCACCACCCAUACCACUACCGCCUCCGCCGCCCAUGGAACGGCCACCAGCACCGGGGUUAGCAUCUUUAGGAAGAGCUUUCUUUACUUCUACCUGUUUACCAUUCAGAUCAUGAAAGGGCUUCUGUAAAACUCUAUCUACUGCAUCUUCAGAAUCAAAUGAGAUGAAACCAAACCCACGAGGUCGGUUGGUCUGCUGGUCAUACAUAAUUACUACAUCAGUGACAUUACCAAAACUUUCAAAAUAUUGUCGGAAUCCUUCCUCGGUCAAAGUGGGAGGCAAUCCCCCAACAAAAAUUUUCUUAGUCCUGGUGUUUCCACCACCUCCAAAAUUUCUGGCACUAUUUGUGUUUCCAGAUUUUGAGCCCUGCUGCUCCUCUCUCGACAAGGCCCUCUUAGCAUCAACCUGAACAAGAAAUAUAUCAGCUAACCCAAAAUAGAAGCAUACAUGAAACAACAACACCUCCCAGAAGAUCACCAUGAAAUAUCUUACAGCAAUCAGGUUAUCAAUUAAAAUCAUACCACACGAAUCAUAUUUGCGAUAUAGGAAAACUCUACAGAAGCUCAUGCCUGAUAGGGUGAGUAAAAUGUGUGCAACAAUAGAUUUGAUACAAUCAACAGACAAUGAGUGACUUGAGAGGCAUUGGAACAUGAAUCUUCCCUAAAAAAAAUUGAAAGGGAAUUACAUAUCUACAUAGGUAAAAGUCACUUGAGGAGUUGAAAUGCCAUCAAACAAAAUAAAAGAGCAUAUCUGCAGCAGAAGUAGUCUUUGCAAUGGAAAAUCAAGGAGAAAAAAGGGACAGAAACCAGAUGCACACUCAUAACAUAUCAGCACAAAUGCAAAACAUAGAGCAUGCUAAAGUUAUAGCUGACAAACAAGGAUGCACACAAUUCCAAGAAGCUAAACUACAGAGAAAAUCCACAAAUGAAGCAGAAAAAACUCAACAUACAGCCAUAUAUGACAUCGUCUACCUUCAAUCCGAUCCUAAACUAAGACUCAACACAACAACGCCAGCACCAAAAAGACAAGGAAUUUACAGAGCACCCACAAAACAAAUUAGGGAGAAAACCAUAAUAAAGCAUAAAAAUUUCCAAGGAAAAUCUCACUUCAUCAACGAAAUAUCUAAUCUUGAAGAACCCAAAUCAACCCUAAACUAACAACAACAAAAUCAUAUCCAGUGAAAUCACAACCCUUACACCUACUUCGUGAAGGUAAAUAGACUAUUCCCAAAGCACCCUCAGCUCAAAUGCAGCAAAAAACCAACCCUAAACUGACAAUAACAUCGUACUCACUGAAAUCACAGACCUUACACCUACUUCGUGGAGUUAGAGAGGUUGUUUCCAAAGAAAACUGAGCUCAAGUUCAGCAAAAUCAACCCUAAGCUAGCACACUAAGAACACAUCAUCUCUAAAACCAUAAAUCAAGUAAAUACACAACACCCACAAACAAAAGUAGACAACUUUACCACGAUACGCAGCUAAACAAUCAUACCUCUAAGGAAAACCUUACCAUACACCCCCAUCAAUAAAAACUCCAUCUUUAACAACCCAAUCAAGCUUAAAACAAAAACCCACAACCAAAUAAUCUCAAUUAACAAUAACCCAAUAAAAUCACACUUAACCAGAACCCAAAUUAAUGAACCCCCACCCCACCCACCCACACACUAAAGAAAAACGUAAAUUUCAAUAAAUCUAAGAACCAAAUCUUACCGUACGUCCAUCAAUAACAUGUUCAUCUUGUAGAACCCUAUCAAGAACAUUAGGAUCUGCAAAAACAACAAACCCAAAUCCUCUUGGCUUCCCAGAAAUCUUAUCCCUCAUAACAACUGUCUGCAAAACAUCCCCAUAUCCUUGAAAAUACUCCUUAAGCUUCUCUUCAGUUGUUUCCCAUGAAAUCCCACCAAUAAAAAGCUUUCCUUGAUCUGAAUCCAUUGGGUUUUCUCUGAGGGAUUGAAGAGAGAAGCGCCGACUUACAGAAAAAAAAUUCAGAGAGAGAGAAAAUAAGGGUUACAAAAAGUGAAGAAGAAAGACUAUGCGUAGCGUAAGAGGAAUCAACGGUCCAGAUUUAAUGUUAUAAAUUUGGUUUUUUUUUUGUUUUUUUUAUUUUGAUAAGUUGUAAGAUAUUUUUUUUCUUUAACGUCACUAUUUUAUGCUUAGAUUUUGUUGGCCUCUUUACAUAGGUUAAAAAAAAAAAAAAAGGUCAAAUUGUAUUAAUCUAUCAUAAUUAAAUAAUUUAAGUGCGUUUAAAUUAUAUUUGUUUUUUUUUAAGUUUUUCAUUCGGCUUCAAAGCUUAGCUUCGACUAAAUUUAAAUUGCAAACUGUUGGAUUCAUUCGGGAGUGACGCUUCCAACAAGAUUAUACUAAAUGUAUUAUUUAUUCAAAUUUUAUUUGUGAGAUUAUAUUGAAUGUAUUAUUACGCUUCAAGUGAACGGUUUGAAGAGUAAAUCACUGCACAUAUUUUAUAGAAAAUCUCAGAGUAACAAAUAUAAUGAGACUCUAUAAUUAUAGUUUUAAUAAUUAUACUUUAUAAAUAUAAUUUUAUUUGUUAUGGAAGCUGCGAUUUUUAUAUUUCGCUUUCGAAUAUACAAAUAAGGUAAGUAUAUGCGAAUUCUGUAUUUAUGUAUUUAGGAAUUUUUCAGAACUCCGUUGGAAAUUUUUCUUACCAAUAUACAAACAUAAUAAUUUAUUAUGAUUUUUUUUGGAAAUUGUAUUAAAAAAACUAGAAAACUAUAAAUAUGUACAAUUAAGAACCAAACUAUACGAAUCUGAAUUUAUAUAAAUCAAGGAAAUUAUAUAAAUUAAACGAAUAACAAAAAUUAGAAAAAUUGUAGCUGCCAAUUAUAAUUUUCUUAAACUAUAAUUAUAAUAGGCAAAAUGUUUACUAUUCUGCAUAAUUUUCUCAAUAUUUUAUUAUUCAAUAUUUCAAUUUAACAAAUAGUAAUUGCCAAAUUUCUAUUUUAAGAACAUAAUAUAUUCUACUAUGAAUGAUCAUUCUUUUUCUUUUUCUUCUAAAUUUAACAUAUAAUCUCCUGGUUUUACCUUAAAAAACUUUGUGCUCCUUCAUAAUAAAUCUAAAGAAAUAUAUAUUGACAAUAAUAGUAUAUUCCGUAUAAUUUCAUUCGAAAUAUUUUUUGGCAAAAGUUAGAGAAUUUGUGAACACUUUACCAAGCCACUUUUAAAAAAUAUAGUUAUAAGUAUUUUUGAUUAAUUAUUAUAAAUUACAACGUAAAAUUACUUUGUCUGAUUGAUUAAAUUAAGCUAUAGUUAAUUAGUUAUUUGAAAUAAUUACUACAUUAUGCAGCAUGAAUUAUUUCGAACAAAUGAAUAUAUAUUGAUAAACAUGAUUUUAUUUUUCUUAAAAAUGUUAAGCUAUAGUUAAUUAGUUAGUUCUAAUAUAUAAUACUUAAAGUGAAAAAAUCACAAAAUAUACAUAGAUAAAAAGGUGGAAAAUGAAAUGGAACAAAAGCAUAUUAUAUUAUAUUAUUUGUGAUUUGGAGUUGGACGUCAUUUUGAUAGUUAGAAUAUUGAGUGAUUAUAUUCUGAUUUUUACAAUAAUUUCCACUCAAAGAAUCAAAACUUUUUUCAUGGUUUCUCAUAGUAUUCGAUGCAAAGUAUUAAAAUGGUGUAUAUAAAGCGAUCGAAUAUCAUAAAUUAUAAUUAUUGAGAAAAAAAAUGUUAUAUAUCGCGAAAUUAUGAUAUAUAGUCAAACUUUUUUGGCUUAAAUAUUUAAUUGUUAUGAUGAAAUAUUUUUAUAAAAAACAUGUAAUAAAACAUAAUAUAAUAUCGAAAAAUGCUAUCAAAAUAAAAUUUGAUUGUUAUAAUGAACUAUUGAUAUAAAGAAUGAUUGUUAAUUUAUUAGGGAGAUUUACUACAACAUAAUUUAUUUGGAGCUUUUGAUUGUAUAAAUUGAACAUGUUAAUUGUAUUUUUUCCCCAUAUACUUUUGUAAGUUAUUGAUAAAAUUAAAUAAACAAUGAAAUUUUUGGAAAAACAUACCGCAUUUGUAUAAAAAAAUAUAUUGAAAUUUAUUUAUGGAAUAGAAAAGAAAGUAAACGAAUAGAACUAUAUUUAAAAUUUAUGUUUAUUUAAACGCAAGUUGCAACUUAUUAUAAUAUGAAUUGAAAUUUGAAUUUUCGUCAUCCUCAAAUAUUCAAAAAUUAUAAAGUAUAUCAACAUACAUACAUUGUGAUAUUGUAAUGAAACUUCUUGAUAAUAUAUAAUUUGAAUUUAAUCGAAAUUUUAAUACAAACUUUGACCAUUGAGUAGAAAAGAAACCACACAAUUUGUAGUAUAUUGAAAGUCAAUGUUUUCAUAAUUUCCUCAAAAUUUUAUGUAGCAAUUUAAUAGAGUUGGUACAUUUAAUUUUCACUAAACCAUUCCCUCUUAAAUGAACCAUAUGCAAUGUUAAUCUAAAUUUAUUGAGUUAAAAAAAUAUCAAAUAUAUAAAUAAAAAAAAAUCUCAAUAAAUCCUUUUUUUCUUUUUCCUUUAUUCCAAUCCUUUUUUUCCUAUAAAAAUAAAAGAUCAAGUUAAAAAGAAAGUGGUUGUUUCUAAAGUUAUUUAAAAAGAAUUUUAGAGAACAAUCCUUUAAUAAAAGAGAGUGAAUUAAUGGCGUUAUACAACAUUUUUAAAGUAUGUUUGUUUUUUAUCAGGUUAUUCAUUUUGGAAUUUCAUAGAGAAAAAAUAUAUUUUUUUUCCUUCGACUCUCACAUUUACUUACACCCUAUUCCUAUCGCACCCACUUCUUUGAAAAAACAAUUUCGAUCAUAAUGAAAUUCUUCGACGCGACAUAAAAUUAUAAAUUUAUAUCAAUUGUAGGUAUUAUGUAUUUGAUAUUCAGAUCUAUUUUAGUCUAAAACAGUCUAUAUUAAAGAUGAUUUCAUAAUUAAUGUCUAAAUCUACAACUUAUGGUUAAUUAAGAUAAAGAAGUUCUAACAACUCAAAUUGUAAUAGUAAAAGUAAAACAAUAACAUCAAAUAAAAUACACACAAAAAAAACAAAAUAUACACAAAUCUUACUCCAUCCAAAAAUCACAAUGUUAUAGCAAAGUCUCGAUUCUAUAAAAACAAAUACCACCAAACGAACUGUUCCAUACGUGAAUUACGAUAAAUAAAAAUAUCUCUAUCUCUUAUAUUAUUCUUAUUUAACGUAUUAAACAACCUGAUCAAACUCGUCAUACUAGUAAUAUUUUUUUUUUGUGAGCUGGCAAACUAGCUUGAAAUUUUGUCUUUACCCACUACCCCACUUAUAAUUAUUAUUAUUUACUUAGUAUAUACUUUUGUUAACGUUCCUAUUUUUUUCAAAUACCGUUGGAGGCAACAAACAUAUUUAAAUCUUCAUUGCCAAAAUAUAAAAACUCUGCAAAUUACACAGUCUAAAAUUCCUUCUCCAUUCUUCUCUGUCGAUUUUUUCUUUUUUGGGGGAAAAUCAAGAAAACAGAGAUCUUGAAAACAAAAACAAAAACAAAAACAAAUGGGAUGUUUUCUUGGAUGUUUUGGUUUUACAAACAAGAAACAAAAGCGUAUAAAGCCUUGUAACAAGUUUCAAGUAAGUUGCGUCUUAAAAUUCAAUUUUUUGUGUUCAUUUAUUUGUAAUCUAAAGACUUGAGUCGUUUAGAUACAGUGACGAAGACAAGAUUUUUACUGAAAAAAAUUGGAUCUUUGUUUUUUUAGAUGAAUCCUUUCGCCUCUUUAGCUUAGAAAUGAUGGUUGAUAUGUGUUACCUGAGGUGGGGUAGAGGCGGAGCUAGGUCGGGGUUUAUGGGUACAGAUGAACACAGUAGCUUUUUCGGCAGAUCCUGUAUUUGUAUUAGAAAAUUUAAAUAAAUAUCUAUGUGUAUUGGUUUGUGGAUCUCUAAUAAAAUUGAUUCACAGUGAAAAUGUAUUUUAUAUUAAUGCUCAAAUUCCUAGUUUUGAUUUCGCCUCGUAAAAAGGUUAAGUUUGCUUACAUGUAUACUCUACCCUAGCUCCCUAUACCUACUCGAUGGGAUUAUAUUGAAUAUGUUGUUUGAAUUGACGUAAAAAAAAAAUAUCAUUUUGUUUGAAUAUGAAGAAGUUUGCUUUUUUUUUUUUUAAAUAUUGUUUUUUAGGUGCAUCAAAAGUAUGUACCACUGGAUUCUGAGAAGGAAAUUGUUGUAAAUUCAGCAAAUUCUGAGCCCAGGUGAGUUUAGCAAUUCAUGUUUUUUUCUUUUUCCACUUUUUGAUAGUAAUCAUGUCUGGAUAAGUUUAUGCAUCUUGAUAAUUUCAUUGAGUUUGCUUUACUUGAGUCGAGAGUGUAUCAGAAAUCAUCGGAACACAUGAGUUAUUUCAGUUUAUCUCAGCUAGUAGUUAGUCGUAUUAAGGGUAAUACUGUGUACACAUCAGUGUCUAAAAAUUCCAUUUGUCUGUCCCUAAGUCUCACUUGUGAGAUUAUAUUGGGUAUGUUGUUGUUGUUAUUGACUAUUUCUUCGGGGUUAUGACAAUCAAGACUUAGGCAAAUGAGAAGAAUACAUCUAAAGUUUUUUUUAUCUCGAUUGAGAUUUGAACCUUAAUCUAUUUUCAUUGACUGCUAGGUUAUAUCAUGUUAGGUAUUCUCAUCAACUUCAUUAACGACUAGGUCGUUUUCAUGUGUUGUUUGUUUGUAGGGAUAAGCCAAAAGAAUCAUCAAAACGUAAGGUGAAAAAGAAAGUGAGUUUCAAUUUGGAUGUGAAGACUUACGAGAGAAUACAAGAUGAUGAAAACAACACAACAUAUUUCUCAGAGGAAGAGGAGAAGACAAAUAAACAAGAAACAGCCAAAGCAAGUAUGUCUAUGUACCCUUCGAGUCAUCGAUACUAUAACUGCAACAAUAGCUACGAUGAGGAGGAAGACGAGAUAAUACUUGAGGACAGUGAUAUCGAUGAUCUAGAUGACGAUGAAGAAGAAGAAGACUAUGGUGUUAGUGAUGACGAUGAUGAUGAUGAUGUUGGUGGUGAUGAAUCUGCAGAUUCUUUGCAUAUUGAAGCAGAAAACAAGUAUGGAAAUGUUGAAAAACUGAACACAGAUGAAUCGAAUGUAGUAAGUCGAAAUCAUAGGAGUUCUGUGCUUCUUCCAGUUGAAAAUCUCACUCAAUGGAAAGCAGUUAAAGCAAGAGGAGCACAACAAGUGAAGCAUCAGAAGGAAAACAUAAUCAAAUUGGAUGGAAAACCAGUAAACAGCCAUUGUGUGGACCUAAAUCCCAAAUACAACUCUAAGCCUAAGUCUAAGCUUCAAGGACAUGAUAUUUCAGUAGAUGCCAGCCUCUCUAACUGGAUGGUUUCAGCAAAAACAACAUCAGUAAAUGGAUCAGCUGUGUAUUACAAUCAACAUAGAGCUGCAGAUGAAGUCGUGCUCGAUGAAGUCAAUAUCAUAUAAACAGAGAAGGUGCAGUACCUAAAUACAUUUGGAUUGAUGUUUGUGUAAAGAAUUGAUUGUUUUUUUGCAUGAUUUAUGUGUGCAGUGUGUUGUAUUCUCUUCUCCGCGAGAGAAGAAAAGACAAUAAGAUUUUCAUCUGGGGAACCUGUAUUUGGUUGAUAGCAUAUCAUAUGCAUGUUGUAAUUCUUUUACUGUUACAGAACAAAGCAAAUGGACAAAGAAUUAAAGAUGUUAUAAAAUCAUUCUUGCUAGAACAAAGUCAUCAUCUGUAAGGCUCAGCACUCAUAUACAUUAUAAUUAAGCAAAAGAAAACAAGAAAACCUGAAGGGUUCUGUAUGUUAUCUACUAUAACUCGAAGCACUCAUAUACAUUAUACAAUAGAGGAAGUUAUUCUCUCUAUCUGAUUGUGUUCAACGAGAAAGGGUCGUUUCAUUUGGCUCAGAUAACUUGAACCAAAUUAGAGACAGUCGACUCUCUUAAAAACUGCUGUUAUUGUAUGCUAUAAAGAUGUGAAUCGAAGGAGAUUCAACAUUCUUGACUCACAAUUGGUUUGGUAAUGCAUUUAAUAAGAACUACAUUAUCCUACAAAUGCAAGAAUCUGAAUCAUCUUCAUCCGAGUCACUUGCAUCACUGCAGGAAAAACAAAAAGCUAUAUGUAAGAGCAAUCCUGAUAAACUGAAGAACUGUAGUAUAAAAUGCAAACUUCAGAUAAUGCCCAAAAGUAAACGGCUAACAAGAAACAAACUUGUACGUUCCAUGGCAAAGGGGUAAAGUAGUUACAUCCUAUCUUUUUGAUGAACUAACUAGAGAAAAAACAAAUGUUCACCAACUAGAUCAAGUAGUGCCUGCAACUUCAAUUGCCAGAUGACCAACACAAACAUUACUCGUUAAUGAAUUCAAGAUCUAGUGCUUGGGAUGUACAGCAUUAAAGUCAAGUCUAUAGUGAGAUAUUAUCUCAUCUUUUAUGAUGUUUCAUACGACACAUAGCCUAAGCUUAUAUAGUACACCCCCCUUAGGGAUGUUAAUGGGGAAGAUGGUGGCAGCAGGGCAAUGCUCAGGCAGAGUAGGCCAGGGGAGGAUGGGGCGGGUGAAUGCUUACUUUUCUAAGAUAUACCAGGCCGGGGCCAUGGGUGCCUAAAUGCCUCUACGACGUAACCAUAUUAACCAACGAUGACAUAAAGGUGCAGUGGGUCAUAUUCUGAGUGUGUUAUUGCCUCCUUAUGGUCUGGGGUCACCUCAUGAGCUAGCUAGCUUUUGGGAUUGAGUUAGGCUCAAGGUCCAUUUUUUCUUACUACCGUUUAGAAGAUCAUUAUACUUCAGUGCACAAAAAUGGAAGAAAAAAGGUUCUAAAAGGUGUUCAGCGGGGCAGGGAGGGGAGUGACAGAGCGGGUUAAAACUAUGGCAGGGAAAGGAUUCAUUGAUCCUGUUUAUCAUCCCUAGUUCCCCUAACUGAGCCUCUUAGCAAUAUCCAUAAAAUUAUUCUUAAUAGCUGUGCGAAGUCAGACAAGAAACAUUCAGAAAGUUAGGAACCAUAGAUCAAAACACAAGUGAAAAGGCGUCAAUUAGCACCUGCAAAACAACUUUCAGCAUUCUGGCCAAAAAUGAGAAAAUAAGCUUAUCACCCAUUCUUCACUUCAUAAAUCGUUCUACCCUUCCUUUUCAUAGCAUAUUCCAGUAUACAGUAAGCUUUGACCUCCUAGUUCAUAAGUCAAAGAAAGACGGGGGGGCAGUGUUACUAAAGACCAGAAAGAGUUCAACUCUAGUCACCUUACCAACAACAUACUUUCUGGAUGCUAAAAUUUUCUCAUGAUGCGUGUAGUCUUUGCCCAAUUUUAUUCCGAAGAGGUAGUAAAGAAAACUGUAGAACACAUUUCCAAGCAGAGGACAAUAUGCAAUAUUGCAUUGUUGAUAUCAGUAUCGACACUCAAUACAUGAGAAAGGGCUUUAUUUACCCCAAGCUAUUUAAUCCUACUUCUCUUCCCGAGAUGCACAAACAUUUCUUAGACCAAAAUUUCUUAAAAGAUUAUACAUUAUACUUGCUUCUGCAAGAGUCUAUUAGAUGUUUAAGAAACUUACAAUCAAUACAAUUCAUGAGCAAGUUAAGAUGAAACAAAUACUGACAGCUCACUAAAUGGAUAUAUUCCUCAAACAAGAUGCUCCUAAUUCCUAAAUAUGUGGAGUUGCCUCUACAUUCACUUUACAAUAAUAAUAAAGUGACAGCAUACUGCAUUUGGAUGACAUACUACUUAGACCUUUUUCUUGUGGUUUUGGAUAGCUUGAGCAUUUAUACUGUAAUAUUGCCCAAUGCGUAUAGUGCAGCUUAUAUUUUUUGAAAGAUCAUUCCCAUGAAUGCAGCCAGGACCUAAGCAUGUUCCUUUCAGGUCCUAUGGUUCAUCAGCUAAUAGAAUAAGAAAUCUAAUGAUCAUUGGCUUCUUUUCUUUUUCUUUAGGAUGAAAGCGGUGUCUAUGCUAUUUUCACACACCUCAACUAAUCCACCGGAUAGCCUGCUACUGCCCACAGUCACAGUUGCCGGGAACCAGUCUAUGCCCACAUUCCCAUGGCAACUCAUAAUAACAGUCUAUAUCAUGCUGCUUAUAUUAGAAUGCCAUGAACACUAUCGUGAAUAACUAAUCUAUAGCUGCGAUUCACGCAAUCAAUAUGCUUAUCACAAAAAAGAUUUCCCCACACAGACUACAUAUACAUUAUCUAAUACUCUAUUCAGAUUAGACAUAAGGCAUAAACAGAACAUCACACUUAAAUUAUUUUCAUCUUAUACUUUCACUUUUGCUAAAUAAAAGAUCUAAUACCAGACAGGUUCCUAUACCAUCAAUAGUUCUACAGAGAAUCAUUGCUUUACCACAUUAUUCUAGUGAUCCACCGUCCGAAAACAUGAACUUGAUUAACUACUGUGAUUUUCCACAAUGAGCAACAAACACAAAUCACACAUAAUCAGAGACUUCAGAACCAAAUUUUGUAGACCAAAACUUCUACAGAUUAACCAUAAGCUAAAUGAGGAGACAACAAAGAGAAUUUUUUUCUUCUAUUUGUUUUUUUUUUUACCUUGGCUCAAAUUCCAAAACCUCAGUAAGUUUAUUCCCAUUUGUAUCAUUCCACUGAACUUUCCUCUUUGGCUUAGCUAUCUUUUUUGACAAUCCACCUUUCCUAGAAGGCAACAAUGCUUUAGACUCAUCAUCUUCAUCUUUUCCACCAUUCAACACAGAAUUAGGAAGAGCUUCCACACUAUCAACAUACUGAAUUUUCUCCCCUUUUAAAUCUUUAUUACUUUUAGUAUCCAUUCCUCCAAACACACAACAACAACAACAAAAAACAAAUCUUCCUUCUAAAUUCCUUUACCUAAACAACCUCAAAAUCAUAUGAUUCCAAUGCAAAACCAACAACCCCAUUUCAACAAAAAACCUCAAAAAGCUCAAAUCUUUACAAGAAAAUUUCAAGAUUUAAUGCAUUAUCUUCAUAACCCACAAAAACCCACCUCCCAAAUGAUAUCAAAACAAGGAAUUUGUAGAUUCUUGAUCUUCAAAUCCUCAUAAAACUAUAUGGGUAUGUAUCAAAAAAAGCUAAAAAGCUAAUCUUUGUAUUGGUUUAGCUUUCAAGAAUUGGCUUUUUUGUUAAUUUUCCUUCUCUGAAUGUGAAGGAAAAUGGAAAAAGUAGAAGAAUUGGUAUAACAAUGAAUCAAAAACCCUUGAAUUUGUAUGAUUAGAUUUGAAAAAAAAAAAAGAGAAAAAAUAGAAAGAAGAUACAAGAUACAGUGUGUGAGAGAGAAAUGCGUUUACUUUUGUUAUUUGUGGAAGCUAAAUACAGUAUAAACUUUCACAAAAAUAAUUAGGAUUAAUAUUCUAUAUUUGCAUGUAAUUACUGUAGCUGACAAUCUUGACUCAGUGAAAGUACAUAGAAUAAUCCACAAAUAUAUGAUUCAAUAAAUAAAAUUAUUAUUUUUAGUUAUUAAUAUCGAUUUAAGUUUAAAUAUAGAUUUUUUUAUUGUGAGUAUUUCUCUCAAAUAAAGUCCUAGAUAUAAAUUCAGAUUAAUCUAAUGUUCAUAUAAAUAUCGGUAUAUAUAUGUAUAUAAUUUGUUGAAAUAUCAUAAGUGAAAUUUGAUGAGUAUAGAAUAUAGGUAAAAUUUCACCAUUAAAAUAAGUAUCAAUUCGACUGUACCAAAUUUAAGUACAAAGAAGAAGAGAAAAGUGUAGAAAAUAUAGCAACUACUAAUUAACAAGAAAAUUGAUUCAAGAGCUUAUAAAAAAGGGACAAGAACAACAAAAUAUAUAUCGUGCAAUAAUCUAAACAAUAUUUACGACAGAUAAUGAUAUAUAUAUCAAAAUUAGACACUACAAUCGUAUAGCUAGUUCAUCGAUAAACAUCAAUAAGUCUAAACUUUCAAAAAAAUAAAAAAUAUUUUAUUACAUAUUUUAACAUGUUGUACACAUUAUUCAUAUUUUUCUUUAUCUAAAAUUAUAUUUUCGUUGAUAAGAAGUUUCAUUACUCAUCCUUUCUAUCAUUUUCUUUUCAAUUUUUAGAUUUUUUAAAAUUUAACAAAAGUUAUUAGUGACCAUUUUUUAAUUAAACAAUAAUUAUUCAUAUAUAAGUCAAUUUAUGUGGAAGCAAUAGGUUUUACAACAUGAAAAUUAUUGUUUUUUAAAUGUUUGAUAAAGUUUUAACUAAGGGGAUAAGUGUUAAUAAAAAUAAACUCCAGGAUUAAUUAAGAAGUAAUUUCUAGUUAUUAAUUAAUGCCAAAAAAGGAGUUAGUUGUGAAGAUGACAGGUGGGAAUAUGGGGCCUAAUUGUUGAAUAUAAGAAUACUAAAGUGGAACACUUUGAAUUUCUUCACAUGAAGAUGUCUUUUUUUUUUUAUCUAUAUAAAAAAAUUAAAAUAAAUUUAUUUAUUUAUUAAAUGAAUAUAAGUUGGUAAGUUAAUAUUAUCAUCAUUAAUUGAAUAUUCCUUAGUUUGGAAGUAUUUCUUUCAUCUUACAAACCAUGUCCCCCUUCUUGUUUUUGAUUACUUAUUUAUUUUUACUUUUAUUAAAAAAUGAUGUCCUAAAGUUUAUUAAAAUCUUGAAAUUAUAUAGAUGGAAAUGUUAGGCCAAUUAGAGUAAACAACUUUUCAGUAUUACACUGCAAUUAAUUUAUUAUGUUAAAAGAAAUCGCUUUUUAUUCAUCAUAUAAUAUACAAGUUUGUGAAAAUAUAACCUAUAAAACAUUGAAUGAAUUUAGAUUUAAAAAUAUCUUAUUCUUUUUAUGAAAUGUUUUUUCGUAUUUAAUCACGAUAUUAAUUCUUUCUUAAUUUGACGAAUAAUUAUAGAAAUCUUGUGAUUUGUUUAAUGCUAUCAAAUUAGAGCAACUUAAUUGAUUGUGGUGUAUGAUGAUAUGGUGAUCUUCUUUACUUAAUAAAGAUGAAAUGAUAGUGGCAUUAUUUUUUAUUAUAACUAUAUUGUAUACGUAUACAUCUCGAUUAACUUUUUAAAAUAUAUAGUAUUUCUCAUUCAUGGUAAUGAUAUUAUUCUUAUAAAAAAGAGAAAAGAAAAUGAACAUGUUACUUCGAUUUUAUUUUAUUUAUUUAUUUUGGUUGGGCUACUUUGUUGUCAAAUCAUGGAGAAAAAAAAAGUUCAAUCACUCAUCCUAUUGAAUUUAUAUUUAUAUAUGAAAAAGAAAAAAAUGUCAAUGGUUAAAAUAAUAAGUGUCAUAAAAAAAAUAAAAAUAAAGUGGACAUGAUGGAGUUGGUUGAUACUCUAUAUAAAAUAAUUAAUUAGUGCAAAAUAAUUUCUUUAACUUAUCUCUUAGAUGAUUUCAAAAUUGUCUUAAAGAAUUCUUUAAUGUAGUUUUUAAUUUUCCAAAAAAAAAAAGAAAAAUGGAAGAAUUAGGGAUACGGGCGAAUAGAAAAAAAAUGGAAAAAAGAAUUAUAAGAUAAGAAAAUCGAAUUUCAAUCAAUAAAAUUGAAACUAUUUUUUUAAAUAAAAAAUAAAAAUAUUUUAGCAAGUGAAAAGUGAUAUAAUUAUUAAACUAAUGUUAUAAGUUAUUUACUUUUAUUAUUCCUAUUCUCAUUAUUUUCUAUAUGUUUUUUUUAGGAUCAAAUUUUCUUUUUUUAUUAAUUGUCUAUCCGAACCGAAUUAGCACUUCUCAGAUCAGGCUAGGCCUCUCCAGCUGAGCUGGGCGCCGGGGCCCUGGAUGCGCUAGCGAUUGGCACAUAGGGGAAUGGUUGCCCGGGUUUCUCGGCCUGGUAUCCUGCACCUCGCGCUCAUGAUAUCUACAUUCAACUGUGCUCCGGAGACACGGUCAAAGCACGCCCGUUCAGUGUGCUUUAUAUGUUUUAAUUGAUUCAAGUGUUUAUUAAAAAAUAUAUCUUUAUAUUUAUAUAAUAAAAAUAAAACUAGAUACACAUUACGUAUCAUGAUAUCACCUUUAUUGUUCGCUUACGUAUCAAACACAAAAAAAAAUCACUUUUUUCUUUCUCAAAAAUAUUUUCCAAUAAAAAAUUUCCUUUGAUAGCAAACAUAUGUACACUUAAUGGAAUAAUUACCAAACAAUUACAAUAAUGGAAAAACGUUUUUUUUAUGCUAAAUUAGAAGAAUAUAUAAUAAUUAGUAUAUGAUACUUUUUUAGAACUUUUUGUGGUGGUGGGGUGUUUAGCAACUGGCAUGAUAAGGUAUGUUUAGAAAAUAUACAAAAAUGCAUAUGAUUAAAGAUGAUUAAAGGGUCCAUAUGAGGGCAAAAUAGGAAGAAAAAAAAAGUUCAAAAAUAUUAAUGACUCUCAAAUUAAUUUUUUUUUGUUCUCCAUUUUUUUUUAAUUUCUAUUUGAUCGUGUAUAUUUAUAUUAGGAUUUGAUAGUAUUUAGAAAUAAUUUACAUCGAAAAAUUUCAUAUAAAAAAUAAAUGCAUUUUGAUUUAUAUUCAAGACUCGAACUUGAUUCGAAAUUUAUAUUUUAACGAUGAAGGAAUAAGUAUUGAUUACUCUACGACAACCCUGAUUAAUUACAAUACUAGAAAAGGAGGGAGACUUUAUUUAUUAGACUCUUUCAAAUAAAACUGAACAAGAAAUUGAAUUUGAUCAUUUCAAAGUUUGGUUAGGUUGAGAAUAAUUAAAUAAAUAGAUGAUUAUUUAUGCAUUAUAAAUUCGUCAUUGAAUUUUAAGUUCAUUUUACUUAUUAAAUUUAUUAUAUAGUCAAUGAAUUUCUUAACAAUAUAAAUUUAAAGUCCAAGUAAAAAGUAAUGAAUUUGUUCCAUAUCUAAUAUUGUAACUCCUUCUCCAUACGAGUUGUUCAAUCUAGUGAUAUUAUUGGAGAAAAAAAAAAAGAAGUAAGAAACGUGUAAUGAUAUUGGGAAAAAAGGAUAAAUAUAUCCCUGAACAGUCGUAAAUAGUAUAGAGAUAUCCUUUAUCAUACUUUUGAAAUAUUAAUGUCCUUAUCGUCCAAAAACUAGAGCUAUAUACCCUUUAUACUAACGGACCUAACAUAUUUACUAUUCUAUCCUUUGUGGCUGCUGAAUGUGUAUAGCAAAUGGUAACGUCUAAUAAUUUAAAGAAAAAGACAUAGUAACAAAUUACCAAAUUUGUGCAUGAUGUUAUGGCACUAGUGGAUAGUGAUGUAUGGAAUGAUGCAAAAAAUAAAUAAAAUAUAAAUAGUAUCGGAGAUAGAAAUUUAUAUAAAUUUGAUCGAAUUUGAUAAAUUUUUUCAAAAUAUAUUCGAAAAACGAAAGAUUUUUUCUAUAUUUAUUGACCGGAUGUGGACAAUGACACUCUCUUGAAUGACAAAAAAAAAAUGAAGACAUUCAUUGGAUGUAAUAAAGUGCUAUAAAUUUAAUACAUUGGUGAAGUAUAUUAAAUUUUGAACCACCUCAAAUUUAGAUCUAUAUUAAUCUAAAAGUACUUUAUAAUCAUAGUGGUUUAAACCUUAUUAAUAUGUAUUUUUUCCGUCCUUAAUUACUUGUUCAGUUCUGAAAGAUACGUAAUUAUUAAGAAAACAAUGAUUGACGUAGUGAAUUUACCAUUUUAUUCUUAUUAAUUACGAAAUGGAUGAAUUAAAAAUAUAAAAUUUUCAAGAAGUUCUACCUUUUUUAAAAAUAAUUAAUUAAGAAUAUCAUAGAUAAAAAAAAAGUUAUGCAUUUUUUAUUUGUGAAAAUAAAGAAAUAAAAAAAAUUAGACAGAUAAUUAGGAACAGAGGAAGUAUUGAUAUUUGUCUUUGUAAUUGCCAACUUCACUUUGUUAAAAGUAGGUAAAGCUAGUGUGUUGAGUACUUCAUAUUUUCUCUAGAAAGUUGUCAUUAUUUUUUUUAUUUCUUGAUUUUUCGUAUUUUAAAGAUAUUUGUCGUAAUUAUCGAAUUUAGUUGAAUUCAUUGAAUAUAGAUUAUAUUCACUUCUAUAAAGACGGAUGCAAACUUGUGACAUCGAUUCAUCUGAAUCAAGUAUCUUUAUUACGCGCGAUAUUUGGUUCAUUGGACUAAAAAUGAGAUGUGUGGGAUAUAAAAUAAAACAUGUUCUUGGUGUAUAUACACUAGAUAAGUUGGGAUAAACUUAUAUUUCCAAUUUUAACCUUGAGUUUUAUGAAGGACUUUGGAGGGAAGAGCCUUGGAAAAGGGCAUCAUUGUCAUUUGUAGUGUUUUAUCCCCAAAUUACUAAUCUCAAUUUCGAAAAUUCAACCAAAUGUAAGAUAAACUUAUCUCACAUAUAAUCGCGAGAUUAUUAUCUCUUGUACCUCCAAUCAAACGAUACAAUUCGUGAAAUUAGAAAUCUUUGCACAAUUUUGCUUCUGAUCUUGAUAAAGCUACUUUGAAUAAAUUGACAAGAUGUCAACGAUUACCUAAACUGCUUAAGACAAUCCAAAUCAACUCCUCCCGUGGUAGAAAAACAAAUAACUUCGAGUUCGAAUCAUAAAUUCACCUUACCUGAAAACACCCUUUUCGAUUUAGUAGAUUUUGUUUUAAAAUCCAAGUGUAAAUUGGAAUUAGAAAAAUAUACCAACCAUUAAAGAAAGACGAUUAAAAUAUCUCAAGAUUGGCCCCCACACCAUAAUAAGAUCCAACAAAUCAAUAUUUUUUUUUAAAAAAUAUAUAAGUAGUUCCAAAAAUUCAUUAACUUAAUUAUACAAUAAGAUCUCUUCUUGAUUGAUUUUGCACACAUGCAACAACCAAGUGAAGUGGAUACCAUAUAAUAAUGAUCAAUAAUGGUUUAAUAACCGUGCACUAGUAGAGUGUUUCACUCUUAAUCAGAAGUCUCGAGUCCGAGCUUUGAGUAUGGAGAAAAUCUUGUUAGGAGCGUUAUUCCCGGAUGGGCCUUGCAGUGCACGAUCUGAAUUUAGUUGGGCUCCAAUGUGAACUCCGGACACCGAGUGAAAAAAAAUAAAUAGUUCAGUAACCAGUGCAUAGAAUCAUAUAUAACAUGAUUAAUUAUUCCAUCUGUUACCUGAUCUUUGAAGACAAGCAUCGACAGAUAAUGAUCAUAUGAACUGAAGACAAAAAAAAAAUGUAGUGCCAUUUGUCUUGUUUGGUGAAUAAAUUGCUUCAAAAUACACUAAAAAUGAUUGCAAAAUUAGAAUCUUGCAUUUUACUCAAUAUAAAAACUGAACUACUUCUACCACAACAACUCAUCAGUAAAAAAGCUUGUUUUACAUACCUUCAUGUGAAGUUCAUUCCACUUUCAAGAUCAACAUCCAAAGCAUGGCGCGUUUUGAACGUGCAUCACCAGCAUUGAAGGAGAUUCUGCUCAGAUUAUACCGGUAAAAUGAACUAUACUCGUUGUUCUUCGUACUUCAAGUCAUGUACUCAAGAUUUACUUCUCAGUUAAGUCCACGAGUAUUCUUUUCCUGUAGAGGCUAACACAACAAAGCGUUUUAUUAGUUAUAAUAUAUUACUUUGCUAAUCUCAACACCUAGCAAAUGAUGCAACAUGUUUUUGUAUAUUAUCAUGGUGUCCUCCUGGCUAGCUUGCUUGCACCUUAACUAAUUCCACAGGUAUAUGCUAUCUCCGAACUCUAUCCACUUUCCACCAAGGCUUAGACAAAUAAGAAGAGAUCACUUAGCGUUUAAGAUUUCAUGGUUCUCAAACCACUAGGGGAACCGUUGAGUGCAACAAACGUAUUCAUCUGGAUGAGCAUUGCUGAUCAUAGUGUAGGGUCGGUCUAGUAUUCGAGUUCAGUUCCAAAUUCAAUACUAGGUAAUUCUAGUCUAUCAAAAACAUACAGUGAGCUCGCUAAGAUUUUCAAGAUAACAUAAUAAGAAUCAAGUUGAAGAGCGUCUCAUAAGGUAAAGAGGAGAAAGUACAGAACAUAAGGCAAUUAUAAAGAUUAAGCAGGAAUCAUUAGAUAAAGUAGAAUUAAGUUUUGAGAAAUACAUGAUUAGUUAACAUUGCCGAUGAAUAGUAAUUUGUUUAUAGUUAUGAUGUGGAAGCAGAUAGACAUUGAGUGUUCAGAAAACGGAUUCUAUUUGGCCAGAUAAAAGAAGGCGUUGUACAGGUAGAAUUCCAUUGCUGGGGCUACAUUUGCCUUCUGAUCUAUUAUCAAAUGUUGCUUUCAACAGUCAAUUAGUGACAGCAACACCGAGAAAAUUUAAAACAUGCCACUUUUUGUGAUCACAAGUCGGUAUUGGACUUACCGAAGUGCUUGAAAGAGACGAGCCAAUCAGCCAAGCACCAUAUUCUCUAAGUUCCUGCUAAGUUGGUCUUGCUGCAUAAACGACAUGCAGUUAUUGAGAGCAUACUCAUACAAACAAACUCAUUGGACUGAAUAAUCACGAUUUUAUAUCAAGUUAGACUACAAUUUGGGAUCAGCAUAUGAAUCCUAUCCGCAUCAUUACUAUAUACAACAGAUUUAUAUGAAACCGACAAAGAAAAGACACAUCAAUAAACAUUAAAAUAGAGACGUCCAUUUAGAAUUGUUAAGCUGGAACAAGUGUAAGUAAUUAACCUUUAGAAUUUACCUGAUGAAUUAUAAGCAGUACUCCGACGUGUUUCUUCUUAAGUUUUUGAAUAAACGUAUAUGUAAAAACCAAAACUCUUACCAUGAACAUGCUUGUUUUUUCUUGAGACAGAGAUGAAAGGGCUAUUGAUGCCGACCAUCACCUUCAUGAAUUUGGGUCCAUUGAAUAUUACAUUCAGGUAAGAGCAACUAAAAACCACAAGCAUACAUUGCAUACCUGAUUGAAGUUCAUGGCACAAAAGACAAGGUUUGUCUAAAGGAAGAUCCUUCGAACUGAAGAACAAUUCAAGCAACUAGUUUUAUAUUUAAAAAACGAACUCCAAGUUGAGAAAUGCAUUUUUUUGCUAAAAUGUCUGCUGAUUUUCAACAAUCCAAAAUAUGUGUCCAUAACUUCUUUUUUUUUGAAAUAUUUUGUCAGUCAUUGGUGUCAGAUCCCGAUCAUACCUACUUAUCAAUAGCAACCCCGAUUCUGUCUCAAGCAUUCCUGGUCUCAACUCGUCUUUCACGUUACACUAUACAGAAGGUAAAGGCUAUCAGUGCUGAAGUUGUGGAGAUUGUUGAGCCUCCAAAAGAAGGAUAUCAGCUGACUAUACGACUCAAUUUUGGUAGAAUGCCGCAUGGUAAAGGUUUGGAACUCCUCUCAUCAAUGCUGCCUACCACCCCUUUAUCCUGCUUUAGAAACAUCUCAGAAGCAGAAUAAUCGAUCAUGCAAUAAUAAACAAUAAAAUGUGGCACCACAAGUGAAAACAAUAAUGAAUUUAAAGUGGUUAGCAACUGCCACUUUGUUAUGGUGAUGCUAAGAUAUAAACUGAGCCAUCAAUAGUCGAACCAAAUUGAACUUCUUUCAAUUACUACUUUGAUAGCAUUUCACACUGCGGCGGUUCUCAUAAAAUUUGUGUUGUCUUUUGUUCAUUUCAGAGGCUAUAAAAAUGAUAACAGACAUUGCUGCUGUUCAAGGUGUAAUUCUGAGUUCUCAGCUGGAAGAAAUGCUGAUGAAUGUGAAUUCACAAGAUGUGGCUCAAGGGAUGUACAAACCAAUCAAACUUGUUUAUCACCCAAGAGAGCCGUUUUAUGUCAUAAAACAGGUACUUCACAUUAUGUGAUAAUGUUUAAGGACAAGUAAAUGAACACACCAUGCAGAUAAGUAGCUCUGCGCAUCGUAAGACUAGCUCAGUUAACAUUAACUUGGCUGUAGUUGAUCCUCAUCGUCGGAACAUCAGUAGAGGGAUUAAAUUGCAAUGUAGGGCAGCCAUAAAUGCUGAAGCCCUUUCUGAGAGACAAUUAGUUCAUUUGGCAUGCAGCUGGCAAUACUCAAAAUAAUGAAGAAAAAUUAAAAAUUAAAGUGAGAACAUAUUUCCCGAAACCAUCAAAUUUCAAGACCAUUUCAGACUUUAAUAUCUACAGGUGAUUUUUCUUCAAACCAUCAAACCAAAAGUCUUACCGUCUUGGAUUGCAAACCUACUUCCAGUAAACAUACACAUUGCAAACAUUAUAUCCACAGUUAUACCGAAAGUACACACCUUAUCUCACGCCAAGUCAGGAAACUGUGAAGGAAGAACUGGUUGCAGGCACUAGAAGCAUGUUUUAGAUCAAAUUAUAAACUAUGCCAUAUAAUACUUCCAAACUACUGAGUACAGCUACUGUGUUUUGCUAAGUUCAAAAAGUAUGACACAUGCAUAGCAACUAUAUGAUGGGAUCUGAGUCAAUUUGGCAUAUUUAAAGGAACUUGAACGAAGAGAAAUAAUUGUAUUAAAAAAAUGUACAGAAAAAUUCCUUCCUAAAAUAUGAGAUUUGUUUGAGAGAAUACAGCCUCAUGCUUCUUAAUAUGUAAACUAACAUUUGUGACAGCCCCAGAAAAUCACGGCAGUAUUCCCAAUGCGUUUCAAGGAGAAAACAGAUGUGAUCAUAGCAACAACUUUCUUCCAGGUAACACAAUUUUAUAACAUGUACGACUUUGUAAUUUUAUAAGCAUGCAUCACUUUGUUCAAGUGUCCUGGACAUUGACAGUUUCCGCAGCAGGAACUCAUGGAUGUUGCAAAUACAAAAGCAUGUGCCAAGGCACCCCAUUGCAUCUGGUCCCCUAUCCCACCUCCUGAGCUAAGAGGAGAAGCAAUUGAAGACUUGAGCACAAACGGAGGAUUUGUCUCUUUUGGUAUUUUCUAUUAACAACUCACACGUCUACGCAAAUUACUGUUUCUCUCAAAUAAAUGAAAACAUUGAUAGGGGUAAAAGAAAAGUAUUUAUAGCUUUGGAGAAAAGAAAACGUACUAGAAGAACCUCCUAAAAUGAGUAGUGAUUUGAAUAAGAAAUUAAUGAAGAGAAGAGGUCUACAUGUAAGCUCAGAAGAUACAUAUAUUAGUGUUCACCUGCCUUCUCUAAAUCUUGGAAUUGGAGUUGGCCUGAUAUUUACCUUUUUAUCAUGGCAUUCACAGAUAUCACUUCACGCCAUAUUGAAGGCAAAAGGCUAGACAAGACGGUGUGGAACCUUCUGAACUUUUAUGCAUUUGUGAAAAAUCAUGUAAAGGUAAAAAACCCUUUUAAGCGUGAUAGCAUUAUAGCUGUUAACAUCUUAUGCUUAUAUUCUGCAUCAAACAGACCACUCGAGGAUUCAUACAAAGAAGGAUGAGAACAUGUCUGCAAAGCCUGGUUGAGGUAAGGAAAUGAUCAAAUAAUCAUCCGAGUGGCACAUUAUAGUUCAUGAAGUAUAAACAGUACAACCGCACUCUGAGAUAUCGAUUUUGCAAAAAUACACAGUGAUGAACUACUGUAUGAUUGCAAUUUGUAGGUCUUACAGAAAACAGAACCUCAAGAUGAGCAACAAAGUAAAGAGGUGAAAGGUAUGAACCUUUGAUUUUGAGGUCAGAAUAUUUUUGAAUAGAAACCUAAAGAGAAACUAACAAUCAAAUAUAGAACGACAUGAUUUAUGAUGCUUGUGCACAUAUAAUAGAAGCAAAGACACACAGAGAUUCUGUGAGUUUAUCAUAGGUUUCAUAAUAAAAAGAUCAUUAAUUCUAUUAGCUUGGAGCCACUUACCUUCCAUAUGAGUACUUUUUUCUUUAUUUUUUCACAGUUUUUCUAACUCUAUACAUCCUUUUUCUUUAACUUUCUGCUCACUAUUUGUCAAACAACAUUCAUGCAGGAUACAAGCACAUGAAAAAGUUGGUAAAGUUCACAAAAUUCAAAAUAAUCAGAUAUAGAAGUGAUUUCACCAGUAAACUUAAAAGGAUCCGUUCGAGAUUAAAAAUCCAUGGGUUCAACCGUUUUCGUCGAAAAUGGUUGACAUUCCCCAUCUUCUCCUCCAAGACAAAAUACAGAAAGCUGGAAAAAGAUAUUUCUCUUCAACACAAUUAAUAAAUUUUGCUUAUGGUUAGAUUUACUGAAAAGGGACAAACAUAUCCUUUAAUCAGGAUAGUUGUUACACUCUACCAUGUAAAACAUCUUUCUAUUUGUCACUUUCUCAAAUGUUGUCAAUACAUAUAGAUACUCAUGUACCAUGUACAUUGUAAAAAUAUUCAAGUAAAAUAAACGAGUUGGUUAGCAGUUUUUUUAUACUUCUAUCACAGAUUAAAUCCAGAUUUGCAUAUUACUCUAGCUGUUAAGCAAGAAAAUUCCUUUUCUAUUUGAUAACCAACAGGUUGAAAGUGAUUAUUUUAUGCAACUGUCCAUAAACAUUAUGCGUUUUCGUAAACAGCCUCUCUACCUCCAUGAGGUAGGGGUAAGGUCUGCAAUGAUAAAAACAUUUAUGAAGUGAAAAAGCUUUGUAAAAGUGGGCCUCAGGAAUGCAAAACAAAUCUAUGGGAGGAGUUUAGGCUAAUGUUUGCUUUAGAGUUGGUGACUGAAUGAGAUCAGAUUCUGAUUUCUGAUGGAACCAAUGGUUAUGCCAUAUGCCUGAAGUUUGUCUAACACAAGAAAAUAUAAGGAGAAGGGGAUUAUUUUUGCGUAAAAAUUACUAAGGAGUUCAGGGGAUUAUAUUUGCAUAACAAAUACUAAGGGGUUUAUGGGAUUAUAUUCAUGUAAGAGAUACUACUUCUGUGAUCUGGAUACUUAAGACUCAAAUCACUUGUCUUUGCAUUGUAGAUUGUACAAUGCAACGUAUAUGCUUUAAAAUAAUUCAGGCAACAGUGAUGAUAAUAAGAACCCAAAGUCCCCAACAGCAGCUUUCUGAAGCACUGGUCUAGAAAAAACCGCUAUAGGAAUGCAAAAAAACAUGGUUCACUCAUUGUUGUUCCCUGUUUGCAUUGUAUGAACUCUUCAAGAGGAAAAUCUAAUCAUCCUUAUAGCAUCAAGACUUUCUGUCUUUGUUCGUUUGGUAUAAUUUUCAUUUGCAGAUAAUGUAAAUUAAGUUUUAUAUUUCAUAGGCUCUCUACCUCUAGAACAGAGAUGGCCUAGCUUCUUUUGUAAUUGACAGCAGUCCUUGGUCCAAAAAUAAAAAUACCUAUUUUUUUCUUCUAAUUUAGUACAAAGAUACUUUAAAGACAAGUAAGGAGCUUGAUUGAUUCGAAGAGUUCUUUCUUUGGCCACCAACAUUUUGCCAUUAACAAUCAGAUGAACAUAGAAAUAUAGAAAGACAAUUAUAAUAUAAUGAAUAGUAGAAACUCUCCUUUCAUUCAACGCUAAGGUACAUUGGAAAAGACAGAAGAUCAAGAAAAACAAAAGGCUAGAAUUUCCUAUAUAGUAUAAAAAAAAAAUCUGUAAAUUCAAAACUUACAAGUAAACCACUUCUGCAGUUUUUUUCAAAUGCUUCUCUAUCGAAGAACAUCCAAAGUUUCUCAUUCUAACUCUAAUUCAGGAAGCGGACGCAUCAACACACCCUCUGAUUCAACCUGAGCUAGCAACGGUCCACUUGUAUCGCCACAUCUCAUUCUCUUAUCCCGAUUCAAGAACGCAAACAACCCAAAACUCAUGACUAUCACCACAAUAACAUGCACUAUAAACAAUAGAUGUAUCAAUGCUGUUCCCCUCAACUUAUUCUCAUCAAGAUCACAUUUAACAUCAUUUUUCCCGUUCGAUAAACCCACCAAAAGAUUCUCACAUCCAUCUAAUGAAAACAUAUCAGUAUAUAAUGACAACCCAACUUGCAAAACCCAAGUCCCUUUCAACACAAGUACACAGGAAAACAAAAACUCCACAAAAAACAAAGAUGGCUUUACUGCUAGACACAAGCAACAACCACCACAAACAAAUGCCAACUCCCCAAAUGUCCAUACAUACCACCACUAACACCAACAAGUCCUUUCCCAUUCAUCAAGAAUUCAACAGCAAAACAAACACCAGCAAAACUGUAAACCAAACUAUCAAGAAUUGCAUAAAGAUCAAAACUUUCUUUAACAACAAUAAGAAUCAUAAACACCCAGAAGAAGAAAAUGACUACAGAUUGCUGUAAGAAUGAGAACUUAUACACUACAUUGUUCCCUGAGAAAGCUAAGAACAGAAAUAUAUGAGAGAAAGAGGCAAUAGGUAAAAUGAUUAAAAGGGAGUAUAAAUCAAGAUUUUUCCAUCUGACUUCUGAGAAAUACCAUGUUUUUGAUCUAUAGAGUGAUGGGUUUUUGAGGUAAUUGCAGAUGCAGCAAAGAAGACGAUGAAUACCAAGUGUAAAAAGGAUAACAAAUGCUGAAAAAUGGGUAGCUAAUGACAUCUCAAAAUGAGACAAUUUUGGAUUUUUUUUAAAGGAUUUUGAUGAGAUUAAGGAGAAAUGGAAGAUUGUUUCAAGUUCAUCAAUUGUGAUGUUUGUUUUAGCAAAAGUCAAUACCUGAAAAAUCCCAAACGCCGGCUGAUGGCAAGAAAGGAGAAAGAAAGCUUCAAAAUUGAAGAAGUGUUUAUUAUUAAUGGAUCCCUCUAAGUUUGUUGUUUGUUACUUUGAACCCCUAUAGACAACUUCUGAAUUUUAUUUAGACAUUAAAACUACCUUCUGUUUCGAUUGAACACUUGAAUACACGAAGAUGUUGAGAUUUUCAACAUGAAAAUUUCUAGGGGUUUUACGAUUUAUAAUUUAUGUACAAAGUUAUUUCAAAGUUGAAGUACUUCUAUUUGAUUGGAGCAUUUUUUUUUGUUUCACAUUCGAUAUUCGAGAUUUACAUUAAAAAUCGAGUAAAUCCAAAUUCGUAUCGAGAACUCUCACAUUGGAGAUAAAGCAUUCCCUAAUAAAGGCAAUUCCGUACUUGAGGGAAUUCGAACCUGAGACCUCUUGAAGCAAAUUAUUAUGUGUUUAAGUUUUCUAAUUCGAAUACAUAAAAAAAAAUUGAUAGCAAGUUUAAAAGAUUCCCUAUAUAUAUAUGCAAGUCCUUUUCUUUUUGUUCUUUUGCGGUUUAUAAGUAUUAGAGGUAUUUUUAAAGUAAAAUUAUUUUUAUAAUAUAAAAUAUUAUUAUUAUUAUUAUUAUUUUAUCAUAUAGAAAAUAGGCAAGUUUCACAUAUAACAAACAAAAAAUUCAUAUUUGUAUGCUAUAGUAAAGUUAGCAUAAUUUCGCUCCAUAGCAAAUCUAUAACUGUAUAAUUCGCUAUACAUAUACAACUGUAUAAUUCGCUGGCCUAAAUUGUAUAAUUCGUUGCCCUCUUUAUACAUAUACAAUUGUAUGAUUCGCUGGCCUAAAUUGUAUAAUUCGCUGUCCUAUUUCGCUGCAAUUGUAUAAUUCGCUGACCUAUUUCACUGCAAUUGUAUAAUUCGCUGGCCGAUUUCGCUGCAAUAUGUGUAUAAAAUUUGUUUUGCAUACAAUUGAAUCGAAGUAAAAUGUUUGUAUAUUGUAUAAUUAUAAGUGUAUAGGAAGAAGAUAUAUGUUUUUCUCUCGCUUUAUACAAAAAUAGAAACACAAUUUAUACACUUCUGUUAUAUAAAACUAGAGAAAAUUUUAUUUUACUGUAAUUGUAUAAUUCACUGGUCUUUUCCGCUGCAAUAUUUGUAUAAAAUUUGCAUUUGUAUACAAUUGAAUCAAAGUAAAAUGCUUGUAAACUGUAUAAUUAAGUGUAUAGCACAAAGAUAUAUGUUUUUGCAUGUGUAUAUACAAUUUUCUCUCGCUUUAUACAAAACAGAAACACAAAUUAUACACUUCUGUUGUAUAAAGGGAAUGAGGCGAGCAGAGUGAGAGUGACGAGCGAGAAUGGGAACGUGGCGAGCCAGAGUUUUGGGAGAGAGGCGACUGACAAACUUUGACAAACGUUUACUAUAGGGCACAAUUAAAUCAAACAGUAGCUACUCCAUUUAUUUUAGAUUAUUAAUUUGAUAUCAUAUACAAUUAUCCCAAAAAUACAAGAAUGAUCCAUGGGUAACACAACCAUUUAUAGCUUUUUCAUUUGAGGUUUUUUUUUUUUUAAAAAAAAAAAAAAAACGAGAAGUCUUAUUUUCUGGGGCAUUUGUGAUAUUUUUAAUAGUGGAAUCUCAGCUAUAUAUAUUCAUACAUGUAUUUGAUUGAAAUCAUAUUGAAAAGAAAAAAAGUUCAUCAAAUCAAAGAAAACAAAUUCUAAUAUCAAAGACGUUUGAAUGUCACAACAAUUAUAUAAUUUGUGAUACAAACAACUUGAAUAAUAUAAUUCAAACAAAUAACAACACAAAAUUGAUAAUUGAAUAAAAAUAUUCUCCAUUAAUAACGUUUAGAUUAUCUAUUAUUAUUACUAAAUCUUAAAAUAUUUGAUGUUCUCUAAAAUAUUCUAGUUAAAUAAAUUGUACACAUAAUUUUUAUUUGAAUUCUUUGAUUAGUGACACUUUAACUCAUCAAUUUACAUAAAAGAUGAAGCUACACUUUAAUGUGGAUACUAUCGGUAGUUCUCGCUUACUGUCUACUUAUCUACGUGCUUGUAAUUCCAAAAAUUCCUGACCGAUUGAUUACUGAAUGGGCUACCAAAAUUUUGUUUAGGCUUGCUGUUGAUGUCAUAACCUAAUUCCUUGCUAAUGUGGUAGUAUUGCUUGCUAAUUUUUUAAAUAGAAGAGACUAUUUUAAAAGAAAAUCAAGGUGAAUAGUUGAAUAUUUAUUCAUAUAAAUAAAUUGAACAAUACAAACAUUAGAAAGAGAUAAAGAGUACAUAAUCUAGGUAUUGAAUAUUAAAUAUUGUACUACCAAUUGCAUUUUCUUAAAUUAUUUUUGUAAAUUUAGUAUCAUUUCAAAAGAAAGAUUUUUUGAAACUUGCAUUUGUCGAUCUUCUUCAAUUGCUUCCAUGUAUUCAUCACUAUUCUCAUCAAAUAUUUCAUCUAUUUGGUUCAUUACCAGUCGGAAAAGAACCGGUUCAACCAAUUUAAAAUUCGAUUGAACUAGUACCGGACGGACGGGUAAGGGAAUCGAACCUGACUGGACGGACCGAUAAGGGAAUCGGAUCGGGCCGGACAAAAAUCGAUCUAUCUGCCAAUCUUAUUUUGAAGAAAUCAUUCGGUCAGGAUUGUUCGGAACUAGAAAGAUACACAGAAGUCCACGGUGAGUGAGAACUAACGCUAGCAUCCUCAAACCAAAUGUUCUUACCGAUGACUCCAUAUCCCAUUCACUUAAAUGAAACACCGAUGCAACAAUUGAUCAAAUAAGUUUUUUUUUGAAGGAUAAAGCCAUUGAAUUGAGCUUUUCUAUCACGAUCCAAAAAUGGACGUGAUGUCACUCGUCUUAUUCCACCAAAAUAAGUCGACCUAAAACUUGACUAUUACAAUAAAAUGCGAAAAUUGACUCAAAAGUACCCAAAAUUUGAUUGUCACGUGUACAAGCCUCUAAAGUAUUUCAAUUUAUUCGAGAAAAAAAAUGAAAAAAAUGUAUAUUUAUAGUGUAAAUGAGUUAGAAAGGAGUGGGGAAUUUUUUUACCGUUUUGGGCCCCAUCCCAACAGCUAAAAGGGCCCAACAGUCGAAUUAAAGGAUACUUAAAAAAAAUUUAAAAAAUCGGGUAAAUCGGUUCCUUACCGGUUCAACUGGUAAUGGACAAAACGGUACGGGAACCAAACUGAAACCGGACCGGAUCGGAUAAAAAACGGUCCGUCUACCACUCUUAUUUUUACGUAAUCAUUCGAUCAAAUAUGUUUGGACCUACAAAGACACAUUGAAGUCCAUGCGUUAGUGAGAACUAACGCUAGCAUCCACAAACCAAGUGCUAUUACCGAUGACUUCAUAUUACUUGUCAGCUAAAUGAAACAUCGAUGCAAUAAUUAACCAACUCAAUUUUUGUUUGAAGGAUAAAGCCAUUGAAUUGAACUUUUAUUUUUCUUAGCAAGAUAGAAUAUGAGCGAUGAAUCAGAAGCUUUACGAAAUUUGAACAAAAAAACAUUUUCGAAAUCCAAAAUUUUGAACAUCCAAAGUUUUUCAUCCUAACUCUAAUUCAGAAAGCGGACGCAUCAGCACACCCUCUAAUCCAACCUGAGCUAGCAAUGGUCCACUUGUCUCGCCACAUCACAUUCUCUUAUCCCGAUUCAAGAACGCAAACAAGCCAAAACUCAUGAACAUCACCAUAAUAACAAGUCAUAAAACAAGGAUUUUACCUAAUAAUGCAAGAACCAUGAUCAUGAAGAUUAGCAAGCGAUACUACCACAUUAGCAAGGAAUUGGGUUAUAACAUCAACAGCAAGCCUAAACAAAAUUUUGGUAGCCCCUUCAGUAAUCAAUCGGUUAGGAAUUUUUGGAAUUACAAGCACGUAGAUAAGUAGACAGUAAGCGAGAACUACCGAUAGUAUCCACAAAAGAAAUAUUGGUACCGAUAACUGCAUACUGUAUGUCACGACAAUGGCCCAGCUAUAUGAAAAAGUAAUGCAGCACUUAACAAAAUCAUUUUUUCUUUGACAAAUAAAGCCAUUGAACUUUUUUUUUUCUUUAGAAAGAUAGAAGAUGAGUAAUGAAGUUUGUUAAGUUCCCUGUAAGAACUUUCUAUGAGCAGAAAGGGGUAUAUCGGACCAGACCGGACGGACGGGUAAGGGAAUCGGACCUGACUUGAUGGACCGAUAAGGAAAUCGGAUCGGACCGGACAAAAAUCGAUCUAUCUGCCACUCUUAUUUUGACGAAAUCAUUCGGUCAGGAAUGUUUGGAACUAGAAAGAUACACAGAAGUCCACGGUGAGUGAGAACUAACGCUAGCAUCCUCAAACCAAAUGUUCUUACCGAUGACUCCAUAUCCCAUUCAUCUAAAGGAAACACCGAUGCAACAAUUGAUCAAAUAAGUUUUUGUUUGAAGGAUAAAGCCAUUGAAUUGAGCUUUUCUGUCACGAUCCAAAAAUGGACGUGAUGUCACUCGUCUUAUUCCACCAAAAUAAGUCAACCUAAAACUUGACUAUCACAAUAAAAUGCGAAAAUUAACUCAAAAGUACCCCAAAAUUUGAUUGUCACGUGUACAAGCCUCUAAAGUAUUUCAAUUUAUUCGAGAAAAAAAAUGGAAAAAAUGUGUAUUUAUAGUGUAAAUGUGUUAGAAAGGAGUGGGGGUAUUUUUUUACCGUUUUGGGCCCAUCCCAACAGCUAAAAGGGCCCAACAGUCGAAUUAAAGGAUACUUAAAAAAAAUUAAAAAAAUCGGGUAAAUCGGUUCCUUAUCGGUUCAACUGGUAAUGGACAAAACGGUACGAGAACCAAACUAAAAACUGGAUCGGAUCGGAUCGGAUAAAAAAUGGUCCGUCUACCACUCUUAUUUUUGCGUAAUCAUUCGAUCAAAUAUGUUUGGAACUACAAAGACACAUUGAAGUCCAUGCGUUAGUGAGAACUAACGCUAGCAUCCACAAACCAAGUGCUCUUACCGAUGACUUCAUAUUCCUUGUCAGCUAAAUGAAACAUCGAUACAACAAUUAACCAACUUAGUUUUUGUUUGAAGGAUAAAGCCAUUGAAUUGAACUUUUAUUUUUCUUAGCAAGAUAGAAUAUGAGCGAUGAAUCAGAAGCUUUACAAAAUUUGAACAAAAAAACAUUUUCGAAAUCCAAAAUUUUGAACAUCCAAAGUUUUUCAUCCUAACUCUAAUUCAGAAAGCGGACGCAUCAGCACACCCUCUAAUCCAACCUGAGCUAGCAAUGGUCCACUUGUCUCGCCACAUCACAUUCUCUUAUCCCGAUUCAAGAACGCAAACAACCCAAAACUCAUGAACAUCACCACAAUAACAAGUCAUAAAACAAGGAUUUUACCUAAUAAUGCAAGAACCAUGAUCAUGAAGAUUAGCAAGCGAUACUACCACAUUAGCAAGGAAUUGGGUUAUAACAUCAACAGCAAGCCUAAACAAAAUUUUGAUAGCCCCUUCAGUAAUCAAUCGGUUAGGAAUUUUUGGAAUUACAAGCACGUAGAUAAGUAGACAGUAAGCGAGAACUACCGAUAGUAUCCACAAAAGAAAUAUUGGUACCGAUAACUGCAUACUGUAUGUCAUGACAAUGGCCCAGCUAUAUGAAAAAGUGAUGCAACACUUAACCAAAUCAUUUUUUCUUUGACAAAUAAAGCCAUUGAACUUUUUUUUUCUUUAGAAAGAUAGAAGAUGAGUAAUGAAGCUUGUUAAGUUCCCUGUAAGAACUUUUUAUGAGCAGAAAGGGGUAUAUCAGACCAGACCGGACGGACGGGUAAGGGAAUCGGACCUGACUGGACGGACCGAUAAGGGAAUCGGAUCGGCCGGAUAAAAAUCGAUCUAUCUGCCACUCUUAUUUUGACGAAAUCAUUCGGUCAGGAAUGUUUGGAACUAGAAAGAUACACAGAAGUCCACGGUGAGUGAGAACUAACGCUAGCAUCCUCAAACCAAAUGUUCUUACCGAUGACUCCAUAUCCCAUUCAUCUAAAGGAAACACCGAUGCAACAAUUGAUCAAAUAAGUUUUUGUUUGAAGGAUAAAGCCAUUGAAUUGAGCUUUUCUGUCACGAUCCAAAAAUUGACGUGAUGUCACUCGUCUUAUUCCACCAAAAUAAGUCAACCUAAAACUUGACUAUUACAAUAAAAUGCGAAAAUUAACUCAAAAGUACCCAAAAUUUGAUUGUCACGUGUACAAGCCUCUAAAGUAUUUCAAUUUAUUCGAGAAAAAAAAUGGAAAAAAUGUAUAUUUAUAAUGUAAAUGAGUUAGAAAGGAGUGGGGGUAUUUUUUUACCGUUUUGGGCCCCAUCCCAACAGUUAAAAGGGCCCAACAGUCGAAUUAAAGGAUACUUAAAAAAAAUUUAAAAAAUCGGGUAAAUCGGUUCCUUACCGGUUCAACUGGUAAUGGACAAAACGGUACGGGAACCAAACUUAAACCGGACCGGAUCGAAUAAAAAAUGGUCCGUCUACCACUCUUAUUUUUGCGUAAUCAUUCGAUCAAAUAUGUUUGGAACUACAAAGACACAUUGAAGUCCAUGCGUUAGUGAGAACUAACGCUAGCAUCCACAAACCAAGUGCUCUUACCGAUGACUUCAUAUUCCUUGUCAGCUAAAUGAAACAUCGAUGCAACAAUUAACCAACUUAGUUUUUGUUUGAAGGAUAAAGCCAUUGAAUUGAACUUUUAUUUUUCUUAGCAAGAUAGAAUAUGAGCGAUGAAUCAGAAGCUUUACAAAAUUUGAACAAAAAAACAUUUUCGAAAUCCAAAAUUUUGAACAUCCAAAGUUUUUCAUCCUAACUCUAAUUCAGAAAGCGGACGCAUCAGCACACCCUCUAAUCCAACCUGAGCUAGCAAUGGUCCACUUGUCUCGCCACAUCACAUUCUCUUAUCCCGAUUCAAGAACGCAAACAACCCAAAACUCAUGAACAUCACCACAAUAACAAGUCAUAAAACAAGUAUUUUACCUCAUAAUGCAAGAACCAUGAUCAUGAAGAUUAGCAAGCGAUACUACCACAUUAGCAAGGAAUUGGGUUAUAACAUCAACAGCAAGCCUAAACAAAAUUUUGGUAGCCCCUUCAGUAAUCAAUCGAUCAGGAAUUUUUGGAAUUACAAGCACGUAGAUAAGUAGACAGUAAGCGAGAACUACCGAUAGUAUCCACAAAAGAAAUAUUGGUACCGAUAACUGCAUACUGUAUGUCACGACAAUGGCCCAGCUAUAUGAAAAAGUGAUGCAGCACUUAACCAAAUCAUUUUUUCUUUGACAAAUAAAGCCAUUGAACUUUUUUUUUCUUUAGAAAGAUAGAAGAUGAGUAAUGAAGCUUGUUAAGUUCCCUGCAAGAACUUUUGAUGAGCAGAAAGGGGUAUAUCAAUGGCGAUUUAACAAUCUAAGAAGAGAAGAAAGUAACUGUUUCAUUGUAUUAAAGCUUCAAUGAAAAAAUAUCUAAUACAAGCUAUUUAUAGACAUACUAAAUAUAGUAGAUUAUAAAGUUGUGGUGACAAAUACACGGGUUGGAUUAAUUGUGGCGAUUUAAAAAUGGGUAAACAUAAAAUGAAUAAUCAUUCAAUCCGUCCAUAUAUAAUAUGGACAAAACUGAGUUGGGUAUUAAGUGGGUCGAGUAAAAUACAAUUUACAUAUAUUUCAUGAAUAAAUAGUUCUUUACUUAAGAAUUUAAUAUAGAGAAAAUAUUUUAGUCUUUUUUUUUAGUUUUAAUUUAUUAUAAAAGUAAAAAAACUUAAAAAAAAGUUUCGAGGUUGGGUGGGGGGAUAGGGGAUGCCGGGGGUGGUGAAAAAAUUUGAAGUUAAAAAUAUUUUUCAAACAAACUUAAUAUUUAUGAAGGGAGUGGGGUUGGUUGGGGGUAGGGGGACGAUGGUUGGGGUGGGAUGGGUCCAGGGUAGGGUGAAAAAAUAAAUAUUUGAAGUUGAAAAUAUUUUUUUAAAACAAACUUAAUUUUUAUUGGGUGGGGAUAGGUGGGGAGAGUGAUUGGGGGAGAGGGGGCUGGUGUGGGGUGGGUUGCAGGAGGUCGAGGGUGGGGUGAAAAAAAUGAAAUUUUGAAGUUCAAAAUAUUUUUAAAAGGGAAAAGGGUCAAAUAUACCCCUAAACUUUUCGAAAAGGUCUGAAUAUGACCCCCGUUUAAAGUUUGGUCCAUUUAUACUCUCGCCGUCCAACUAUUGAUCCAAAUAUGCCCUUAUGGGCGUUAGUUGGCCACCUCGAAAUAUCCAACUCAUUUUACUUUUCUUUAAAUGCCCAAAUGAAUUUUUCACGUCAUUUUAAUAUUUCAACUUGACAUUUAUAUUAUAAAAGAGAAAGGGUCACAUAUGCCCCUAAUAAUCCGACCCAUUAAAAACACUUUUAUGACCAUAUUUUAAAUGACCUAUAUGACCCCUCUUUUAAAUAACUUAUACGAUCCAUAUCCGAUCCAAAACCCAUCCUUUUUAACCCACAACAAAUCCCUAAUUUCCUAAAUUUCAUUUUCACUGAAAGAACGUUGCGGUGCUGCUAGGGUUCUUGGAGACUUACACAAAUUGCGGCGCUAGGGUUAGAAAAUCUACGAGUUGAAGGUAAGUUUUCUCCUUUCAGUAAAUUAUAUAUUCGAUUAGGGUUACAUUUUCUUGUUAGUUAGGGUUAUUUAAGUAAAGUCGACGGCAUGUGUUGUAUUUGAUUCCCUUCGCUAUCGUAGAACAUCCGCAGUUUCUCAUCCUAACUCUAAUUCAGGAAGCGGACACAUCAGCACACCCUCUAAUCCAACCUAAGCUAGCAAUGGUCCACUUAUAUCGCCACAUCUCAUUCUCUUAUCUCAAUUCAAGAACGCAAACAACCCAAAAUUCAUGACCAUCAGCACAAUAACAUGCACUAUAAGCCAAAGUUUAUAUUGAAUUUAGAGUUUGAAAUUUAAUUUAAAGUUUAAAGUUUAUAUUGAAUUUAAAGUUUGAAAUUGAAUUUAAAGUUUAAAAUUUAUAUAAAAUACAAAGUCUGAAAUUGAAUUUAAAGUUUAAACUUUAAAGUUUAUAAUGGAUGUAAACUUUCAAAGUUUAAACUUUAAACCUUAAAAUUCAAUUUUAUAUUAAUGUUUAAAGUUUAAUCUAAUAUUAAAAUAAUUAACAAUUAAAUUUGUAAAAUGACAAGAAUUAAAUAGAAGAGACUAUUUUAAAAGAAAAUCAAGGCGAAUAGUUGUAUAUUUAUUCAUAUAAAUAAGUUGUACAAUACAAAUAUUAGAAAGAGAUAAAGAGUACAUACUCUAGGUAUUGAAUAAUAAAUAUUGUACUAACAAUUGCAUUUUCUUAAAUUAUUUUUUGCAAAUUUAGUAUCAUUUCAAAAGAAAGAUUUUUUUGAAACUUGCAUUUGUCGAUCUUCUUCAAUUGCUUCCAUGUAUUCAUCACUAUUCUCAUCAAAUAUUUCAUCUAUUCAGUUCCUUACCUGUCGGAAAAGAACCGGUUCAACCAAUUUAAAAUUCUAUUGAACCAGUACCGGACAGACCGGUAAGGGAAUCGGACUAGACCGGACGGACGUGUAAGGGAAUCGGACCUGACUGGACGGAUCGAUAAGGGAAUCGGACCGGACCGGACAAAAAUCGAUCCAUUUGCCACUCUUAUUUUGACUAAAUCAUUCGGUUAGGAAUGUUUAGAACUACAAAGAUACAUAGAAGUCCACGGUGAGUGAGAACGCUAGCAUCCUCAAACCAAAUGUUCUUACCGAUGACUCCAUAUCCUAUGUCAUCUAAAUGAAACAUCGAUGCAACAAUUGAUCAAAUCAGUUUUUGUUUGAAGGAUAAAGCCAUUGAAUUGAGCUUUCCGGUAACGAUCCAAAAAUGAACGUGAUGACACUCGUCUUAUUCCACCAAGAUAAAUCAACCUAAAACUUGACUAUUACAAUAAAAUGCGGAAAUUAAAUAAGUUACUCAAAAGUAUCCCAAAAUUUGGUUGUCACGUGUACAAACUUCUAAAGUAUUUCAAUUGAUUCGAGAAAAAAAUGAAAAAAGGUAUAUUUAUAGUGUAAAUGAGUUAGAAAGGAGUGGAGAUAUUUUUUGACCGUUUUGGGCCCCAUCCCAACGACUAAAAGGGCCCAACAGUCAAAUUAAUGGAUACUUAAAAAAAAUUAAAAAAUUGGGUAAAUCGGUUCCUUACCGGUUCAACUGGUAAUGGACAAAACGGUGCGGGAACCAUACCGAAAUCAGACCAGAUCGGAUAAAAAAUGAUCCGUCUACCACUCUUAUUUUUGCGUAAUCAUUCGAUCAAAUAUGUCUGCAACUACAAAGAUACACUGAUAUCCACCGUUAGUGAGAACUAACGCUAGCAUCCACAAACCAAGUGCUCUUACCGAUGACUGCAUAUUCCUUGUCAGCUAAAUGAAACACCGAUGCAACAAUUAACCAACUCAGUUUUUGUUCGAAGGAUAAAGCCAUUGAAUUGAACUUUUAUUUUUCUUAGCAAGAUAGAAUAUGAGUGAUGAAUCAGAAGCUUUACAAAAUUUGAACGAAAAAGCAUUUUCGAAAUCCAAAAUUUUAAACAAAAAAGCUAUUUUCGAAUUUCCCGCCUAAACCAAAAUUAUGAACAAAGAUGUUUCGGAUUCCCGCUUAAACCAAAAAUUAUAAUGGAAAUCUAUAGUGUAUUUUAGGUACAACUGAAAUUUAUCCCUAAAUACUACUAAAAAUAGGAAUUAGUGAUAGGUCAAAUUUUAUAAUUAACUAAUAAAAGUCAUGGACUUAAAGUUCUGAUUUUAUUUUUCUUUAAAUAAUCUAUCAUUUCUUUAUUCAAUAAUUUAUCAUUUAGGAGUAGAUUUAUAAUAGUGUAAAUACAAUGAUAGUUUAUUUAACGUUCGAUGAGCAGAAUCAAUAAUAUUAAAAAAGAGAGUUAAUUAAAAUAUAAUGAUAUAUAUAUAUAUAAAGUGUUUUAAGAUUUAUCAUUACUAACAUGUAAAGUGAAUGAUAGAUAAUUUAAAAAUGCGUCUAAAGUCAUAAUAUGACAGAGUAGCUAAUUUUCUUGGUUUUUUCAAAAAUAUCCCUACAAAAACAUUUUUAUUUUGAAUUGGCACAAUACAUAAACAUACAUUUAAUUCCACUGUCAUUUAUAUUCUUCAAUUUUGAAUGUGCACACGUAAAUAUUUAUAUCGUAUUACAUGUAAUACAUGAUGAAUGUGAAUUCACGAGAUGUGGCUCAAGGUAUGUACAAACCAAUCAAACAUCACCCAAGAGAGCCGUUUUAUGUCAUAAAAUAGGUACUUCACAUUAUGUGAUACUUUCUUUAUUCACUGAAUAUACAAUUUCAAAUUUUAUGACAAGUAAAUGAACACGCUAUGCAGAGUGAUUAUUCUUCAAACCAUCAAACCAAAAGUCUUACCGUCUUGGAUUGCAAACCCUACUUGCAGUAAACAUACAAAUUUAUCGACCAUUUACUUAUCCAAUUAAAUAUUUUCAUUAUCUUCAUAUUCAUUGCGUAGAAGUUACGAUGACGAUCUAUAAAGCCAAGUAGACAUGCUCAUUUGACAAACAAUUAAGUUGCUUCCAUGAAGCUUCACAAGACAUUGUCACAUACUAUUAUAUUAACGGCUGGAAAUUCUUAUUUGAAUGCAUAAAAUAUGAAACAAGAAAAACAUUUAUGACUUUACAAAAUACAAAAUCAAAUUUCCCAUCUUAGAGUCAAAAUUAUAUAUUUGUCUUCAAACAUUUUUACACCGUUUAGUUAUUAUCCACUAAUUGCAUGCCACCUAGCAUUCCAUGUUUUUUUUUUUUGGAUCCUUUAAGAUUUCGUGUAUAAUUCAGAACCAUAGAGGUUCAAAACAUGGGUUAAAAUCACACAAUUAUGUUGUGAUGAUCGGGACUGCUUCAAUCUUAAUCAAACGUUUCGAGUUUGAAUCCAUGCAAAUGAAAAAAGAAUAUGUUGAAAACGCUACGCUCAAAAAUAAAUUAGAUAAUGCGUGAAUUUAGUUGACUCUACUAUAAAUAAUGAACAUCUAAUGAAAACUUAAAAAAUUAACAACCUAGUCACGUAAAUUUCACAAAACUUUAUUUAAAUUGUUUUGAUUUGUAUCUUAAUUUGAUUAUACACGAAAUUAAUGAUGCAAAAAUACAUGUGAGAAAAAGAAAAGGUUCAAACUCCAAAAUUGAAAAAAAAAAUCAAUUGAUCAAAAGGGCACCACUUGGCAUAUGGAUAUGAUCAAGAUUACAAUGGUAGACCCUACAUGAAGAGAAAGAACCACUAGAAUAGUAGAUACAGAUCUCCAAACUGAUGGGAUAAAUAAAUAAAAUAAAAUAUUGGAAACAGAUAUAAAUGAUAAAGUUAUCUUCAUAUUACGUAUAGAUUACAACAAAGAGACGUUCAAUAACAACAGACUUUUUCCCUUUAGCGACAAUAUAUAUUACCAAAAAUACAUUUAGCAGCACUUGAGUUAAUAUGUAUCACUAUAUUCAGAAUCACUGAAACAUUUAACAAUAUUAAUAUAGAGUGUUGGUUACAAAUAUUCUAAUUUAUUAUUGCCGUGAAAUCCAUUAUAUGUUAUAGUUAUAUCAUAUUUAAAUUAAGGCACACCAUUCGAACGCAACACUAUUCGAUUUAUAUUAUCAGACUUUUUUAAAAAAAAUAAAUAAAAUAUGUGGACCAUUAAAAAAUCAAGAAGAAUCUUUUAUUUUUCAAGUAAAAAAUUUGAAAAAAACCAAAAUCCAAUAAAAAGAAGAAAAAAGACAAUCAAAAGCUAGCAAAUACAAUUGUGUGGCUCUAAAUUUGCCUCUUCAUUACCACUCAAAAUACAAACCAAACAUAAAAGGCUACAAAAAUUACAACAACAACCUACCUUCAUAAACCACACAAAAAAAUCUUAUAACAUAAGCUCAAAAACCCCCCUUAGCUCCAUUAUCAUCACUUUUAUAUUCAAGAAUAUUAUUUACUACUAGUAGUCCUAAGAAAAAAGGUUAUUUGAAUGGCAAUUACAAGUUCAAUUGCAACAACUUCAUUUUCUUCAUGUGUUAGUGGUGAAGAUUAUGGUAAGUUUAUGAGGAAAGUGCAACCAUUAAUGAAUGUUAAAUUUGGAAAGGCAGUGAGAUCAAGGAUAAUGAUGGGUAAUGUUAAUGAUGGAAAAGGAUUAUUUGCACCAAUUGUUGUUAUCACUAGGAAUAUUGUUGGCAAAAAAAGAUUCAAUCAACUUAGGGGCAAAGCUAUUGCUUUACACUCUCAGGUAAUUUAUCAUUUGCUCGAUAUCCGUUAUUAUCCAUCAGCAUAGAUGUCGUAUAAUUUUAAAUGUCUAUCGAGUGCAUAUGAGCAGAAAUCAUUUUGUUUUUGAAGAAAUUUUAUGUUUUUCAUUCAUAAAAUUGUCUACUAACAAUUUUUGUCUUUGCUUAUAUUGUUUUUGGGUAGAUCUAGUCUUUCUUUAGUGUUGAUAUUAUUGAAUAUGAUCUAUGAAAGUUCUAAUUUGGGGAUAAAGUCAAUAAAAAUAGCAAAGUUAAUUGGUGAAAAAUGAUGAAUUGUAAAUUAAUUUGUGAUGUUCAAAUUGAGAAUUAGAUAUAUAAGUUUAGUCUAUUUGGACUGAUUUUGGAUUUAUGACAAGAAUUUUCAAGUGUUAUGCAUUUAAAAUCAUUAAUUCUUAAUUUAAUAUUAAGUCUAAGCUUAGAGGUUUUAGUUCUCAAAAUUCUAGUUUAUUGUUCUAAACAAGUAGGUUAAGCUUUUCAAUGUUGGAUUUGACUAAUAUAUGUCAUGUAAUAUUAAAUUUAUUUCAUUUACUUUUUCAAAAGUAAACUUGAAAAAAAGUAAACAAACUCAAACAAUUCAUAAAAGAUUUCAAAGAGGACAAUUUGUUAGUAUGUUUCUCAAGUUAAAUGUGGUAUUUGAGUCUCCAAAAAGGAUAAAGGCCAAGAGGUCACAAUUUCAAUGGUAAUAUCAACCACCCAUAGUAGUGAUGGGCUUGUAGGUAACCCCCAACCCCCAUCCCACUACCCCACUCUUCUACUUACCUAGAGGUCUGAGGUACGAGCCUCUGAAAUGAAAUCGCCUUGGGUAGGGACUACGCGUUUUAUCUCUAAAAGUGGAACUUCCGAACACGAAUCUGCUAGAUUAGUUGGGUACCAAUUGCAAGUAUUCUUAACUAGAUGUCUGGAGUUCGAGUCUUGAAAAUGAAAUUUCCUUUGAUAGGGACCAUUUUACACCUAAAGAGGAACUUCCAACACUCGUCCACCAGAUUAGUCAGGUACCAAUCGUAAAUACCCCUCCCCCUAUCCUUAACUACAGGUCUGCAGUUCGAGUCUUUGAGAAUGAAGUCACCUUUGAUAGGAACCAUUAGAUUAUUAAACCCUAAGGUGGAACUUCCCGGUGCGGAAACCAAAGCUAAUGUUGAUGGAUUUGUUUGAUCAGGUAAUCACAGAGUUUUGCAAGUCAAUAGGAGCAGAUCAGAAGCAAAGGCAAGGAUUAAUUCGAUUGGCAAAGAAGAAUGGUGAAAAACUUGGAUUUCUUGCUUGAUGGAUGGCACAAAAUUAAUCAUUAUUGCCAAUGUGUUAUGAUCAAAUAGCUAUAGCCUCUUUUGUGUAAUUGAGACAAAUCAAUCAGAUACAACUUUAAUUUUAUGUAUUAUUCAAACAUAUAUAUAUGUGCUUUGUAGUCUAGAAAAUGUUGUCUUCAUGAUUUCAAUUUUUAACUUUUCACUCGAAAUUGGUUAAGUAUUAAACUUAAAUUGUCGCGUGGAAGAGGAAUUUAAAUUAAAAGACCUAAGAAAUAAAUUUCUUUAACGUCUAGGUUUUGGUGAACGAAGGCACAUCACACCCGUAUUUGAGAGACAUAAUAUAUAAACAGACCUUAGCUGACAAUUCUACUAUCAUAAAAUUAAACAAAUAAACAUACGUAGAAAAACUCACACAAUUUGGGAUGUUUAACCAUGUGAGUCUACGCGUUCAACUUUACUUUAUGAUAAUUUAAGUAAAUACUUGGUGCAUUUCUAUCUACGUUCCUCCAAAAUUCUAUUAUACAAGCACUAAAGAGGCUCAUUUUGAAGCAUUAAAUUACCCAAUGAAUCGACUAAGCUUUCUCCCAUAGAGUCUACUUGAGAUAUAAAGUGAUACCACAUAAAUAACAAACAUCAGAACAAAAUCUUUAAUGCAAUACAUCCAAACAUACAUCAAGUUCGAAUAAAUUUCAAUAAGAUCAAAAUUUGCAGCAGACAAGCGCAAAAAAGUGCUAAUCGUACAAUUUCAGUAUUGGUAAAGAGCUUAAGGAGUGGUGUUAAUUCCACACGAUAAAGAAAUUUCACACAGUAUAUCGGCUCUUAGCUGACCUCUCUCUUUUAGAAUCAUCCUGCAAUGACCAAAAUAAUACGUUGAUUAAGAAAGAACGAACAUCAAGAGGAAAGAUAAAAGACCAUUGAAUUUGCAAUAAUUGUAAGUGAUGAGAGGGAAGUUACAUGGAAACUAUAGGAUAUCUUUUCGGCAUCAAUGAUCUCCUUCCACUUCCUACCAAUGCCCAUCUACAACAUAGAACAAACCAGUUAUUUAUAAAAUGCAAAACCAUGGAGCAUCACGCCAGGAGGCAAAACAGUUCUUCAGACUACAGAGAUGUUAGAAGACCAAAAAAAGGCAUACAUACGUGAUUACAGACAAUACAAGGGAAUAAUAUACUAAAGAGACCUGAAAAACCCCUAGUUGAGCAAUGUAAAAGAAUUUCAAUUCACAACUUGUGUAUUACAAUGCUGUAAGAUGAACAUGUACAUAGGAUUACUAAACGGAGAAUGACGAAUACUUGGGGAAAACAUUCAAAUUAUACCAUCUUGGGUUUAGUAUCAAUGUGCUAAUUUCAUACAUCAAGAGAAGUUAAUGCAUAGCAAAACUAUCACAGCACAAUUUGGUACUUAAGCAAUCAGAAUGUUGUCCCUUCCUCAGUUUACUAUCAUCAGAUGAUACCGGUUUCACCACAGUAAUCCAGGCUGUUGAGUUAUAUAGUUCUUACAUGGAUCAUGGGAGGGCAUUCAAAGGGUUAAAUGAAAGACAUGAGCUACUUUAGUCAUUUCUUUGAUCUUGGGCUACUUCACAAAUGACCUAAAGAGUUUAUGGUUGGAUACUCAAAUUGUUUGACAUGGUAUCAAAACUUAACCUUCACAAAACUCAUAUCUCACUCUUGUACAUCAGAUGGUGCAGUGUUAAUAGUGUUUCACAUGGGAAGUAAAUUAGAAAGAAAAUUAUAAAAUCUUUAGCUACAUCACCCAUAGCUAAAUCUUCAUGCUUCGACUUAAGAAUUUAAAGAUCCUUUGAAUCAUAUACGCGCUAUAAAACAUGACCACACAAUAAUUUAGAUUUCAAGACACAUUUUAAGGGGUUUAAAGAAGAGCUCAAAGCAGCAAGUUGAAUAUGAAGCAGAUCUAGAUGCAUAUACAUCCAUAGAGCAGUGCAAGGGACAAGUGCCCAGAGCAAAGUGUUUUUUAUCAGAAUGCCUAAAGACAGAACAGAAAUCAGCGAUAAAUAACAUGAACAAAGCCAUAGAGAAAGGAGGUACCACUACAACAAGCAAAAAAAAACAUCUGCCGGAAUGGUUAAAGAACAAGCGAAGAGAAAUAUAUUAAGGACUUCCAUGCCAGGAAAAAGAAUAAAAGCUUCUGAUCGGGUAAUUUAAAUUAUAUAUUUAAUAAUCAACACCAGUGUUUCGUCCAUAGGACGGAAUGGGAAAAGGCAUUUUCUCUUGAUCUCAAAUUUGGUGCUCAAAUAAAGUCGCUUUUCCAGCUCUUAACAAAAAAAAUAAAUUAAAAAAAUGGAGAUAGGUCAUAUCAGCAUUAAGAAAAAAUUUAACGCAGCACAAGAACAUAUAAAUUGAAAUUAAAGAGAAAAGUCAUCAAAAUUCCUGCAAAUGUAUGUGUUUCAAGUACUCUGGUAUAUCAUUUUCUUAAAUAAUAUUAAUAAAUAAAUAGCCAAGGUUUUUGAGAAACUAAACAUAGAUCUGUCAUCUGGACCAUCUUAAAGAAUAUUUCUUAUCACAUUUCAGAGAUAGUGGAACAAUAACACAGAUUUCAGUUCUGAAGCUAUAUAACACCAGAGAUAAAAAAAAACACCUGAGCUGCUUCAUUGGUGGCUGUCUUAGUCCACAAGGAAAGUUUAUCCUGACUCCUACGCACACUAGCAACCACCCCACAUAUAUCUUCUGACUCAUCAAAUUGCUCGCCGACCAAUGCCAUCAGCUGUUUAAAAGAAGCACAUCCAACAAACAAUACAUGAGCAUCUUUAGCAAGAAAACUAAUCAAAACAUCACUUUAUAUGAUAUAACAUACUAAAUACAGAACGGACACCAAAUGGUAAAGAAGAACUAUUACUGUUUCUAGCCACAUAGUCUCGAGAUUAGCCUUUCUGCUGCUAGUAGCAGUCCACUUGCCACCAUUGGCACACUCAGGAUCUUCCCAUUUGGGCUCAAUCCCAGCUUUGAACAAAUGAAAGUCCGCAUUAACAGUAACCUUGCUGGGCUUGAAUAUUUGAUCAUAUAAACUGCAACGAGGACAAUCCACAUUUAAGAUAAGCUUCUACCCACCAUUCUUUCUAGACCAUAAUACCUCAUUAAUCAAUCAAAAUCAAUCCAUACAACAUAUAGGAAAUUUAUGAAAUUUAAUAUAAACAAGCACUUCAUUUCGUUAAUAGUGCACUGCUUUCAUGGACAGUGAUUUUAAGAAGCCAAUUUCACUUAUAAUUACAGUAGUAGUAGUUGAAGAAUAUUAGAAAUAGAACAUUGCAGAUACUAAUAUUAUUCUCUAAAGGAACAAACUUUUUCAACAUCACAAAAUAGAGACAGGGUCAUAAACCUGCUAGGAGGCACAAAUUCAAUCAGUAAUCAGCAGAAAGAGCUCUCUGGUGAAGAUCACAUAUACUAUUAGAUCAACAUACAUCAAAGCUAUCUUAAUUGACAGUUAAAAAACAAAAAAAUCCUCAAACGCAAUCAAUUAAUCACAUUAAAAAUCCAAAUCCGGGCAAAUUUAGGUUCAGUUAUAUUAGAAAAAAUGAUUUCAUCAGAAAUAUGAAUAUCAAUUUGUAAUACAAGCCAUAGAUAGGGUUUCCACAAUUUACGAGCACAAAUCUGAAUAAACAUAACAUGAAGAAUCUAUAAAAAUAUCUCGUUCCUAUUAUACAUAAACGACAUAUUUUACCUCCAGAAUUCCUCAACAGUUUCAAAAGUAUAAGCUUUUCGAAGAGAACUUCCCCAAGCGACGCCUUGUUUCGGUUUAGACUGGUUAUCGAACCAGAACGUCCACUUCCUCUCUAGCUUAUGCGGCUGCUUCUCCACAGUCUCCGCUGCCGCUACCGACGGAAUCUCCGUCGCCUCUACCGGUGCUUCGGUGGCCAUUGUUUUCCCGUCAAAAUCCUCUCCUUUUGUAUAGCUUUUUCACGACGGAGAGGCGUAAAGGAAUUAGAAAGAGAAACAGGUUUUGGCGAUGGAGUUGUAAUUUAUACAGGCCCAAUUGAUUGAUGUUAGUGGGCCUUGUAGCUAAAAAAGCCAUGGAAAGAUUAAGCCCAUGGUUGGUGAUAGAAUGGGCCAACAUUUUGUUUUAUUUUUACUUCAAAGUCGAAAAAAAUUAAGUCGAUCUAUAAAUAAUUUUGAGGGGCGUACUCAAUGUCUUGUAUGAUAAAAAUGUAUAAUAAAGAUAGAACGGUAGAUUAUAUAAAGUAGUGGUCAGAUUGACUAUGUUGUAUGAAAUGAAGUGUUGGGCCGAUUCGAAGAUGUAAGUAGAGAAAGUGAGGAUAUGGAGAUGAAAGUGUGAACAUGCUAGUACAAAUAGGAUCAUGAAAGAAGAUUUGCAUGAAUAAGAUGAAAAUCGCUUCCGUGAUGAGCAAGAUGAAGAAAGAGAAAUUGAGAUAAUUCAAGCAUAUGAAGAGGAAAUGCAUAAUUAUUUCAAUAAGGAGUUGUGAGAUACUGACUAUAGUAAAUAUGGAUAGAGGCGGAGGUAUGUCGAAUAAAUAUUGAAGAGAGGUGAUUAGACAGAACAUGACACAUAUUGCAGCUUAUCGAAGACAUACCCUUAGAUAAAAGGAUAUGAAAAUAAAAAACUAGUGUAUAAUAUUAACAGGUAUUCAAGCAUCGUCUAGUUUCUCCUAUUGAUAUUGUACAUUUUUGUUACUUUUCAAUUUUAUUACACGUUAGUUUCUUUGCUUCGAUUAAUAAAUUAUUUAUUGUUGUCGCUAUACUCUUCUCCUUCAUUUUCUUACUUUUCUUCGUUAUAUAUUUUUAUUUUCAUAUUUCACUUUGAAAUGUUUUAUGUUAGCAUUGAUUUAGCAAAAAUAAUUUCUCUAUGUUGCAUAAGAUAACCAUAAAGCUUAGCACAUAAUAUAUAUACCCUUCUCAAACCUUACUUAUUAUCUAAUAUAUAUACCCUUUUCAAACCUUACUUAUUAUUAGUAUAAAUUAAUCAAUUUAAAUAUAAAUCGAACUAAACGGAUCAUAUUUUUGACUGAUACGUGUCAUAAGCAGCACUAAAAACUGUAAAAAGCCACUUGUAACCUUUACAGAGGCUCCAUUAAUUCCCUCUUAAUUAUUUCACUUGUAAUUAAACUUUGUUGAUUUGAUUAAAUUUUAUAGUUUGGUUAAAGUAAUAAUAAUUAUAAGAAAUGGCAGAAACAACAAUUACUGGUGGAAUGGAUCAGAGAAAUUCAGCAUUAACAACAGAGGCAACUCUUGCCCCAAUCACUAUACAACACAAAGUUAGAACUGACUUGGAAACUUCUAUUCCAAAACCCUGUAAGUUUUUUUUUUUCACGUAACACUGCUUCGUCGAUCUUUUUAAUACUACUAUAUUAGAGGCGAAAUCAAAAUUACGAGUUUAAGAGUUUCAAAUUUUAGGACGGAAGAAAAAAAUAUUGCAAAACAUUGCUUCAUCAGUACUGUUGUGUUGAUAGUUUCAUCUGAGCUGUCAAUCAAUUUUAUUAACGGUUCAUAAUAACAAAAUUGAGUGCUACACAACAAAAUGAUUUGUGAAAUCAAAUAAAUGACUGAGUUUUUAAUCGAUCACUUUGGUAAUGAAGUUAUUUUGGAUACAUUUCAAAAGAUGAAAUUAUUAAAAUGUGACAUCGCUUAUAAAACUCGAAAAAAUAUUCAGAUAUGGCUAGGGGUUUGGUUGCACCAGACAUGGAUCACCCCAAUGGAACUUCUGGCCACAGUCACAAUGGCAUGAGCGUUCUUCAACAGCAUGCAGCUUUCUUCGAUCAGGACGAUAAUGGCAUUGUUUAUCCAUGGGAAACAUACUCUGGUAACUUAUCGCGCUAGUAUAUAAUUCAGUUCUUGUCGUCUAGAAUAAUUGAAUUCUAUAUUUUUCGUCCUGGUUUUGAACAGGGCUUCGUCAAAUUGGCUUCAACGUGAUCGUGUCAUUCAUCGUAGCUAUUAUGAUCAAUUCUGUCUUGAGCUAUCCUACUAUCCCGGUAAGUUUGAAACAGAGUGAUUCGUACUGACAUGCAUUUGAUUUGUGAGUUCAAUUAGCCAAAUUCGAUGUAAUGUAAUGGAGGCAGAGUAAUUCCCCUGUUUUAUGCUCGUGUGCAUUGUGUUUCUAUGUCUCUACGAGUUAGGGGUAAGGUCUAGGUACAGUCUGACCUCCUAAACCUCACGUUGCGAUAGUAAAUUGUUAAUUUGCAGGGGUGGUUUCCUUCUCCGUUACUUCCAAUCUACAUUCAUAAUAUACACAAGGGCAAACAUGGAAGUGAUUCCGGGACCUAUGAUAGAGAAGGCAGGCAAGUAAAUAUACGUAUGAAUCGUUUUGAACUCCUCGUGUUACAACCUUUCUGAGUAUCAUGAGUUAAUAGUGUGUGGAUUGAUUGUUCCUUUAGGUUUUUGCCAGUGCAUUUUGAGAACAUUUUUAGCAAGUAUGCUCGAACUGUGCCUGAUAAGCUUAGUUUUGGAGAAUUGUGGAAUAUGACUCAAGCCAAUAGAGAUACAUACGAUUUUCUUGGCUGGUGAGUUGUUAUUCAAACACGUAACAACUUAUUUAUCUCCAAUACUUGGUGCAUAAGUUGCUUAAACGCGUCAAGCCAAAUGAGCUAUAGCUCAUUAUAGUUGUUUUAACCAUUUUUUUUUUUGUCUUUUGGUUUGAUUUGAAGGAUUGCUUCAAAAUUGGAAUGGGGACUUUUGUAUUUACUUGCUCGAGACGAAGAUGGAUUCUUAUCGAAAGAGGCUAUAAGGCGAUGCUUCGAUGGGAGUUUGUUCGAUUAUUGCAAGGCACAAAUGGGAGGUGACUAUGCUAAGCAAGAAUAGGUUCACUUAGAAGUAUAAGUCCUAGUGUUUUUUGAUAUAAGAUGUUAAAAGAUUAAGCGAUUUUUCGUCUCACGGUCAGAGGAUCUUACAUCUUAUCAUUCCAUUUUGUCUUUUCAAAGACUUGGCCGAACAAGCUAACUAUCUCGAACAAUUCAGAAAUAUGUAUUUUCCUAUGAUUUUAUCACUCCCAUUAAAAAAAAAAUUGACCUGUUUUGAUAUGCUUUUCUUUGAAUCGAGAAUCUAUCAGAAACAAUCUCUCUACCUCACAAGGUAGAGAUAACACUCUAUCCUCUCGAGAUCCCAGUUAGUUAGUUGGUAUGAUGUUAUUGUUGUCAAAUAAGUUAACAAUCAACUACUAGUAAAUUGCAUGUUAAGUAGAAAUUUGUAUGAAUCAUCUUUAUUUUUGUAUAUUUACAUUCUUAAAUGUUCACAUGCACCUUUAGGUUGUGUAGUAGUUGACAAUUGCUUGCUCCAAUAAUUGUCAUAUUUAGUGUGAAAUCAACCAAAUCAUCAAAGAUUCUUCACAAAAUUAUUCUCCCAACAUUAAUCCACAUCACAAAAAACAACAUAUAACAUCCAAGAAAUCAUUUUCUUUUCCUCACAAAAACUUGACAAAUUUACAAGUUCAUAAUCAAGCAACAUAGUACAUUGGAUUUGGAAGUUUGAAUGAUCUUUUUGCACUUGGAAGACCAUUAAUGCUACUCCAUUGGUCUCCAAUAAUGCCAACAAUUCUAUAACCUUGACUUAUAAGUUUACUUCUUAUCUCUGCCUUGAAUGUCUGUGCAUUCUUGCAUUCAUCUUCUUGAUCUCUAAAAUAUUUACUUAAAAUAUAAGUACCAAUUGUAAACAUAAAAAUAAAAAAAUGAUUUUAAAAAAAUAUAUUCAAACCUUAGUAUGAGGCUAUUCCAUCCAUAGAAAUCAACUUUGACAAGAUUGUCGACAGUGGCGGAUCUAAGAUGUUCUCUUCUCGAAGAAACAAGAAAGAUUUGAACUCCUAGUUCUUUAAGAUGAUUGAACAACUUUAAAGAAUGUUCCAAUGCUGUUCCUUUCCCUUGGCUCAUCCAAUCCUCCAAAGAUGUCACAUUUAGCUUAUUUCCCCUAUUCCACCAACAGCAAAACAAAAAAGCAUAAGCAACAAUCGAUGAAUAUCGAGCCUUAACUCAAUCAUAAAAGCUAGUUCACGAUCUGAGGAUUAUUUAAUAGAUCAAAUACCCAUCGAUCCCACAAUCAUCGUGGGACAAAUUCAACAUCCCCCAUGCUAGACUCGACAUGGUCUGUCAACUUAAUAGUGGAUAACAUAAUAUGAAACUCAACAUCAGGUACACUAGAAUUUGGAUGAGUCUAGCUCUAAUAUCAUGAUAACAAAUGAAUCUUUUGCAAAAAGAGUAUGUAGCUGUAUAUAUGACUAAAAGAUUAUGAUCCUUACAUCUUACUAGUAAAGAGAAAUCCAUAAUUCUCAACUUGAAAAGUUAAUUCAUAAGGUGACAAGGAUCGUCUAAGAUCAUUUAUUAAAUCUCUAUCUCACAAGUCAUAAAAAAAACUCAACAGAUAGUAUAAGAGGUCGAUCAUAAUAUACAUUGUUAGCGUAAAAAACGUAAAUUAUCACUCUUUUUCUCAAUAGAUAGUAUAAGAGGUCGAUCUGAAUAUAUAUUGUCAGUGUACAAAACGUAAAAUAUCACCCAAAAAAAGGAAAAAAAAUGACAAAACAAAACUUACCCAAAACCAUUUUUCUUGUAGUAAGGAACUGAGGAAAGAAGAGUAUCAUCAAUAUCAAAAAUCCAAGCAUCUUUUCCAUCAUUUUCCAAAAUACAAUUAGUACUAAUAUAAAGUAUACAUUCAUUAAUAGUUCUUUCAAAAUCAACUUUAUAUUGAGUAGAAGUCAUAUAUUUUCCAAUAUAUGCAACACAUUCUUGAGGAACAACAACAUAAUCUCUAAUGUUGUGUAACUCAACAUUCAUUCUCCAACUCUCACAAUAAUUUUUUAGGCUAAUUUGGAGACCACUAUUGGUUUUGUGUUGUGACAAAAUGUUCCAAUCUCCAAGACAUGAAGUUGAAAGAAUACAAAAAAUUGUAAAGAAAAUUCCAAAUUUUCUUGCCAUUUUUUUUGAGAUUUGAGAAAGUUUGAGUUUUAGUUGAUUUUUAUGGAGCUACUUAUUGUAAAAGGGGGGGACUAGUGAUGAAUUUUGAAAAUGGAAGGGGUCACAUGGGUGAUGGGAAUUAGUUGGCACCAUGUAUAUUAUUUUGUCCUUAAUAAAACAUGAUCUAUAGGGUGGUAGAUUGAUUAAAUUAUGUCAAUCAAUGGUGUCAUGAAACUUUAUUCUAUAAAUUUUACUCCAUUCAUGUGAUAAUCAGCGUAAUUUUAUAAAUAAAAUUUUAAAAAAAAUAAAAAAUAAGCGAAUUUUUAUCUUCUUUUUAUAUGAUUAAAAGAUUUUUUUAUAAAAAAUUCUCGACUAAAAAAGAAAUAUUGUAAUAAAUAUACGUCGAGUUGUAGGAAGGAAUAAUAUUUAUUUUAUUUUAUUUUUUUUAAAAAAGGCGUAAAUAACAACAAAAAUUUCAAACCAAAUAGAAAUUUAUAAUUAUUAUUAGAAAUAAUAUUUGUCAUAUGGGUGCCACUAGAGAGUGCAACCUAAUUGGCAUAUAUCAACAUACAACUAUCUCACAUGGAAUUAAACCUAAUCAAAUUUAAAUCCCCAACCAAACCCUUUCUAAAUACUUAAUUACAAUAUUCCUUGACAUAUUUAUGUUAGAAACAUAUUCCAUAUCCACACAUACUUUUUUGUCUGUGCACUCCCCUUCAUUAUAUUUUUAUUUUGGCGUGACGUUCGAUAUUUAUUCAGAAAUUUAAUAAUUAAAAUAUUUUAGAUGUAACUAAUUUAUAUAUGUAAAUUAUUUGACUUUAACAACAUAUAAGAAGAUCAAAUAACUCAUUAUUCACCAUAAAUUUGAAAACUCAACCCUCUCCUUUCUCCUUCAUAGAGAUCAGAUAUCUGAAGUGUGAACAAUAAAAAAUAGAGACAUAUCAUGGAGUAUUAAACUGGAUCAAUUUCGAUUCAGAUAGUAAGUCAUGAGGUAAGGAUUAUCUAAAAUUUUGUAUAGAGAUCAAAUAACUCAUGAUCAAUAACAUGAUAACUCAACAAGAUUGAAAUAAUCCUUAUUAAAAAUGAUGUUAUUUCUAAAAUUUGAAUUCAAAACUUUUGAUUGAGGAUAAAGAGAUGCUUCAUCACGUUAGAUAGUCCCAAACAUUUUAUAUUAUUGAAAAAGUUGUUUCAAGUUUUGUUAAGACCAUAAACAAUGUACUUUAAAAAUAUGUUAUAUUUAGUUAGUAAUUAGUAAAUUAUUUGAAGUAUAAUAAGUCAAUAAUUAUUUCUUAUCACUCUUGAUGAGAUACGUGGCAGAGUUCCAUUGGAGGCUCAUUAAAUUAAUGAAUUUGCAAACUUUUAUACCUACAAGAGACAAAUGUCAACAGAUUUAAUUAUUAUUAAAAAAACAUAAACCACAAAAUUUAACAAAUUAUAAUUUGGAAUUAAUCAGCAAGUAGGUAGCACGUCUCUUUACACAUCUGUACUUUUUUCUUUUUUUUUUUGGUCAACACACCUUUGUCAACUUACAGCUAUGUCAUGCCAUUUCAUAAUUAUUAUUUUUCCGUUCGAUAAUUGAUAUUUAUAUUAAAAUUUAGCUAAUUUUGAAAGUGCUUUUAAUAGGAUUUAUUUUUUUAUAUUCAGAACUCAUAUUCAAAAACUUAACCAAGAAUGAAAGAAUCUCAAUUAUUUUACCAUUACUUAAAAUUUGUAAAUCGAUUUGUAACUCAAUUGAGAAAUAUUAAUCGUUUGUUAAGUUUUGUGAUAUAAACAAUAACGAAUAUAAUUGAUCUAUCUGUUUUUGCUAAGCAGAUAGGUACAUCAUAGAUUAUAAUUUAUUCAAUCUUAAAUAUUAAUCUUUUAGACCAAUUUUAAAAUAAUUGAAGUUUUUAAAUUGGAAAAAGGUCAGUUAUUAACGUCUUUUUGCAAAUAUACUCUUGAGGUUCAUAGAUAUGAAACACGUAAUCUCAUCAUUAUAAUAUUAAAAUGAAGCAAAAAAUAACAAAAUUAUUUAACUGACAUAAUUUUAUGGGUAGAUAUUUGUUCAAAUUUGAUUGUGAUUUGAUCUUAAUUUGGUUUCAAAUUAGAAAACGGCUAGAUAUAAUAAACAUAAUAUUUAUAACUCUCAAUAUAUUUCAUAUGGUACAUAAUAGCCAUUUUAAAAUCCGACUAAAUCAAAAUUCAAUGGAUGUCCCCUAACAAAGGCAAUUCAAACCCAAAGCUUGAACUCAACCAUCUUUCCUCGAUUAUUUUUUUGGACAAGUCUUUCAAUAAUUACGAAGCUAUAAUCAAAAACUAAAUGAAAAGUAAAUGACAGUGAUAUUUAGUAGCAAAAUAAGUGGGUAUUAUAUGAACUUAUAAAUCUUAGAGCAAUACAACAUUGCUGCAUUUGUUUGUAUAUAUGACAAUAACAGCACUCCAAAUAAAAGGUAUCAAAACUGCAGGUUAACUAACUCUUAGUAGUUCAGACAAUUGCAUUAGCUGCACUAGCAAUCCUUGGCCAUAGAUCAGCACACUCCUUUCCAAUUGGACCAGUGAUAGCAGAACCUACAACAACCAAAUGCAGCUCAUGAACAAUUCGUACAUCGACAAAAUUGUGAAAACUAAACAGUUUAAAUUCUUGAUAUAUUAAGUAGAUGAUAUCAUUUUCAAAGCUUUAAUGGCAUAUAGUUUAGAUAGAUACACUUGAUGGAGAUUAAGCAUAAGACCUCACCUUUCAUUUCUCCUUUGGGAUUCACAAUCACUCCAGCAUUAUCUGCAGAAGCAUACAAGACGUGUUAUAAGCUCAGCAAAAGCAAUGAUUUUCGUGCUUGAGAAGUAGAAAACAUAACUAUUGAUACACACUCCACCCAAAUAGCAAACUUCUAUGCAAAUUAUAUAACUAGCGGAUACAUGCUACAACUCGAGGAGUACAUAUAUAGAGUCCAAAUGGAGCAGAUGUAAGCUUAAAAAGGAAUCAACACAUCUGUAACGAUGGACACAUCUAUUUUCCAGCCAUGUAACUGUAUCAACCACAGUAUAAUAAGGUUGUAACCUGACUAAUGUCUGGAUAUGUUUAAAAUUCUACACAACAAGAAGAUAACAUUGAACUCAAUUAAAGUAAAGACACUGUGUAUACUUAACAAUGCUACAAAUUGAAAACAUAUGUAGAGUCCAAAUGGAGCAGAUAUGAGCACAACAGGAAUUAACAAAUCUGUAACGAUGGACACAUACAUUUUCCAAGCAUGUAACUGUAUCAACCACGGUAUCAGAAGGUUGUUACUUGACUAAUGCAUGGAUAUUUAAAAGUUAGACAUUGAAAUAGCAAGAUAAUUUUGAAAUCAGUUUUUGCAAGGACAUCAUUUAAUAUACAACCAAACAACUAAGAAAACAAUAGCCCAAGUCGACAUAUCCCACAUAUACGUGUUCCAGAAUGGAAGAAAAUAGAUUACUUCAUGUUGGGCCCAUAUGGAGCAGAAAGUGCUUGAAUAGUAUAAGCACAUCUGUAACGAUAGACAACAUUAAUUUCCCAGACUAGUAACUGUAUUAACCACGAUAUGAAAUGUUAACACCUGACUAAGUCUGGUUUUCAAAAUUAAUAAAAAUACAAACACAUGUUUCUUAAUUCAUCAGAAACAGCUGCACAAGCAGAUAUCCUACCUUGAUACCUACUCUCAACAAAAACAAGAUAAAGAAAGACCUAUGGUAAUAAAACUUGCAAUCAAAAGAUACAAAUUUGUCCCCUAACACACUUAAUCGGAACAUUCUUUUAACUGAAGAAUUCACUUACUAAGAUCAUAUGCUUCAAAAGUUCAAUUUUUCUCUGCUAUCUCUGGGUAGUGAUCAUCUCAAAGUGAGAAAUCACAAAAAUGAGGCUCAUUUGAGGUAAUCUAAUUCGAUUAUGAACCAAGAUAAUGUGAUUGGUUAGACUAUAACUGUCCAUACAAGUGCAGAUAAGCUCGUAUCCAAAAGACCAACUCACCCUUAUGACUUGACACAUGCACAAGGUAAAAAUUGGAUGAUUAUACUGUCAAACCAGCUCACAUUCGCACACUACUUCUACUAAAACAAGAACGAAUACCAAGUCCAGAAACAGAUCACUGGAUAAUUGCACCACACCCUAACCAGCAAAACUUAUGGAAUAACUACUCACUGCUUCAAAUUCAGGGAAAUGAACAAAGCUAAAUGUAUGAAUAACUAUAUUAGCAAGGAAAUCCAAUCACCCUAGAGUAACUCUGAUAGAUUGAUAUCCACAAAACCUCAAUGUGUACACCAACUAAUGUUAAUUUUCUCAAAAGAUCACAUUUUUAUAAUCAUUUCAUAUAGAUACUUCACAACAUACUACUAUAAAAUCAAAUGACACCAAAUCUGUUGUUGAUUCACAUAAUUCAUAUAAAUUAAAAACGCGAGCUAAGAACACAAUAACAAGCAGCUCAAAUCACAUAACAACCAAAAAUCUCAGCUCAAAUCCUUAAGCUAGCAGAAAAAUAUUUACCUUCAAAGUACAUGAAAACACCAUCCUUUCGUCUCCAAGGUUUACGUUGUCUAACAAUGACAGCAGGCAUCACUUUCUUCCUCAAAUCAGGUUUACCUUUCUUUACAGUAGCCAUUACCAUAUCACCUACACAAGCAGAUGGUAACCGAUUCAACCUACCCUUUAUACCCUUUACUGAAAUGAUGUAAAGGUUCUUCGCUCCAGUGUUAUCAGCACAGUUCACCGUCGCCGCCACCGGUAAACCCAGUGACAUCCGGAAUUUGUUUCCGGCAGAACCUCCACGCCCUAAACAUUAUUUUUCAAAAAAAAAUUAGGGAAAAUUGAAGAUAAUUAAGAACAAUCAUCUGAAUUUGAAAGCAACAUAAAGUAUACUGACCUCGCUUCGACAUUUUUGGAUCCUGAAAGUACGGUACAUUAGGGUUUUGCUAGGGUUUUAUAGAAAUGGCAAUUUAGGGUUUUAAUUUGAAGAAUGUUUGGUUAUGGAACUCUAUUUGGGCUUUGUCACAUACAAAUUGAGAUGGGCCUGGCCACUUUCUUUAAUUUACUUUUGUUUUAAGAGAAUGUUAAAACGAUACAUACGGUUCAAUCAACUAGUUUGUUAAUGUGAAAAAAUAUUUAAAUACGUAACUUAUAUUAUCAUAUUCUAUUCAAUUUAAAAAAAUUAUAAAAAUCUCUACUCUAUCCUAUUCUCGGAUACUCACUUUACGCGAUGUAUCGAGACGUUGGGUGAUGUAUCCCAAAUUGAGACGUGAUGUAUCAGGAAUGUAUCCAAAAUCAGGGCACGUUGUAUCAGGACGUUUUGGGAUGUAUUCAAAUUUCACCAAAUUCCUAAUAAUACGACCAAUACGGAUUGUGAUGGAGAGGUUAUAUUUCUUUAUUUUUUAUUAGGGUCUCGAUUUUGAGUCAACUUAAUUAUGAAGCCGCCUUUGUUAGAGAGCUUUACUCCUCAUUGUGAGACUUUUUUAUCAGAAUUUAAAUUUAGUCGGACUCUAAUGUAGGUAUGAGACAUCAUAUGCGGAAAAAACGAGUUUAUUAAUAUGGCUUAUAAUAUAUACCCCUGGUUUCCAUUUUAUGUAGCAUUAUUUGACUUGAUACGAUUUUUUUUUUUAAAAAAAAGUAACUUUUAGAAAUUAUCAUUUAUGGAUUAAUUUGGCAUAACCCCAAAUAAAAUCAUCAUCAAAAUUAAUCUGCCGCAAACUAAUUAAUACUUUAGUAGGUAAGCCAAGUCAAAUGAUUUUGUUCAAUUAUUACACCCUCAUUAUUUAGAUUUUAUCACUUAUUUGUGUAAAUAUAACCUUGCAAAAUUAUCCUUCAAAGAAAAAACAUUAGACUCACAUAUUACUCAUUAUUACAAAUAAAAAUAUUAUUAUAAUGCCAAAUAUUUGUAAUAAUUUAUACAUAUUAAAAGUCUAACGUCUUUUCAUAAAAUUUUUAAUUUGCUCGAAAUUUAAAUGGCGGUCCAAAAACUUCAUGAAUCAUAAAAGAAAUAAAGAAAAAAGAUUAUUUACUAAUAAUGUGUAGGUAAAUUUGAAUGUUAGCACACGCGUUAAAUACCUAGUUAGGUUAACAAUAAUAACAAUAACAUAUUAUUCAAUAUAAUCUCAUAAGUGAUGUUUCAGAAAAAUAAAAUAUACAUAAAUAUUAUCACCUUUUCGUAAAGAUAAAAAACAAUAAUUUCUGAAGAAUUCUCUAUUUAAUGAUACCUAAUUAGGUUAAUUUCCAUAUAUAGUAAAUUAUUUGUCAUUUAUUGAGAGGCCAUUCACGAGAGUUUAGCAUCAUUAUUAAAAGAAGAUAUAGUGGAAAAUUAACAAAAAAAAAAAAAGAUUAUUCCCUCUUCACGCGUUUUUACUAUUUAUAAAUACACUAUUUUAGAAAAUAAAUCCAAUUUAAACUUAAACUUUUGUUAGCACACACUUUAACCUAAAAAAAGUAAAGGACAAUAAGUUGAAAUUGAAAAAAAAAAAUCACAAAAAAAGAUUAUAUAAAGUGUAAUUUUAUAAAGUUAAUGGGGAAGUUUUCUAUAGUUAAAACAAAUGACUAGGACUUUCUCUCGGUUAUUAAAUAUGUCAUAAUAUUUGUAUCGUAACAAAAUCUUUUCAUUCCAAAAUAAAAUAAAAAAAACUUCUCAUUACGGGCAUAGAAGUAUAAAAUUAAUUGUUUACAAACUUUAAAACGUGUUAUUCAUUUUAAACAAAUUAAAUAUGUCAAGUAAACUGAAACACAGAAAAUAUUUUGAAUACUUGAUGGAGUUUUUUCGUGUUUUAGUUUCUGAGAUUUCGACAAGACUUUCCUAGUUCAUAGUUUCGAAAGAUAUUUACAUCUAACAAACCGGAAGUAUAUGCAAGGGGUUAUUUUGAACCUAUCCCUAAACAUAAAGGACUAUUUUUGUAAUUUUAACAAACUACAAGGACUUCAUGUGUAAUUUGUAAAACUUUCAAGAUUAUAAACUUGACAAACUUAAUGUCAAAUAAUCAUACACUAUUUUGAUUUUCUCAUUCUUGUGAGCAUUUUUUUCUAAGUUUUUUCAUUCCAUUUUUUAAAAAAAGAAAAUGGCAGAAGCUUUUGUCUCUUUUCUCAUUGAGAGAGUUGAAGGAGUAAUGAAAAUAAACAAAGGUACCAUUUUAUGUGGUGCAAAAAAGUAUGUAAAAGAUCUCCAAACAGAACUCAAGAAAAUGAAGGUUUUACUCAAAGAUGUUGAAGUAAAACAAAAGGAAAACAAAAAACUAUGUGAUAUGAUUGAUAAUAUUCGAAGGAUCGCGUUCAAGAUUGAUGAUGAAGUAGAAAAUUACUACUUUGAGGUAGCAAAAAGUCGAAAAAUAUGGCUUAAAGGUGUUAUGGAACACUAUAAGAGGAUAUAUUAUGGUAAGCAGAAGAAAUUUCAGUUGAGAAUGGUUAUAUAUAAUAGUCAGGUGAAAUGGUAUACAAGGAAAUUGGAAUGUUAUGGUGUGAAGAAGAUAGUGCAUGAAAAAGAUUCAUGUAAAAAGAUCGAUGGCUUAGACAGGUGGGAAGAAAUUACGACUACAGUUAAGAAAGUGGAGAGUGAGUUUGAAGAUGUUGAGAAGUCGAAGCUUGUGAGUGUGUAUGUGUUGAAUGAGGAUAAGGUGAUGGAGAAAGCAAAGGUGUUGGUUCAAAGUUUUGAGAGAAUUUGAUGUUAGUGUCUAAUCUUUAACCAUGUUUCGAUAGAAAAGAGAUCAUCAGAGUAUAACAGAAAAUCGAUUUUUCUUGCUCGACCUUCGAAUAUUUUGUUGUUUGUUGACUUUUUUUUUUAAUUAUUGUUGCAUGGUAAUUAGUAAGUACUAGACUAUUUCUUUGACUAUAGUUUAAAGUAUUUGGACUUAUUGUAAAGUUAUUAUUUAUCUCACUUCAUUUUAUAAUGUGUUUUUCUAAUUAUAGUUGUUUAUGGACUAUAUUUUGGUGUUACAUAGUAUGACAUUUCUAUGGAAGUUUUUUUUAACAUGUUAAAUUAAUAAGAAAAUAGAUGUAUUUAUAAAGCUAUACCGCGAUUACGCAAGGUCGGUGGAAGGAGUCAUACUCGUCUAAAGCACACAUUCCACAUCUCAAAAUAGUGACAUAUAGGUGAUACGGAGACAACUUUAUACCGUGACACAAACAUGGUAGAUAAUUUUGUCAUGACACAAGCAUCAAAGAAUAAUUUCAUGGCUCGAACAUGUCACAAAGAGACAAGGCUAUCCCCUUCAAUGCAAACUAGACAAUGAUUCAUGGAAAAGAUUUGUGACUUUGUGGUCCCAAAGUCACUAGCUAAAUGCAAGGUUUUAGCACAAGAACAAUAUAUUGAUGCUCUGAGAGUAUUGCAUUUUAGCAAAGAAAUGUUGUUCAAGACUUUUACCAACCAUCAACUCCAUGCUUAGAGUUAGAGGUUCGUGCCACACUCACGAGGGACUGAGAAGUUAACGAAGUAGAGAGUUAAAUGAGAUGUAAGAGUCAAAGGCGAGCCAGAAAGGCUUCUCAGCGUAUACUGGGCAAGUAUGUAUCCAAGAAGUCAUAUACUCAAAAUAAAACAUGUUUUUUCCAACAUAGUCAUGUGCAAUCUCAUCAACUGGUAGAACAUAACAUCAGCAGUACUUUUCAGAAAAACUAAAGUGUGCUUCUUGAUCGAAGCGAUCAACAUCAUGAGUAAGAAGGAAUCUUCAUCUGUGUUAACACCAGCUGUUCUUUUCCAGAAAUAACAAGACUGUUUCUUGUAUUACCUAUAUCAUAUCUAUAUGAGCUAUCGAUGAGAUCAGCAUCAUCAGUGAGGAGUAAUCUUCAUCAAUGUAUACUUCCUAGCUCCUGCAGGUAACGGAAUCUGAUUAAAUAUAAAGAAAUCGAAUGAAGUAGUUCAAAAUCAGCAAGUAUUUUGAAGUGAAACACGCGUGGGGAUGGCUUUAAGUUACUCUAUUCUACAACAAAUGGUGCACUAUGUAAGCAUUUCAAUGUACUAAAGGCUGGUAGGUAGAACUGUAAAGGAAGGAAUAUAAUUUAAUCAAUUGGCAGAUUGAUUCUGGUCUCGAGAAGAUAGAAAGGGCAGGAAGAGAUUUGUGUAUUACAUAUCAUAAAGCUCUAGAGAAGUACUCAGGUCAAUAUGCGCAUGAAAUAGUUGACAGAUUUCACUGCAGGGCGAGUAUAAGAAAGAGAGGUAAAAAGUUGAACUGACUCUUUAAAGGCCGGUGUCUCGACAAGAUUUACUUCCACAGCAGCACUUGAAAGCUUUCACUGGAUGAGUAUGAUCGGUGAAGUCAAUACCAUAAUCCUGCAAUGUAGCAAAUUUGUAAUGAUACUUAGUAUAUCUAAGUCAACAACUAGUCUAAACCAAAUUAUACUGAUCUUUGACUUAACUCAUGUUUCCUAUAUCAAAAUGACAAAGUUCUAAUAGUUAUAGAGUUCAACAUAGAUAGGGGCUUUACCCAAGUUAACUCUUCUAAAGCAUUAACUUUCCUCGUAGUGAAAAAAGCAAUCUGCAGUGACAUUAAAAAAAAAUGCUUGCUGUAGUUAUUGCACGGGUUUCUAAGUAACAGAGAGAUACUUCAAAAAGCGUUAAGAGAAAGAUAGAUAACAAGUACAUGGUAGUAGUGAUGAUCUGGAGUCUCUACUUCAACUGGGAUCUCAAUCAAGUUACCUUCAUAACAUCUGGUCAAGAUAAAAUUACAAUGUGGUAAGUUUCAGUCCACAUUGCGAAGUAAAAAAGAAUCAAUGCACUUUUCUUGAAUGUAAAUGUGAUUCUUAGAAACAAUAAAAGCAAAGAAUGAGCUGUUGAUCAUGCAAAGAAGAAAAAAGGGACUUCUAAUGGUGCUCAAUUGGGGGUUUAUUCCAUGCCAAAUGUACAUCAAAAAGAAAGCCAUAACAAAAGGAAUCAAUAUGAUUAUUAUAUCUCUACAUGCAAUAUAUAGGGUUGCAUCUAAUUUUUACCUAUCAGUUUUCUUUCCAAACUUGACGAACCAAGUAAUAGAAACAAAGAGAAACAUGUUGUUUGUUAGUAAGUAACAGCAGGUGGACAUGAAUAUUAUCUACUUUGUAAAAGAACUGUACAAAAUACAUAUCACCGGUUUAAUGUAACAGGGGAGAAGAAGAAAAAGAAGAAAGACAAUUACAAAGAGAAAAGGAUGAACAUUAGAGCCUAACCUAUGAUUAAUGAACCUUGCAAUAUUGCCAUAGUAUGUUGCAUCCAAACAAAGUGCCUCCUCAUCCUUCAGGACACCUUCCGAACCCCAGUCUGCAUCUAGCAAAACCGGAUAUGUGUGUCUCUCACUAGCAGUUUGCGUGUUUCGCUCAUACAACUCUGUGUUGGUCACUAUUUCUCCUACAUAUUCACAAACAAAAGCACCUCUAGGCAAAUCCUCCAGUGCCCUGAGACCCCAACCUUUCCCAUCAGCUGUCAUAAACACCUGACAUGCAGGAUAAGAAUGUGUCAAACACUUCUUACUACUCUAGGUUUCUUCAGAAAUAUAGAUCAUGCACAAAACCUUUCUUUCCUUUUCGGAUAAAUCAGAUCAUUUAUAUUCACACCAAGAUGGAAAAAACAAUAUAUAUUAUAGUUCAACCACAAAAGAUUACUCCCUCUGUCCCAAUUUGUGGCACACUUUCCCUUUUAGUAUGUCCCAAAAAAAAAUGCCACAUCCAUAUAAUUAGAAAUAACUUGACUUUAAAAUUCCCCUUUUAUGUCAUACAAGGGCCUAAGGUGUGUUUUAGACCACAUUUCAAAAGUCUCCCGUUAUUUCUUAAAUUUUAUGUCAAGUCAAAGGUGCCAAAUAAAUUGGGACAGAGGGAGCAUCAUGUUUUCUCAGACCAAUAAUUUAAAUGACUACUCCUAACAUCAUUCUCACUAGUACUGAAACAAUCUCCUAUUUUUUAUGUUCAUAAAGAGGCAAAGUUAUGGUACAUGAAACUCUUGGUUUGCAAUAUUUUUCUUACCUGCAAUGGCACUGCUAUGCCUCGCUGAAUAACACGAUUUCCACAUCCCCUGCUGCAGCCACAUUUAUGCCAGCACUCUUUGAUAAAUUUCCUCACCAGAUGACCCUUGCACAGGCCAGACACGCUAUUAUUCUUAGACCUUUCAAGGGGACAGUCCUGACAAUAUACUAAACCAUGCUUUUGGGGUUCACAACUCAUUGAGAUGCAACUCUCAAGAAACUUCUCCUUGAGCAAACCACCUGAUGUGUAGGCAAAUUCACCCCCUGUUUCACCAGCACAAGCACAGGGUAUAUCUUGGGACAAACAAUCCCCGCUGCAGUUUGAACAACAGCUGUCAUCUGAUAUACGAGCAAGAAGAAACUUCACAUAUGCGUUUUGGAAAAUAACAUUUUUAGGUAUGUACUUGAAGACAGGCAGGACAUGGCUGAAUGCAUUAAUCAACGAAAUUUUAUGCUCCUCUUGACCAUUGGAGAUGUCUUCAAUAUAAUAAACAGAAUUACGAAGACCAGGAGAUGAGUGUUCACUUUGAACAAGCACUGAAUUGUUCAUAGUUGAAGAGGCAAGGAGUUUAAGAAGCUUGUUAGUGUUGUCCUUCUCAGCACCAUUAAUCCUUGUACCAUUAAAAUCCACCAUGUAGCACAUUAUAUCCCUAUUUCCUGAAGCUGUAAAUGUUGGAAUUUGAGGUAAGAUUUUGAUCAAAUUCGACAAUUUGAAUGAGCCAUUGCUAGUGUCUGGAGCAAAGUGCAAUUCAUGAUUAGUAGCAUCAUAUCUGACACCUACUGGGUGAAGUUUCUGGGACCAUAUCCCAGCUGAUGGCUCAUUUGCUGUCCUGGUCCUGGUGCCAGCUGUCAGAUAGCAUUUACACAGAUUUUCCAUCAGACUUAGCAGAAAACCAGGUUGAGAAAAUCUGUAGGACUUCAUAUACUUUUCCUCCAUCCGCUUAAAGACUGCAUCUAAACUUGGUGGGCAAAAAUCUGAUGAAGAAUAUAUCUUAUAGACAAAAGAGAGUUUCACUUCCCCGUUCGGGGUGGAAGCAAUAUUUAGUCGUGAUGAAUUUGUUGCAUCUUCUUUAUUUCCUUCUGUACCCAGAUGUUCAGAGUUGAGACGCUCCAAGUCUUGUUUUUCAAUUCAAAAAAAAUAUGACAGAAUUAAACUUCUAGACUAUAGAUAACAUUCGCAUUUUGUAAGACUUGGAAUUUGACUACAAAACCAAGAGGAAAAGAAAACAAAAAAAAAUCCCAACUUCAGACAUACAAUUUACCAAAAAAAAAGAGAAAACUUAUGACCCCUUCUGAUUCAAUAAAUCUUAUGUUCUUCAUUCACAUAGCUUUUUCCUUUUCAUCAACCAAAAAUAUCAUCGGGCUUACUAUGAGCAGAAACUAAUAUGUAAUUACUAUAAACCAUAAGAAUCUUGCUGCUAGCUUAUAUGAAAGAUAAAGCUCAAUCGAGAGUGGAAGGGGUAGCUUUUUUUGUAAAAAUUGUGUAUACAAAUAUAAUUUCACAUCUUUGAUUUGUAUCAAGAUCAUUAGAGCUGGAACAAAUUCAUAGAACUUGCACUCAGAAAAUUGUAAUCAUUGAAACUUCAUAGAGAAGAAGAAUAUAUCACUGGAGAAAGGAUUGAUAUAUAGCAGUAUGACUUUGCUGUCUUUCUUUGGCUUUCAUCAGUUAACACAUUAACUUAAAAAUAUAUAGUUAUUGUUGUUAGCAAGUCAACUCCUCCGAUAUCUCUCCCUUUUAGUCAAUAAUUUCAAUAUUCACAUCCUCAGUUAGUGAAUAAUCACCCAAACUAGCAUAAAUGACAGUCAAAAGAGACUAUAAAGAAAAAUACAUCUAGAGGAUAUCAUCAGAAUGGGUAUCAAAACUCACAAAAAAGAACAACCCGUUGACAAUUUCAAAGUAGUAAACCAUGUCUGGGGAGAGAGCAGAAUAAUCUUAUAACAGUUCUCUAUACAUGGAGGGAAUACCUGAAGGAACAACAGCAAGAGGAACAUCAAAACCUGGCAGGGUAUCAGAAAGUGGCAUUGCAUCACUGAAGCUAUACUCAACCAGAGCACCUUCUUUGGAUACAUCAGUAGAACCCAUAACAUUUGGCUCUUCCAGGCUACUACUAUAAGCUAGUCUUCUUUUGGGUUUCACAGCAGAAUAUAAACGAGAUGUGUCUCCCCUUUUCUUUAGUUUCAAAUGAGAUGACAGAAUACGAGUUUCUUGCUUGUCAUCAUCAGACAGUACUACAAUGUCAUUAUCCUCCUCUGAAACAGGAGAAGCCUCUGAAGAAAUCUGUUUCUUACCUUUGCGCUGAUGAUGGUUCAAGAGAAAGCGAGGCUUCAUUUCAACAUCCUGAGUUUCACAAGACUCGGUGGUGAUAUCAGCCAUCUUCUGCUUGCCGUAAGGCUGCAACUCUGAAGUACAUGUGUCAACACUAGGGCCGGCAUCGUGUUUAGCAGCUGAAGAAUGAUUUCCCUGGGAGUAGAGCCUAGAUCUUUUCAAUGGUGGUUCAUUUUCUUCCGGUUCAUCUUCCAUCGAGGAUUUCUGCUUUUCCUGAUCAUCGGAGGAAAUAAAUGACAUGCUUUCACAUCGAAAAUUUUUGAAAGGAAAGAAUUAAAGAUGAAGGAGCAUCCUACUUUUCUAUUUGUGCAUGAUAUCAAGAUAGAUAUAUAUAUUACCACACAUAAUCUUCAUAAAGGAUUCACAUGUCGCAAAGGGUAUCAUGUGGUUAUGGACAAAAAUAAGCACUGAAUCAUAAGUAACAACAAUACCUUAGACUCUUCGCUGUCUAUAAUAGACUCCAAAAGAACAGAAUAAUUCUCAUCUUCAAUAAGCUUCCAGUUUUUGUUGUACAAAUUCAGAAGGUUCCUCAACACUGGCUUCACAACUGUUUCACUAUAGCCAAAAACCUUCAUUGCCUCAAAGGCCUUUGUAACUCUAGACUUCGAGUUUGGCGCCAUUUAUUAUACUAAUGUAGAACUUUAAGGAGCUCAAUGAGGUUAAGGUAUAUCUUCUUCCUUUCAAUGCCCAAAAAAAACAGAAAAAACAUUACAUCUGCAUUUAAACCACAAAAAAAAAAGCAGAAACAAUGUCUGAAUUUUACCAACAUGAUGACUGGAAUAAUUUAUGCAUAGCAUAAUAACUUAUUAGAUGACAUUCCAUGUUGAACGGUAUUCGAUACAGAUCUAUGAGAACUCCUGGCAUUUUUUCAGAAGCUAAUAGGAAGUACUAUAGAAUGUUGGUUUUAUCAAAUAACUACAUGAAUUUUUAAAUAGAAAACAGAUGAUAUUGUUAAGUAUCUAACCGAUAUGUCAUCAUCAUCAACAACAACAACAAACUCAGUGUAAUAACCUCACAAGUGGGGUUUGGCGAGGGUAGUGUGUACGCAGCCUUGCCCCUACCUUGUGAAGACAGAGAGGUUGUUUCUGAUAGACCUUCAGCUCAAGUAAAGUAUAAUAACAACAAGUAUUGAUAAACCGAUACUUCAUCAUGUUCAGAAAUUCCUAAAGAGAUCAGUCUGAGACAGUAUAAAAGAGUUGACUGCAUAAUAAUCAGUUCAUCAGUCAUCAUAUAUACGUCGUAACGCAAUUUUCUCCCACUGUUCACUAAGUCAUGUUUCAUCACUGACAUCUUCGCUAUUACUAUUUCUUUUAAACAUCUUCUCUACAAUCCUUUUAAACACGAGUAAGAGAAAAGUCAUCUCAUGACUGGAACUGGCGCAAGGCAAGGCAUUCCACAUUAAUUAUGUCCUUCAACCAUCCAACACACCUAAUCUUCGCCCCCUAACCCUUAUUCUAGAUUAUAACAAAUGUUUUUAAGAAAAUAUUUUUUCUGCUUACGUAACGGAUACAAGAAAAUAAGUAUAGAACCUACUUAUUUAUAUAUUUUGUUGAACGUGAUGUUCAAACCAGCUUUAACACACCUCAACUAAUUCCAUGGAAUACUUGCCUCCCACCGGCAACAAGUACCACGAAUCUCUAUCCACCAAGUCUAGGACAGAUAAGAACGGAUCACCGACUAUUUUUGUCUCCACUGAAAUUUGAACCUGAAACCUCAUGGCUCUCAACCACUUCAUUGACCACACAAUACACACCCUUGGGUGCAAGAUCCCGACUUAUUUUCCUAAAAAAACAUUUUCCUUCAUAUCAAACACACCCUAAUCCUCAGUAUACAUCAGAAACAAAACUAACGAGAUAUCACAGCAUCAAAGAAUCAAAACCCUUAUUUAACAGAUGAAACAUAAAAAUAGAAAAUAAUAAUUGAAACAGAACCAUGAACACCUUAACAUGGGGAAAUCAGAAUCAAAUUUUAUACAAAAGCAAAAAUACAUAACAACGAAAAAACAAAAUGUAGAAUAGCACAGAUUCCAAACUCCUCUGUUCUUCCAUAUCCAAACUCCUCAUCCCUUAACCAGAGACCUCGAGUUCGAAACCUAGGUAUGAAAUAAUUCUGUCUUGGUAGGAAGUGAGAAACCAAACAAAAACACACACAACAACAAUAACAAAAAAAUACAUUUCAAAAGUUAAAAUUUUUAUAUCAUUUUCUUCAUUUUUUCUUCUGCAUGAAACCAUUUUCACUCUCUAACAUCAAUGGGUUAUAUACGCCAACACAGAAUCACUCAAUGCAAGACUGACCCCAGUAGUUUUUCAUCGAAAUUCUUCCACAAAUCUCAAAAAAUCAAAUAAAGUUUUCACCUUUUUACCUUAAAAAAAGCUUGAGGAUCAAGAAACACUCAUGUGGACCAUACUCCAACGAAUCGCGUUCAUCUGAACUCAAUAAUUUUAACUUUUAAGCAAUAAAUAUGAACCUAUAACUUUAUAGAUAUAACGAUGGAUUCAAGCCCUUUAUAAUUCAAAUUCUGAAUUCGCCUCUUCCGAUACCUAAAAAAAGAAAAAGGAUAAAUCACUAUACCUUUUUAUGGAAAAGUUGAAGAAAUAGCUUUUACUUUAGCAUUUGGACUCCAUCAAAAAAUUCUUUUUUCAACAAUGGUGAGAGAUAAAAGCUCCAAUAAGAAUUUUCUAUGUAUAUAUAUAAAACCAAAUAAGUUAAUUCUAAGUAUAGUUAGUAAAUAUGAUUAACUAAUAAAUGUAUUUAAUAAAAGAAAUUUUUGGGAAAUCUUAUUCGUUGACUGAAAAAUGUUAAAAUUACCUCUGAAUUAUGUAAAAAAAAUUAUUUAUAUCUUCCGUUACAUUUUGAAAUCGAAAUUGCCUCAAUCGUUAGGUGGAGAGAUUCGUCUCACUUGUCAGAUUAUUAAAAAUUUUAACUUUUGAAGAUAUUUGUGAUCUUUUGGAAUAACUUUGAAGGCAUUUUUUUAUCUCAAAAUGUAAUGAAGGACGUAAAUAGUAUAUAUAUUUUGCAUAAUUCCAAAGUAAAUUUGACUUUUUUUCGUGAAAUAAAUUGUAUGACAUUCUAUUUUAUUUUCACAAAUUAAUGAAAUCUAAAUUUUGUACUUUUGGACUAUAAACUUUGAAUAUAUUUUUGUGAAAUAAAAAGAAAUUUCAUAUGACAUAAAUUAUUAGAUAAAUCACGAAUAAAAUUUGUAAAAAUAUCUACAAAAGAAAAUAGAUAUACUUUUUAGUUUUUACUGUCAAUUGUAUUUCUUUUUUUUCCUUUUUAUUCUACAAAUGAAAAAAAAAAGUUUGUUUUUAUUUUGGAGAAAAUGACAUGAAACAAUUUUACUGAUGUUGAUUAUAGGUUGAAAUAAUAGUUUUCCUAAAUUAUUAUUAUUUUCAAAAAAUACUUUUUUUAGACAUGCAAGUAAAAUUAGAUAUUAUUUGUUUUAUAUAUAUUAUAUCGAAAAACUUGAUUUACAUAUAUUUGAGAUGCACUGACUUUCUCCUCUCACGUCCCUUAUUUCACAAUGAUUUUAAGUAUUUAUAUAAUUAUCAAUUUUAUAUAUCAAUGUAUCUAUAAUCAAUUUUAUCUAAUACUUUGUCCAUAUUACCUUAUCCUAUUUCAAUAUAUUGAUAUGGCCAAUACAUUUAACUUAUUAAAAAAGGGAAAAAAGAAAUUGACAUUUCAUUAAUUUUGUAACGAUCAUUAUAUUUCUAGCAUAGUUAUUAUGUAGGCUGUUGAAAAAUUGUUUGAGAUAUAUUUGGAAUUCUACGAUAACAUUUAAAACAGAUGAAUACUUAUCACUUUAUCACAAUUUUUAUUGAUCGCCACUAAACUUUGAUCAAUAUAGACCAUCGAUUGUUUCAUCAAGACCGUUGAUUUUGUAGACUAAUCUUGACCACUCAUCUUCACUGAUCCAACGGUUCAUAUCACAAAAUAAGAUUCCCCAAAUCUCUUAUUUCCUGUUUGGGAAAACAAUCUAAAUCAAACAGAGGUUUACAGAACACUGCCUUUACCAUUUCCUCUCAAUUUGUCUCUUUUUACUCAAAACAAACACUGUCUUAUCAGCUUUUCUCAAAGGUAAUACUGCAAAAUAUUUACUCAUAAUAGGGGGAGAAUUUGAAAUUAUGUUCUAUUUGUAAAAAUUAAAUGUGUACUCGUAUUAUUUGACUAUACAACUACACGUUUAAUUUAUUAAUCACUAAGUCAUAUCCUUGAACACGUAUAGUUGUGCUAUUUGAUAACAAUCAUGCUUGUGUUAACCUUUUUUUGGUCACUUUCAUCGAAAAAUGUGACCUUAUUAUAGGUAUAUUUUUCAAAUUUUUUUUGUAUAUGUAUACAUAGUUCAAGCCAAAAGCAGUAAAUUCAAAAUAGAACAUGUCCAAAUGCCUAUACUACAGUUCCAUAACAAGGUCAUUCAUCAACAAGCUUGCUACUUCCAUAUGUAACACUUGACGCUACAACAAAACGAAAGAUAUAAUACAUAAACAUAACCUAACUUGACUUCAAUGGACAAUUAUGUCCUCCAACUUUGAGUGUGCGUAAGUAAGAACUGAAGCGUAUAUAAACUUAAACGAGUAGACACGCGUGUCCUACGCGACAUAAUACACAUGAGAUGCCAUGUAGGACACAUAAUUGUCAUGUAGAGUGUCAUGUAGGACGAAUGUGUCUAUUUGUUCAAUUUUAUACAAGUUUACGUAUCUACUUGUGCACACCCAAAAUUAAGGGUCAUGGUUGUCAACUGACGCCAAGUUAAGGGUCGUGUUUAUGUAUUAUGCCUUAACGAAAGGAUGAAAACAAUUGCAACAUAAACAUAAGGAACCAAAGAGUUUAACCAACCGUCUUCUGACCCCACCCCACACUUCUGGGAUUACAUUGAACCCACACUUCUGGGAUUACAUUGAGUACGUUGUUAUCGUUGAUUAGCACAAAGAAGUUUACAGGAUUGAGUUUUACCAUUGACACAAAGUAUGUCAUCUUAGAUGAGUUCCAAGAACUUGUGUAAAGAAAGCAUGAAAAUGCAGUGAUUCAUCAAUAUUGUCUACACUGUGAACAUAACAUCACACAUGCUAAAAUCAAUGAGAAAGAGAGAGAGAGGCCUCUUACAAUCAACGAUAGACGAUAUUGAAACAUAACUGAAGUUUCCGUUGAUGCCUGAAAGUUGCACUAGAGAUCAAAGGAUCAACAAACCACUCAAGAAUCAAUAUGUUUCGACUUUCAUUAACUUAAUCAACGGUACAAAUGGAUGUCCCCCCAUCCAAUAGACGAUUUGUACACUGACCGCUGCUUCUAAAGUGUAUCAUUCAUUACACUAACAAAAUGAUAAUGUGAGCUAACAAACGAAUCUCCUAUCUAAUACUCUACCAGCUAAGAGAGACAAUCAUAUGUUAUAUCUUUGAACCAUUUCUAAUGGUCGAUUUGUCUGACUUCUUUUAAAGAAAGAGAGCUAUAACAACAGAUACCAUACUUGGUGUCAUCUUACUUCACUUCCUGUACAGUUUCGGUCGUAGGAAAGGACUAUGUCUAUGAAUGAAAGCAGCAGCUAUGGCGAAAGACUGCAAAGCUGAUAGAGUCGAAUGAAAAUGGAUGUAAUACAAACCAUCAUGAAUAUUCGACAUUUUCAUGACUGGUGCACUUUGUUUCAAACCCUGCAAAAUCGUGGAAAAGAAAAUCGGUUAGUGACAUUUCAACAUUCCACAUAUUUAAAUGCAUAGUUGCUUGAAGAACAUAGAGAACAAAAACUUAUAAUGAGAUAGACCUGUAUAUAGAGAUCAAAAGUUUGACAGUCCCCGGAUGUAGUUUGUGAUGAAGCUUCAUUCCCAGUUUUAAGAACUGUGAGGGGGCACCCGAGAUCCCAGCCUCCACAAUCACAGUGCCCACCAGAGCUCCACCGCUCCAACAGGCUUGACGGCCCAGCAUGUCUGCUUCUAGGUCCACCAUGAAAACCACUUGGAAUUAUAACAUCUGUGCUUGUUGAGCAAUCACUGGUGCCACGUGAACGACAUUCCACCGAUAUCUCAGGAGGUGCAUUUUUACUUCCAGUCGGAGAUUUCUUGAGAAACUUCAUACCCCAGCCACCCUUCUCUGCCUCCUUGGAGCUGUCAUUAAGAGGAUCUCUGGUAACAACGGCAGCCAGCUCAAAAUUUGGCGGAAUCUGCUGAUCUAAAAGAGCAUUGCCGCAUGAAUAAUAAUCAUCAUACAUAUCUAUGGAUGGCGUCCACGAAGCAUCUUCAAGAAUGGCGCUUGUUCCCCCGAACUUGGAUAAGCUUCUCUGCUUAUAAGACUGACUAGUUCUGAACACAUCUGUUACUUUCUUUGCCAACUUUUUGUUCUUCCUGAGGAUAUGACUUGUUUGUAUCUCAUCCAUAUAUUGAUCCAUGGAACCAAACACAACAAAUCGCGUCUCCAUAAUCUCCAACUUGGUUGGGCUGAGUGUCACUGAAGUUGACACAGUCAUUUUACCUACAAGUUGUGAUUCCCUUGCAGAGAAGGCGCAUUCCUUUUUGCUUUCUUGUCUUGAAUGAAAUGUGUAAACAUAAUCGAGAAACUUAUCAUCAGGUGAGUCAAUCUCCAGCAGAUCAGCUACAUAAACUUCCUUUUUACCAUCUAUGGAAAAGACAUAAUGUGGUAAACCAUUUUUCCAUCUCCUCUGGAACAUUCCUUGAGAAAUAGGGGCAGCUGCUGAAAGACAUGAUUGAUCUGAGCAUGUCGAAGCUGUACUAGAUACAGAAAGAACCCUUCUGUGUACAUGCUCAGAUCCAUGAUCUGUCAUCUCCUUCUGUAGCUUCUGUGCUGAACUGACACUAAAACCACCGGGAGAGCUCAUGAAAUCAGAAAAACUUCCUUCUUCACUGUCAUUUAUAUUUUCCUUUCCAGAAUCAACAGUACAGUUAACAGAUCCAAAUUGAUUAAGUAAGGGACUCUUUAAAAUGUUCAGCAUACUCUUACUACCAGUUAUAGCACCAAGAAUCCACUCCGCGGAGGAGUCAGGGACAUAACUUGACUCAAUCCCCACAGUUUGAGGACAUUCGGUCGCCAGAUUACCAUUAGUGUGGAGAUUUUCAUUUCUAACCUCUCUUGAACCUGAACUCUUUGAUAUAAUUUGCAUCUUUGAAGAGAAGUUACAUGUGGAGUGUAUGUGUACCAAUUCAAGGCAGCGAAGGAAGUAUCUUUCGUCAAAACUUAUUAUAUGCUUCGGAAGCUUAUUUUGUAAGCCAAGAGAAUUAUGAAAGAGCAAUUUCUGAGCGCAAUUUCCAGUAAAAUGCGGGUUUUCUAAUCUACGUAGGUGCUGUGGUUCUAACUCUUCUAUUAAUCUUGUCGACAAACAACUAUUCUCCUCUGCUUGUUCUUCCUUGUUCACAAGCUGCAAUAAACCUUCUUUAUUAGGUUCAUCCUUGUCCAUGUUUCUGUUUUCCAUAUUCCACCUCCAAGGUGAUUAAACAUUAGAAAACAGAUAAAAUGAACUUUCUUCCUUCACCUUCCACAGUAUAAACACGGUUAUACAAAGAGACCGAAAUCCACCAGCACUACAAGAAUUUUUAUGCAUAAAUCAGAAGACAGAAUCUUUACAAGUUAAAUUACUCAAAAGAUUAAAACUUGAUCAAAUAAUGAGCUACAAGAGGGUAUACAAAACAAGUGUUUUGUAGGUGAACAAGAUUACAAAAUGGGGAAUCGAACUCAGGUAGCCAAUCAACUUAGCUACUAAGAUUCCCCGUCUACAAAACAAGUCUCAGACUGUAACAGCUGAAAAACAGAAGAAAAAAAAAUCAAAUCUUUGGCAACAAAUCUCCUUACAAAAACAGAAAUCUACUUGUGGUGAACUUCCCAAUAGCUGGGAGAGAUACAAACAGUGAAAAGAAAGAACAAAGAAGAAUGAACAGUGUUAUAUAUAUAUAUCUCAUUAAGCUUAAGCAGAUCCUAGUUACAUUUCAAGAAUCAACAAAAACAGUAUAAACAAUUGCAAGUUUGCAACAACUCCUAGACAAAUUGCACAAAAAAUACAAACAUAACAUGUUCAAUAAAUAGUAAGCAAAGUACUAAACAUCAAACAUCAGAAGUAAAAUCAAAAGUUCAAUAACUUCCUCACUCACCUCCAAAAAAAUAUGAAACCCCACUUCAAAUUCACCUUGCAGAUCAAGCUUUAAGCUCUUUCAAUCCCCUUCAGAAACAACAAACACCACAUAAAGAUAAACUUAAUGUUAGCCAAUUUCAAGACAACCCCACUAAACAAAGAUAAGAUAUACAAUUAGUCCUUCAAAAAGUCUAUUUUAAAACAAAGUAGAGAAAGAAAAGCAAGAAACUUUGGCUAUUAAAGAAAUAAAAAUUACUUCUACAAAAGUAUACCACAUGGAAGAAACCUCAUCCACCACUUUCACCUCCAACAACAAAAUAACUGUUUUUAGACGAAUCUUGAUUCUAGAAGAAGAAUACCAAACCAAACAUAUAAAUAAUAGAUAAAGGUGAAAUCUUUAGCUAAAUUCAACUAAAUGGGGUUCAAAGAUGAGAUGGGGUGCAUUAAGCCAUGUUUGGUUUCUUGGAAAAAUUAGGCAAAACUAUAGAAUAGGCAAUGGUGGGGUCCAAGAUUUGCUGAAAUCUUGCAUUUUCAAGGUCCAAUCUAUGGAGUAAACCAAACCCCCCUUAACCCCACCACCCCACAUCUAUAAACGAGUGAAAACAUGAUAGAGACAUACAGAAAUAUGUAUGUAUAGGUAAAAGAGUAAAGAGAGAAAAAGGCAAACAAAAAUGCCUUAGCUGGUUAGCACAAUAAGAUCAGUCAUGGACUAUUUGGCAACUUGACACUAUGUCAUGUAAUUUUUCCAUUUUUUUUAUAUAUAAAGAUUUUAUUAUUUUUCUAAAUUAAGCUCGGGUUUGAAAAUAGAUUUUGAAGUUGAAGUAUGACAUUUCGUGUUUUUGAAAUUGUAAUUAGAUACAUACGUAUAUUUUUGGAAAAGAAAAUUGAAGUUUCGCGAGUGAAAGACCUAAAACUAGUUAAAAGUUGAAGUCGGUUUUUGAGAAUUUGAAAAUCAACAUUCUAAAAUCUGAUUAAAUUUCAUGGUCAAAUAGAUAUUUGAAGAUCAAAUUUAUAAUCAAACAUAUAUUUCAAAAUAGUUUUUUUGAAAAUCUAUAAUGAACGCUAGUUAAAUAAUUAGUUGUAAUUUAGUCAUAAACUUUAAAUACUUUUCACUUUAUUUGGAAUUUAUAGAAUUGAAAAUAAGUUAAAUUUGAAAUAAGACAAAAUAUUUCACACAUUUAAAAUACAACUUUAAAUUGAUUAAAAAACUUAUCAUCAAACACCAAAUUUUAAUAUUAUUUAAAAAAUAUAUAUUUUAUGACCAAACGAGUACUUGUUGUUUUGAUUAAGGAAAAAAAUUUAUUUAUUGCUAUAAAUAAGAAAUUCAGAAGAAGAAAAAAAAGUCAUUAAGCAAUAACUAAGAAAUUUCUCAUAAUUUUUUUUUAUUAUCAUUGAUUUAAAGUCACAAAUGGUCACUAUUGCAUGCGGCUAAUUAAUGUUGUUACAUUUUGUUGAAAAUAAAUAACUAAAAUAUUACUUGUAUCAAUUAUUUAAAUUGGGGCAAUUCAUUCAAUUUAUGACAUUAUUUUAGAACAUCAUAUAAGUAUAUGAUUUUCAAUGUCACAUCUUUAAUAUAAAAAAAAAAUAUUUACACGUAAAAUCAAUAACAUACGCAAAAAACUUUCUAUAUUAAUAUAAUUUUUUUAAAAAAAACAAUUUACUAUAAAAUGUUAUAUUUUACAUUUAUACCUAGUAUUUUCAUAUAAAUGGUAUCCUACUCUUCUAUGAUGUCGCUUGGAGCAAGGUAUAUACGUGUUUACGUAAGAGACCGCGUCAUAAAAUUUAAAUAUAUAAAUAAAUAUAUUUAUUUUUAUAAUUAUUAUUCUUUUAUGUUUUCUAUUCGAUGUUUAUCCGCAUUAGAUUUUCAAUUAAAUUUGAAAAUCGCGCAUUGCAGAACUCAUUCGAAGAGGUGCUUUGAACAAGAUUUUUUUCGUAUUCAGGUCUCAAAUUCAAGACUUCUAAUUAAAGUGAAGCAAUUUUAUAAAUGCAUCAUGAUCUGUGAUAUUUUAUAACUAUUCAAAUUAUAUAAUAUGGUUCACAAAAUUAGUAAUUCUACUAGUAUGCCACCAUUGACCAUCCAAAUGCAAGAAAACAAAAAGACACUGCAAAGAUAUAAAUAAACAUAGGUACCUAACAACCUUGAAUCUUGAUACCUUUUAUCCAUCACUUUUCUUCAAACAUGUGACUUCUCUAAUAUAAUAUCGGAGCGGAGUGUGGAGUCAGUUUAUGAUUAGGGGUUCAUUCGUUUUUCUAAUGAUACAAAAAUUAUAAAAUUUAAUUUAAUUUUAUGUAUAUAUAUUGAACUUUCUUUAGUUCGUUUUUUGUGUUUACUAUUUUAGAUUUUAAAUCUUCUUAAUUAAAAUUUUGACUCUACGAUUAUAUUUAUAUUAUUAUUUUCUGACUUAGAUCAUGUACAGGGUAGGACAUAUUUUUUAUUUUUUUGUUUUUUUGGGGGGGUGUUAUGUUUCCAACAUGUUUUCGAAAUUAAUGUUAUAGACAUAAGAAAUGUUCUUUUGUGAAAUUAAUGUUUGGUGGUAGAUUUGUCUGUGAAAUAAAUUAAAUAUUAUCAUGUUUCAAAUUAUUGAAUAUUGUCAUGUUACUAACUUUUUCUUUAAUUGUUAUUGUUGUUAUCUUGACUAAUUUUUUAUUUUAUUUUAUCUGCGGCGCAAAAAUCUCAAUAGAUUGGAAACUUGUGAUGUAUUUGGAAUAAAAUAAAACAAAACAAAACAAUAAAAUAAAUAAUAAAAGAAAAAAAAAGAACAAAAUUUUGCUUUUUAAAAAAAUAAAAUAAAAGUGAUUAGAGAGAAUAAUAAAUUACCAUCCCUUAUAAAGUUAGAAUUAAAGUUAAUUGACUUUUUAGAUACUUCCAAAGAGGAUAUAAUUAAUUUCAAGUUUUAAACCUAAUUACUAGACUUUCGAUUUAUUCGACAUACCUAUAUGAUGGAAUAUUUUUUCAAACUUCAAGAUGAUUGAUUAAAAUAUUUAAUUAGUUAUAUCAUAGUUACGAAAAUAUUGAAAAAGAAAAGGUUAUUUUUAAAUUAGGUCGAAUAGAAGGAUCGUGAUCAAUCGUGCUUUAUAAGAAGAUCGAUUAGGGAAUUUGUCCUGAUAUGCUGUAUAAUUCUUUCAAUAAAUGUAUACCCCUUAAAUAUGAAGCCACUACAAAAAAAAUGAUCAUUAGCGAUAUUUAAUUCUUAAUUGCAGCUAAAUAUGUAUUUUUAGCGGCAAUUGUCACUCUUUGUAUAUGUCCCUAAAGCCUUUAGCGUCUUUGGUUCUAAUGACACUUAACUAAUACCGGUAAAGACAUUAGCACUCUUUAUUAGUGUCAAUACUUAAUGCCGCUAAAAGUUAUUUUGCUAUAAUGAGCCAAACAUUUUCUAUCUGGCGUUUUAAUAUUAUUCAGUUUGAAGCAUGACAUUCAAGGAUCGAAAAUAAAUCCUCUGAAAAUCUAACUCUAAAAGGAUACUAAAGUAAGAAUAUAUUUUGCUAAAGAUAAGGAAUAAAUGAACCAAAAAAUGUAUUGCACGGUAAAAUUGAGCAAUUUCGAUUAGUAUACAUAUCGAUAAGUUUAAAUUAUUUCCCUUGAUUUGGUUUUAGAGUUGUUGUUAGGUUAUUAGCAUUUUAAUAUUAAUAUUUAACCUAUUAAAUUGCUUUAUUUUGGAGUUAUAAGAAUGGAUGACUUCUACAUCAUCCAUUAGCAUUGGUUAUCCAUCAAUGUAUUUCAUUCUUAAUUCCUCUAUUACUCCCUUUGUAACCUAUGUAACAUAUGUAACUCCCUUUGUAACAUAUGUAACUCUCAUUGUAACCUAUGUAACUCCCAUUGUAACCUAUGUAACUCCUAAGGCCAUUAUCUUCACUAUUUACUACCUCCAUUAUCUUCCUAUUCAUUGCUAGGAAAACUUCUUGUAGUAUAAAUAGUGGUAGUCUUCAUUUGAUUUUAGAGACACACAAUUCAUAAGAGAAAACAAAGAGUGAAAGAGUUAGUCUAAAGAGAGUUCUUAUUAGUUGAAGGGAGGUGUUUUUUUUUGUGGAGCUUUGGACUCAACUCUUGUCCAGAGUUGUUGAGUUAUACUUUGUAAAGGCUGUUGUAUCCUGGAGGGGACAAGUCAAAGAGGACUACUGUUGGACCGGUGAAAACAUUUGCUGCAGUGGGCUUGAAUCUCCUUAAAGAGAGCGAGAUAUCCGCGCCUCAGCCUGAAGAGAUUACUUUCUUCAUUUUAUUUUCAAUUAUAAUCUUGCAAUUUUAUUAUCUUGUAAGUUUUUUCACUAACAGUUGUAACUAGAUGGACAAAAAGCUAGCAUUGUUAUUGAAAUAGAAUCGACAACAAUCAACAUGAGUUGUGGUUAGAUGAUCGUGAUUCAUUUAUCCUUAAUUAAAUGUUUCAAGUUCAAGCCUAAGCCUCUCGAAAUAAAACAAUAUCAUAUCGAGCGCCCUUCUCAAGCCAUAUUAAUUAAGAGUGUAAAAAAAUAAAUAUAAACACAUGUACAAUCAUAUAACUUUUGUACACCACAUAAUUUUUCAAUGAAAGACGUGUAAUGAACCACCCUUCCCUAUUCUAAUUAGGUGGCUUGCUCAUAAGUCCUGCAAUGUAAGAAUCUAAAUUUAAUCAGACUUUAAUAUAAAUAUCUAAAAUAAAUUGGGAAAAAAAAAAUAUUUGACAACUAUUUUCUUAUUGAGUGGUAUGCAGCAAAUAUAGUUGUUAUAUUUAAUUUCUUAUAAUAUAUUUUUUUUAUGCAUUAAAACCAUAGACAACUAUUAAGAUAGUGCAUGCACAUGGUGAUCCAUUAAUUCACAUAAUGGAAUGAACAAUUUGUUGAUUUAGACUUUUCAAAUGAUGAAUGAAGUGAUCCACUUAUUACACAAGGUAUUCAUAUGUUUUGCCUUGAUCAAUUGAUUAGUUCAAUGACUAAAUCAAUCAUAAUUAUUAGAUUUCAUAUCUAGAAACGAUAAGGUUCGAUGCGAAAAAAAAUAUUUUUAUAAAUUUAAAUAUAAAUACAUUUUUGUAGAUAUUUUAUAAGGAGACGGAAAAUAUUGUUCCAAAAGAAUAUAGUGGAAUGGAAGUAAGCGAGGUGGUAGCUAGCAAGGAGUAGGGGGUGGGAGGAGAUACUAUCACGUAUAAAUAUGUUUUUUAUUCAUCUUACAAGAUCAUUUUUUUAAUAAUAUUUUAUGAUGUUUGACAAGGAAACAAAAAAUAUUAUCGUAAAAAUAUGUGGUAGGAUGACCAUGUAGCGUAAAGUGUCAUUUUUAUAGAAUUUGUUUUCUCGAUUCCGUCAGUGAAGUUAUUUUUCUAAACGUUUGAUAAGAAAACAGAAAAUAUCAUCCCAAAAAUAUAUAAUGGAUGAGGGUGGUUAGGGUAUUGGGGUAGAAAGAAGACAGUAAUAUUACGAUGUUAUUUUAUUAUAGAACAUGUUUUUUCUACUUUUUUUUCCGAUUCCAUAAAAUAUUUUUCUAAAUAUAUUAAUUAAUUAAAUAUGUGAAAUAUAAAAAAUACUUUUCACCGUACCAAAUUCCAUUAAGCUUUCUUAUUUCACUUAAAUUGUUUGUUAAUUGUAAAAUUCAAAGAAGAGAAAAUUAGACAUUAGUCUAAAUUUGAAAAGUAUACUAUAAAUAUAUAAACAUAACACGUUAAUGUAAGAUUUGAAGACUUCUUAUUUUAGAUUAAAUGGAAGUUAUAAAGAAUUUUGUUUAACAUUUUAUUAAACCUUUUGAAUUUUCUCGUGUUCAAUAUAUGCUUUCAUCGUUUUAAUUUUUGUGAUAUUUUUUAAAUUUUGAGAUUUAAAUAAGUUUAUUUUUUAUUGUGAAUUUUUUAUAAAUAUUUUAAAUUAUCAAUUAUUGUGUUUUAUAGUACUUUUACGUUGUUUGUAGAUAUAUAAAUUUCAUUUCAAAAAAAAUGAAGAUUUCAUACGCACAAUUCUGAUCAAAUUUAAAUUGUUUGACUUUAUAAAACAAUUUAAUUAUCUCACAUAAAUUAAAACAAAUUGCAAUGUAUAUUGUCCCUAUUAAAUAAAAAGGUCCAAAUCAAAGAAAUUGUAACGUGUGACAAUUUCUAUCGCUAAACAAUAAAAAUUCAUCAAUCUAAUAUAACAAUGAGUUAUUAAAAAAUUAGUGAUGGUCUAUAUUGUCUAUGCAACAAAGACAACAACAUAUUCACUAUUUAUUUAUUUUUCAAAUUUGAAAUUCAAAUUCAUAAAAUGGACAUGAAUCCAGAAUAUGCUCCAAUUAUUGUAACACUAGAAAGUGUUUAUUAAUUUUUUUUAAUAAAAACAUUAUCUGAUUGAUUUUGAAUUUAAAAUUUUGAAUUUCAAGAAAUAAAUACAAAAGGGACAUGACUUUAUAAUCUAUUCACUUCUUUUCAGAGUUACAAAGUCAAAUUUAGUAGUUACACAAUUAAUUAAAAUUGUUUCAUUUUUGAAAACUCAAAUUCAGGUGGUGGUAGGGCCAAAUUAGAGAAUCACUCACUAUGAACCAAUUACGUGGUGGCGGAAUGAUUGUGAUUUUUAUACUUUUAAUUAAUAAAAAUUUUGAAUUCGAGCAACUCAAGAAUGAAAAAAAUAUUGAGAGUAUCGUAAUUAGAAAUAGUCAUGCAUUCAGACCAGUCAAGCUCUAAUUCGAAUAUUAAAGACAAAGAAAAAAACAUGUGAACAAAUGAGUAUUAAUGCAAUGAAUCGCAAUGAAAUAUUUGAUUGACAUAGAAAUGUUUGUUUGUUUGUUUGUACAAUUAACAACUAUUUAAUCAACUAACUCUUGAGAAAUAAUAAAUAAAUCCUUGUUGUUCAUCAAAGUCAAAAAUUUUAAAUGGUGACAAAUUAUUAUUACUGUUUUAAGGUUGAUUUUAUCAAAUGUUUUUACUCAAAUUAUUUGCAUUAAAUUUCUUGUAUUCCAGAUUAUGGGAGUGAAAAUGACUUGUUGAUUUAAUUACCAUCAAUUUAGGCAAAUUUAAUUAGUUUGAAAUUGGAAGUGUCAAUGUGAUGCUUGUGAUCUUUCACUUCAUCUUAUCUAAAUAAUAAACGGUGGUCAGUACUGCAGUAUAUAUCUGUUGAAGAAGAAGAAAACUGACGAUAGGAACAGGUUUAAUGCAGUUGACUGACUUGUCUACAUAGGUAGUCUAAUCUUAGUAUUCUUCAGUGGUGUUGUAACUCGCCAGUCAGCUUCGUUGGACCUGUUUCUUCGACAUGUUCCAAUCCUCAGCUUCCUUCUUCAUCAAUAUUUGUUGUAGACAAGUCAGUCAACUGCGUUGGUCUUAUUCCUUUGACAUGUUCCAAUUAUGAGUUUCCUUCUUCUUCAACGGUAUCUUUCAUUUUUAAUCAAGAAUCUCAUAUUUCAAAAUUUUAAAAUAAAGUGUCUCAUGUAAAAGACGUUUUACUCCUAAAAAGUGAGAUUUCCCAACACAACUAAUUCAGAACUCGACUAAUUAAAUUCAGAUUCACUUAAAAAAAAUUAUUCUAAGGAUAAAACACUUCCUAUAGAGAUCAACUUUAUUCUCAAAACUCAAAUUCAUUCUCUAUCAAAAUUAAUUUUAUUUUCAAAACUCGAACUCGAGACCGAAUAUUCACCACCCCAUUAGAAUCUUUUGGAGAAAAUGUAGCAUGUGGCCAACCAUAUAUCCUGUCUUAUUAACACCUUUUUUUGCAAAAGUUUGUAAGAUGAUUUUAAAAUGGAGUUUUCAAUUGCCCCUCCAAGAAAAGGAAAACUUUGUACUUUUUAUAAAAAAAAAAUAUAUUAUAAUAUAUGGUUUUAUAAAUCAACAUAUAUAAUCACAAGAGUUUUGGCAGUUACAUAAAUAAUAAAUUCAUGUCUUUGAAAUAUAUUAAAGAAAAGCACAUCAACUUUGCUAUCAUUUAAUUUUCAGAAAAUGUAUAUCUAGUAGUACAAUUUGAGGCUAAAAAAAAUUAAAAUUUGAAAUUUUUAAAGUAGGGUUUGGAUGUAUAUUUUACUCGAAAAGUAUUGAUUUUUAAUUAAUUAUAUUGAAAUAUUUAAACUUCGAGACCUUUUUUUGUGAAUGGCAGCCAAGUAUUUGGACUUCUUUGGCACCAAAUUUCAUACAUAUAACAAUUUCUAACAUUUUUAGAACCAUAUUAUAUAUAAUAAAUAUAGAUUUUCAUGUACAAAGAAAUCACAAAUAUUUCAAAAAAUGCUCCAGACAAUUUUUCAUAAUUAUUUAAUAUAUGGGAGUCAUUAAUCAAGAGCUUUCUGUUAUCAAUAUCAAUGUAUACAAAGUUUAUACAUAGUUCAUACAUACCAUUACAAUACACAUCUUAUAUAUAUACACAUUCCAAAACAUCAAAUAGGAGGACCAAAUUUGGAGGAAAAGCUUGAAAAUAAUAACAAAUCACCGUUCGGGAAGAAGGUCUGAAAUAUAUUCGAACUUUGAUCGAAAUUAUUAUUAUGAUACCAAAUUUUGGAAAAGAUUUUUUACCCUCUUGUACUAUUUAAUAGUGUAUUUUAAAGGUAUAUAUGUGCUCACGUAAACAUAAAAAUAUUGCAUAAUUAUAAACAGUAAUGUGUUCACGUGAGCACAUAUAUGCCUUUAAAAUAUACUAUUAAAUAAUUCAGAGAUAAAGUUCUCCAAAUUGUUCAUGCAUGUGACUUUUUUUUUUAUACUGACACAUUUUUAUUAGUUAAAUGUCAAUAACAUACUUAAAUUAUUGAUAGUGCGAAAAAUAUUUAACUUCUAAAAACACGUUUGCUGACUGAAAAAAAAUGUGUUUUGAUUUUUCUAAAGUGAAGUCAUUUGUUUCAAUUUAUAUUUUCAGUUGAGAUUGUUAAAUAUGUUAAUUAUGUGUUAUCACUUUUUGUCAUGGUGAAAUUGUUUUAAUUUCCACGUAACAAUCUAUGUGGAAACUUUUUUUAUUAGUAAAAAUUUAGGUGUAUUUUUCGUGCUCAGUGGCGGAGCCACCUUAUCAUUAGAAGGUUCUUAGAGAUUUGUUUUUCAAAUUUAUUAGUAAAAAUUUAGGUGUGUUUCUCAUAUUCAGUGGCGGAGCCACCUUAUCAUUAGAAGGUUUAUCGAAUUUUUUUCGGCGGAAAAUUAAAUUAAUUUUACAUGGUAAAAUAAUUUUUUAGGUAUAUAAAGUAGAUGUCGAACUCCAUUCGACUACUUCGUGUGUUCAUAUUUUUAGAUUUUCAACUCCCUUACUGAAGAUUAUAGCCCACUACUGCUCAUACUCCAAAUAGUUUAGGUUUGAAACUGAAAAAUUUAAGUGUGUUUUUUGGCAUUUCAUUAUAAAAAGGAAAAGAUUCAAAUAUAUAAUUGAACUUUGAAAAAAAAAAAGUUAUGUCAUGUGUUAAAAAGUUUGGUUCAUCUAUGUAAUUUCCGUUUGAGAAAAGACUCAUCCAUGCCAUUAUUUGUUAAUGAUAAUAAUUUUGAUUUUGCAAAACCAUUUUUUACACGUGAUCAAUUAUGAUUCGGCCAUGCCAUUAAUUAAAUUAUUUUUAAAGGAAUAAGGAUCAAAUAUGUCAUCAAAUUUUGAGAAAAGACUCAUUUAUGCCAUUAGUUAAAAGUUUGGUUCUUCUAUAUCAUUUUUGUUAACAAAUAUUGACAUGUAUGAGCCUUUUCUUAAACGAAAAUGGCAUACAUGAGCCAUUAUUUAAACGGAUAAUAUAAAUAUGAUUUUUCUCGAAGUUCAAUGACAUAUUUGAAUUUUUCCUCCUUUAAAAAAGGCAUAAUACAUACAUUGAACCCUAACUUGGCUUCAAAUAUUAACUUUGACCUCCAACUUUCGUAAUGCACAAACAGACACUUUAACUAUCCAAGUUUUAAAUAAAUAAACGCAUGAGUCCUACAUGACACAAUACACGUAGGACACCACAUAGGACAAAAAAUGACAUGUAGGACAUGUGUGUAUAUUUCUUCAACUUUAUACAAGUUUGAGUGUCUAUCUGUGUGCAUCCAAAAUUGAAGAGCAUAAAUAUGAUUUGAAACUAAGUUAAAAGACGUAUUUAUGUAUUAUGCCUUUUAGAAAAAUGUCUGAAGUUUGGCGUUGUUAAAGCCACAACUUUAGUAAAAAAACAAGUCUCAAAUUUGGCAUUGUCAAGGCCACAAACUUAGGUUUUUUUUUUCUAAUUAUGGGUAUUGACAAGGCCAUAACUUCGAUAAAAAUAUCUGAAGUCGAUCUUAACAAGUCAUUAUAUAUCUUAAGCCAAAAAAAUAUAUAUUUGAAGUUUCCAAAACACAAAAGUCUAACUUACAAUAGCAUAACAUUUACAAAAUUUACAUGCCCUAACUAAAGAACAUUGAUUAAGUUAUUACAAGUUAUUCUUUGUUUUCUCUAAUUAAUUAGUUUAUGACUAAUUAAUACAUCCCAUUGGAAACAAAUUUCUGCAAAAAUUGUAUCCAAAAUAAAAGUUGACAGCUGAUCAAAUCCAAGAUUGCUUGAUGCAAUAUUUGAUUCACAUCACACCAAUAAUAUAUAUAUAUAUAUAUAUAUAUAUAUAAUGAAUUCCACCUCUUCUUCUUUCACCACCUAAUACUGUCACACAAUAUAUUUUAAUGAGUUUAAUUAUAUACAUUAAUAGUAUAAAGUAAUUUUUACAUUAUGAAAACACCUAAAAAGUAACUAUAACUAUUCAUAGAAAAGUUGUGAUUAGUAACAUGACAAUAAGUCAGAUUAUCUGCUAUAACAUGCGAGGGCAAAUAUAAUUUCGGUAUAUUGAGUUUAUUUGAAUUCAAUAUUUUUGAUAUAGAGUAUAAAUUUAUACAUAAGAAUAUAUUAAAAAUUAUGAAAAAAGAGUCUGAAAAAUACUUUAAUUUUGGUAGAAAUUGUUGUUACGAUACCAAACUUUAUGGAGGACCUUUUACCCUCUGCACUAUUUAAUUGUGUAUUUUAAAGGUAUAUAUGUACACACGUGGACACAUUACUAUUUUAAAAAAUGUAAUAUUUAUGAUGUUCACGUAAACACAUAUAUAUCUUUAAAAUACACUAUUGAAUAGUACAAGGGAUAAAAGGUCAUUUCCAAGUUUGUUAUCGUAACAAAAAUUUCUAUCAAAAUUAAAAUAUUUUUCAGACUUUUUUUUCUAAAAUUAUAAUAAAUAAUAUAUAUGAACUCCAUAAAUUUUAAGAUAUGUUGGGUUGAAUAUUAUGUAUUAGGUAGGGCCCUCGGCCUUUUUUAUUAGGCAUAAUACAUAUAUUGGAUCAUAAACUUGAUUUCAAAUUUUAACUUUGACCUCCAACUUUCACAAUGCACAAACAGACACUUUAAUUAUCCAACUUUUAAAUAAAUAAACACAUGAGUCCUACAUGGCAAAAUACACUUAGGACACCACAUAGGACAAAAAAAUGACAUGUAGGACAUGUGUGUUUAUUUGUUCAACUUUAUACAAGUUUAAGAGUCUACUUAUGCACAUCCAAAGUUGAAGGGCACAAAUGUGAUUCGAAGCCAAAUUAAAGGGCAUAAUUAUGUAUUAUGCCUAUUUAUUAAUUCAAUCCAUUUUGAUCGUCCAAAGAAUUUGGUUGGCUUUAGCUAAAUAUGUAACCCUAAAUGACCUAUGGAGAAAUCUUUUUAGCUAAAUAUGUAACUAUAAUGGUACAUUUAUGCGUUAUGCCCAAAAAGAAUGACAUGUUUUUAUAUUUAGUGGUAAUAAUUUUAACUUUUAAAAUGACUAUUUUAUCCUUCGUAAGGCCUUUUAAACCUCACAAGUAUCUGUACUUUAUUUUAGAGCACAAGUUCCAAGAAAAACUUCUCUUUUUAAAUUUCGUGUCUAGACAAAUAGAUAGUUAUUUUUUUUUAAAAAAAACAUAGGGAUAAGGCACAAGGACCCCCAGACCAUGAUCGGAAAUCGAGCAACACUCCCCUCCCCCGAAUCCAUUCUUUUGUAAUUUUGUACGCCUUAUUGACUUACUUGGCAUCCAAAUAUCUCCCACACGCCUCAACUACGUGGAGUCACAUAGUGUCCCAUGUAAGCCAAAAGAGCAAUAGAACCUUAGUUUAGUUAAGAUAAGUCUCUGAAAUUUCGAUCAUAUUAAUCUAGGUAUACUUAUGCCUUAUUCCAAAAACACAAGAAGGGUUGUUAGAAGAGUACCUUGUUAUAUGUAGAGGAAGAACUUAUAGGAGCAUAUUGUAGAGCUUUAUAGGAACUCUUUAACUUAGUGCAUUUGACCAUCUGUACAAUAGAGAGGUGUGCACAUAUCAUAGGGACCAUUAGUAGUUGGUACAUGACAAUUUGAGGUGAAAAUUGUGGCAUUGUUGUCAUGAUGUGUUGAAGAUGUAACCAUAUUUGGAUGAUACAUUAUAUUAUUGAGUCCAACAUCUUCAUGACUAAUUGUAUCCUCUUCAAUAGUACCACAAGAAUUUGCUUUACUUGCCUCACCAAAUUCAUCAUUUCUUGCAAAUCUUCCCUUCACUCUUGGCCUACUAUCUGCUAGUGUUUUUCUGCAUGCAUACUGCGAUUUUUUGAAAUAGGGUUAAUUUCACGUAUAAUCACUGAAUUUCAUAAAGUUAUUCUUUUUGUCGCAAUUAAAAUUUCAUAAUGCUAAAUUGAGGUCAAUAUAUAUAGAGGAUUGUCCUUUUGUUGUAUUGUCUCGAAGAGACAAAAACACUUAUAUGAAUAAUGCUAAUUCUCAUGUUGUUUCUAGAUUCAUUUCGUCGAGAGUCUUCCUCUCUCCGCCCCUUACUCAUUUUUUGAAAAACACCGUCCUAAAUUUUCUUUUUGUAUAUCAAGGAAAGUACCUCGCUCUCAUCUUUUUGCAUUUUUUAAAAUUAUUAUUAUAGAAUUUUCUCGAAUCUCUAUAAAAACAAAAUAAAAACCUCCGGUGAAAGAACAAAUAAUAGGAGAGAGGAAAAGUAUGGGAAAAAAAGGAAAGAAGUCUAGUGCUAGAAGUGCAUCGCCACACAGAAUGUCUUCGUUAAAAAUUUAUAUUGUAAACAUAAAAAAAAAAUUAUACCACAUAUCAAAUAUUGAAUUUCUGUCUUCGCCAUUGCUACAAAAAAUUUUAGGAGGAGGAUGAGAUGGAAUAAAAGUUAAAAUAGUAGGAAGAUGUAGACCUUAAUUUUUUUGCUGAAAUUUCUCUCAUUUCUUUUCUUCAUGUAUCUAUGAAUUUUCUCCCUCCUUUCUUCAACUGAACACCUACCAGAUUUGAAGUUAGGAUCUUCAAAACUUGUGAUUUCUGUGGCCAAAGUGUUAGAACAACCACCACCACUAACCAAAUGUUGACUCUCAUUGCUCAAUGCCUACAUAAACAUAUCAAAAAGAAAAUCGCUUUACAUAUCAGUAUCAGAGUCAGGAUGUUCAUUCAGAUAAUUCAAAAUAUAUAAAAAAACAAAGAGGUUCAACAUAUAGUAUUCAUUAAGAUAAAUUUGACCUUUUUAUACAGUGUAAUUUUCCUGCAAAGGAGUAGCUCAGACAUAACGAUAAUCACAUUAGACAUAAGGUGGUUUAUUGCCUCGAUCAGGGAGAAAAAACUUUUUUUUGUUAUCGAAAAAUCCCUCUCCGAUUUAUUUAACUUAAUGAUAAUUACAUCAAACAUAAGGUUGUCUAUUGCCUCGAUAUGGGAGAAAAACUUUUUUUUGUUUUUGGAAAUGGUACUUACAUCGAACAUAAGGUGGUCUAUUACCUUGAUUUGGGAGAAAAACUUUUUUUUUGUUGUCGGAAAAUCCCUCUUCGAUUUAUUUUAACUUUACUCUUAGGCAAGAACUUACUCAUUUCCUUUUUACACCUUGCCUAGUCCGACAUGGGGUUCAUCUGAAGACACUUAUUUUUUACGCAUAUACAGUAGAUUGAUGAAUUCUUCGUGUGCAUACACAUGAAAAGAAAUAAAUACCUGAAUAUCAUUGUUAUAGAUUCUUGACAAGGAAUCAUGGCAAAAAAUUCUACCAUUUUCUCCUUGAUAAUCCAUUUCUUGAUUUGGCAGUUGAGAUCCAAAGAACAAUGCAUGACUAUUAGCAGCUGCAUCAAAUAUUGUGUUGUUGAUAUUUCCUUGAAGAUAAUUCACCAUAUUAUGAUCAAGAAAUGCGCAUGAAGGAGUACUCGUCACUCCUCGUAUGUAAGGAGGGAGAGAUGUCAACGAUUCAUCUUCGUAUAAUGAAGGCCCCAUAAGAUGAUGAUGAGACAGGGGAAUAACAGAGCAAUUUACGUCGAAUGGCUCCUCUUGUUGUUGUAAAAAAUGAUGAUCAGGAACAGUGAAAUUCGCGGAUGGGGUAAAGUCUAUUGAUGCUGAAAUAUCGUUAUCAAUCUCAUCCUGUGUGUCAAAUAUCAUCGACCUAUUAUUGUUAACAUUACUCAUAGCUGUUUUUGUGAUCGUUUCAUCAUUUUUCUCGAUUCUAUUUAGAUCGAAAUUUGUUGUAGUGCUAGUACUAUAAGAAGAAUUAUUUGAGGUAGAAGCAACAUCUGAAUUUUGUAUUUCUGAAAAAAGUUCAGAUUCACAAAAAUUCAAAAUUUGAUCAUUUAUUGGGCUUGGCAUCUCUUCCUACAAAAACAAAAACAAAAAAGCCAUAGUCAAAAUAUAUCACUUGUUAUUAAUAGCAUCUUUAUACUACUUUUUUCAUAGAAUAGAAUCAUGUCGUUACGUAUGUUAUCUAAAAACCAUCUCUUUUCAUGCACGAGACUCGACAGAUGCCUAACACUUUAAUGCAUGUAUAUUAUCUCUAUUUCUUUAUGUAAUCUGCACGAGACUCGACAGAUGUGUAACACUUGAAUGUAUAUUAUCUAAACCUAUGCUCUCUUUCUUUAUGUAAUUUGCAUGAGACUCGAGAGACACCUAAUACUUUACAGUAUGUUCACUUAAAAACUCUUUGUGGCAUCUAAAAUUGUACACAAAAAAAAAUAAAAAGGACAUGAAUUCUGAGGAUUAUGUUAGUGAAAAAGAAUCCUUUUGUAGCACUAAAAGGCUAUGUUGAUAAGCAUGAGACUUUUGUCUAUAGUUUUUAAGUUUCAUAAAAGUCAUUUUACAAGAACCUUAGACUAAAAAAACAAGAAUCAUUUUUCACAUGGAGAACUUGAGUAAUAAGCUUGAAAAGCAAAAUAUUCUUUGAUUAAAUGCAACCUAAGAAAAUGAAAGGAAUAAUAAUAUGAUCUAAUUCAAGGUCUUGAAAGAAAAAAAAAUCUAAGAGGAAUAAAAAAAUAAUUCAAUUCUCAAAACUCCAUUUCUAGUAAAAACUUGAAUCUUAUCUAUAUAAAUCUGUAAUAAUAAUAAUAAUUAAAUAAGAAUUCAACAUAACUUGUACAUUAAAAAGUUGAUGAUGUUCUUGAGGAUGAAGCAUCAUGUCUUGCAUCAUUGUUGUUUCUUGAUUUAAUUUUUCAAAAUCUUGAAAAUUUAUAUCAUGCAUAAUAUCAAAGGAGAAAAUUUUAUUAAAAAAAAAAGUGAUUAAAUUGAUUUCACUUUUUUUGUUACCUUAAUGAAACUCAUGUUUGUAACCAAUGGUAGAGAGAAAUCCAUGCAAGUAAAAUAGGAUUAUUUUUUGGAUUGAAAAAAACAAAGAUAAGAUAUAUAUGAGAUUAUUUUGAAAAUUUGGGAUUAUUAUAAUAUGAAGAUGGGGUGGGUUGGGGGUGGGUGGGUGGGUGGUGUUGGUCUAAGUGGAAAUACAAAGGUAUACAUUUUAGUUAUAUGGAUUGACCAUAUAUACAUUGAAAGUGAAACCUAGGUUGUUGGUGGGCCAGUCAAUUUGUGGGAUAUCUCAUGAAAUUUUGACACGUGGAGGGAGCAUUUCUAUUUUAAGAGUUAAUUACUUAGAUAUAUUCUAGUUUGAAGUAUUACGACUUCUAUAAGAUUUUGAUACAUCUAAAUAUGUUUAGAAUGUUCAAAUAUAUGUAUAACGGGAUACAUGAGGUCAAAAAUAGGUGCAGUUUGUUCUAGAUACAUUGUAUCCAAAUGAUUCAUAUAUUUAAAAUAUAUAAUAAAUAUCAUUCGCUUCUUUUCUAUCUUACUCGCCCCUCUCCAAUGUAUAUGAUAUUUCAUAUACAUACUAAUCAGUCACAUGUAUGAGAUAUAUAACAAAUUUAGUUUGUAUCCAUUGCCAUCUCGAUUGCCUUUCUCCCUUUGUUAGUGCAUAUGAUAGCAAAAAUACAUAUAUUUAGGUGUAUCUUCUUCAAAAUAUGAUAGAAAACUCUUAAUUAAUGGUAAAAUACAUAAUAUUUUAAAAAUAUAAAUAAUAAUAGUAGUAUAUAUAAUAAUGGAAUAUGAUUAAUUACGUAGUUUCUCCUUUAAAAAUUAACGCCCUUACGAUAGUGAUGAGGUAUAUCACAUAUACUAUUGAAUUCUCGUAUUUAUUGUUUAGCCUAAAAAUGAAGACAUAAUAUAUUAAAACAAAUUGUAUAAACAUAUAUUUAAGUUUAUCUCAGCUGAGAAGUAAACAAUAUUUCAAUUUGAGGUAUGCACAUUUAGACACUUCAAGUUCGUCUUUAGUGUGUUAGCUUGAACACUUCAACUUACAAAAAGUCAUAAGCUGAAUACAAUUUGUUACAUCAACAUCUAGUGUUCAUGAGACACAAUAACGAUGAGUUAAUAUAUUUCAUUGUUAGCGAUGAUCAAGUUAAAAGUGUUUAAAUAAAGCUUGGUGCCGAGAGUAGGUUUCGAGAACCCUCACACGAAUUGAAUGACUUCACUGGGUGCAUGGAGACCACUGGGCCACCCGCCUCAUUAUGGUAGAGGAUUCACAAUAAAUUUAUUUGUACGUAUUAUUUGAUAUUUUAAUACGUACGUAGGAUUUACGAAAAAGUCAAUGGAUUUGUCCAAACACCCUUCAGCUUACCAUAGCUCCACCCCUGAAUUAAGGUACUUGAAAGUAUAUACAACGCAACAUAUUUAUUAGAUAGAUAUAAACAUCGAAUAUGAAUAAACUUUUACCAUGAGACAUUACCGUAAAGUUUCUUCAUAAAUGCCAUAUGUUCAAUGAAUAUCAAAUGCCUUUCUUUUUGGAACUCCUCAAAAAUUGGGUGGCUGUUAUUUUUUGAGUGCACAUUAAAUAAAUUCGUUUUUGUGCGAUAACUCAUAUUUCGUGAUUCUAAAAGUCUAGCAAAUACUUUGGAAUAAAAUACCUAGUCCUAACUAGGUGGCUUUGCAUAAAAAAUCACCUUUAUAUGUAGUACAAAAUGGCAGACAAAACACCCCCAAGUUAUAAGAACCAAGAAAAUCAUGUGUUAUGAGGUACUAUCAAAGGUUAUUUUAAUUUGAGUCUUUACCAAAUCAAAAUAACGCGUGGAUUCAAAAUUUAAAUAUUCUAGAGGUCGAAGAAGGAAGGAAUUUCAUCAUAACCUAUUUGAUUUUCUAUAUUUGAAAUCUAUUUUCUGUACUUGAUGAACUCUUUUAAUACUUAUACAUAAUUUGAGCCAAAACUGUCGAAUUUGAUUGAACUCAUAAUUUGUACACUAGAUCCGCGUGCCAUGCAAACAAGUCUAGAUAGUCGUUUAAAAUUACAUCAAGGGUACGACAUAGUGAGUAUCAUUUUAGAUUGGAAACCAUGAAGUCCGAGGUUUCAAACUUUAAAUAUCAGCGAUGACAAAAUUACUGUAUGAUCUCUUUCCAUUUGCCUAAUUAAGUAUUGGUGGACAUAGUUGCUCAACACUUAUGACAGUAAGAUAUGUAACAAAUAUUCUGUAAAAUUAGUCUAAAUGCGUGAAAUCUGCGUGAAAAUACACCAUACUUGUUUAGUCUAGGUUCACACACACAUUGUCCUCAUCGGCUUCUAUUUACAUGCACUUCAUGAUAUUACCAAAAAUAGCAAAUACACCUUUCUAGAGACAUUUGCUUUUAACUAAUUAUAGAAAUAUUCUAGCUCUUCCAAUACUAGUUCUUGAAUGAAGAAUAUAUAUGUGAGCAAUAUAUAAAAGUGAUACAAUAAGAAUCAAGACUAAGGUUGUACAUGUUUGUUCUUUUAAUUAGCAUUAUUGAGCUAUAUAUAUAUAUAUAUAUAUAUAUAUAUAUAUAUAUAUAUAUAUAUAUAUUCUAUGGCAUUGAUGAGAUGGUUGUAAAUUGUAAGCAAGGUUAAUUUGUAUGUGUUGUUUAUGUCAAAGACUUUUAAUUCAUACAUGGCUGCAUCAAAUGCCAACAAUUGUGGAGAUUGGCAUCUUUGGGACUAACAAGACACUAAUUUCUAAGAUGAAAUGACAUUUUGAUUCAUUAUUUAUCAAGGUUUCUUGUUAUUUUUUGCAUAGGAAAGCCUAGAUACUAGCUAGGCACUUCUAUAAAGAUUUUAUCUUAUGUCUGGUUAAUUAAACUGGUCUGAAGAUAAUCUUAAUAUGGUGAGAUAUUUUAUUUUAUUGUUUUAGUCAAGUCUGUAUGAAGAAGAGUUUGAUAGAGGAGAUUAGAUAUGACAUGAUUCACUUGUAUCUAAUCGAGGCAUGACUCGAGAUAAGAAGUUACAUAUAUUGAGGAUUCGGAUAGAAGUGUAGUAUGUAGCCAUGUUGCAUCGAGUUUCUCUUUUUUGUAUUGUCAUUAGUACUCUCGUAUUAUCUUAUUCGCCGAUUUUCGCAUUACCAUUUUUUCUUCUUCAGACCUUGAUGGAGAUAGGAGGUUGUGAAGAUUGAGGAUUAGGAUAAAAGGAUAAUACGUACUUGUGUCGCAUCUCAUUUUCCUUUUCUCUAUUAUUAUUAAUAUUUUAUUAUUAUCUUUAUAACCUUCGAUUUUAAUAUUACCUGUUGUUUUCUUUUCUUCGAUUAUCAUAAUAUUUGCCUUUUGGUACUGUUCUUUUCUCAAGGUAGUUUCUACUUGAAAAUUUGUAUCAAUUGUAUCUCUCUCCAUCUUGAUUUGAUAUGGUUUAUUCGGGCCACUUUUCUAUUUGAAACAAUCUCUGUAUCUUCGUAAAAACAAGAUCUCCGAACUACAUGUAAGGAGAUAAGUUGACAAGUAGAGAUAGUAGUUUGUUUGUUUCAAGUUAUCGUUAUGUUAUUUUCAUACUCAUUUUGUAAAUUAUUAAUUUUUGUCCGGUCACAUUAUUACGAAGAAUAUUUAUCCUAACACCUUAUAUAUAUAUAUUUUUGAAUAGUAAAAGUUUAUUGUAUCGAACAAAUCUAUUUUUACUUGGGUUCAGAAUUCAAUAUUGGUCCUUUGCUUUUUCGAAGAGUGUAGAUUCAAAUACAAUACUCAAAAUAUAAUAUCUUAUGCUAAUUAAUUUGUCUCAAUAUGAUAUAGAGAUAGGUAAACUUUUUUUUUUUUAAUAAAAAAACUAUUAAAUUCGCUAGAUACCAUUUUUAUUUGGGCAAAUGACAUAAAUAACAUACUUUUAGGGCUAAACGAACAUUUGUCCCUUAUAAGUUUCUAAUGAUCAAAAUUCCUCAAAAAAAAAACAAAAAUACGGAUACAUAAUAGGGCUGUACAAUAAAAAAGUUGGCGGAUACAUUAUAUAUUUUUGUCACAUUUUUGAAUCCGCCUCAUUUUUUAUCACAUUUUGAUAUCCGCCUCAUUUUUUUAUCACAUUUUUGUGUCCACCUCAUUUUUUAUCACAUUUUUCUAUCCGCGUCAUUUUUACAUUUUUGUAUCCGCCUCAUUUUUUGUUACAUUUUUGUAUCUGUCUCAUUUUUUGUUACAUUUUUGUAUCCGCUUCAUUUGAUUUAAAAAUGAGAAAUUUUAGAUAUUUUUAAAACUAAUAGGGGAUAAAGGUAAUAAGUGAAGUUAAGGGAGGGAUUUUUGUUAUUUUUCCUUUUUAUUUUUAUUUUUAAAAUUCUUUUAUGUAGAAAUAUUAAUGUACAUGAUACUUAGCCAAAUUAAUAUAGACAAAAGAACCUUUUCUUUUUCCCACUGUUGUAGCCUGUAGGGAUGAAAUUUGGCUGAACAAAAUAUAAUGCAUGCCUCUCACAUCUUAAAAAUUAAUAAAAUGCUAAUUAAGCUAUUGAUUCUAUUUAGUUUUAGAAUUAGAAUAUUAGUACAUUUUUAUAUCUUUGUUCCCUAUGCCCCCCUUAUAUUGUAAAAGAAAUAAAAAAAGGCCUCAAAUGGACUUAACGAAUUGAAUCAAAGAUGACCUUAGACACAUACAAAGCCUUACAUAUUGUUUGAUGUAUCAUUGACAAUGAUACACAAUUAAGUGAUCAGAGUUAUAGUGGAGUAGUUGAGGUCCUUUUCUUUUCAUUCAUCGAACUUUCAGUAAUAAAAGAAAUUAUGUUAAAAGCAUUAUCAAAGCCUUAUAUAUUGUCUGAUGUAUCAUUGAUCAAUAGGUAAACAAUUAAAUGAUUAAAGUUAUGGUGGAAUAGUUGAGAUCCCUCCCUUCUUAAUCAUCGAGCUUUAGUAAUGAAAGAAAUUAUGUUAAAAGCAUUAUGAAAUCUUAGUUAUUGUCUAAUGUAUCAUUGAUCAACGAGAGACAAUCAAACCAUUAGAGUUAUGGUGGAAUAGUUGAGAUUCCUCCCUCCUUAAUCAUCAAAAUUUGUAAUAACGAAAAAAAUUUCGUUAAAAGCACCGCCUAUAGAAAUGAGCAAUACAAUACAUAUAUUUGAAAUUAGUUAGACCCUAAUACGAGUACUGAAAAAUCACGUAUGAAACCCAAAAGAAAUGAUUUUGACUACUUAAUUUGUCAUUAAUUUUAGAUACUAAGGUCUAUAAUUCAUUAAAAAAUAAUAAUACAUUCGAUUUUGUAAGUAUAUUAGUAUAUAUAACUGCAAUAUUUAAAAUAAAAUGAUUAACCUUAUUUGAACGUUUGAAGUAAUUUCUAAAAUGGCUAAACUUACGUAACCGACUACCGAGACUUGUAAAGAGGUAUAUUCGGGUCUUUUUGGGUCGGGUCGGAUCCUACCAUAUCCCAUUCUUAUCAUCUGAAACCCUCAAAAGUUAAAAAAAAAAAAAAUUCUUCAUUCAUCUCCCUCGCUCUCACUCUGCAUCAGCUCCUUUUGUGCUGCUUAAACCCUAGCUCUACCUCUUUGCCUUUCUCUCUCUUUCAACAAUGAACUGUUCAAGUAAGCUUCACUUUCUCUCUCUAUAUCGCUAUUUACUUUUUUUUUCUCUAUGCACAUUUUUCGUAAUAUAGAUCUUUUUUUUUGCGUCUCUGAUCUGUAGUUUUCACUGUUUUUUUUCUCAUUGCAGUUUCCGGCGAGGUGCCGGAGGAUCCAGUAGUUUCGAAGAAGUCCGGACUCCUUUUCGAGAAGCGUUUAAUUGAAAGACAUAUCUCUGUGAGUCUUUAUCUCAUUUUGUACUAAUUUUGUUAUUUACCUUCGUUUGUUAGUUUACUUAUCUAUGUUUGCUGUGUUAUUUCCAAUCCGUGUUUGUUAUAGAGAGAUAUCUGUAAUUUGUGUUGAAUUGAGUAAUAGCUUGAAAAUUAUCUGCAUUUCCAGAAUUUUAAACUCAUUUUUGGUGUGUGCAGUGUGUGUUCUUUUAGCAGUAGGGUUUUUUAUUUGAUCUGUGUGGUCGAUAUUGUGGUUAAGUUUGAAGAGAAAUGGAUUUAUGCCCGAGGUUGUUUCACGCGAGAUGUAGGAAGGAGAAAUUUGGAAUAAGUAUGGUGUUAAGGCGAACUGUGCAAGCUAGUUAGGGUUGGGUUAUAUUGAUCCUCUACAUUGAUUUUUUUAAUUUGUAUGCGUUUCACUAAAAAAAUUAGUUGUUUGUCUUUUGUAUAUUUAAGCCAGUGUAAAUUUUGAGUUGCUGGUCUCUAUCUUCCCUGUCUACACUCCUCACCUAAUGGGUUCAUAAUAGCUAAUAGAAACUUAAGUAGUGUCAACUGUCAACUCAGGCUUUUGUGAAAAGUGUAAAGGUUGAGCAGAAAGAACAGUAUUUAUGCAGCUUGAUUGUAGGAGAAUUUUUCAACUUGUCCGGUGGGAGUAUUACCGUCAUUUUUUGGUUAAGUGGUAUUUUUGACCUUUAACUGAAGACAGCAACAUGUUCUCAAGUGUAUGUGUGUUUCUUAAUCGGUUUGUUCUUUUGGUUGGUUCAGGAUUAUGGCAAAUGUCCUAUUACUGGAGAGCCAUUGACGGCAGAUGACAUCAUCCCUGUUAAAACUGGCAAGGUAGUACUGUCUGAAACUUAAAAUGUAAUUUGCUUCUAAUUUUCCCCGUAUUAGCUUUACGGUAUGAUCUCACAUGGGUUUACAACGUGAAGCUUACAAUUAUUGGUGCUUAUUGCAGAUAGUUAAACCCCGACCUGUACAGGCUGCUAGCAUUCCUGGGAUGUUGGGAAUGUUCCAAAUAGUACGUGUUUUUGAUCCUUGAUUUUCUGCUUCCCAUUUCUAAGGUUUGCUUAGUUCUUGAAGAUUCCAAAUAAAGCCUUAUUACAUAUAAUGAACCAAAUUCAGCAGCAUGAUUUUCUAGUUCAUUGUUGAUCUCUUAUUCUUUAGUCUAACUGGUUGUUUAUCAAAUAGCAUUUUCAUCACUUAAUUCUUUACGUGGUGCGACUGCUAAACGAAUUACCAUUUAUCUUGGAGCAUUUGUUACAUUGAUGCUUCGUCUUAAAUUCUUUUUCUCAUAGGAAUGGGAUGGUCUGAUGCUGUCAAAUUUUGCAUUGGAACAACAAUUGCAUACUGCAAGGCAAGAGCUGAGCCAUGCUUUAUAUCAGGUGAAGGAAGUAGCCUACUACAUACUAUUAAGCAUCUGGAAAACUUUAUUCUGGGGAGUUUGUCCUAGAAAUCAUAUUUGAUAACGUAGAUGCAAUGAUUAGUUUUAUGAAAAAUUGAGUGCUUGCUUAGACAGUAUGGCCAUUAGGGAAGCCUCAUAUACUAUAGAUGGAAGAAGAGAGAGGAAGUACAAGUUAUAAAAUUCUGAAACUAGGUGGUGCAAAGUUAGAAGUUCUCUGCUUGUGCUAUUUUUCCAUUGUAAUGUCAUUUUUUGUUUCAAGUUUCCUGUUUUGUUUAACGAGAAUCUUUUAUUUCUAUGGUUAAACCCAACAUCCUCUAUUCCCUUCGUAGGAUCUCAACAGUGGAUUUUUUCCGCGCUGGCUCCUUUUGUGACUCCAACUCCAACUUUAUAUUGGGGAUUGGGAGAUCCAUAUUCCUUGCUACCAAGCUCUCUCUCUUUUUUCCUAAUGGAAGAAAAUAUUUAAGCAUAGGAAAGAGGCAAGUAUUGUCCUAUAUUGCCUGUAAAGCGACAGGAACUUUUUCUUAUGACAUGAGUUCUCCUGUAAAGAAUAACACAAUCAAGACUAGUAAGAUUGGUUACACAUACUGGUGUCUGUAAGUGUCAAAAUUGUAGGAAUAAGCAUCCUAAUAUUUGGAAUUGGUGCUUAUUGAGCCAAUAAUCAGGUUCUAGAUUCACUGUACAUUUUGUGUUUGCCAUCUCUUCUAUUUUUUGUCCUGUCUUUCUAUUCCAGAGUUUCUCUUAUCAAUUUCCAAAGUUGACGUCUGGACAAUUUUCUCCCUGUUCUCUCAUUGUUCAUUCAUCUGGUAGCUGCUUGUCCAUAUUACAUUGUUCUGCGUGCUUCAUAUACUACAUGCCUUGCUAAUUUCAUGUCUUAUCUUGGCAGCAUGAUGCUGCUUGCAGGGUAAUUGCAAGGCUGAAAAAGGAAAGGGAUGAGGCAAGGGGGUUACUUGCCCAGGCUGAAAGACAAAUACCCAUGGCAGCCACUACAGCAGUUGGCACUACUGCUGUAAGCAACGGGAAAAGAGGUAAUUCUUUUUUACGCAUUUAUAUGUACCUUGUACCAUCUUCUUUAUCCCAACCUUAAUUAUUCAUGUUAUCAACUUAUAUCGAUAGUUGCCGAGGAUGAGGAUGUGGGCCCUGAUGGAAAGAAAAUUCGCCCUGGGAUAUCACACUCUGUCAUUGAGACUCUUACUGAAUGUAAUGCUGGUCUUUCACAACAAAGGAAAAAACGACAGGUAAACUCUACUACACAUGUUUGGAGGACUUUAUAAGUAGUAAUUUCCCUCAAUUCUCUUCUGAUAUUGCAUCACUCCUUUCUUUAGACUAAUGUAAGUUGGUGUUAUAUGAGCACUUCUCUUGCUGCCGCUCCUCCCAGCUAGAUGAAAAUUGAUUAUUUUUCACUUUCUUUUACCUCCUAGAUACCCGCAACAUUGGCCCCUGUGGAUGCUGUGGCGAGAUAUACCCAACUGAAUAGUUUUCCCCUUCACAAAACCAACAAGCCGGGCAUUUUGUCUCUGGAUAUUCACUAUGCUAAGGUAAGUUCUUUCUUUUGUUUUCCCUGUGAUUUGUUUUUCAUUAUUUUUCACAAGGCAGAUGCAGCCAAAAUAUUUUUCCUGGACUUGACCAUGUGUACUCAUCCAAUGUGGUUGUAUGAAUCUGGCACCCGUACUUGCACUUUUCAUGCCAACUAUUAGUAUGAUUUGAAGAAGUCGCAUGAAAUACUGAUGUGCAUGUCAUACCCAUUUGACAUCUAUGUUGACUCAAAUGGAAGAUCCACUUAACAUUGACUAAAAUAUAUUCCUGUUAGCUAAUAGAGUCAUUUGUUUUGAAACUUCUGCUUUUAGUAUAGCUGCAUAACUUUACUAGCUAUUGCAUUAAUGGCCUUGCCUCUGAAAGUUGUCUUUAUACUAUAGCUACAUAAAUAUUGAUUGCUUAUCUAGAUACAUGUGAUAUAUUGUCUUAAGGCUCGAGUGGUUCUACAGAAGUAUGUUCCUAUUUCUAUCUACUCGAAAUAGGAGCUCGCAAGUUAGAUUUAGAGCCUGCUCAUCCAUCUGCAUUAUCACAUUAGUGCAAAACAACUGAAUAAUUUUGUGUUAUUAAAAGAUUCUCUUUAUACGAUGGAACUUUUUGAUUAAUGAGAAAGUCAAUUGUUGUGGAUAUUUAAUGAUCAGCAUGUCUAGUUCUAAUUUAUGUUUUGCCAGGACAUAAUUGCUACUGGUGGAGUCGAUUCAAACGCUGUGGUCUUUGAUCGACCUUCAGGACAGAUCAUAUCAACACUAAGUGGUCAUUCAAAGAGGGUCUGUCAUCUUAUUGCUACUUACUUUUUUUACUGUCACUUGAUGAUUUAUUAGCUAUGUUUCGUUAGCAGAAUUUCUGUCUCAAUAUUUAUUUAUUUUUUUAAAAAAAUCUGUCUCAGUAUAUUCUGCCUUUAUAGGUUACCAGUGUUAAAUUUGCGGCUGAGGGUGAACUAGUGGUCUCUGGUUCAGCAGAUAAGGUGCACAUAAUUGUUUCUCUUUAAUGCGAGUUGACCAUACACUGCUCAUUUCAUAAUCAAAAGUAGCCUUCAUCUUCUUGUCUUGUUAAACCUUAUACUUUCUUUAGUAUGUUAUCCCCUUCUAUGGCAGGGUAUGUGCUCUACUUUUUUGGAAUUACUGGAAAGAGUUUACUUGUAAAGAAUAUCUAAUCACGAACCAGUGAUGUUAGAUGUCUCAGUAUGGAGUUUCUUUAAAAUUUUGCUGCCAAAUUUACUUUUUGCUAUGCUUCCAAGAAUAGAGUUAAUAAAAAAAAAGGAAAAUGAUUAUUUUGAUUCAAAAUUUGUGUUUUUGAUGAUUGCUUUGCCUCUUCAGUUCUAGACUUUCUAGGAUCAGAUUUAGUUAGAAGUAGGAUUUGGAAGUUCUUAAUAUAACAGCAACUUUAGAUUCAAAGGUUAUUGUCAUUUCAGAUGAUUUUGGCUCCUCCUCUAAGUAGUAUAAGUAUAAACUGUAACAUGCUGUUGCUUAAUGCACAGUUGCUUUCUUCCUUUGAUAUUUUACUAAACUGUGUAGCUGAUUUUUGCAGACAGUUCGUGUGUGGCAAAGUUCCGAAAAUGGAAAUUAUGACUGUAGGCAUGUCUUGAAGGAUCAUACUGCAGAGGUAAUUUCACAUUUACAACUUGAUCGAUACUGGAAGAACUGAUUUUGAAAUACCAUUUAUUAUUGAGGGAGACAAUGCUGGUAAUUGUCCUGCUUGAUUGCACAAAACUUGAUAUUCAUUCUAUAAAACAAGCUAAUGAGUUUUCUGGUCUUGAUCAUCAAUCUUAGUGCCCCAUUCACCAGUCCACUUUUUUGGAUAUUUCCUUUUUAGGCUUAGAUAUGGGAAUGAUAAAAUAGAUCAUUAAGAAGUGAAGGAUGGAGAUGGGACUAAUUUUUUUCUUCUUUUGAUUAGGUAGAUGAAAAUGAUCUAUUUGGGACUUGUGCUUCGUUGUACUAAAAAAAUGUAUUUUUCAAUAUCUACCUAUGUAGUAAAAGAGUAGAUCCAUAGUACAAAAAAUUUUGCUCUGAAAUUGGUAGAUCUUCUUAUUUUUCUGACAAUAGUAAGGUUGACUUGGGAAUAUAUCUUCUGUUGUAUGAACUAUCAAAUAGAAAUAAUGUGUUUCUUGUGUCCUUGGAGUUGUCUUUACUUCAUGUUAGAUUUAGUUCUUUUGUCCCCUAGACUAAUUUCAUGGUGAGAUUCCACUUCUUGAAUCAAUUACCUGCAUGCUUUGAAAAUUUUCUCCACAUUCUGCUUGAAGGAAAAUAAAACAAAGGGAAAAACAUUUUGCAGGAGGUAAGGGGCUUGUAGAAAUCAAUGUUAUGUCGUCCUUGCCUUCAAAUAUUAGCUUUGCAGACCCUUGAAAUUGCCUUCACCCUUGAUAUUUUGACAUUACUUCAUUUUUAGGUUGUCGCUUUCAACUGAUUAUAGUUCAUUUUCAAACCUUUUAAUCAGUAAUUUAACAUAUUGCAGGUGCAAGCUGUCACUGUCCAUGCAACCAAUAAUUAUUUUGUUACUGCUUCUCUUGAUAGCACGUGGUGCUUUUAUGAUCUUGCUUCUGGUUUAUGCCUUACACAGGUUGCUUUUCCCUUUCGGCUCUCAUUCUCAAAAAACAAUGUAUAGAUGGUUGGAAUCAUCGAUCAACUUUUAUAAACUAAUUGACUUGUUAAAAAAUAUUCAUAUUGUAAUUCAGGUAGCAGAUGCUUCAGAAUCUGAGGGCUAUACUUCUGCAGCUUUCCACCCUGAUGGUCUGAUCCUUGGAACAGGGACUUCAGGGUCUUUGGUCAAGAUAUGGGAUGUAAAAAGUCAGGUCUGUUUGCUCCAAAGACAUCAUGAUUGCUCAUGUCAUUUCUCUUCUUCUGUCCUAGUAUUCUUACUGUCUGCUUUUUAUGUGUUUUUUUUGGUGCUUCUCUUCAGGCAAAUGUUGCAAAAUUUGAUGGCCAUGUUGGGUCUGUAACUGCCAUUUCCUUUUCAGAAAAUGGUUAUUUCUUAGCAGUGAGUAUUCCAAUACUGAAUUAAGCUUUUGAUAAUCUUUGUUUCCUGGCGUAAAGCUAUGUAUGAUUGAACUUAUGACUGAUGUUUCCUUUCUACGUUAAUAAUCAGACUGCUGCUCAUGAUGGUGUUAAACUUUGGGAUUUACGCAAAUUGAAGAACUUCAAAACUUUCGCUCCUUACGAUGAUAACACACCAACUCAAUCAGGUAUACAUUAAUUGCAUUUCCUGAAGCAAGACACUGAAUCCAUUCAAAGAAAGCUUUGUCAGUUUGUAAAUAAAGAUAUUUUAGUGUCUGCUUGAGUAGUUUUGGAAGGUAAAAACAUUUGUUUCAUGGAUUACUGUAUAUUACAGCAUACUAACUUAUGUCUGUCAUUUAUGGAAAUUUCCUUUUUAGUCUGGAAAGUGUUUCACAUUAACAAAGUACUGUAUGUUUGAAAAUGCUAUCUCAAGUUCCACUGUUGUUUAUGGGCCAUUCCCUUUUUAAAGUCUGGUAGCUUUCUAAUUCAGAAGUCUACUUCAGAGCUUCUCAUUUAUACACUGUUUGCAUAUUGGUUAUGACUCAGACUCCUUUCAAGUAGUGUUAUAACUACUCCAUUGUACCUUCAUCUUUUAGGAUGUUAAUCUAAGCUACUUCUAUCAUGAAUUCAUCUUCUUUAGCAAUUUUAUUUGUCAUUAAAAAAAAGAUCGUCUAAUUCUGCGUCUCCUUUUACUUGCAGUGGAAUUUGACCAUAGUGGAAGUUAUCUUGCCUUAGGAGGCUCAGAUAUACGGUAAGACAUCUACACAAAUAUAUAGACCCUGAUACCUCUCAUUUUUCUUGAACUUAAAAGUAGUUCCCCUUGAUGGGUCUCAAAAGACUUCAGCGUAGCUCAAUCUUCAUAUUUUUGGUUUACACGGCCCUUUAGUAUCUGUUUCAACUAUAUACCCUUAUUUAUCAUCUUAAAUGAUUUAAAAUGUUUAAGCUCCUUUUCAAUAAAUAUAAAGAGUGUGAAUCUAGCAAUCAUAAUAUUGAAAUAUUUGUAUGUGCUCUUCACUUGGAUUUUCUAUGCUAAUUAGUCAAUGUUUAUUAUUUCCAAGAACAAUUAUUAGUAAGGGGAAAAUGGGAAGGAUGUACUCAACCAUCUAUUUAUAGCAAGGCCGACAAGGGGUUUGGAGGGAGUUAAAAAAAAAAAGAGAAACCAAGAGCCUUGGUGGAUUUAUCAUUGUACUUAAAUUGCCAUUAUGUAUCCCUUGUUAAGUGAUCCCUGGAGUAAUCUUUUUGACCAAUUAUCCUUCUUGUCAUUUCUUUCUGUGCUGAAUCAGAGUUUAUCAAGUCGCCAGCGUCAAGGCUGAAUGGAAUUCCAUCAAAACCUUCCCCGACUUAUCAGGCACAGGUAUAGUGUUUCCUCUCAUUUUAGACUCUCUAAAAUGUGCUCUUGAUGACAUAAGGUAAAUAAUAGUUAUCGUUAUCAUCUUAUGCAGGCAAAGCAACAUGUCUGAAAUUUGGUCCAGAUGCAGCAUAUAUAGCUGUCGGAUCUAUGGACCGUAAUCUAAGAAUAUUCGGGCUGCCUGGUGAGGAUCAAAUGGAGGAUUAGGCUCAUUUCCAGCGUUAAAGCAAACAGCUUUUUCCUUUGCAUCUGCUGCAAGAUCACAGUGCUAUCUCGAGGGUAGGAGGUCGAUGAGAGUCCUGUUCUUUAAUAUGUACUUCUGGUUUUUGCUAAAUUUUGGGGGUGGGCAAGCUAAUAGACAUAACCACAAACUUGAGAUAACAUCUGAAGUGCAGAGUUUAUUCGGUCAUCCCAAAACCAGCCUUGGGUUAUUAGUAUUCUGUUGUAUCAUUCUUGUGUAACCAUAUUGCCCUUCCUGGAAGCAAAACUCUGAAUGGAUAGUGAUCAGUUACAGUACAUCGAUAUUUCAUGUUUAGUUAUAGUCGAUAUAAAAUGCACUUUGUACGCUAUUAUUUUUUUUCAUGUUCAAGAGUUGAUCUGAAUUCAUUGUUGUGUACAUCAUGAAAGGCUCAAAGUAAAAAUAGUAAAUUUAACUUGUAGUUUGCUAUUACAUAAAAUCACAACAAAUAAAGCCUUCCCUGGCUUGAAGGAUUCAGAACCAAAAAUAUCAUCUACAUGAAUAUCAACUCACAAUUGCUAGACUUUCGUCCCUACGCUACAAUCGGCCCAUGUCCGGCAGAUUAUACAGACAACUGCUUCAUGGACACGAAAGAAUGAAUAGAAGUAUUCAAAAGUACAGCUAACAAAAAAAUGAACCAAGAAAAUCUAGGCUUGGCAUGAGGGAAGGUAUCGAGACGCAUGCGCAAAACCCCAUAGCUGCAUUAACAAGAAGAAAUUGUCAAAGAUGUAGUGAUAGAAUGACAACUAAGUCUUCAAAUAAUUCAUCAGUCUGCUACCAAAAAUACAAUGGUCUAGCUCUAGUAUACAUUCCUAGAGACAAUCUUCUCACAAAGCCAUAUGAUAAUCUUUACGCUACAAUCUUUAUCCAUAAGAAAAGGAAAAUUGGUAGUUUUACGGAUCUCUCUCUCUCUCUCUCUAAGUUGGUAAUACAUCGAUCCUAAGGUAGUGUUUUGAAACUAGAGUAAUGAACGGGUACAAAGACGAGGGAUUAAUAAAGAGAUUACCUCAACAGUCCUCAGUUCAAACUCUUGAUCAUGUGCCAAAAAUGAGUUCCCAAAUGUUUCACAAGGUCCACUGCUGCCAGAUAACCUUUGCAGAAAAUUGGAAAUGAGAAAAGAAGAAAUUUGCAAUUUGCGAGCACACAAUGUAAAGUGCAAGGUAGAGAAACUCACAAUUCACCGUCCAAGCUUAAAGCAAAGUUUCCGCCUCCUCCGAGUGCCAGGAUAUCAUUCAAACACAAGUGGAAAUAUCUAUUGGCGCCUAUUUCCAAAAUGGCAACAGUUUAGAUUACUUCAGAUCGGGAAUGUUGGGAUUUUCUACAACUAAUAUACACCUUUUGUAUCGUUGCAUUGCACGUAUCAUCAUAAUGAGUAUACAAAGUUCAUAUUUUAUGUCAACUACAAACACAAAGAGACUGAAUAAUAGACAAGUUUUGAUAUGUACCAAGCAAGAAGUUUAAUCAUACAAAAUGCUAAACAAAAACAUGAACAAUCUUACUAAAAAGACACUGAAAUUGAUUAUAUUUUGUUUUGUAUUCGGUUCCCCACAAAGGUAGAGGUAAGAUCUGCGUCCCUCAUAAUUCCUACCCUGCCAGACCUCACUAGAGAUGGGGUCUAGACUAUGUAUGUUCUUGGUGUUUACUUUAUAUUCGGUUGUCUGCUAACCGUAUAUGUUAGAACAAUUUGGAUGUUGUUCUAAUAUAGUAUAAAAUUUGCAUGGAUUACAUUGACGAUAAGUAGCUUCCAAUCAGCUGUAACAGAGUAAAAUACUUUCAAGGAUGCAUUAGGUUUAUCAAGAAGGCCUCUAUCUCCAACCAUCAUGGACAACUUUCCCCAAACGAACAUGAGCUUAAUAACUAUAAUAUCACAAUGCAGCUGCUGGAAGAGCCAGUUGCCAUAAAUAAAGUUUAAACGAAUUGACUCGUGUAUUUAACUGUGAGAGCUCAUAGUUAAUUCAUCCAUGCAGUUUCUCUCAAAUGGUAAUUUUCUAUUACUGCGUUUACACAAGCCGAUGUUGUAACAAACAUUCAGAACAAAUUUCUUACCUGUUGGUCUAAAUAACCUUGGUUCACCAUAUAGAGUUGUGAAUACAAAUGAUUGAUUUGUUCCCUGUCACAAUAAUACAAUAACCACAUAAGCAUUAGAAAUAAAACCAAUGCUCAGUGAGAAUGGAGAAUGCAGACAUAGGCAAUUGCUUUUUAACUCUUCAUUUGAAGUAAAGGGGGUUUGAAAUGCUUUACUCGCACCAAGUCAAUUACCAAGAGUAAGAUUAGACCAGAAACUGGUGGUUUUCUCUUCGAACAUUAGGUUGUAUCAGUUAAAAGAAAAUUAAAUACUGCAUGUAUUUGCUUCCUUACUUGGUAUUUCCUCUUUGCAGUAGGCUUUAACGGUGCCUCGAGCAACCCACCAAACACAGCACCCUUCUUAUCACCAGUAAUCUGACACAAACAUUAUAAAGAAAAUUCAUCUUCAAAAGAAAGAUGAGAUCCUUUAAAAAUUGCUAUAGAAGUCAGGAAUGUAUGCACGACAAAUAUUUGCAGCAAUUUAGGUGAACAUACCAGCAAGCAAGGACCAGAAAUAUCAGCACUCUUGCGAAUAAGAGUGCGGAGUGAUAUACCGUGUCUGGCCGUACUGCCCUUCAUUAGAAUGAACAGGAUAGAUAUUAGUAUUCAGGAUACUGAAGUUAUAAUAUACGUCAUAGCAGAAACUAUUUUAAAAUCAAGGUUACCUAUAUAACAAGACCCAUUGACAACCUUUCACUAUAUUAGGAAGGGAAGACUGGAAAAAAUCAUACAAAUUUGGAGUAAUGAAAACAGAAUCAGUAGUGAGAUAGGCCAGUGACUGCUCAAAGCUGUGUCUAUCAGGAGCAUCUUCAAAAGUUUCAGAACCGCUGGCAAUGCUCCCAGCAGAAGUAGGCUCUCCAUUAUCGUUGUCUGCAUUUACCGUCUCCUUCACACAGACUGAACUCCUGAUGGAACCAUUUUCACCUUCUUCUGGAUGAAUAUCUGGUAUCUCUUUAUAAUCAUUGUGAACCUCAAACUCAUCCAGAGGUUUAUCGCGCAACGAGAAACUUUUACUUCUCCACGUAAAAGAAUUUGAUUGAAGUGGUUUGACCUCUCUUCGAUCUCUUACAUUCACAAAAUAUGUUGAUGGUAGAAGGAAAGAUAGAAAUGAUGUUAUUGAUUUUCCCUCCUUAGUAUACAGCCUGGCCUAAACACAGAGAGAGGUAAUAAUGUUACAAAUUAUAUGCAUUGGAUAGUGAUAAAGACAACCCUCUAUCAAACAACAAAUCUCCUAAUGCAAAACAAGGAACGAAAAAAAUGUAGAGCUUAAUUUUUGCUCAAAUAAACCAAUGUCCUAAAUCACAAAAGAACAAAAACAAGAACAAUGUAGCAUGAGCAGCAGCUCACUGUCCAGCAGGAAAUCCAAACUCUAUAUGAAUAUAAUUCCAUCAAAUAGUAUAUCUGAAUGUCUGAUGAAUACUACUCCAUUUAGUGACAAACUUCUAUAAACAAACUUGAGCUUGAACAUCCAAUGUGGUUUACUGUAAGCUCUUUUUCUCAUAAAUAUAUCAACUAUUUCAUAUUUUGCAACCACAAAAUAAACUACCAUGAAACAACUAACUAAAUCUUUCGACGUUUUUGAAAGUUCACCUUUUCUUUUUUCAUCUUAUUUCCUUUUUUAGUUACUUGAUUCACUUCAUAUACAAAUUCCUUAGACAUGAUAUAUAGUUUUCAUCAUUUUCCUUUUCCUUUCACUCACCUAUUGCAUGCUCAUGUUCAAAAGAUGAAGGUAGCGGAGAUGAGGAUGCUCAAAUGGAUAGGUAGGUAUACUACAAGGGAUAUGAAUAGGAAUGAAGACCUCCGUAGAGGACAAGGUGAGGAAGCUAGGCUGAGAUGGUUCGGGCACGAGCAAAGAAGAUAUGUGGAUGCACCAAUAGAAAAGGCGUGGAAGGUUUACCACAAAUGGGUGUUAGGAGAGGUAGAAGAAUUGGGGGAGGUGAUUCGACAGGACAUGUCUCCCGUCUAAUUGAAUGAGGACAUGACCCUAGAUAGGAAAGUUUAGUGGUCGAGGAUUAGGAUAGAAGAUUAGUAGGUAGACGAAUGUUGUAGAAUCUUUAAGGUAACGGUCAAGAGGUUAAUCCUUCAAUGUUUGUUCUUCCGAGCCGAAAGUGUCUAUCAAAAACAACCUCUCUAUCUCACAAAGGUCUCCUACUCUCCACACACCUCACGUACGGAAUUACACUAAGUAUGUUGUUUUCGUAAUUACAUAUAAAAAUUCCUCAAACACCAUAUAAAGUUUUCAUCUUUUUCACUUUUUUUCAGCAACCCAACUCCUUAAACAUCAUACACAAACUAAUCAUCCCAACAAACAAAUCACCCAAAACUUAACAUUGCUAGCAAAUGCAGUUGUAAUUACACAACAAAAAACUACAUCAGAUCAAAGACAAAAUAUACUCAUAACCCACAAAAUCUCAAAUUCUAACAGAGAAAAGAGGGGGGGAAAAAGAACCUGAGAUUGUUGAUCAACAGAUUUAGAAGGAGAAGCUGAAAACAAUCGAGAUAGCUUCUCAGAAACUGUAUCUUUUACACCAUACAUAUCUAUCUUCGUUUUAACCAAUUACCCAAUUCAAAAUCUUUGAAAUUCCGAUAAAAAACUGAGAUUUCAAGGGUUAAUUUGAGAAACCCAAAUCCAAAAAAGUGAUAAAAAUGGCAAUGUAAAAGCAAAAGGGGGUGUUUUUCUUGAGUUACAUUCAGAUUUUUGUGAUCUGAGAAGCUGAAGAAGAAGAAAAAAAAACAGAGGUGAAAAUACAGAGCACCGACGAAUUAUAUUAAAAGCUGAAAAAAAUAUAUAAGAAAAGGAUAUUCUGAUUUUUGACUUUGUAAUAAAUUUUUUUCUUUUCUUAUGACUCGGUUUCGAUUUUUUUUGUUAUCUGGUUUUGACUCUGACAUAGAAUAUGACAAGGUGUUUUCGUUUUUUUGAUUUUGACUUGACGUAGAAUUUAACAAAAUAAAAAAAUAAUUUUGAGUCUUAUGUUUUUAAGGAUAUAUGAAAAGGUAAAAUAUUAUUAUUGAAACAGAUUAACCAGAAAAAUAAUAUGACAAAUAAAUUGAAAUGAAAGCAGGGGCGACGAUAGGUGAGGUGGAAUGAAUUUAAGUUAUGUGGAGCGGAUUUAAGUGUGAGUGGGUUGAAGUGAGUUUUUUAAGACUAGUGGGAGCGGGGUAGGUUGCGGGUAUAUGUGAGUAUAUGCGGGUUAAUAUUUAAUUUUAAUUUAUUAUACGUUAUUAGAGUGAUAAGAACAUUAUUUAUUAAUAUAAUUAUUUAUCAAUAUAAUAAUUAUUGACAUAGUGAAUUUACUAUUUUAUCCCUGCUAAUUAUAAAAUGGAUGACUUAAAACUUUAAGAUUUUCAAAAAGUUAUAUCUUUUUCAAAAUAAUUAAUUGAGUUAUAAUAGAUAAAUUUCUUUGUCCUUUCUUGAUUUGUCUAAAUGGACAAUUAAUUAGGAACAAAUAAAAAAAAUAGACAAGUAAUUAAGAACACAUGUUUCCCGUUGACCUCUAGAACAUUUUUUUAAAGUUAUUAUCUAUUUAAUUAAUACAACUUAAUGAAAAAAAAAAUUAUUUUUAUGAUUGUUAUUUUAGUGUCAAAUUUAAUUAGAAAAAAGAAAAUAUUAAAAAGAAAAAAAAUGUGAGAUGGAUAUAUGCCAGGUGAGUGAAGCGGGUUAAAAAUGAAAAACAAAUUGUAAAGCGAAAAAAAUAAAUUUAAAAUUUUGCGGAUUAAACUCUACCUGCUCCGCUCCAUUGCCAUCCUUAAACGAAGGGAGCAAUUUUCUUUAACGUGAUGAUUCUUUUAUAUUAAUCACAUAUAUAAAAGAUAAAUAUAUUAAUCACAUAUCUUUCAGUAUAAUAAGGUUAGUUCAUAUCAUUUUAUAUAGCGUUUUGAUAUAAGAUUUAUUUCUUUCGUAUUUUAAUAACAUAAGCUAAGAUUCCAAAUAUGAUUUUUUUUCUUACAUAUUUUAGGUGUAACUUUUUGUGAUCCUUCCUAUAGUAUUUUGGUGAUUUGUUUCAAUUUUGAGGCAUGUAUAAUUUGGAUUAAUAAAAUUAUUUAAAUAUAUUUUAUGUUAUUUUGAUUUUAAAAAUUCAUUAAAUAUGAAAUAUAGUCUUUCCCCAAAUAUUUUAACACACCCUGUCAAUUUGUUAUAUCUCGAGGAAAAUUUGUUCGAAAAAUACUUAACAAGCUAUAAAAAAAGAUAUCGAGAUAUCAUGUCAUACUUUUAUAUUGAUUUUAACUCGUUCACAUAGUUAAUAUAAUCGUUUUAUUUUAUUUUUAUUUUGGAUUUAUGUUUUGAAGUGUCAUUACCACGACAGUGACCAAAUUAGAGUACAUAAAAAUGACAAAAGAUUAUCUUCUAAACCUUAAUUAGUAAUUAUAGUUUGAUAAUAAUAUUCUUGUCUUCUACUUCAAUUUUGGAACAAAACAUUCUUCAAAAAAGACAAUAUUAUAUUUGAGAAUUAUAUUAAGACCCUAAAGACAGUUGCUUGGAGGUUAUGGUAUAGAAUAAUUAUUGUGAUUUAAAACCAUCAUGGUUUAACUUAAAAUAAGAAUAAUUAACACGAAAUACGAUGAGAAAAGUGAAAUCCCUCCAUUAUUUAUAAUAGAUUUCGAGUUCAAAAUUGAAAAUGAGAUAAUUUUUAAUAAGAUAUUGGUUAUAUCUCUUGUGUUAUCCACUUUAUAAAAUCAUUCGAUCUGAAUACUAAAACAUAAACUAGAUAAUGAAACAUAAUAAGUUAAGAUGUAAAAGAGCGUAAGAUGAGUGUGGCUUUAAUUAUAUCAUUUAUAAAUUUAACAUAUUAAUGAGAAUUCAACUUUUGUGUUUUUAACCAUAUCUUCAAAAAAAUAAUUUGAUGAUCACCGAUGGUGAGACUUGAUUCAGUCAAUUGAAAAAAAAAGCAACCUAAUCAAUCUCAAUCUCAUCUAAAAGUUUGAAUAAUAAAAUCAUGAUACAUUUUGUUUUCUUAUUUAUACUUAAUAUAAACGUGAUAAAAAGUGUCAAGAGUUUGCCUUGUCACAAGGCGAAGCGAGCGGCAAAACACUCACCUUUUUGAAGUGCGAUCUAAUUAAUAUUAAAAAAUUAAAAUAUUUAAUUGCAAAUACAAAUAAUCGAAGUCUCAAUAGUAAUAAUAUAUAAGAAAAUAUUUUAAUUCAAAAGCUGAAAAUAGAUUAUACAUACUUAAAACUAAGAAAAAAAUAAAACAAAAAUCAAAGAAGAGGAGGAAAAAGAAACAAAGGAAGAAGAAACCUGAAGAAGAAGAAGAAAAGAAAUACAUAUUGAUUGGACUUUGAAAUCACCGAAAAAUUCUAGCUAGUCGUCUGAGGAAUUUAGUAAAAAAUACUAAAAUUACCUUUUAACAUUUAAAAUCCUAACAUAAUCGCCUUUUUUUUAAAAAAAUAUAUAUAUAAAAGGUGGUGCCGUUGUCGCCCCUCGCCUUUCGUCGCCAUGACGUCACUUUUUGACGAUCGUCUCGCCACAAUGUUAAAAUGCCAUGAAGGGUUGCCUCACCUCGCCUCUCGCCAUUGACAAUGAGGCGCUUGCCUUUCACAAUACUGAGCUUUACUAACCCGAAUUUAAAAUAGUCAAAUUAAUAAAUUUAUAUACCAUAUAACUAUUUCAGAAAAAGGAAAUAAAACCAAAAUCUUUAUGAGGGUACACCAUUUCUAGUUAUAUCAUUUAUUACUACUAUUAGAAGCUAAUCUUUCAAAUCUUAACAACUUCAAGUGAAUAUUUAUAUUUUUGCUGUUGUCACAUGAUAAAGAUUGGUUGUCAUAACUAUGUCAAGCCAUUAAUAGAUUCACUAUAUUUAUUCAAACUCCAUUAGAUAAUGUUCAACUUCAGACCAUCAAUACAAAACAAAUAUACCAUGAAACUUAUUAAAAAUUUCAGAAUUCAAAAUCUUGAAAUUUUACAGUAUGCUUUUUCUACAAAAAAUAUUGUACUUUAGUCAAACUUACACAGUUAAUCCAUGUUUACUCCCACUCUCUUCACCUCCCUGUUACCUAGGGAAUAUUUUUUUACCACUUUAUGAGUUGUUCUUUUAUAAACAUUUUUUUUGUUCUCAUUCUCUAAAUACACCCCACCCAACCCCAAACCCCCAACCCCCAUUUGGCUUUUGUUAGUAAAAAAUAGAGUUGGGAGGUUAAAAAAUACAGUAUCAAAUUGUCCUUUUGUAUACAUAUAUAUAUACUGAUAAAGAUACAGAUACCCUAUUUUUCUCAGUUCUGCACAUCCAAAGAUAGACAAAUAGUAGGCCACUUAUAAUAAUAAAGUGAAUCCAAAAACACCACUACAAAAACCAACACCCCUUUUUUCAGAAAAAAAGUAACAAAUUUCAAGAAGAAAUAGUACUAGUACUAGUACAAGUAGUAGAAUCUCAGCCCUUCAAAAUCCCUUACUGAUUUCUUAAGCAAAAAAAAAAAAAAAGAGAACUUCAAGGUGCAAUCUUUUUCCUCUCAAAAUCUACAAAACAGCAAAAAACAACCACCAUGUAUAGUUUUUCAAGAAUCUCUAAAAAAUGGUAAUGGGGUUGUCCAAGAAACCAUUUUUAUGCAUUUUCUUGGCCAUUCUAGCCAUUUUCAAGAAUCUCCCAAAAAUGGGGUUGUCCAAGAAACCAUUUUUUUGCAUUUUCUGUGUUUAUUUAGCCAUUCUAGCAAUUUUCAAGAAUGUAGCACCAGCUGAAUCUGCAUCUGGAAACACUAAUUUAGUGUACAAAGGUUGUGCAAAACAGGCAUUAUCAGAUCCAUCUGGUGUUUACUCACAAGCCCUUUCAACCCUUUUUGGCACUCUUGUUUCACAAUCUUCAAAAUCCAAGUUCUACAAAACUACAACUGGUACUGGCCAAACUACAAUAACUGGUCUUUUUCAGUGUAGAGGUGACCUUACUAAUAUUGAUUGUUACAACUGUGUAAAUGGUUUGCCAAUACUGAUUGACAAGCUCUGUGGCACCCCUGUUGCUGCAAGAAUCCAGCUUUUAGGCUGUUACAUGCUGUAUGAAGUCUCAGGCUUCCCACAAAUCUCAGGAAUGGAGAUGUUGUACAAGACUUGUAGUGGAAAAAAUGCACCAGGGAGUGGAUUUGAGGAGAAGAGGGAUACUGCUUUUUCAACACUGGAAAAUGGAAUGUCUAGUGCUAAUAAUGGAUUUUACACUUCAAAUUAUGAGUCUGUUUUUGUUUUGGGACAAUGUGAAGGGGAUGUAGGCUCUUCUGAUUGUGGUGAGUGUGUCAAAAGUGCUGUCCAAAAAGCUCAGGUUGAAUGUGGUAGCUCAAUUUCUGGCCAAAUAUUUCUUCAUAAGUGCUUUGUUAGUUAUAAUUAUUAUCCAAAUGGGGCUCCCACAAAAUCAUCAUCAUCAUCAUCUUCAUACUGGUCUCCAUCUCCUUCAGCAGGUACUUUUCCUUGAAUUGACUGCUUAGCUAGCGCUUAGUCAUAAAUUUCAAAAAUUAAUCUUUGAAUAUCUGUUUGACCAUAUAUUUUGGAUCAGAUUUUGAAAAUCUGUCUUAAAAAGAUUUUCAAGUUCCAAAAACUGCUCCAGACCAUAUUUGUUUAGUCCUAGUCAAAAAAUUCAUGCUUAAGCACAAAAAGAGUUUCAGAAACUUAACUUGUCGAGUUUCAACUUCAAAAUUUAUGAUCAAGAGCUAAACAUGCUAAGACUGUGACAAUGGUUUCUGGUUUGGUUUGCUAGUGUUAACACUCUAAUCAAGAUUUUGUCUUUCUUAGAACUUUUGAGCUGUCUACCUCAUUUAAUUAGUUGUAUACUUCAAUAAAAAAUGGAUCUUGGAAUAAACAAACAAGGAGCAUGAUAAAAUGUGUUUUUUUAAAUAAUAUGUCUCUGUUAACAAGAUGUUUGUCUAGCUUAGAUUUGUGUGCUCUCAUUUCAUAUUUUUGUUAUAAAAAAGUUGUAUAGUAAUGAGAGUUGUGUAUGUUCAAUGAAUGUGUAGGGACAGGCCAAAACACAGGGAAAACAGUGGCUAUAAUACUAGGAGGAGCAGCAGGAGUUGGUUUUCUAGUCAUUUGCAUGCUCUUUGCAAGGAACCAAAUGAAGAAACAUGAUGGUAAGUGUGAAAAAUAUAUUUUCGAUCUCUCGAUUAUUGGUAAAUUAUGAUUUUGAUCCUCGUGAUAUAUGACUCAGACUUGUGUGUCUAACCUUUGGUUAGGACUAGAAUUAGAAUUUCUCAAUAACUGAGGGACUAAAAAUAUUAUGAACUCUAAAUUUUUACCAUGGUUUAAAAUAUUGCCACUUGCUUAUGUAUGAUUUAAAUAUUUGUUGCAGAUUAUUGAAGGGAUCAGCUGUGUAUUAUUAUUAUAAAAGGCUGGCAAAAGCUUUUUAUGAGGUGGAUUCUUUCCUUGUCAAGAUUUUCUACCUAGAAGGAAAAUAUAUUUUCUUGGAAAUUCCUGAAAAAAAGUGAGGGAGUUUGUGAGCUGUAAUUCUUGGAAUUAUUAGGUAAAAAGAGAAAAACAAAAAUACUAUUUUGGGGACAUAAAUUUUUGGAGAAAUGAUGUAACAAUACAUGUUUUUUUUGUCAACUAUGAAGAAGAUUGGCAAGAGCAUUAUAAUGUUUUUUUGGCCUUUUUCUCCUAUGGCCAUGUGCAUGUUGUAUCUUUUCUCUUUGUCUCUGAAUAAUUGUUUCACCCUUUUUUUUCUUCUUCUAAAGUUUUUUACUUUUAGAAAGUUCUCUUAGUGAGUGCAUUUCCACUUGUAUAAUAUAUACGAUAACAUACUCAGUGUGAUCUUAUAAAAGAGGUCGGGGAAGGGUAGAUGCAUGCAUGCCUUAUCCUAUCUCAUGAAGAGGUUAUUCUCGAUAGAUGCUCGCACUUGUAUAAUAUAUGAAUUGAAAAAGAAUUUAUGUUACUUGGUUCAAUAUCUAAGAACAAUAUUGUCAUUUGGUGGGCUUCCCUACAAGUUUAUGAAUGUAUAGAUAAUAUGCCAUGGCCCCCAGACCUAGCUUAAGUGACAAAAGGUGAAGGAUUUGUGGCUUAGGUCAGAGGUUCAGGCUCUCACCUUGCAAAGCAAAGUCCCAUAUUUAAGUGGAGAAGGAUAGAGAGGUGGAUCCGUUAUUCACCGAGUUUAGAAGGCUGUGAUUGAUCCAAAGGGAAGAUCAUAGACGGAUUUCUCCGUUAUAAAAAUAAAAUGAAAUGUCAUGCAUAUACAUUUUGAUUAAGAUACCCACACGAGUUGUGCGUGUUGUGUUGUAGUGGUGGGACUUCGCCACCCAUAAUCAUAGGUCUUGAGUUCGAGCCUUGAGUAAGAAGAAAAUCAAUAUGGAAUGUCGGAGACUUGUGUAACUUAUUUUUUCCUAUUUCUACUAGGGAAGUCAUUUUCUUCAUUUUCAAAAAACUUAUUUUUGCAAACUAUUUGAUCAAUCAAAGCAUGUUCUCGAAAAUAUUUUCCUCCGUAUCGAACACACCCUUGAUAUCACUCCUUUUCAAUAUAAGAAUCUUCUUUUUUCCAAAACUGAGCUAUCCUUUUCUUGUUUAUGACUCCUUCAUGUACCUCCCACUUACAUUAUGUGUAUAUAAUAAUAAUACUAUGUAUAUUUCUAAAUUAAUACUGAAUUAGGCUCCAGAAGCAAAGGUUGCUCCUUUCAACUAGAUUUAAGAAGAAGAUGCCUACCUUAUUCACCAAUUUUCAGUGUGUAACUUCAGUGUCAAAGUCAUCCAAGAGAUCAUCAGCCUCAAAGAACACAUUUUUAAGCCUCAUGAUCCAGUUCCUUUAGGAUCGAAAUAAUUAGGUGUCAUAUCGAAACUAACAAACAAUAAAUAGAGAUAUAUCAAAAGAAAGAAAAAUAAUUUAGCAUGGUCCCAUCAAUAGACAUAUCUCCACAGGCGAAGUUGAGCAAUACAAAAAAAAAAAAAGGCAUAAUAUAUUAAUAUUCCAGCUAUUAAAAGAAAAGGCUUGCAUCUACUUCCCCUAUUAUAUAACUGGUCACAUCUCUCUCCAAUCCUAACGUGGUAAUUUCCCAUCAUAGGCUUCCUAUUUAUAGAUUAAACAACUACCAAGGAGCUAAUUCAUUCAAAACAUAGUUGACUGGAUCUAUAGAGAAAACAGAGUGUCCUAGGCUCAACAUUAUAGCACACAGGGCUUCGGCACUACUAUAACAUCUCGCUAAAACUUGACUCAUAAAUCUAUGUCUUCAAAAACUUUGAGUGUGCAUAAGUAGAUACUUAAAUUUAUAUAUAGUUGAAGAAGUGGACGCACACAUCCUAUUAGCAUAACACUCGUGCAAUGCCACGUAAUAUGUGAAUUCUCAUGUAAGACGCCAAGUAGCACGUAUGUUUAACUCUAUACAAGUAUAUUACACACCCAAAAAUUGGAUUACGUAUAAGCCAUACAAAACUAAGUCAAAAGACAUGUCUAUGUAUGAUGAGGGUAAGAUAGAGUAGCCUCUUGUUUUCACUUGGACAAUUUGUCGAACAGUUGAUGAGUGUAUGCUCCAAAGAUUCUUUAACAACAGCUUCUCUCCACACAAACCUAAAACAUCCCCAUAUCCCUCAACUCAUACUAAUUGUUUAACUUGGACUCAACAUUACAUCUGAUUAUUUCGAUCCUAAUAAAUGAUAAUGAUAAGAAAAUUAAAGCAAACAUGUAAAUAUAUUCACUCACCUGAUGGCUACUCCCUUCCUUUCUGCUUCUCUGCAUCAAUAAGUACGGCUUGGAUAGAAGAAACUGUAGUAUGAUUUUGUAUGCUAGUGGGAAUCGAUGUCGUAAAAUUAAUCGAGAUGCGUAAAAAUUGAUUACUACGGAAUUUUGAAAAUGAACUAUCUUAGCAAAAUUUUAUGAAUUAAAAGCUGGUUAUGCUUGACACAUUAGUAUAUGAUACUGUUUGCAAUAAAUUUUAAAUAUAUGAAAAAUAAGUAAAUUAUACAAAUAAAAUAUGAAUAAAACGUAAUUUUGUUAAUUAAGAUAGCAGACCUCAUAUUUAUCCGUAAUAAUUGUAUUGAAAUUCAAUUAUUUUAAAUUCAACUCAUGAAUGUUCUUUAACAAAAAAAAAAUCAUAUUCAUGGCUUGUACUUACGAAGCUCUAAUUAAGACUGAACUUAUCUGAUCCACUACACCACAUCCUUAGUAUAUUAUCAUUAUUCACUAUUACCUUUGCUUUAAUUCUCAAUUAUAAUUUGGAUUCAACAAAUAUAAUACACAUUAGUACUAUGCUGAAAAUCAGAUCUAUAGACAAACCAAAAAUUAAAUCUGUACAUUAUUCCUCAUAAACAUAAAUAUAUAUAUAAAAAAAAAAACAUUGUUCCUUCAAGGGCUAACACAAUGAACAAUCAUGGAAAUUGAAGCAUCAGAGUAGUAAUAAUUCUGCAAAAUUGGCAACUUCAUAAUCUCAAACUUUUCACCAAUUAAUUCACAUUUUUGAUUUGAUCCUUUUGCUGAAAUUGAUUUAGCACUUUCCCUGUUUAACAACUUUGAAAAUUCAGUUGUCCAAAUAUUUAUCAAACCAGACAUUUUUCUGCAAUUUUUUUUUCUCCUUUUUUUAUGGUUUGAAGUAUUAUCACAAAGUGACUGUUUAUAUACUGAUGAAGUUUUUUGUAGCACACAAAAUUUAAGCUUGUGUUGUGUGCGGCUUCCUGUUUUCUAUUUUGACUUACGAGGCGGAGUUAAAAUUUUAAUUUUAUAAUUUAAAAUAAAAAAUAAUAAAUAUAUUUUUAAAUAAUGGUAUAUCGUAUAUUAUAGUGUUUAUAUUAUUAAAAAACUAGAGCAUAUAUAUCUUUUAAUUUAACGGAAGACUUGAUUCCAUUUUAUUUGUCGAUCUAAUAUUUAAUAAACGUAAGAUUGGUGGACAAGAUAUUACACAUGUAUGCUAGUUAAUAUAAAGAGUAUACAUGUUUCACUUUUUGGACAACAGAGGCACCAACACUGGCGAAACCAAAAUUUUAAUAAGGGGUUCAUAAUCUGGAGAAAUAAACACAGAAAGUAGCCUAAAGAGGUUCAACAACUAUUAUAUAUAUUUAGAAAAUUACUUUAUCUAUGUAUAAAUAAUAUAAUUUUCCAUCAAAAAACCCCUGAGUCAAUACUUCAAAAAUAUGACGGAGGAUAUCUAUCAACAUACUACCUACGAUAAUUCGAAUAUAUUUAUUCAUUUUUCCUUUUUAGAUGACGAUUUUAAUCAUUAAUAAUUAUGUUAUAAUUUUGAUAUUUAUGAAUAUAUUAUUAGAAUAAAAGUUAGGGAAAAUUGUAUAAAAGCAAACUAAUAACCUAAAUUAAAUUGAAUAGCUAGGGUUUGAUUUAAUUGUGCUCCAUAGCAAAUAUUGACAAAAAUUUGCCAGGCGUCUCUCUUCCAGAAGUCUCGCUCGCCACUCUUCCAUUCUCGCCUCUCUCGCUUUAUACACAGAAGUGUAUAAUUUCUGUUUCUGUUUUGUAUAAAGCGAGAGAAAAUUGUAUAUACACAUGCAAAAAUGUAUAUCUCCGUGUUAUACACUUAAUUAUAUAAUUUACAAACAUUUUACUUCAAAUAUUGCAGAGAAAAAGGCCAAAGAAUUAUACAAUUGUGAAUUAUACAGUUGCAGUGAAAUACAAUUUUUCUAGCUUUAUACAACAGAAGUGUAUAUAUUGUGUUUCUGUUUUUGUAUAAAGCGAGAAAAACAUAUAUUUUCUUGCUAUACACUUAUAAUUAUGCAAUAUACAUACAUUUUAAUUCGAUUCAACUGUAUGCAAAGCUAAUUAUACAAUUGCAGCGAAAUAGCUAGCGAAUUAUACAAUUUAGGCCAGCGAAUUAUACACUUUUAUAUGUAUAGCGAAUUAUACAGUUUUUAUGUUUGCUAUGGAGCGCAAUUAUGCAAAAUUUGCUAUAUUAUACAAAUAUGAUUUUUUUGUUUGCUAUAUGUGAAAGUUACCCUAAAAGUUAUUAGAUAUAUAAUUCGUAUUCGAACUUUUAACACCAAUUUUAAAUAUAUAAUACUGAAAAUAAUUUACUAUGUGUUCUAAAACUGUGUACACGUGUGAAUUUUGCCACACGUGGCAUGCAUUUUUGGUUAUUAAAAAAGUAAAUAAUAUUAAUUCUUGUUGUUGGCGGUUCAAAACUGUGUGCGCCCUAGUUAUUUGUAUAGCAUGUAUCUAUUCGAUUUGGUUUUAAGGGUUAUUUAUUUAGUUUAUUAAUUUUUAAUUUUUAAAUAUAUUAAAUUAAUAAGAUAUUUGUUAUUGAAUUUUAAUUUAUUGAUUUUUGGUUUUUAAUGAUUUUAAUUAAUAAGAAUAUACUUUUAAAAUAAAUAUAUGACUUGUUUUAAUCAUUUAACGUGAUAUAAACAUAUAUCAAAACAAGUUUAGACUAAAUCGCAAGAACAAAGACUAAAGUAAUACUAAAACUUAAAGGAUAAACACAGAAGUUUAGAGUUAAGUAGUAUUAAUUGUGUAUGGUUCUGAUAAUUAUAGUCUAACAUAGUUAUUAUAUUAAUAUUUUUUAUUUGAUAUUUAUGUACGAUCAAAAGGUUAAGUAGUAAAUUAUUAUAUUUUUAAUGGUUAUUGGUUAACCUAAUAUUAAAAAAUUAAUAUCAAAUGAUAACUUAAUAAUUUUUUUUAUAAAAACAUUAAAUAAUCAUUAACCCAAAUAGCCUAAUAACAAUAAAUUAACAAUAUUUUUUUUGUGAACAAUUAAAUCUCAAUCAUUAAUUUUAAAUUAUUACAUGUAUUUCUAAUCCAAACUAAAACUUAGGGAAAAUGGAGAGGGAUCGGAUCCAACAUUUAUAUAGCACUUAUAUCGUCUGAUAAUAAAGUGAGUGGUCACAUAAAAUUCCAAAAAGUAACACUUUGUUUGGAUCAUUGUUAUCCAAAUAUUUUAUAUGUAUUGUAUUCUAUUGUACUGUAUUGUAUGGUAGAUACAAUGUUUGGCUAGAUUAUAUUGUUUGUUGUUGUUUAAUAACAUUUUAGAUGUUUGGUUUGAUUGUAUCGUAUUAUAUUAUAAUUUAUAAAUUUACUUAAAUAUCCUUAAUUAUUCUAGGGUAGAAGGUUUGACUAGCUUUAAAUAAUUAAGGUAAAGGGUAAAAUGGUAUUUUGAAAUAUUAUGUAAAGAUAUAAUUGGAAAAAGAAAUUAAGUAACAAUGGGAACAUAGGAGUUUUCAUUGUUACGUAACAACAAAAUUUAACAAUACAGUACAAUACUUUUUAAGUAACAAUCAAAACAAACAUUGUAAAUAUAAUAACGAUACAAUACAAUACAAUUGAUAACAAUAAUCCAAACAUAAUGUAAAUAUCACAAAAUCAAGUCCAAUCUUGCUAGCAUUUACAUUAGUGGUCAAAUUAUAGUAUGUAUAUACACUCCACGUUUCAAAACGGUCUUUAUAUUUCGCUUUUCAAAAUUCAAUUUAAUUAAUUAUCAGAGAUAAGGUACAUUAGAUUAAUUCAAAAGUUUAAAAUUAAAAAAUUAAAAAUUAAAAAAUUAUACAAAAAUUACUACAAUAACAAUCUUCUCAUAUCAACAUGCUAAAAAUAAUAUAUCUUACUCCCUCUACUCAUUUUUACUUGUCACAAUUUGACUUGAUAUGUCUAUUAAGAAAAUAAUUAUUGAUAUAAGUAUUUGAUAAAAUCAUCCUUAUUAAAUGUUGUCUUGGAAAAUGCUUUGGAAAAUAAAUAUUCCACCCGUUUAAAAAAGAAUGUCCUUAUUUCCUUUUAAGUUUAUUUAAAAAAGAAUGUCUCUUUCUUUUUUUGGCAACACUUUAACUUUAACUUUUACGUGGCAUGUUUAAGACCACAAGAUUAAAGGACAUUUUGGUACAUUUGACAUAACUUUAAUUUUGAACCAUUAGAUUAAAAAGUCUUCUUUAACUCCAUUCCAAGUCAAACUAGGUUAUCCUUUUUGAAACGGAGUGAGUAUCAAAUGUUGAGUGUAAAAUAUGAGAAAAAAUAAUUGUCUUUUCUUGAUAUGUCAAAAAUAGUGUUUUAAAAAACGUAUUUAAGGCGAGUCUCAGGGCGGGGCAAUACCAAAGGGCGUAAAUAAAAAACGUAGAUCCAUAAGGCAUAAGUCCUAAAAUUUGAGGCGUAAGCCCCGAGCAUAAAACGUGCUUCCCGACAUUUUUAAUUUAUUUUUUAAAACUUUUUUUAAAUCACAUUUUUACUACCGGUGUAAUAAUAUUUCUCAAAUAGUAAUUAUACUAUCUUUUCUUAAUUAUUAAUUAUGAAUACUUAUCUCAAAUAAAAAUCAUAAAUUAUUGAAAGAUUUACUUUUAUUAGUAAUAAAACUAUAAAAUGAAAUAUACACGAGACUACGUCCCAUGUCUCGAGGCCUACAUCUCACCCUAUUCCGUAUAAAACGCCCCGCCCUUUUAAAUCACUGGUCAAAAGUAACAAGUAAAAAUGAAAGUUAAAAACAAGUGACAAGUAAAAAUUAACAAAAAGAUAAAAUAUUAAUCAAAAUUCAUAUUACUUGGCUUUUAAAAGAAAAUAACCAUAAAUUAGUGACACAUAUUUUGAAACAGGGAGUAAUGUAGCUUUGAUUAUCAAAUUGUAGUGCAUUUAUUUUAUUUGACUAAAUAUUUUUAGUUAUAGAUAUAUAGGAGUACCUAAAAGUCUACCAUCCAACUACAAAAGUCUAAAAAAAAACUACAUACAAUGAAUUUCACAAAGGUUCUAAUAGUGAGACUUUUCAUUAUUAUGAUGAUUUCUGUAGCAAAUAACAAUGCUACUAAUGGAGAAAAAAUAUCUUGUGAAUGGAAGUGUAGACUUGCUUGUAUCUUCAAUCCUAUUUGCACAGACAUUUGUAUAAAGAAUUAUUGUCCACAUUCUAUUUCUUCUAAAGAAUUCAAUUGUAAACUUGCUUGUUUCAUUCAACAUUGCUACAAGUUUAAACAAGGUAUAAUUCUUUCAAUGUUCUUUUUUAAUUCAUAUGGAUCGGUUGGAUUGAAUUAAGCUGAUUAAAAUAGAUGAAAAAUUACUUGAUCUGAAAUGAGUUUGAUUGAAAUGGACUAAGAACGAGUCAUGACCUAACCUAUCAAAUUAUUUCUUAAUUUUAAUUUCUUAAUUUUUUUGUAAGCAUUGCAUAUAACAUGUAAACAAAAACGAAAAGUAUUUUUAAAAUAUAUUGACGAGAUUUCUCAACGAUAACUAAUCAACAGUACACUCAGUAUAAUUUCAUGAGUGUGGUAUGAAAAGAUAGAAUCAGUAUCAUUUCAUAAGUGUGGUAUGAAAAAGAUAGAAUGAAGAUUUUACCCCUACAAAAUUGACAAGAUUUUCGUAAUAAAUAUGCGAUUUCAUAACCUACCCAACUUUAAGACGAUUGAACGAGUCAUAUUUUCAUGCGUUAAUUUUCUCACCCCCUAUGACCCCCCCCCCCCCCUCUCUCUCUCUAUGUUUGUCUCAAUAAUGUCAAGUUUAUGACUUACUUUUAACAAUUUUGGUUUUUUUUUCCUAGAUAAGGAGCUAAUGGGAAGGUGCUUGAAUGAAUGUUCAACAACAAAUUGCACCUAAUUAGAACUUCAUUUGCUAUAAUGCUAGUAUGCUACUUGUUUAUGUUGUCAAUGAAGUACUAAUUUUGAAUAUUCCUUGUUAUUUCUAAUGUCUAGUGAACUCUUAAGAAUAUUUAGAAAGAGAUCAAGACAUCAAAUAUUGUCUUUCUUAAAACGUACCUGGUGGUCAAAUAUAUCUCGAGUAGGUUCAUAUCAUCCUACAUUCAAGAAGUACAGUAUUAGCAACGAUGUUUUAAUUUAAUCAACUUGUGUACACCUCAACUAAUAUAACGUCUUUGAAGUGAAGGCAAAAUACUUUUAAUUCAUAUUAAUUAACCAGAGUAAAACCUCUUUUCAGAUAUUGCAUACAAGAAAAUGGCAAGUCAAGAGUAUUCUCAACAACUAGGGAUUUUGACAUGAUAUUCCUCAUAACCAUAUCUCUAUUAGAUUUCUCUAAACCUCUGCUCACAACAAGAGAUGUAUUACAUACCCAAGGCACAGAAACUACAUAAGCCAGACCAUUAUAGGAACUCUUACUCCCUAAUAGAGCUUCUUUAUAUGAUCGGCACACUUUCGAAAUAUACUUUCCCAUUGGCAAAAGGUGAGAACCAGGUGGAAUGAAAUCAUCAUCCCUGAAGUCUACAUCUGAGUGAAGGUUUACGACAACAGUUCCAUGCUCAGGGUGAAGUUGGUCUGCGAGAGCAUUGAGGAAUGGAGAGUGUGGAUCCCAUAGGGUGUGAGGAAAGAUAUCUUCCCCGUCAUAUGCGUCUAUGAAAACAAGAUCAUAAAGAUUUUUGUUCUCGAGGAGGAAUUUCUCAGCAUCUGAUUCAUGUAAUUGAAUCCUCUCAUGAAUGCCUUUCCAUUGAACUUCUUGGAUAAGAUCAGGAGUUGAGUGUGCACGGCUACCAGAUGGAGUCAUAACUGAGUAAGAUGGGAACCCCAUUGCUUGAACUGAGGCUGAGAUUACCACAGGGUCGAUUUCAGCUAUGUGCACUUCAGCACCUGAUACAUCGAAGAGGUUAAUUCCAAAACAGACAUUUCGCAAAUUGGUACAACAAAUUAAGACAAGCAACAGUUAGUUUCGGAACGAGUGUCAAGUCUGUCAAACUAGAAAUUGAAGUUGCAAUGCCAUUGAAGGGAUUCAAAAAGCAGAGAACAAAGUAGUUCCAAUUCUAGGUAAUCUGAUAUUCAUAUCUUUUCUCCGAGAAAAUGUUGGACAGAAGUACUAUGACUAUUAUCACUGAAAUUCGUAAAUAUAUCCAAGUGGAUAGUAAGGAAACACUGACUGGGAGAUAUGCAAUGCAAGAAUACAAGCUAUCCAAGGUGUUCAUUUUACAACUUUAUCCAAAAAGCCAAGAGUGAGCUUCAGAACUUUGUAAUAUUUGGAGUAGCAGUGCUUCAAAUUCUACUACUACGAACAACAGCAUAUCCAAAUUUACCACAUCUAUGUGAACCAAACAAGAACUACAGGGAUGAAUUUGUGGUAUGAUACACACAAUCUUUCAUUAUUUAAGCCCCUUGUCCUAGCGAUCCAAGCAUACAGUAAUGAAAUUUCUGUAGUUAAAAAAACACUCAUUUUUAUUAUUUGUUCUUCCAGCAGACCUCACAUCCUGUACAUAAUCUAUGAGAAAAUGGAAGUUCCCUCAGAAACUUGAAAGAAAUUCAGUCAAUAUUGUAUUUGAGGUCAUCCAGAGGAUAUCAACUAUAGUUGAAGAAAUACAUAAUCUUGAGUUUUCUGCAUCAUCUCAUGUCAGAUUACCUCCCCAAAAUUUACAUUCAAGAUAAGAUUUUACAUAAAAGGGAGAAAGUAUGUGUCUUUAAUAUCACAUCCAGUGAAAAGAAGGAUUGGAUAAUGAUUUCCCGUUCAUACUUUGUCAAAUACACAAUGUCACCCAAAAAAAUGCUCAAAUUCAGAGACUUAAAGAGCAGCAAAGGCAGGAAAAACAGCACUCAGUUCAAACCUUGGAUUUUACUAGCCAAAAACAACGGUAUGCUUCCUCCGCCAUGCCCAAUGCAUAAAAUUUUCAUUGGUUUUCUCCCACAAACUGCACUUUCAAGAUCGAAUCUACAAGAUGCAAUGGUAGCCAACCCAGCAGAGACCAUGCUCUUCACAUCUGUAGAGAAAACAUGAAAAGAUGCUGCAUUAAAAAUGUGAAAGUAUGAUCAUCAUUGAUGAUUGAGGAGAACUGGCAUAAGUACGAUACCUUAACUUCCAAUAAUUAAAUACUGUAUAAGCACGAUUUACUCUAAGGUCAUGUCAGAAAGGAUCUUGUAAAACAAAUUACAUUGGACCUUCAACGUCCAUAAAUUCUGUACUAAAUCGACACAUCUUUUUCUUAUCAAAUACACUGGACCUUGUUCAUAGUAAUACAGCAAAAUUAAUACUUGAUAACGACGACCAACCAACUCAAGAACCAAAUACAAAACUAGGAACAAAAGUACAUUUUUAAGAGGAUUAACCAGCUAUUGAAAAGAAUAAGGCAACAAUAGUAUCAUUCAUCCCAGUUUAUUGUUAGAGCAUGACUUGUUUUUCUUUUCUAAUGUAGACACUAAAUGUACAAGUAAUGAACUAUACUCCUAGAGAAUCAUAUAUUCCAUUUACAUGAUCAUACUAUUGCAUAAGAGCUGUAAAUAACGCGAUACAUACAUGGAACAGCGAGACACUCUGCCUGCUGCAUCAAGUAUAUAGAACCAGGAGCUGAAUCCCUAUAAGCAGCCAUUAUUUUAACUGUGCUUUGACGAGUCUCCUCAUUAAAGUGAAGAUUCCGCCAUUGGUAACCAAGAAUCCUGAAAUUCCCUUCCUGUUCAUCUCUUGGAUACAUCUUUUCAUACCUCUUUUGAAGCCAAUUCUCUGUUUUCCCCCAAUAACAGUUUUCCUAUUAAAAAUAACAUUUUUAGAGGAAAUAUUCACAUCCAAUAACAAAAACAACAACAUUUCAAUCGAAAGAAGGGAGAGAAAGAAAGACUGAACUGGUUUGGAAGAAGGGUAAGCUACGACAGAAACGACGCCGUUUCCUUUAUCGGAAAUUGAUCGGAAAACUGUGUCGCCACCACCGGAAGUUGUGCCCCACCAUUCCGAUGAAUAAAACCAGUCGCCUUCAUCUUCUACAGUUUGUCGAAUCGCCGUUGAUAAUCGUCUCAGCUGCAGCCAUGGCAAAUUCCGUUUAGGCAACUUCAACAUAUUUCCACCAAAAACCCUCUCUAAACCCCUCUCUAUGGAAGUUUCGGGUCUUUUUUAAGGGUCAUGUCUACCCGAAAAAUGCUCGGAGGACGAAGUUGCCUUUAUUAGUAAGCGUUAAAUUUUAAGUAAAAUUUUUCGUUAAUUUGGAGCGUUUAAUCUUCGAUGUGAGACUUUCUGGCCUGAUUAAGAUUUAGUCAAGCUCAUUUUCUGGCCUAAUUAAGGUUUCGUCGAGCGCUCUUGAACUACUACUCUGGGGUCUGAUACUGUUACUGAGUUAUCUUUAGUAGAAAGUGUUUUACCCCAAUGUGAGACUUUCCGGCCAAGUUAUCUUUAGUAGAAAGCGUUUUACCCCAAUGUGAGACUUUCCGGUCAAUUUGGAGCGCUUCAUCUCCAGUGUGGAACUUUUCGACACAAUUUGAAUUUAGUCGAAAUAUUGUCUAUCCAAGUAUUUAGCUCGAUUGAAACGUUUUACCCUAACGUGAGACUUUCCAACACAAUCCAAAGCGUGAAACUUUUCAGCGCAAGCCGAAGCGGCAAUUUGGAUUUAGCCAGGCUCUUAUAUGAGUAUUGGUCUAACGUGGGGCUUCAUGAUGCAAUUAGAAUUUAGUCAAGCUCCUAUGUGAGUAUAGGUAUAUGAAAUUUAUUUAAUCAGCUAUAAGAAAGCAAUCGAUAACAGGAAAAAAUAGAGCAAUUGAAAAGAUGAGAGCCAAUAAAGACACUAAAAUGUGUUCAUUCAUAAAGACGUGAAAAACUUCAUUAAACCCAAAAUGAGACUGGCACCAUUGUGUCUCUUAUUAUUGAGAAAUUUUUUUUUUACAGUGGUGAUUUAGCUCAUACUUCCCAAGCACACAUAUUUCAUCUCUAAAUAUUCAUCCAUCCCGUAUUUAGAACCUUCGCGGCCAAGACCUGAUUGUUUCACACCCCCAAAUGGAGCUACCUCGGUUGAAACUAGUCCUUCAUUAACUCCGACAAUUCCAUAUUCGAGAGCUUCAGUAACACGCCAAGCUCUUUUGAUGUUUGUUGAGAAUAUAUAAGCAGCUAAACCAGCAUUAGUGUCGUUAGCCAUUUGGAUUGCUUCUUCGUCUGUUUUGAACUUCAAAAGAGGGGCGACUGGCCCAAAUACUUCCUCUUUCGCCAAGAGCAUCUCACUGUUAACUCCAGUAACAACUGUAGGCUCGUAGAAAGUCAUGCCAAGGCUGUGUCUCUUCCCACCAACAAGGACUUUGGCUCCCUUUGAAGUAGCUUCAUCCACAAAAUAUUCAACCUUCUGUACUGCUGCUUCAUUGAUUAGAGGGCCUUGCUCUACACCUUCAGUGAAACCAUCUCCAACUUUCAUGUUUUGGACAGCUUUAGCAAAAGCAUUUGCGAAUUUAUCAUAUAUCCCUUCUUGCACAAGUAUUCUGUUCGCACAUACACAUGUUUGUCCGGUGUUACGGAACUUUGUUGCGAGAGCUCCUUUUAAAGCUACUUCAAGAUCUGCGUCAUCAAAGAUGAUGCAAGGUGCAUUACCGCCUAGCUCAAGAGACACCUUUUUAACGGUGGCAGCAGCACCUUCCAUCAAUUUUUUCCCAACCUUGGUUGAACCUGUGAAUGUAAUUUUUCUUACCUGUGGGCUUGCAAGCAGUGCGUCUCCAAUAUCAGGUGCAUUUCCCAUAACAACAUUCACUACGCCCGGUGGUAUUCCAGCUUGAAUGGAGAGUUCAGCUGCUGCUAAAGCAGUCAAGGGUGUGAGUUCAGACGGUUUAAUCACCACUGUGCAACCACAAGCAAGAGCAGGGCCAACCUUUCGGGUAAUCAUAGCCAAGGGAAAAUUCCAUGGGGUAAUUGCACCAACAACACCAACUGGUUGCUUUAAAACAAAUAACCGCCUAUCUGCUAAUGGUGAUGGAA
rnacentral:lncRNA from 1 species